rnacentral:lncRNA from 1 species
AGCACCCGCCCUUCGCAACUCUCGUCGGCUCCCUCCGCGCGUCACUGGCGGCCACGCUCGCGCGGCUUCCCCCGCUCGCCGGCAGGAUCGUCUUCCUGCCGUCUACUGGCGACGCCGCAAUCGACUGCUCCGCCUCCGAGGGAAGCGGCGUGCGGUUCANGCGCGCGUGGUCAGACUAAGCAGGCGGCCUCCGUUUGCUUCGAAAAAAACAAACUAGGCAGCCGGAUAUGCCUAAGAGCAUCUCUCGCAAAUUUAAAAACCGAAUAUGGAUGGAAAAAAUAUAUUUAAAUAGUUCAUUUUAGCUAGACAUCCACCGAUGGAUUUAUAGUAACCAUCCAUCACCCUUUUAACGGUUCGAUGCAUACGCGUGCACCGUCCGAUCACCAGCUCGAUCGCCUCCGUCCAUCACACAAAAUCCUGAAACAACGCUUCAGUUGCGGAAACAAGCACGCUGCUACGUCGUCCGACUGACGGGUUAAAAAAUGACCUUUUGCAACAUAGAUUAUGUUGCAAUUUUUUUUGCAACAAAAGAGCAUGUUGCGUAAACGUCCGUAUAUUUUCUUUGCAACAAUUUGUUAUAGAAUAUUUUCUACAACAAGGAUCGUGUUGCAGAAAUUUUCAAGCGCUAAGUUGCACAAGUGCAAACUAGGUGAGCGUACAUAAGACAAGCAUUGCACGAGCGAGAGGCGUCUGCCCUCAAGGGAUUUAGAUUUCAGAUCCUGCAACAUAGGACGUGUUGCGGUACGCAAUCUGCAAGAAACGUUAAGUUGCAGAAUGGCAAACUACAUGAGUCCAAAUAAAACACGCGUCGCACGGACGAGACGGCGGACGCCCGCGUGCGAUCCGCCGGCUGGAGCACAACGUUUUCCUUUUAGCUAUGUCCAAACAGAAACUGUAAAACUGUGGUAAAGAGCUCCUUCCUCCGGUCCGGCGGCCGCCGCCCCUUCCUCCAGCCAGCCAUGUCGGCCACGCCGGAGGUUGGACGGGCCCCGUUGCCAAUUGGUCGCACCUCGUCGCCCGUCGACCGCGCCCCAUCACACGUCGGCCUCGCCUAGCCUCGCUGGCCACGCCUUGUCGCCCGCCGGCCAUGCCUCAUCGCUUCCGACGUUAGCGACUUGCUCUGUUGCCAGCCAUGCCGACAGAGUCGUGCCCCUUUGCCUGCCGCGCUGGGAGGAUUCCGGCGGCUAGGCUGACGUCAUGGGAGGCCAUGGCGAGGUCGAGCUCGUCCAAUUCAAACCGGCAACGGUCGAUUGCGGCGUCCAGCGGCCUUUUCCGACCUGCAGUGAUGAAUUCCGGCAAGUUUAUGACGGAUUCCGGUAAAUUCCGCGGCGGCGCGUUUGCUCCGACAAGUGUUAACCGGUUACGGGCCCCCUAGAAUCGGCCUUCCAACCUUCAAAAAUAAGGGUUUCAGGUGUGGCUUUACCGUGCCCCUUAAAAAAUUUAGUGGUUGGACCAUUUUUACGGUUUCUGUUCUGCAUAUUUUUUACGAUCAAAACAAUAAAAUACAAAAAAAUUACAGAUUUGACCAGUCUGCUAGAGAUGUUCUAAGUCGUCCUAGCCGAGCACCACGUGACUAGGCGUCACGUCGUGGCAUGAUCAUAGUUCACAUGUCAUUGCACCACGUUCGACGUCUUUUCCAGGAAUAAAACACCCGGAAGGAAACCAUAUUUGUUUAGCAAUUUUCGUUUUUGAUAAAGAUUAAUGUUAUUCACUCAAAAUGAAGCAUCAAACAAUACAAACACAAUGAAUAUAGAUCCAACAUAGUUAGGGUGCAUACAUCCAACAUAAACACACACGAAAACACGAAGGGAAUGAACAAAGUCAUGCAAGAUAAAAAAUUAUGUCUAAAGAAGGAUAAAAUGACCUAAGCAAUCAAAAUAGCAAUUCGCAAACUACAACAAUCUCAUAUCCACGCCAAUCAUUUUGUGACAGUACAAGGACAAUAUGGUUCUUCAACACUAAUGUCUUCAGGAACGAAAAGACGCUAAAACAUCACCAUCAUCGGAUGCAACCAUCAGAGACCACAGUCUUAAUUUUCAUCUUAAAGAAAUUGAGCAUAUUCAAACAAUACCUUUAAUAAGGUGAGGAUCAUCAUUGCCAAGUAUAACCCAGUCGGGUCACAUCUAAGGUUUUCAUCUUGGAGUGUACUCAAGAAGCACCAACAAAUUGAAGCUAAUCUUGUGUUGGCGUUACCAUUUUUUCACCAUCCGAACAAUUAUAUGUGUUUCAUAAAGAUCUAGCUUAGCUCAGUCGGGGGGGGGGGGGGAUGAUGGUGUGCGUGGAUGUGGGAAUAGGCCGUGGCAGGACCGAGGUCAAAAUCCCCCCGUUUUUUCAUCGGACUAUCCUAGGACACAUUUUAAUCAACGCAUCAUGCAUGUCUUCUUUUUGGGAUGAAACUUAGGUUUUAAAAGUCCUCAUAUACAGUGUUACAGUCUACUAAUGCAAAGAAACCAAUAGACGGUGCUACCCUCAUAUUGACUAAUAAUCAGCUGAACUAUGAGCAACUUUAUUUUGACUAUGCUCUAUCUGUAAUAGAACAACUCCCGGAAGAGCCAGUAACUUCUUGAUUCCAAUUUGUACACAAAUUGUGUCUGGAUAGCCUGCUCUUCCAUUUCAACCCCAAAUGUCGGGGAGAAUCAAGAGUUUUGGGAGAGCCUCAUACGCAACCACAGAUGUCCAUGCUCACGAUAAGGCCAUGUGCAAUGUUGUUACCUUAAAGGUGACACGUAGGAUAAAUGAUGAGGUGAAGAAAAGAGAAACCAUAAGAGAAGACUUUCCCUCUCUUAUUUAAGAAAUCAUGUCUUAGCAGCAAUAUGUCUCACCACAUGUUUAGAGGGUAGACCAGGAAAGAACCCAUUGUACAUUAUAUUUUAUCGUUUUAUCAUAAUUAUGUGGCAGACUUAAAAUAAGACUAGCUUAUCAACCAUUGUACAUAAUUGUCCCAUGUCCAACAAAAGGGGACCUUUCACACCCACUUUCUUCGUCGUUCCCUCUCCUCCAUCGUCGAAAAUCCAUAAUCCACAAACCUUACCGUCACCGUGUAUCAUGUUGCAAUGCCGUAGAAGUAAGGACGUGCUCGGAUGCUCCCGGUCCACAUCCAGGGAGCACGAUCGUUGCAGGUUAUGUCAUCUCCAAUGCUAACCAAUAAACCGGACACUGCAUUCAUCUGCGGAUAGGGGGCAGUGCGCAGACACGGAUGCAGGGGCAACCAUACUACAUGGUCGAUGAUACGCGCAACUCGACCGCGGCAGCCGAGUACCAUCCAUUCAUGGCGAACAACAUCGAUGAAGGACGUGGCCAAGCCUUCAUCCCAAGGGCCAUUGCCAAGGCUUCGAAGAUGAUGUCAAAGAAGAAUAUGAACGCUACUGCCAUGGUGAGUCAUGGCAUGAUGACAUCAAUUGCGAAGAUGAGGAAGAAGAUGGAGUCGACAUUGAGGUGGAGCCAUUUGUCUUCAUCGUUGAUCUCACCCAAAGAGCCGAGGAACAAAGCAGGGAGGAAAGCAUUCGCACGGGGUCAUACACCAAAGACCAAUUGUUGGUCACUCAUCAAGGAAUGCCCCAAGUUCAAAGGUCAAUAUGCCACUCUAAAGAAGAAAGGUGUGUCGGCGACCGUAGCCGUGGAUGAAGAUGUGGUGAAGAGGCCAAGGGGCAAGACCAACUUGAAGACUGACGAGUGCGGCAUCUAUUCCCUUGCAAGAAACUUUGCAAGGCAUGAUGACUGCAAAAGGAAGUGCGGGACAAAAGGAAGAGCCAAGACCCAAGAAAAGGAGGAGCAAAUGAAGAUAUACUUGGAGAUCCAUGUGAAGAAUCUUGAUAUGGAGGAGGCCGUUAAGAAGAGGAAGCUCGACAUGGAGGAAGAUGUCCAAACGAAGAAGCUCGCGAUCGGUACCCUGCAUGGGCUAUGGCCGUUCUUUUUUAAGACUCGCAAGUGUUCUGACCGCUGGCUUUGUUGCCGGCUAGAGACCUUGGUCAUUUUGAAGGCGGGCAAGUGUGAGGAUCGAUGGCUUUAUUGUCGGCGUGAAAACUCUGAGGGUUGGGGGAGGUUGAUCAUUUUGUAGGUUGGCAUGUGUGUCAUGUGUGUCGUUCGUUGGCUUUGUUUCCGUGAGAGACCUUAGUCACUUUGAAGGCGGACAGGUGUGUCGGCCACUGGCUUUGUGUCGACGUGAAAACUCUGAAGGGUGGAGGAGGUUGUUCAUUUUGUAAGCUGACAUGAGUGCCGACCGCUGGUGCUUGCUCUAACCGGCAUGAAUUAUGGUUGCUUGCAUGAACUACGUCCCCGGUUCAAAAAUUUCAGUUCUCUAUGCCUAUGCGAAAAUUUUCAGGCGGGCAGACAAAAUGCGUUCGUUGGACACACAGCUAACAUAAACAUAGAAUGAGCCGGAUAUCGUCCUUUUGCCCGCCUUAAACAGAUAAAUUCCAAACAAAACGAACACUCCUUUGGGGUUAUGCAUGGAAGUUGGCCAAAAGAUUUAACGACCGACGGCAAGUUGACCAAAUUUAUCGGGUCAUUGCUUAGUCAGAGCGAUAACAUUUUUGUGGGGGAGAUUGACGACCUAAAUAAUAAGCACUCAAAUUAUCAAAUCAAUACAUAUAAUAAUCGCACUUCCUGACCCGUCCAAAGUAAUACAGCUUAUUAUCCAUGGUCAGCAUGAUAGGUUGCCACUCUGCCUUUGCCCACUGAAUUAAUUGUGACGUUGUACACAGCUCACAAGCUAUGCUAACCACUACUAGUGCCAACUAAAGUUGUAUAAUCACGGCAAAUGAUCCUCUUAGACAGGCAUACUCGUUUUAAGUUGUUCUGCAUACGCUGAUGACUCACAAGUCACAGCUCACAAGCUAUGCUAACCAGUACUAGCUUAAUGUAUCCAAUUGAUAUAGAGUCUUUCACGUGGUAUGCUUUAAGGUCACGAGCUUAUAAGUACAAUCCUGGUGUCUAACUGAAGUACAGCUUUGGUGUAUACGAAUUUUCAAGGCUCUAUCAAUGUUUGUUUUGAGAGAAAACAUUGCUAUGUUUUAUCAUUGACAAACAGCUGCAUUCAUAGGGAUGAUUACAAUAUCAUGCGGUACUCCAAGCCAAACAUUUUUUUAAACCGGACAUAAACCCUUUCCAUUAACUAAACAAUGAAGAUAUAAUUGUUCAAAUUCACCAGAGUUAAAAGGGAACUAGAAAAGAGAGAGUGAGUUCAAAACAUCGCCGAGGGUUUCAAGCACUCAAAGCCAAACAUGGCGGCCAACCUUAAAGCCUGUUUGAUAGCUUGGGAGAAGGGAAUAAAAGUUUAUAAAAGGGAAUUUGUAGAGUUGUUAGACUCGGAAAGGGGACUAUUAGUCAUAAUCCCAGGUUUGAUGCUUGUCGUGAAUUGUUUAUGGGAACUUGAUAAGAAAUGACCUUAAUUAGUGCCGCACAUGUGGGCUGAAGUAGGACGAACAAAUGUUUCUAUAGCAACAGUUUACCACAUCUCCGCAUGUAUACAUGUGAGAAUCUUUUUUAGGUUUUCAGUUUUAAAAAUAUUUUAUCUCUUAAAUGCAAAAUCAGAUUCAAAAUUUGUUUUCAUUAUUAAACUCAUCGGGAUCAGAUCAUCGAAAUUAGAUCUCAUAUCGAUUUGUUUCCACGAUUUUUUAGAUUAAAAGUUAUCAUGUCUAUUGCACAUAAAUUGUCAUGGUACUUACACCGAAAUUGUCAUGAUAUGUUUAAAAUACUUUUUCCUUUACGGUUAAAGUAGAUUUUGACAUAUUAUAUAAUAGGGAAUUAAGAAACUAAACGACACGGUGAAUUACAAAAAUUUGCCAAGAUCCUUGAAAUAAUUUGAGAUGGUUCAUAGUUAAAAAGAAAUAUGUCGCCAAUUACAUUAAAAUUGCAUGGUCAAUAACUCAUAUUUGUCAUCAACCAUAAAAUAAAAUUGCCAUGAUAAAUUACUAAAAUUUUCCAUGAGACCUGCACUAAAAUUUACAAUGGUCCAUAUAAAAGAUAAUUAGAAUUGACAUGGUAAAAAUACUAGAAUUUUCAUGAUCUAUAAGCUAAAUUUGCUAUGUUUUAUUACUAAAAAUUGUCAUGAACCAUGAAUUAAAUUUGUCGCGGUUAAUUACUUAAAAUUUCCAUGGUUACUUAAUAAAAAUUGCCGUAAAAAUAGUUAAAAUACAAUGGUAGCUUGAAAUAUAAAUGAAAAACUAGAUUGAACAUGUGAGGGCAACUUUGGUGUAAAUGCUAUGGCAAAUUCAAUGUAAAUAUAGUGGCAACAUUUUUUUUAAAAACAAAUGUCGAAACAUAUUAAUAUAGGAUCUAGUUUUAAUCUUCUACAGAUCUCGUCGAAACGGAUUUAAUGAUGAAACGGCUUUGUAAAUGGAUUUUUUAUUUAAGAGAUGCAAUAUUUUAAGUCUGAAAACAAAAAAGAUUUCGCUAAUGUUAUUUGUUUGAUGUGACACGAUAGAUGGUCAUAGAGACGUGUAAAUUAUAUAGCUUUGUGUCACACGUAUGCCACUUAUAAUUGAAGAUAAAAAAUAAUUUUUAAAUAAAUAAAUCAAAUACUCACAUGCAACAAACAUGAUAGAAGGGAACAAACCAAAGGAUCGCUACCCACUCAUGGUCUUCGGAUGUCUCCAAGCAAAGGGAGCAAGGUAAAUGAUACAAAUUGGGGAGGGAGAGACCUUUUCUCCCCUCCUCUCCCCACGUCGCUCCCGCAGGCGUCCGGAGGGAAACCUAGGUGCGACGGCGGCCAGGUCCCUCCUCCCUCCCCUACCCCUCCUCAUCACCGCCUGUGCAGGCUGGCGGGNCGAAGGCGCGGGACGCGACGGCGGGCCGGCGAGGGCUGGCGGUAGUCUCGACAGCUCAAUGCGGGCGCGUGAAGGGGUGCGAGGUGGUAGCCCCUUCCCUUUUGGUGUUCGGGCUUGGCCUGACGCUGGUGGACGGGGCGGGGACGUCCUGGCGACGGCAAUGCUUGCCCGAUGUGCCAAUAUCGGCCGGUGGCCCUCCGGUGGGUGUGCUGCUGCUAGUGAUGACGUGCACCUCGGCGGCCGGUGUCUUCCCUCCGGUGGAUGCGGGUUGGCCGCCCCUUAUGCAGAUGUGGCUCAGCACUCCAGUUUGUGGCUCCGGGCUUGGCGCACGGAUCCGUUGGGCACGACAUUUGCACACGGAUCCGUUGGGCAUGGUGGCGGUGGUGCGUAUUUGCAGGGAUCUCGACGGUGUGUGUGGUGGCCUGGUUUCGGUAGGUGGCGGCGACAUUUCUUCUCCUGGGUCUGGACGGUGUUGUCUUGGACCUAGGGCUCGUGCUUGGGCGGACCAGAUUUGGGCCCGAGGCAGGUCAGUGCUUUUGCUCCGGGUAGGGUUGGUCGGGCUUGGUCUGGGUAGUGCCCGCUGGCAGCGAGAUUCCUCUCCCGUGGGCAUGGUGCAAGGUGGUGCUGGUUGUGACAUCGCUACAUCGUCAGACGGAUCGACGUCGAUGACCUUGGAUAUGCCGUCGUGAGUGGUUGCCUGGGCUUGCUUCCUGUCGGCCGUCGGCAGCCACCGGAUCUUGUGGCUCAUGCCGGGCUAGGAGUGAGGGAGGUCCCUCUGCUUCUCCUAUCAUGGUUAUUCCGUUGUGAAGUGGACGGCUAGCAGUGUUUCGAACCUUGGAUGCCGGGGUGGUGGCUUCCAAAGGUGGUCCGCAUGGUUAGCUCUAUGGCUGGUGACGAUUGGUGGAGCGGCAGGUGGCUCGGAUGGGCUCAAUCUCUAUCUAUGAUUGCGUCUCGAUUCGGAUCUAAAGUUCUGAAACUCGUCGUGCUUGGUAUGAAGCCCUCGUGGUGGCACAAGAGAGCUGUCGAGCGAAAGCUCCGCGCUUUGUCAUCCACGAUGACGACGCUUGUGGGGGUCGCUUUCUUCGUGAAGACAUCGUCGUGGUGCUCCUUUUCUGCCCAGGUUUCGGGUGAAGACCUAUGUUCGGUGGACUCGACAGUGGCGUCGCCUAGCGUCGUUCUCCAUCUUGGGGGCGUUGUCGUAGAGCUUGGAUGUUAUAGGGUGUAGCGUGGCUUGUUCUCUGUUCUUCAUGUGCUUUAUUUUGGUAGUGUAGUCGCGAGCGCCUUGUGUGUUCCGAUCAUCCAAUGGUUGUCAUUCUUUGAGGGCUUUUUCUGAUGUGUAAUCCCGUUGCUGGAACGGUCAGUAAGCACUUGGAUACUUAGUUGAAUAACCAGGCCGGAAGCGUGCGCAUGUUCACGCCCGAGUCUGUCACUAUUUUUCCUCUCUUGAGUUAGUUAGUUAGCAGUAGUUGCACCGGCAAGACCGCUUCAUGGGAUAGCAUGAGCUCCAACGGAUUUGGCGGCGACGCAGUUGGCUUGUGCAUGACCAUGAUCGUGGGAUGGCACGAUCAGUAGCUGGCUGAGCGUGGGUAUUUCUUUUUCCUUUGUAAUUCACAGAUGAAAACUUUGCAUAGUAAGAGAACACCCAAAAAGUUGCAGGCAAUUCAGCAUCACAAACUCUGUGUCAGUUCCCGUCCAUCUUCUUCCUCCGAUUGAUCUUCUUCCUCUCGCUCGUUCCGCACAGCUCAGCAACAACAAGUGGCAUGAGAGCCUCGGUGGUGUUGAUCCAUCCUAGACGUCGGCGGUGUUUGAUCGCCGGAGAGAUGGCUGGAGGCGACGAGGAGAAAGCAAAGAAACGUCAAGAGGAAGAGCAAGCCACCGUGGAGGCAGCAGCGUUGGAAAAACUCUCGUGCGUCUCUCCACGGGGGACGAAUCGUCGAGCGCGUUGUGCAUGGUGGCGGCGUCGUCGGGCCCCGAUGAUGCUCACGCGUACAAAGUAUGCGGAUUGGGCCAUGUUCACCAAGCUGCAGUUGCAGGCCAACGAACUCUGGCGCGUGGUGGAAACGGGCCAGUGCAUGGAUCACGAUGACCGGCGUGCCAUGAUCACCCUGCUCAGGGGGGUACCGUCGGAGCUCAUGCUCAUCCUAGGCGGAAAAUCCACGGCAAAACAGGCCUCAGACACUCUGAAGACCAUGUGGGUCGGGGUCCAGCACGUGCGGGAGGCCAAGGCAUAAACCCGCCGCUCGGAGUACGAGGGUCUGCGGUACAAGGACGGAGAGGGGAUCGAGUCGUAUGUCAUGCGGCUCAGGAUGAUCAUCGACGAGCUCGAGGCCCUCGGCGACCUGGUGAACGAACACAAGGCAGUCCUCAAGGUGUUGCGUACGGUGCCGAGGCUAUAUAAUGAGAUGGCUAUGGCAAUCGAAUUGCUCGUUGAUACCAAGACCUCUCCCUAGAGGAACUCUGGGGUCAGUUGCUUGUCAUCGAAGAGCACGAGCGCGAGGAGACUGGGUGCCCAGCUUAUGUUCACGGCGGACGAGUGGCUGGCACGGCAGAAGCAGCUAGAUAAAGGUGUCGGGUCAUCUGGCACUGGGGAUCGGCGCGGACGCGGCUAUGAAAAGCAGAAGAACUCACGGGGUGGAGGUGGCCGCGGCCAGGGUGCUGGUCGCGGCAACGGGAGCGCAUCGACACCCAGGCGCAAGGGCGACUGCCGUUACUGCGGCAUUGCGGGGCACUGGGUCAAGGAGUGUCGCAAGAAGGCACGUGAUCGCGAGCAGCAUCAGGAUCAACCGGCAAACAUCGCCCAGGUUGACGUCGAGCAGCCGGGGUUGCUACUUGCAGCCUGCAUUACACAGGACAACAUCAAUGUGGUCACCAUCCCACGUGAGCCAGCACCGCAAGAGAUCUACCUCAACGAGGCGCGAGUCGUACCUGUCCCCACGGACGACGAUCGGUGGUACCUCGACACAGGCGCCAACAAUCACAUGACGGGGCACCGUGAUCUACUCUGUGAGAUCAACAAAACUAUAUGAGGUUCAGUGCGGUUUGGAGACGGCUCUGUCGUGCAGAUCCUCGGCCGCGGGGUCGUGUUGUUCUCAUGUCGUAAUGGUGAGCACCACGCGCUCUCGGACGUCUACUACACCCCGCAGAUGCGCACUAACAUCGUUAGCCUUGGACAAGUUGAUGAGAACAGGUGCAAAUCUGUUAUCGAGGGUGGAGAACUAUGUCUCUACGACAGGCACAAGCUACUGUUGGCUCGGGUGCGGCGGACGAGCAACCAGCUGUACGUCGUGGCUCUAAACUUGGCCACCCCCGUGUGUCUGCUUGCCGGCGCCACAGACCAAGUCUGGCGGUGGCAUGCUAGAUUUGGGAACCUGCACUACCGCGCGCUACACGAUCUUGGCGCAAAGAGCAUGGUGCGUGGCAUGCCGACGAUCGGCCGCGUCGACCAGUUUUGCGACGGCUCUACCAUAGGGAAGAUACACCACACUCCUUUUCCGUGCGCGUCAGCGUACCGGGCUGAGCAAGCCCUUGAACUCACCCAUGGUGAUCUCUAUGGGCCGGUUACUCCAGCGACAGCCAGUGGCAACAAGUACUUUCUGUUGAUCGUCGAUCAUUAUAGCAGGUAUAGGUAGCUUGAGGUGCUGAAAAGCAAGGAUGAGGCAUUCGAGUACUUCAGGAAGAUCAAGGCACGGGCAGAGAUGGAGAGCGGCGUCGGGCUUCAGGCGUUCCGCACUGACGAAGGCAGAGAGUUCAUCUUGAAAUAAUUUGCCUCCUACCGCGAGGAGCUAGGGAUUCCGAGGAACAUUACAACACCGUACUCUCCCUAGCAAAACGGCGUCGUCCAGCACCAGAAUCAAUCCAUGGUGGAGAUGGCUCGCGGUCUCCUGAAAGCCAUGGAUGUGUCGUGCAUGUUCUGGGGCGAGGCAGUGCACACUGGUGUGGACAUUUUGAAUCGCUCACCCACCCGAAGCCUGCACGGCUUCACACCGUAUGAGGCAUGCCGCAAGAAGAAACGAUGGACUACUUCCGCACCUUCGGGUGCGUCGCGCACGUCAAGCUCAUUAGGCCUGGCAUGACCAAGCUCGCUUACAGGUCGCACCCCGGCAUCUUCCUCGGGUACGAUCCCGGCACAAAAGGCUAUCGGGUGUACGACCCGAUCGGCAAGCGGGUGCACAUCAUGCGGGAUGUUCGCUUUGAGGAGGACCGACGCUAUGACUAGAGCAAGGCCGGGGGGGCGACGUGCACGCCUGCACGAGGGAGCUUUCGGUCGUGUACCAUGACAUGGGGUGCGUGUAACAACGACGUACACUGUGUCUUCAAGCACGACGCCCACACCUAGUUCAUCUGCAGCAUCUGCGGGACCGAGCUCGCCGACAAGCCUCGCAACAUCAUCAUGCACACCGACGGUGGGUGCGGGUUCGCUCGCACCUGCCGGACCCAGUAACUCCCGUGCGACCAUGCAACCUGCUUCCGACGAUGAUGGCUGGGUAUCUGCACCUGGUGGGGAGACCUUCGACUCCGAGGGGGUGCCUCUCCGGUACAAGACCAUCGAACACCUCAUCGACCAUGCCACGACGCGCACUCUUGAGUACAGCGGGUUGUGUCUGUCCGUAGCGGAAGAGCCCCCGUCCGUCGAUGUUGCACUGAGUGAGCUAGCGUGGCGCGCUGCCAUGGAAGUGGAGAUGGAGUCCAUCCGCACCAACAACACAUGGGAGCUUGCCAUGCUCCCAGAUGGGCACCGAGCGAUCAGCCUGAAAUGGGUGUACAAGGCUAAGAGAGAUUUCGCGGGCAAUGUGGUGAAGCACAAAGCUCGUCUCGUGGCCAAAGGUUAUGCUCAGCGGCAGGGCAUCGACUUUGAUGAGGACUUUUCCCCAGUGGCGUGGCUGGAGACAGUGAGGUUGUUGCUUGUUGGCGCCGCGCACGAGCUAUAGCGUGCACCAUAUGGACGUACGCUCGGCCUUCCUCAAUGGUGACCUGGAGGAGGAGGUGUAUGUGCACCAACCAACCGGCUUCAUCGACGAUGACAACGUGCACAAGGUACUAAAGCUUCGGAAGGCACAGUAUGGGCUCCGACAGGCCCCUCGAGCAUGGAACGCCAAACUGGACGCGACACUCCAGUCGCUUGGGUUUGCACAGUACAAGCUGGAUCACGCUCUGUACCGGCGUGGAAGUGAUGACAACUUCUUGUUGGUGGGGGUGUACGUCGAUGAUCUGAUCAUCACGGGCACUACCGACAAUGCCAUUGACUGCUUCAAGACACAGAUGCACGAGCCCUUCCAGAUGAGCUAUCUCGGACUGCUUAGCUAUUAUCUUGGCAUUGAAGGGAAGCAGUAGCGUGGCAAGAUCACACUGUGUCAAUCCGGUUAUGCAGCCAAGAUUCUGGAAGACGGAGGCAUGAAGGACUGUAGUCCCAGCUUCGUACCCAUGGAGAAUCAUUUGAAAGUUGGGAAGAACUGUGGAGAGGUGGUCGAUGCAACCAUGUAUCGCCGUGUAAUUGGAAGCUUGUGGUAUUUGGUUAAUACGCGACUAGAUAUAGCUUAUGUAGUCGGGGUCGCCAGCAUAUUCAUGGAAGCACCUGGAAAGCAACACUGGGCGAUUAUCAGGCAGAUCCUCAGGUACAUUCGAGGAACUCUGGGUUAUGGAUGCACUUAUAAGGUAGGAGGAGGAACUUCUCUGACAGGCUUCAAUGACAGUGAUCACGCCGGUGAUCUGACAGACAGAAAGAGCACGACUGGCCUGGCCUUCUUCCUGGGUCCGAGCAUCAUCACUUGAUGCUCACAAAAGCAGAAGAUUGUGGCCAUGUCCUCGUGUGAGGCUGAGUACAUGGCGGCAGCGACAGCAGCAACACAGGUUGUGUGGCUUAGCCGUUUAAUUUCAAAGAUGCUUAAAACAGAGGAGCAGAAGGUGAAGCUCAAGGUGGACAACAUAUCUGCAAUUGAGCUGAGCAAAAAUCAUGUGCACCACGACAUGAGCAAACACAUUGAUCUAAGGUACCACUAUAUCAGAGAGUGUUUGGAGGAAGGCAAAGUGGAGGUUGAGCACAUUCAAACUAAUGAUUAGUUGGCAGACAUACUAACGAAAUCUCUUGGGCGUGCAAAGCUCGCAGAGCUUCGGUGCAAACUUGGGAUCAUCCACGUAAAAGAACAGCAACAGGAUUAGGGUUGAUUUGAUGUGUAAUUCCAUUGCUAGAACGGUCACUAAACACUUGGAUACUUAACUGAAUAACCAGUCCGGAAGCGUGCGCAUGUUCAGACCCGAGUCUGUCAUUAUUUUUCCUCUCUUGAGUUAGUUAGUUAGCAGUAGUUGCGCCGGUAAAAACUGCUUCAUGGGAUGGCAUGAGCUCCAACGGAUUUGGCGGCGACGUAGUUGGCUUGCGCAUGACCAGGAUGUGGGAAGAUACAAUCAGUAGCUGGCGAGCGUGGGUAUUUGUUUUUCCCUUGUAAUUCACAGAUGAAACACUCUGCAUAAUAACAGAACACCCGAAAAGCUGCAGGCAGUUCAGCAGCACAAACUCUGUCAAUUCCAGUCCAUCUUCUUCCUCCGAUUGAUCUUCUUCCUCUCGCUCGUUCCCCACAGCUCGGCAACAACAUUUUCAUCACAUUGUAUCGUUUGGUCGUGUAUUUUAUUCUGAUGAUGUUGCUUUAUAUAUAAUGCUCAAUUUCAAUCCCUUAGUUUCAUCCCCCCUCCCCUAAUAAAAAGGGGGCACACAAACCAAACAGGCUGUAAGAGAUAACGCAAACUUUGCUAAAUUAUGAGAUUUCAAAGAUACCACUGUGUGGUUCAUAGCUGUACCGGCAUUCUUCAAAAUGUUUGGAGCGAAAGUUGAUCCCCCGAAUGGACAGGUUGACAGUCCACCUGAAUUCUCUGAAAUAUCUCUCACUACAGAUUGACAGUGUGAAACUAAAAAGCCGGCGUGAAGUAGAUCUUCAUCUAAUGGCCUGCUCUCAAACAAACAUUCUCGGCACUCCACAUUGCAGGACAUCAACCUGUUUCCUAACGCCCCAAUUAAUCUCCCUCGCCGGACGUUCACCGUCACCACGCAGCACAUUGACCGCCUGAAGCAACGUAUUUCCGGCCACACGACCUCCGCGCAGGCCGGAUCAACACCUGCGCCGUCCAGCUUCGUGGCGGUCGNNNNNNNNNNNNNNNNNNNNNNNNNNNNNNNNNNNNNNNNNNNNNNNNNNNNNNNNNNNNNNNNNNNNNNNNNAGGUCCGCCGCGCGGCCGAGGACCCGCUCGCCCUUUGGGACUGGAUGGACCUGCUGUCGUGGCUGCCAAUGGACCGGAUGGUGAACAUCUCCGGGUCACCGCGGUACCCGGCGUACGAGGUGGCCGACUUCGGGUGGGGUGCGCCAAGUAGGACGGAGCUGAUCACCAUGAACAAUUGCGGGCAGGUGGUGCUCGUGGCCGCCAAGGGCGGGGGCGGCAGCGUGCAGGCAUCCGUGUGCAUGCACCCGGAUCACAUGGGCGCGUUCAAGUCGCACUUUCUUAAUUCCUUAUCAGGUUGAUUCAUGUGUGUAUGGGCCGAUUUUUGAAGCGUACUGAAGUUUAUUCCCAUUUAUUAGACAACAAAAAUAUUUACCUAGGUGUGGAUAUCAAUUCGCGUCUACCCUGCGUUCCUUCUCGGAGAUACCCAACAAAUAAUGCAUUAGGUUUAAAAUAGUAAGGCAUACUUUAUACUCAAUGAUAGCAUGUGCCUAAGCGCGUUGUUUUUAUCUUCUUCAUACAUGUGUAUAUAACUGUUAUUCAAGUUUGACUUAAUUUGAUUGCAAAAAAAAAAUGUUUGCCAAAAACAAUCAAUCUGUACGGAUAUGUAUAACGAAUAGGCAUUCUGAAAACACCCCAUGUAAAGAAAAUUAAAUUAAGGUUGCAACAUAAAUAUAAUUUUAGAAAUAUUUAAGAUGCAAGGUAAUAUCAUAUUUGGAAUCUAUACAUUUCUCUGAGCAAUUUUUGUAUAUAACAUUCUUAUUUUGAAGUUAGGAUUUGAAAGAUAUGAAUAUGAAUAUUUUGAAAAAUACUAAAUCUAUUAAAAUAGAAAAUUGUUAAUAGAGAGUAGGCGGGCUGAAUUGCAACACCGUGCAGCCCAUUUGCUAAGAUGACCCUUGGGCGAGGCAGUUCUAUUUUACGCCAACGUGAAAUAGGGGAAAAAGAAGAUGACACUUGGGCGAGGUAGUUCUAUAUUACGCAAACGUAAAAUAAGGGAAAAGGCAGAACAAAAUACUCCCUCCGUCCCAAAAUAACUAUCUUUAAGCUUAGCAGUGCAACUUUAUACUAAAGCUAAUACAAAGUUGAUGGGGGGGGGGGGGGGGGUAUCGAACUUGGGUCUCCUAGGUAAAAGGGAAUGACUCCAUCCAGCUGGGUGCAGGCGCAUUUGUGGUGUGUGUGGGAUAGUUGUGUAGAUGAAACAAACUUGACAGUCGCGAUUUAUAAAUAAACAAAUCGUUUUCUUAACUUACGGGUGGCUUUGAUUGGUAAUUUUAGCCAACUUCAGGGGUAAUUUGAAUGACGUACGGGCAAAAGCGAUACAUCCUUUAAUAGUAGGUAUAGAUAUAGAUAUAGAAAAACUCUGAUAUAUGUUUUUUUUGGAUAACUUUGAUGUAUGAUAAUAAGGUUUUUUUGGGACGCCGAUAUUGGCCAAAUGUUCGGUCUAGGGACAUCCCAUCCCGUCUCCCUACAGGCCUUCCUUGAAAAGGAAAAGGAAAAAAACAGUAGCAAACCCAAAUUUUGUUUUACUUUGUGGUGGCCAAUAAAAGCCCAGUUUUUGUUGUGCUAAAUAAAAGCCCAGUCUUUAAAAGCAGAAAAUUGGCACGAAUUAAAAAAUGCAACAUGAAUUUUCAAGCGCGUUAUGGGUAAUUUGCCAUGUCCAUAAAGGGAAAAUUGCGAUGACAACAACUUUCAGAAAAUUGUCGUGGCAAAAAACACAUGAUAAUUAACAUGGCAUGGCAAAAGACAAUAAUAGAAUUUGUCGUAUGAACAAAAAUGAAUUUGCCAUGUGACAAUAAUGGAAUUUGCCAUAUGAAAAAAUGAAUUUGCUAUGUUAUGAAGACACGGAAGAAUAAUUUACCAUUGUGCAUGCAAAACAUGUACGAAAUCCUAUGUAAAUCAUGGAAAGCAUGUCUUGAGUGAAGAAAAAUAAAGUGGAGCACAAAUUUGUUAUGGCAAAAAGUCAUUAGUUGAUGUUGUGUCAUUACAAAAAAUUCCAGAAUUGCCAUGGCAACAAAAUUAUGUUUGGAAAAUGUCAUGGCAAGGAAAUACAAUGAAANAUAUGAAAGCCAUAAUUGAUUUAAAGAAAAAAUUCCAUGGCAACGGAAGUAAAUUUGACAUGGCAAAUAAAAAAUUGAAAAAUGUCGUGGCAACCAAGGUUUUAAAAAAUAUGGUGAUAUAGGUAAAUUUGCCAUGGCAAAAUAAAAACUCAAUUGUGUCAUGCCAAUAAAUCUAAAAAUGAAAUGCUAGAAAGUAAAAUUGGAAAUGUUCUUAAAAGUAAAAAAAUCACGAUGAUCAGAGUUUCAUACAUUUAUUGUGUGACUAUUCCCCAAAAAAUAUUUCGAAUUUUGCUAUGAUGUGUGAGACAUAAUUUUCGGAUGAACACAAUAUUUUGCAAAUGAUGUGCUCAACGAACUAAAACUUGAAAGUGCAUAUAUAAAAAAGGAACAAAAAUUGCAAAGCCAUUGCAUCUUUAUUGAACUUCCCAUGAUUUGUACAAACGAAAUUUUUGAAGUAUGUUAAAUAUAACUUUGCCAUGACACAAAAAUAAACUUGUCAUGGUAAUUGAAUUAAAAUUGCCAUGGUCGAUCUAACUUAGUUUUCCAUAGUCCAUCAACUAAUUUUGCUAUGUUAGAGGUCUUCCGACAAUGUUCGUUUAAUGGGAGGAGACGUUCCUGUCGACUACGAAGGCGUCUGUGGCGACUUUGCCAAUCUCAAGAUGAUUUAGCCGCACUUUCCAGUGGGCUCGCCGGUCAGCUUUUUGAUGAUGGCGACAAUGUCUUUCUCUGUUAAUGCUGUGUGAAAGUAGCAUUGGGGAUGAUCCAGAGUGCCGUCAAAUUCACACAUUAGACCAUCUCGGCGGCUCAGAGGAAGAAUCCGCCAUUCGACCCAGCAGCGGAUCAGGUCAACCCCGGUAAGACCAUUGUUCGUCAAGGAUCUCAUUUCAGACAAAAUUGGGAUGAACUCCGACUCUUCUUCCUCGGUGAGCUUGUCGGGGAGCUUGAAGUUAACCGGAAGGCGGGUUGGCCUGUAGCCCAGAAGUUUGUUCUCGCCAGCGGGGGACGUUUCUUGACAAUAAAACCAAGAUUCACCCCAGCCCUUGGGAUGGCUAGGCAUGGUGAGUGAAGGAAACAGACUAUCCCUAUGGCGCUGGACGUUGACACCGCCGAGUUCCAAACUGGGGCCGUUGUGGAAUUCCGUCUGGCGAUUCAGAUGGAAAAAGUGCCAGAAUAGAGGAACGGAAGGCUCGAUCCGCAGAUAAGCUUCGCAAAGGACUUGGAACUGACUCAAGUUGCUUAUGAAAUUGGGUCCCAAAUCCUGGAGUCGGACGUUCAUGAAGGUCAAAGCGUCCCUAAGAAAUUUGGAUCCGGGCGGCUUAAAACCCCGUUCCAAGUGUUCCACAAAGACUACCAUUUCCCCUUCUUUGGGGUUGGGAAGAUCUUCUCCCAACCCGGUGCGCCAUCCAAUGACAUCUUGAGGAUCCAAACAGCCCGCUUUCACAUAAUUAGCUAAAACAGCGUCAUCAACUUUGGUAGGAAGCCAAUCGCUCUUGAAAACGGCACCCAUGCUACAAAUAGGUAGAAGUAUGGUAUUACAUGUCUCGAACAUCUACAAUGUGAAUCGGGAUCAGUUCAUGAUAACCCGCCAGACUAAGAGGCCGGGUUGGGUUGAUAUGGCGACUUAUCGAAGCAGGGCUAUUUCCAAAGGCAAUAUUACUGUGGAUGGUAAAAUCUAUCGUUCCGAAGCACUAAGGGGGGGGAUGAAGGUUACAAACAGUUUUUUACAAACAGUGAAUGAGGAAUGGAUCUGCCGAACAGAUAUAAAACCUACGAAUAUGGCUGAGCAUGAACAAUGAAUUAUCAGGUGAUGCCCCUCGUUUGGAGAAGAAAUUGUGUUCAGAAAUUCGCAAGUACAACGAAUGGUUAAAAUUAUUCAAGGCACUGGCUACCCUAGCGGUGCUCGGACUAAUCGAUUCGAGGGAAAUGAAUGACUACGAGCGGAAAGCUUCAAAGCUACGGCAAUGGCGGAAAUACGAGCAAGGAAUAAACCUACUCCUAAGAGGGGGAGCAAGGACCUAACCUGAUGCUCUCGGUCAAAGAAGACCGGCGGUGACGGAGAUCGCUGGGGAAGCGUGGGGGUCCCGACGAACGAAGAGGCCUUCGGCGGCGGCAGAGCUCGGGGCGAGCAGCGAGGUUGCCGGUGAUGAUGCGAUGGACAAUAACGGCGAACGGAUCGACCGAGGUGCGGUGCUUGACGACGACGACGGCUUGCGGGCGGCACUGGAGCUCCUCGAACGGGGGCGGAAGUUGCAGCCGGCGGCGGAGCCCUCGGGAAGCGGUGCGGUCUUUUGCUGUGAUAAUGGGGGGGGGGACUGACGAGACUGGUAGGUGGCCAGCGCCAGCCCUGUCCCUUCCGCCUAUUUAUCAGGACGGGCGCUGGAAUCGAGGCGCCAAGAGCGGGAACCGUUGGGGAAUAAAAGAUUCGCCAUGAUGACGUCCGAAAAUUUUGGGAUAAUGAUGCACUAAAAGAUCCGUUGGGAUUAUGUUAAAUUUCCCGAAGAUCGAGGGAUAAGGAAGGUGCCAACGGGAGAUGGAUUGGCGACUCAAAGAUUUUUCCGGUACCAGAUGGCGAGUUAAAAAUUCUGACGUAUGGAGGAAAAUGAAGGAGUGAAUCACCUUCAACUAGAGCGGAAGCAUUGGCAUGAAGAUUCAAGUCAAUUUGGGGCCUAAUGUUGGGGAUAUGGCUUAUUAAGUGACCCGCCCAAUAUGGGCCGGGUUACUUGUAAGGCGAUUCAUUCUUUGGGCUAUUUGGGCCUCAGCCUGGGUGGUUCAAGGCCACAGGACGGUUAUGAUUUAUGGAAGGUCUUUGGGUUCUGCAAGAUGGCGGCUUAGAGACCGCGGUGGUCACGAUUUGUAAGGAGGAAGGAACUCUUGUAAACCCUAAAGCCUCGACCAAUAUAUAAAGGCGAGUCUGAAGGGGGAGAGGGAGGUGAGAAAUCAUCGAGCGCUAGGUUAGGCGAGUUACGCCUUUCUUGUAAUCGAAUCCACAUCAAUACACGCAAAGCAGGACGUAGGCUAUUACCUCCAUAUGAGGGGCCGAACCUGGGUAACCCGCCGCGUUCCUCCUGUUCAACCCUUUUGAGUCGCCACCAAAGUGCGAUGGCUCCCGUACUAAGUCCUUUCACGAGGACAUCUGCCGUGACAAAACCACGACAGAGAGGUUGGGGAAGAAGUCCAGCAACACGACGGCGUGGUGUCAGUGGAGAGACGAGGUCUCCCGGCAGGGCUUCGCCAAGCGCCGGUAGAGAGGAGGAGGGAGAGGAGCAGGGCUGCGCCGAGAGAGAGACGAAACCAUGUGUCAAACAGCCCCGAACCCUCAUCUAUAUAUAGGGGAGAGGGAGGGGGCGCAGCCCUUAGGGUUCCCACCCCCAAGGGGUGCGGCAGCCCUAGAUGGGAGAGGGGGCGGCGGCCAGGGCAAGGAAGAGGGGUGGCGCACCCCUCUGGUGGGCCUUAGGCCCACCAAUGCUAGGGUUCCCCCCUUCCCCCUUUUUCUGGUGCGCAUGGGCUGGGUGGGGGGCGCACCAGCCCACCUAGGGGCUGGUUCCCUUCCCCACUUAGCCCAUAUAGCCUCCCGGGGUCGUUGCCCCCCUUCGGUGGUCCCCCGGGACCAUCUUCGGUGGUCCCGGUGGUCCCGGUACAUUACCGGUGACGCCCGAAACACUCCCGGUGUCCAAAACCAUCCGUCCUAUAUAUCAAUCUUUACCUCCGGACCAUUCCGGAGCUCCUCGUGACGUCCGGGAUCUCAUCCGGGACUCCGGACAACUUUCGGUAACCUCGUACAACAAUUCCCUAUAACCCUAGCGUCAUCGAACCUUAAGUGUGUAGACCCUACGGGUUCGGGAGACAGGCAGACAUGACCGAGACACCUCUCUGGCCAAUAACCAUCAGUGGGGUCUGGAUACCCAUGGUGGCUCCCACUUGCUCCACGAUGAUCUCAUCGGAUGAACCACGAUGUCAAGGAUUCAAUCAAUCCCGUAUACGAUUCCCUUUGUCUGUCGGUAUAGAACUUGCCCGAGAUUCGAUCGUCGGUAUUCCUAUACCUUGUUCAAUAUCGUUGCCGGUAAGUCUCUUUACUCGUUCCGUAGCACGUCAUCAUGUGACUAACUCCUUAGUCACAUUGAGCUCAUGAUGAUGUUCUACCGAGUGGGCCCAGAGAUACCUCUCCGUCACACGGAGUGACAAAUCCCGAUCUCGAUUCGUGCCAACCCAACAGACACUUUCGGAGGUACCCGUAGUGCACCUUUAUAGUCACCCAGUUACGUUGUGACGUUUGAUACACCCAAAGCACUCCUACGGUAUCCGGGAGUUGCACAAUCUCACGGUCGAAGGAAAAGAUACUUGACAUUAGAAAAGCAUUAGCAUACGAACAAUACGAUCUAGUGCUAGGCUUAGGAUUGGGUCUUGUCCAUCACAUCAUUCUCCCAAUGAUGUGAUCCCGUUAUCAAUGACAUCUAAUGCCCAUGAUCAGGAAACCAUGAUCAUCUAUUGACUAACGAGCUAGCCAACUAGAGGCUUGCUAGGGACACAUUGUGAUCUAUUUAUUCACACAUGUGUUACUGUUUCCUGUUAAUACAAUUAUAGCAUGAACAAUAGACGAUUACCAUGAACAACGAAAUAUGAUAAUAACCAUUUUAUUAUUGCCUCUAGGGCAUAUUUCCAACACCAGAUGGGGUGGGCCUCACCUAGGCGGCCUCCUCACGUGGCUAGGGGCAGGCCGCGCCACCAGGGCGCCUGGAGAUGAGUCUUGUGAAACGAUGAUUUUUUAUAUAUUUUUUGUGGAUUUUUUCGGGCAUUGUAAAUAUGGGUAUAAACCCGCAAUUCACAUACAUCAGCAGACAGAAACUAGCACUGGGUGCACUGAGUAAGUAGGUUAGUCCAAAUAUGUUGGAAAAGCUAUGAAAGUGUACAAAACACAUAGCAAUAUCACCCAAAACUUGCAUGGAGCAAGCAGAAAUUAUAGAUACGUUUGGGACGUAUCAACACCCCCAAGCUUAAUUCAUGCUCAUCCUCGAGUAGGUAAAUGAUAACAAGCAUAAUUUCUGUGAUGACAUGCUAACACACAUAUAAGAACUUCAAAGUAAAGCAAGUAAUAUAUGCAAUUCAAGUCAAGACAAUAACAAGGAAGAGUCUAUAUCUAGUAUUGAAACUAGCAAAGUAAGAACAUAAAGGUGCAAGAGCUCUCGCUGUCCGUGACUCGGAUGUCUCCAAAUGGUGUUUGCAUGCAAGAAGUGGUAGAUGGGUUUAGAGCAUAAAAAUAAUAUAUAGUUUAAUUGAGAACUCAAUCUACUAAAACUUCACACUUUGUCUCCUUUGGAAUCUUAUUUUGACUCAUCCCGAGACCACUAGUCAGGCACAAGUCAAAAUGAUCCUCUCCCUUUCGACUUUGAGCACUCAUGCAAUGGAUGAGCGCGAGCAAGAUAUGUUUGCACUUUGGAUGGCAAAGAGAAUGAGGAUGGGCAAGGAAGACAAAAAAGUGUGAAAGUCUCACAUCAAUGAGGAAAAUCAUAGGCGAGAGAAAGCCAAAUGAUAGAUAUGAUGUGACGAGUAGGGAUUUCCAUGCAGCGGAUGCACAUAUGUGCUAAGGUAAGCUCUCCAAUGGAACUAGUGGGGGUGCAUCCAACUUGCUUGCUCAUGAAGACCUAGAGCUCAUUUGAGGAGCCUCAUCAUUGGAAUAUACAAGCCAAGUUCUAUAGUGUAAGGGUCCCCACAUAGUUAUGCAUGAAUGAUAAUCUCUAUGGAGUACAAAUAUAAGAAUGGAGUACGAGUGUGGAUCUUUCAAAAGGACUAGUAGUGUUGCCCCUUCUCUCUUUUUUUCUUUCCUUUAUUUUUUAUUUUUGUGGCCUCUUUGGAUCUUUCUCUUUUUCUCUCAUUUGUCCUCUUUGGGAUCUUUUAAUUUGUCCUCUUUUGGGAUCUUCUGUUUUGUCCUCUUUGGGAUCUUUUCCUCACUUACGGGCAACACUCUAUAUUUUACAAGAAUAUAGAAGAUCUCCACACUUUAUAAGAAGUACUCAACAUAAAGAAAGAUGAAAACUAUCAUGAUGUAUGAAAAUGUAUGCCUCUGCCAGUGUAGGAGGAUAUGCAAUGAUACUAGCGCGACAUGUAUCAAUGAUAAGGGCAAGGCCCAACUAGCAUGUGUCUCUACGAUCAAGCAAAAGCAAGUAUCACAUGAAGAUCAAGUCAUGAGAUGGUGGAUGUUGCAUGGCAAUGUAUCUCGGAAAGGCUAUGGAAAUGUCGUAAUAGGUAGGUAUGGUGGCUGUUUUGAGGAAGGAUAUAAUGAGGCUUAUGAUGACAAAGCAUAUCAUGCCAAGGGUUUGGAAGCACCGGAAAAGUUUUCACCAACUCUCAAGAUGAGAAAGGGCAAUGCACGGUAUCAAAGAGGCUAGGAAAAUAUGGAUGGUGGAAGUGCCAACAAUCGAAUACUCGCAUUAGUUCGAAGAACUCAUGCACUUACUAUCGGUAACUCUAUCUAGUGAGGAGAUUCACAAAGAGACAAGUACCCCAAGGAGGAGUGUUUGGGGGUUUGGUUAUCCUUGCACAUCCUCGACCCAUGAUAAUGUGAGGGUACUCUAUAUAUUCCAACCCCUCCAUAGGUUAGCGAUCCAUCUAGUAGCUAGAGUUCUCAACUAACUUUUUUGUAGUUUUUGAAAAUACACACGGAUUUCCCAAAUACGACACCUAUCACUAAUAGGCUCAACUCUUGACACCAAAAUUCCAAGAAUUACUCAAAUCAAUACCUCAAAACUGUUGCAAGUUACUACUACACUUAAAUAGCAACCACAGUUACCUACUCAUGCAAGACACACAACUCAGUGCAACAAGCCAACUCUCUAAACCAGAUAAACAUGAUAACUCAAGAGAGUUCCAAAUGCAUCCUACAUAAAAGCUCUUAAAAAUAUAAAGCAUGAAAACUAAGAGCUAAACGUGGUAGCAGCUAUGAAAAGAUAAAUAAUACACAAAAACAUAAGCAUGAAAACCUAUGUUGUGUUCUAGGGUGGAGUGGAGUGUGUUUCUCUCUCAGACAAAGAAGGCUAGGGUCCAACUUGUUAUGAACAGCAAGAAAAACUAAAACAAACUAAAAAGUAAAGAGCGGGACACUCCAAGCAUAGCACAUAACAUAUGAAGUGAUAAAAAUAUAGCAUGGAGGACGAUGAACUGAUGAUUGUUGAUGGAGAAGGGAAUGCACGGGGGCAUCCCGAAAGCUUAGACGCUUCAGUCUCCUUGAAUAUUUCUUUGGGGUGCAUGGGGAAUCCCCAAGCUUGAGCGCUUGACACUCCUGGAUCUUCUGUCAUCAUCUUCCAUCGCAUACUUGAAAACUCCCUUCAUACAAAACUUAUCAUAAGCUGAUUAGAGUGGUUAGUACCAAUAAUAAAAUAUAUUUUAUGCAUUGGAAAUAAAGAUUUUCAUGAAGAGUACUGUUUAUAAAGAUUGAAAAAAAGUUUUUGCAAAGAAAAAGCAAGCUUAAGAUUUGCAAAACGAUGAAAACGCAAAAUGUGGCAGAAUCUGUGAAAAACAGACCAGCACGUAGUAAAUAAUUGUUUUCAGGGCACUUCUCCAACUCAAAUCAAAAAACUCAGAACAUACGGUAGAAACAAAAUUGUAUAGAACAUACUGUCAAAAACAUUCAGAUCAAAAAGAUGAUCUGGUGAUUUUUAGUGAAUUGUUCAUUCAAGUAGAGAAAAUCAGUUUCUAGACAGCAUGUCACAGCUUUAGAACUUUCUUGCAAUCGGAGGCUAAAAUUUGGCACAAAGCUUAAAAAUAAAUAUAAAAUGAUGUUGCUAUAGUAUUAACACACAUCAAGACCACUAAAAACUGAAAGUAAAAACUCAAAGUAAAGAUAACAAGGGUUGUCUCCCUAGAGCUCUUUCUUUAUAGCCAUAAAGAUAGGCUUAAGAUUUUAAUGAUGCUCUCGUAGGAAUAAGAAUUAUAGAACAAAAGAGAGCAUCAAGAAGAAAAUACCAAACACAUUUAAGUCUAACAUGCUUCCUAUGCAUAGGAAUAUUGCAAUAGAAUAAUUCAUUGAAGCACAAAGCAAUAAGCAUAGGAAGGCAAAACAAGUGCAGCUUCAAAACCUUCAACAUAAAGAGAGGGAACUUGAUAUUAUUGAAAUAUCUAUAAGCAUAUGUUCCCUUCUAAUAAUAAUUUCCAGUGGGAUCAUGAAUAAACUCAACAAUAUAUGUAUCACAUAAAGCAUUGUUACCAUGAUCCAUAUGCAAAAAGGUACUCUUACUCUCCACAUAAGCAUAAUCUUUCUCAUUGGUAAUAGUGGGAGUAGGACUAUCAUAAACAACUUGAACGCUAUAGAUUAAUUUUGUAUUGGGGAAAUUGUGUUCAAAAAGUAAGUAAUUCCCUCCAUGAUUAUGACCAGUUUCAUAUGGAUAAUUUCUCCUUAUGUCAUAGGUAUCUUUACAAUCACUAUAGAUAGGAGUUAUAACAUCAUCAUGGUAGAGAAGAGCAUUAUUAUUGCUAGCAACUAUAUUUGUAAACAUGUUGUCUUUAUUCUUACUAGAAAAAGAAUUAUCAAUUAUCACAUCACUAAUGGGUAAAGGACUUGCAAUCCUAUGACCCCCAAGCUUAGAGCUUUCCAUAUCAUCAUUUUCAGAGUUGGUACCAAAAAGAUUUUCAAGAUCAUAAGUAGCAUUAUCAUCAUCUUCCCAAUCACAAUAAGUAACAGGCGUAUCAUAAUCAAAAUCAUCCUCAAUAGUACCUAUGGACUUAUAAUCAAGUUAAUAGUGAAUGCAAUCAAGCUCACGAGCCUCCAUAAAUUUAUGUCCGUUAGGAUAAAAGUUGAUGUGAGGAAUAUGCUCAGGCCAGGUCGAUACCCAUUCUUCUUCCUUCUUGUUCAUCUUCCUCCUCUUCUUUUUCUUGUUCUUCACCUUAGAAGGGAGUGGUCGGAGAGGAAGCUUCUCCACAUAUUCUGGUUUAUCAUUAGAAACAAUAUGGGAAACUUGGGAGAAACUCUCCUUUUUAUUAGUGGAAACAUAAGAGACAUUUUUAUGCUUUGGUAAAGUUCCCUCCUUUCUAAUGUUACUUAUGUAAUCAUUUUCAAGGCAAUUAACAACACAAUAGAGACGACAUUUUUGCAAAGUGUUGUUUAUUCCUAAGGCAUUAUCAUCUAGCCAAGAAAAUUUUCCUGAUAACUCUUCACACAUCAAAAAUAACAUAAGUUCAUCAUAAAUAUCAGAAGUGAUCAUGUUAUCACACAACUGGUUAAUAGUUAUGUUUUGAAAAUACAUGCAUUGAAAAUUAAAGUGACCCUCUAUACCACAAAGUUCACAAGUAAAAGGAUAAAGGCCACACAAUUCUCUAGCAAUUUCAUUUAAAUCUCUAACCCAAGUGAUUGUUCUUUCAUGCUUAUUUUGCUUACAAUACUUCUCUUCUUCAGUCAUAGGCCUUUCACAAGGUCUAUCCACUCCACAAAAAUUAACAUGCUUAUAUAAAACUUCAUUUUCAGGAAUUGGAUCAUGCAUGUUGCAAUUAUCAUUAACAAUUUCAUUUUCUUUGCAAAUCUCUUUAAAAGGUUCAUGACGCUUGAUCCAAUUAUCCUUAGGCAUAUUAAGAUGUGAAGCCAUAGAUUUGAGGAGAUCAACAAGGAGUUGAGAAUCAAGCCCAAACUUAGCACUAAACUUAUUAAAACUUGCAGUUUCAACAAAGGCCUUAAUGCAAUCGUACUCAUAAUUUAUACCUGACUCUUUACCUUUGUCGAUAUCCCAAUAUUCAGUAUUGCAUUGAAUUCUUUCAAGGAGUUCCCAUUUAGCAUCAAUCCUUUAGUUUGUGAAAGAACCCAUAGAGGAAGCAUCGAGCAAGUCUUUAUUCUGUCGAGAGAGACUAGCAUAGAAAUUAGUAAUAAUCAUAUCUUUGGGGAGCCCAUGGUUAGGACAUUUAGCAUUAAAGUUUUCUGUCUCCCCCAAGCUUGAGCUAUGCUCUCUCCGUCAUGAGGAUAGAAAUUAUAAACAUAAUUCCUAUUCUCAUGGACUUCAUGAAGAGGAUAAAACUUGGAGUAAAAGAGAGACUGGAUCUCUUCCCAACCCCAUAGGUGAGAAUCAUCUAAUAGCCUAUACCAUUCCAAUGCUUUUCCUUUUAGUGAUAAGGCAAAUAAUUUCCUCAUGACUCCAUAUCUUAUCAAACCUGAAAUCUUGAACAACUCACAAAGUUCUGUAAGUUUCAACAAAUGAAUACUGGGAUUGAUUGUUCCAACUCCUGCAUAAUUAUUCCUAAUUAUUUCAAUUAUCCCAAGUGUUAUUUCGAAUGGGAUACAUUCAGUAGGUGGAUGAGACUUCUCUACCACGGGUGUGGUAAAGCGGCCUUCCCCAAGCAGCGAACUAAGAGUGCAGUUUUCCAUAAGCCUAACUAGUGAAAAUAAAAACAAGAAACGAAAAGAUUUAAUUGCAAGAUCUAAAGAUAUACCUUCAAGCACUCACCUCCCCGGCAACGGCGCCAGAAAUAGCUUGAUGUCUACGCACGCUUCUAUUCUUAUAGACUAUGUUGGGCCUCCAAGCGCAGAGGUUUGUAGGACAACAAGAAUUUCCCUCAAGUGGAUAACCGAAGGUUUAUCGAACUCAGCGAAGUAGAGGUUGAAGAUGGUCUCUCACAAGCAACCCUGCAAUUAAGAAACAAGAAGUCUCUUGUGUCCCCAACACACCUAAUACAAUGGUAAAUUGUAUAGAUGCACUAGUUCAGCGAAGAGAUGAUAAAAUAUGGGUGAUAGGUGUGGCAAAGCAAGGUAAUAAAAAUCUGUAAUAAAAUUACAACAAGGUAGCAAGUGACAAAAGUGAGCAUAAACGGUGUAAAAAUGGUGAGAAACAAGGCCUAGGCCUCAUACUUUCACUAGUGGCAACUUCCAACAACAUUAACUGUUGGGGAACGUCGCAUGGGAAACAAAAAUUUUCCUACGCGCACGGAGACCUAUCAUGGUGAUGUCCAUCUACGAGAGGGGAUUUCCAAUCUACGUACCCAUGUAGAUCGCACAGCAGAAGCGUUAAGAAACGCGGUUGAUGUAGUGGAACGUCCUCACGUCCCUCGAUCCGCCCCGCGAACCGUCCCGCGAUCAGUCCCACGAUCUAGUGUCGAACGGACGGCACCUCCGCGUUCAGCACACGUACAGCUCGACGAUGAUCUCGGCCUUCUUGAUCCAGCAAGAGAGACGGAGAGGUAGAUGAGCUCUCCGGCAGCGUGACGGUGCUCCAGAGGUUGGUGGUGAUCUAAUCUCAGCAGGGCUCCGCCCGAGCUCCGCAGAAACGCGAUCUAGAGGUAAAACCGUGGAGGUAUGUGGUCGGGCUGCCGUGGCAAAAGUUGUCUCAAAUCAGCCCUAAUAGCGGCUUGCCUUGAGGCUCAAGGAGCCCCAAGGGCUGCACCACCAAGGGAGGAGGAGUCCUCCUCCAAUCCUAGUCCAACUAGGAUUGGAAGGUGGAGUCCUUCUCUCUUUUCCCACCUUUCCCUUUUUUUCUUUCUCUUCUUUUGGUUUUUCUUUCUCUUGCGCAAGACAGCCUUGGGCUGACCCCACCUACUUGGUGCGCCACCCCAAGGUUCUUGGGCCCUCCCGGGUGGGUGGUCCCCCCUCCCGGUGAAGAUCCGGAACCCAUUCGUCAUUCCCGGUACAUUACCGGUAAUGCCCGAAAACCUUCCGGUAACCAAAUGAAGUCAUCCGAUAUAUCAAUCUUCGUUUCCGGACCAUUUCGGAAACCCUCGUGACGUCUGUGAUUUCAUACGGGACUCCGAACAACAUUUGGUAACCAACCAUAUAACUCAAAUACGCAUAAAACAACGUCGAACCUUAAGUGUGCAGACCCUGCGGGUUCGAGAACUAUGUAGACAUGACCCGAGUGACUCCUCGGUCAAUAUCCAAUAGCGGGACCUAGAUGCCCAUAUUGGAUCCCACAUAUUCUACGAAGAUCUUAUCGUUUGAACCUCAGUGCCACGGAUUCAUAUAAUCCCGUAUGUCAUUCCCUUUGUCCUGCGGUAUGUUACUUGCCCGAGAUUCGAUCGUCAGUAUCCGCAUACGUAUUUCAAUCUCGUUUACCGGCAAGUCUCUUUACUCGUUCCAUAAUACAAGAUCCCGCAACUUACACUAAGUCACAUUGCUUGCAAGGCUUGUGUGUGAUGUUGUAUUACCGAGUGGGCCCCGAGAUAUCUCUCCGUCACAAGGAGUGACAAAUCCCAGUCUCGAUCCAUACUAACUCAACGAACACCUUCGGAGAUACCUGUAGAGCAUCUUUGUAGUCACCCAGUUACAUUGCGAUGUUUGAUACACACAAAGCAUUCCUCCGGUGUCAGUGAGUUAUAUGAUCUCAUGGUCAUAGGAACAAAUACUUGACACGCAGAAAACAGUAGGAACAAAAUGACACGAUCAACAUGCUACAUCUAUUAGUUUGGGUCUAGUCCAUCACAUGAUUCGCCUAAUGAUGUGAUCUCGUUAUCAAGUGACAACACUUGCCUCUGGUCAGGAAACCUUGACCAUCUCCGAUCAACGAGCUAGUCAACUAGAGGCUUACUAGGGACAGUGUUUUGUCUAUGUAUCCACACAUGCAGUGUGUUUCCAAUCAAUACAAUUAUAGCAUGGAUAAUAAACGAUUAUCAUGAACAAAGAAAUAUAAUAAUAACUAAUUUAUUAUUGCCUCUAGGGCAUAUUUCCAAAAGUCUCCCACUUGCAGUAGAGUCAAUAAUCUAGUUCACAUCACCAUGUGAUUCCAAUGAAUCCAACACCCAUAUAGUUAUGGGGUCUGAUCACGUCUUGCUCGUGAGAGAGGUUUUAGUCAACGGUUCUGAAACUUUCAGAUCCGUGUGUUUUUUACAAAUCUUUAUGUCAUCUUAUAGAUGCUGCUACUAUGUGCUAUUCGGAAAUACUCCAAAUAUCUACUCUACUAUACGAAUCCGUUUCACUACUCAUAGUUACUCGGAUUAGUGUCAAAGCUUGCAUCGACGUAACCCUUUACGACGAACUUUUUAACCACCUCUAUAAUCGAGAAAAAUUCCUUAGUCUAUUUAGUUACUAAGGAUAACUUUGACCGCUGAUCAGUGAUUCAAUCCUGGAUCACUCUGUGUACCUCUUAACAGACUUGCUGCAAGGCACACAUCAGGUGCGGUACUCAGCAUGGCAUACUUUAGAGUCUACGGCUAAGGCAUAGAAGACGACCUUCGUCUAUUCUCUUUAUUCUGCUGUGGUCGGGUUUUGAGUCUUACUCAAAUUCACACCUUACAACGCAACCAAGAACUCCUUCUUUGCUGAUCUAUUUUGAACUCCUUCAAAAACUUGUCAAGGCAUGCAUCUUGUUGAAACUUCCAUUAAGCGCUUUUGAUCUAUCUCCAUAGAUCUUUGAUGCUCAACGUUCAAGUAGCGCAAUCCAGGUAUUCCUUUGAAAACUCCUUUCAAACAACCUUGUAUGUUUUACAGAAAUUCUACAUUACUUCUGAUCCACAAUAUGUCAACCACAUAUACUUAUCAGAAAUUCUAUAGUGCUCCCAUCACUUCUUUGGAAAUACAAGUUUCUCAUAAACCUUGUACAAACCCAAAAUCUUUGAUCAUCACAUCAAAGUGUAUAUUCCAACUCCGAGAUGCUUGCACCAGUCCAUUGAAGGAUCGCUGGAGCUUGCAUACUUGCUAGUAUCCUUAGGAUCGACAAAACCUCCUGGUUGUAUCACAUACAAUGUUUGCUAAAGGAAACCGUCGAGGAAACAAUGUUUUGACAUCCUAUGUGCAAUAUUUCAUAAAUAAUGCAGCAACAACUAACAUAAUUCUAACAGACUUUUAACAUCGCUACGAGUGAGAAAGUCUCAUCAUAGUCAAUUGUUUGAUCUUGUCGGAAACAUCUUUGCGACAAGUCGAGCUUUUCUUAAUAGUGACUUAUCACCAUCAUUGUCUGUCUUCUUUUUAAAGAUCCAUCUUUACUCAAUAGUUCUAUGACCAUCAAGUAGUUCUUCCAAAGUCUACACUUUGUUUUCAUACAUGGAUCCUCUCUCGGAUUUCAUGGCCUCCAGCCAUUUGUCGGAAUCCGGGCCCACCAUUGCUUUCUCCAUNAGUCUCCCACUUGCAGUAGAGUCAAUAAUCUAGUUCACAUCACCAUGUGAUUCCAAUGAAUCCAACACCCAUAUAGUUAUGGGGUCUGAUCACGUCUUGCUCGUGAGAGAGGUUUUAGUCAACGGUUCUGAAACUUUCAGAUCCGUGUGUUUUUUACAAAUCUUUAUGUCAUCUUAUAGAUGCUGCUACUAUGUGCUAUUCGGAAAUACUCCAAAUAUCUACUCUACUAUACGAAUCCGUUUCACUACUCAUAGUUACUCGGAUUAGUGUCAAAGCUUGCAUCGACGUAACCCUUUACGACGAACUUUUUAACCACCUCUAUAAUCGAGAAAAAUUCCUUAGUCUAUUUAGUUACUAAGGAUAACUUUGACCGCUGAUCAGUGAUUCAAUCCUGGAUCACUCUGUGUACCUCUUAACAGACUUGCUGCAAGGCACACAUCAGGUGCGGUACUCAGCAUGGCAUACUUUAGAGUCUACGGCUAAGGCAUAGAAGACGACCUUCGUCUAUUCUCUUUAUUCUGCUGUGGUCGGGUUUUGAGUCUUACUCAAAUUCACACCUUACAACGCAACCAAGAACUCCUUCUUUGCUGAUCUAUUUUGAACUCCUUCAAAAACUUGUCAAGGCAUGCAUCUUGUUGAAACUUCCAUUAAGCGCUUUUGAUCUAUCUCCAUAGAUCUUUGAUGCUCAACGUUCAAGUAGCGCAAUCCAGGUAUUCCUUUGAAAACUCCUUUCAAACAACCUUGUAUGUUUUACAGAAAUUCUACAUUACUUCUGAUCCACAAUAUGUCAACCACAUAUACUUAUCAGAAAUUCUAUAGUGCUCCCAUCACUUCUUUGGAAAUACAAGUUUCUCAUAAACCUUGUACAAACCCAAAAUCUUUGAUCAUCACAUCAAAGUGUAUAUUCCAACUCCGAGAUGCUUGCACCAGUCCAUUGAAGGAUCGCUGGAGCUUGCAUACUUGCUAGUAUCCUUAGGAUCGACAAAACCUCCUGGUUGUAUCACAUACAAUGUUUGCUAAAGGAAACCGUCGAGGAAACAAUGUUUUGACAUCCUAUGUGCAAUAUUUCAUAAAUAAUGCAGCAACAACUAACAUAAUUCUAACAGACUUUUAACAUCGCUACGAGUGAGAAAGUCUCAUCAUAGUCAAUUGUUUGAUCUUGUCGGAAACAUCUUUGCGACAAGUCGAGCUUUUCUUAAUAGUGACUUAUCACCAUCAUUGUCUGUCUUCUUUUUAAAGAUCCAUCUUUACUCAAUAGUUCUAUGACCAUCAAGUAGUUCUUCCAAAGUCUACACUUUGUUUUCAUACAUGGAUCCUCUCUCGGAUUUCAUGGCCUCCAGCCAUUUGUCGGAAUCCGGGCCCACCAUUGCUUUCUCCAUAACUCGUAGGUUCACUGUUGCUCAACAACAUGACCUCCAAGACAGGGUUACCGUACCACUCUGUAGUAGUACGCGACCUUGUCAACCUACGAGGUUUGUAGUAACUUGAUCCGAUGCUCGAUGAUCACCAUCAUCAGCUUUCACUUCAAUUGGUGUAGGCGCCACAGGAACAACUUCCUGCGCCCUGCUACACACUGGUUGAAGUGAUGGUUCAAUAACCUCAUCAAGUUCUACCACCCUCCCACUCAAUUCUUUCGAGAGAAACCUUUCCUCGAGAAAGGAUCCGUUUCUAGAAACAAACACUUUGCUUUCGGAUAUGAGAUAGGAGAUGUACCCAACUGUUUUGGAUAUCCUAUGAAGAUGCAUUUAUCCGCUUUGGGUUCGAGCUUAUCAGACUGAAACUUUUUCACAUAAGUGUUGAAGCCCCAAACUUUCAAGAAACGAUAGUUUAGAUUUCUCUAAGCCUCAGUCUAUACUGUGUCAUCUCAACGGAAAUACGCGGUGCCCUAUUUAAAGUGAAUGCAGUUGUCUCUAAUGCAUAACCCAUAAAUGAUAGUGGUAAUUCGAUAAGAGACAUCAUAGCAUGCACCACACCAAAUAGUGCGUGGCUAUGACGUUCAGACACAUCAUCACACUAUGAUGUUCCAGGUGGCAUGAACUGCGAAACAAUUUCCAUAUUGUCUUAACUGCGUACCAAAACUCGUAACUCAGAUAUUCAUUUCUAUGAUCAUAUCGUAGACAGUUUAUCCUCUUGUUACGACGAACUUCACUCCGAAACAGAAUUGAACUUUUCAAUAUUUCAGACUUUUGAUUCAUUAAGUAAAUACUCUAGUAUCUACUCAAAUCGUCAUUGAAUCAAGAACAUAAUGAUAUCCACUGCGUGCCUCAGCACCCAUUGGACUGCAUACAUCAAAAUGUAUCACUUCCAACAAGUUACUAUCUUGCUUCAUCUCAAUGAAAACAAGGCCUUGCUCAUGUGGUAUGAUUUGCAUGUCCCUAGUGAUUCAAAAUCAAGUGAGUCUAAAGAUCCAUCAGCAUGGAGCCUCUUCAUGCAAUUUAUACCAACAUGACUCAAGCGGCAGUGCCACAAGUAAGUGGUACUAUCAUCAUUACCUCGUACCUUUUGGCACCAAUAUCAUGAACAUGUGUAACACUACGAUCGAGAUUCAAUAAACCAUUGAAGGUGAUUAUUCAAGCAAAUAGAGUAACCAUUAUUCAUUUUAAAUGAAUAAUUGUAUUGCAGAAAACACGAUCCAAUCAUGUUCAUGCUUAACGCAAGCACCAAAUAACAAUUAUUUCGGUUUAACACCAAUCCCGAUGGUAGAGGGAGCGUGCGACGGUUUGAUCAUAUCAAUCUUGGAAACACUUCCAACAUGUACCGUCACCUUGCCUUUAGCUAGUCUCCAUUUAUGCCGUAGCUAUCAUUUCGUGUUACUAAUUACUUAGCAACGGAACCGGUAUCCAAUACCCUCAUGCUACUAGGAGUACUAGUAAAGUACACAUCACCAUCAUGUAUAUCAAAUAUACUUCUUUCGACUUUUGCCAGCCUUCUUAUCUACCAAGUAUCUAGAGUUGCUCCGCCUGAGUGACUGUUCCCCUCAUUACAGAAGCACUUAGUCUCGGGUUUGGGUUUAAUCUUGGGUCUCUGCAUUAGUGCAGCAACUGUUUUGCCGUUUCACGAAGUAUCCCUUCUAGCCCUUGCCUUUCUUGAAACUUAGUGGUUUUACAAACCAUCAACUAUUUAUGCUCCUUCUUGAUUUCUACUUUCGCAGUGUCAAACAUAGCGAAUCGCUCAAGGAUCAUUGUAUCUAUCCUUGAUAUGUUAUAGUUCAUCACGAAGCUCUCACAGCUUGGUGGCAGUGACUUUGGAGAACUAUCACUAUCUCAUCUGGAAGAUUAACUCCCACUUGAUUCAAGUGAUUGUCGUACUUUGUGGACAAAGAAUCUUGUUGGAGGUCUCGUACCUCUUAACAAGGGCACAAGCAUGAAAUCACAAUUUCAUCUCUUUAGAACAUCACUUAUGUUCCGUGACGUUUCAAAACGUCUUCGGCGCCUUGCUUCUAAGCCAUUAAGUAUUUUGCACUGAACUAUCGUGUAGUCAUCAGAAACGUGUAUGUCGGAUGUUCACAACAUCUAUAGACGAUGCUCGAGGUGCAGCACACCGAGUGGUGCAUUAAGGACAUAAGCCUUCUGCGCAGCAACGAGGACAAUCCUCGGUUUUACAGACUUAGUCUGCAAAGUUUGCUACUAUCAACUUUCAACUAAAUUUUCUCUAGGAACAUAUAAAAACAGUAGAGCUAUAGCGCAAGCUACAUCGUAAUUCGCAAAGACCACUAGACUAUGUUCAUGAAGAUUAGUUCAAUUAAUCAUAUUACUUAAUUACUCCCACUCAAAAAUUACAUCUCUCUAGUCAUUUGAGUGGUACAUGAUCCAAAUCCACUAUCUCAAGUCCGAUCAUCACGUGAGUCGAGAAUAGUUUCAGUGGUAAGCAUCUCUAUGCUAAUCAUAUCAACUAUACGAUUCAUGCUCGACCUUUUGGUCUCAUGUGUUCCGAGGCCAUGUCUGCACAUGCUAGGCUCGUCAAGCUUAACCCGAGUGUUCCGCGUGUGCAACUGUUUUUCGCCCGUUGUAUGUGAACGUUGAGUCUAUCACACCCGAUCAUCACGUGGUGUCUCGAAACGAAGAACUGUCGCAACGGUGCACACUCGGGGAGAACACAAUUUCGUCUUGAAAUUUUAGUGAGAGAUCACCUCAUAAUGCUACCGUCGUUCUAAGCAAGAUAAGGUGCAUAAAGGAUUAACAUCACAUGCAAUUCAUAAGUGACAUGAUAUGGCCAUCAUCACGUGCUUCUUGAUCUCCAUCACCAAAGUACCGGCACGAUCUUCUUGUCACCGGCGUAACACCAUGAUAUCCAUCAUCAUGAUCUCCAUCAACGUGUCCCCAUCGGGGUUGUCGUGCUACUCGUGUUAUUACUACUAAAGCUACGUCCUAGCAAUAUAGUAAACGCAUCUGCAAGCACAAACGUUAGUUUAAAGACAACCCUAUGACUCCUGCCGGUUGCCAUACCAUCGACGUGCAAGUCGAUAUUAGCUAUUACAACAUGAUCAUCUCAUACAUCCAAUAUAUCACAUCACAUCGUUGGCCAUAUCACAUCACAAGCAUACCCUGCAAAAACAAGUUAGACGUCCUCUAAUUGUUGUUGCAUGUUUUACGUGGUGACCAUGGGAAUCUAGUAGGAUCACAUCUUACUUACGCAAACACCACAACGGAGAUAUAUGAAUUGCUAUUUAACCUCAUCCAAGGACCUCCUCGGUCAAAUCCGAUUCAACUAAAGUUGGAGAAACCGACACUCGCCGAUCAUCUUUGAGCAACGGAGUUACUCGUAGCGAUGAAACCAGUCUCUCGUAAGCGUACGAGUAAUGUCGGUCCGAGCCGCUUCGAUCCAACAAUACCGCGGAAUCAAGAAAAGACUAAGGAGGGCAGCAAAACGCACAUCACCGCCCAUAAAAACUUUUGUGUUCUACUCGAGAUUACAUCUACGCAUGAACCUAGCUCUGAUACCACUGUUGGGGAACGUCGCAUGGGAAACAAAAAUUUUCCUACGCGCACGGAGACCUAUCAUGGUGAUGUCCAUCUACGAGAGGGGAUCUCCGACCUACGUACCCAUGUAGAUCGCACAACAGAAGCGUUAAGAAACACAGUUGAUGUAGUGGAAUGUCCUCACGUCCCUCGAUCCGCCCCGCGAACCGUCGCACGAACCGUCCCGCAAUCCGUCCCACGAUCCGCUCCGAUCUAGUGCCGAACGGACGGCACCUCCGCGUUCAGCACACGUACAGCUCGACGAUGAUCUCGGCCUUCUUGAUCCAGCAAGAGAGACGGAGAGGUAUAUGAGUUCUCCGGCAGCGUGACGGCGCUCCGGAGGUUGAUGGUGAUCUAAUCUCAGCAGGGCCCCACCCGAGCUCCGCAGAAACGCGAUCUAGAGGUAAUACCGUGGAGGUAUGUGGUCGGGCUGCCGUGGCAAAAGUUGUCUCAAAUCAGCCCUAAUAGCUCCAUAUAUAUAGGAGGAGGGGAGGGGAGGCUUUCCUUGAGGCUCAAGGAGCCCCAAGGGUUGUGCCACCAAGGGAGGAGGAGUCCUCCUCCAAUCCUAGUCCAACUAGGAUUGGAAGGUGGAGUCCUUCUCUCUUUUCCCACCUUUCCCUUUUUUUCCUUCUCUUCUUUUGGUUUUUCUUUCUCUUGCGCAAGACAGCCUUGGGCUGACCCCACCUACUUGGUGCGCCACCCCAAGGUUCUUGGGCCCUCCCGGGUGGGUGGUCCCCCCUCCCGGUGAAGAUCCGGAACCCAUUCGUCAUUCCCGGUAGAUUACCGGUAAUGCCCGAAAACCUUCCGGUAACCAAAUGAAGUCAUCCUAUAUAUCAAUCUUCGUUUCCGGACCAUUCCGGAAACCCUCGUGACGUCCGUGAUCUCAUCUGGGACUCCGAACAACAUUCGGUAACCAACCAUAUAACUCAAAUACGCAUAAAACAACGUCGAUAAGUGUGCAGACCUGGCGGGUUCAUAUAAUCCCGUAUGUCAUUCCCUUUGUCCUGCGGUAUGUUACUUGCCCGAGAUUCGAUCGUCAGUAUCCGCAUACCUAUUUCAAUCUCGUUUACCGACAAGUCUCUUUACUCGUUCCGUAAUACAAGAUCCCGCAACUUACACUAAGUCACAUUCCUUGCAAGGCUUGUGUGUGAUGUUGUAUUACCGAGUGGGCCCCGAGAUACCUCUUCGUCACACAGAGUGACAAAUCCCAGUCUCGAUCCAUACUAACUCAACGAACACCUUCGGAGAUACCUGUAGAGCAUCUUUGUAGUCACCCAGUUACAUUGCGAUGUUUGAUACACACAAAGCAUUCCUCCGGUGUCAGUGAGUUAUAUGAUCUCAUGGUCAUAGGAACAAAUACUUGACACGCAGAAAACAGUAGCAACAAAAUGACAUGAUGAACAUGGUAUGUCUAUUAGUUUGGGUCUAGUCCAUCACAUGAUUCUCCUAAUGAUUUGAUCCCGUUAUCAAGUGACAACACUUGCCUAUGGUCACGAAACCUUGACCAUCUCUGAUCAACGAGCUAGUCAACUAGAGGCUUACUAGGGACAAUGUUUUGUCUAUGUAUCCACACAUGCACUGUGUUUCCAAUCAAUGCAAUUAUAGCAUGGAUAAUAAACGAUUAUCAUGAACAAAGAAAUAUAAUAAUAACUAAUUUAUUAUUGCCUCUAGGGCAUAUUUCCAACAUUAACAUAGUCUAAUCAUAUGAUAUUUCCACUAAAACAUGCAAUGGUAAUGUACUCGGAGGUCAUUCCUUUGUGAUCAAGAGAGGACGAGAAUUAUAUAGGGCUACAAAAGCACACCUUAGAGUUCGUAGUUCUCAUCUAUGGAUUUGCCAAUGUCACCGCGGCCAUCCAAAGAGAGUACCACAAUCACCACAAGUAUCUCAAGGAUAAUCAAAGACAAGUACCAAGCGACUCUCAAUCUUCAAUCAAUUCACAAAAGAGGAAAUCACUCAUGAAAAUAUUCUUCUAAUCCAUGUCCAAUAGACCGCUGUCACCAUGGUCUCUAGGAUUAUAAUAGAUAAGAUCAAGUGAGUACAUCAAUCCAAUACAUAGAAGAAGGGGAAACAUAACGGGAUCACCCUAGGUUAACAUAGAAGAAGGGGAAACAUAACGGGAUCACCCUAGGUUAACAUAGCCUAUUAUCACAAUCAAGAUCACAUCAUGGGAGAGAGAAUUAACCACAUAACUACUGUAGAAGACCUCAGCCCGGAGGAGGAACUACUCCCGCUUCAUGGAGGGAGGAAGCAAUGUCGAUGGAGAUGAAUCCGGGGGCACUUCCCUAUCCCUGCAGGUUGCCGGCACAGAAAUUCUGGUCCCCUAAAACUUGUUGGCGAUGGCGGCGAAGAUCGGAAUUGCUUGUGGAGAAAAGGGUUUCGGAAUUAGGGUUUCCUCCACGGGGGUAAAAAUAGGAGCCAAGGUAGGGCACCAGAGGGGGUGGGCCCCUCCCAGGCGGCCUCCUCACGCGGCCAGGGGGCAGGCCGUGCCACCAGGGCGCUUGGAGGUCUGAUGGCCCUCCUUCGACCGUCUGUAGUUUUCUGGAACGCCGAUUUUUUAUAUAUUUUUUGUGGAAUUUUUCGGGCACUUUAAAUAUGGGUACGUGCAAUUCACACACAUCAGCAGACAGAAACUAGCAUUGGUUGCACUGAGUUUGUAGGUUAGUCCAAAUAUGUUGAAAAAGGUAUGAAAGUGUACAAAACACAUAGUAAUAUCACCCAAAACUUGCAUGGAGCAAGCAGAAAUUAUAGAUACGUUUGGGACGUAUCAAGGAUCCAAUAUGUACAUCCAGGUCCCGCUAUUGGCUAUUGACUGGAGAGUGUCUUGCUCAUGUCUACAUAGUUCUCGAACCCGCACGGUCUACACACUUAAGGUUCGGUGACAUUUCAGUAUAGUUGAGUUAUAGGUGUUGGUGACCCAAGGUUGUUCAGAGUCCCGUAUGAGAUCCUGGACAUCACGGGGAGCUCCGGAAUGGUUCAGAGGUAAAGAUUGAUAUAUAGGAAGUCAUUUUUGGGUCACGGAAACGUUUCGGGCUCAUCGGUAGUGUACGAGGAGUGCCUGGUGGCUACCGGGGGACCACCGGGAGGGGUGUGAUGACCCAAGAGCCUUGUGGGCUGUGAGAAGAGGUGGACCAAACCCUGGUGGGACGGCCAAAUCCUCUCUCAAAGGCCCAUGCGGCUAGGAGAAGAGAUAAAAGGUAAAAGACCUUUAAAAGGAAGGGACGGAGGAGUCCUCCCAAAGUAGUCCACCUUACCACAAGGGAAGGUUGACUCUUCCUUAGUUCGGCCGACCCCUUCUCCUUAGAGUGGGGGCCAAGGCUGCCUCCUCUCCUCUCCUCCUAUAUAUACUAGAGGGUUUUGAGGGUUUUGGGUACAACAAUCAGCCACAUGUUUCCCUCUCUCUAGAUCCAUUUCUCCUCUAGUGUAGUUUCAGCGGUGCUUAGGCGAAGCCCUCCUGGACUAGUUCCACCACCAUCGCCGUCAUGCCAUUGUGCUGCUGGAGAACUCAUCUAUCUCUCUGCCCCCUCUUGCUGGAUCAAGAAGGCGGAGAUCAUCGUCGAGCUGUACGUGUGCAGAACGCGGAGGUGACGUCCGUUAGGCGCUAGAUCGGGACGGAUCGUGGGAUUAUGGUGAUUUGGAUCGCGAAGACGUUCCACUACAUCAACCGCAUUCCUUAACGCUACCUGCUUAGCAAUCUACAAGGUUAUGCGGAUCCGAUCUCCCUCUCGUAAAUGAUCGUCACCAUGAUAGGUCUUCAUGUGCAUCGGAAUUUUUUUGUUUCCCAUGCAACGUUCCCCAACACUCACCUCAUCCGGGCGGAGUUAACCGCGUACAUCGGUAAAUUUUGGGAUACCAUCUUGCCCUGGGAGGUGACGAUAUUGCCCCCCUUGUCUUCCCAGUCCCUUUCCCCUCCACCGAGAUUCUCCGUUGUUGCACUCACGACAUCAUGAGGUGCCCCAUCAACGAGUUCCUCGUCUCCAUCCAUGAGGCCAUCACGGAGCCCGACCCAAUUCCUCCUAUCGCUGGGUUGUGUGUCCUCGUCUAUAGUCUCCCCGGGGAGGUAAGGCCACUCCCAAGGGCGGAAAGACCGAGCACAUCCUCAAGGCGACCUUUGAUCCAAUGGGAAAGUUGUUGUCUAUCGACCUGGCUUCAUUGGAGGGAGAGGGUCUGGUCCGCAUCGAGAUCUUGUGCUCGGCCCGAGCACAGGUGGACAACUUGUCCCUGGUCUUAUACUUCGGCUCAAAUGGCAAGCGCCUCAUGCUUGAGCUUGAGCCUCCUGAGCAGGAGGUCUUGCCGGUGUCCGGACCCCCUCCCCCUCCACCGCCUCGCUUUGAAAGAGGAUGCAGCAGUGAUGAUUAGCCGUCUCGGGAGAGAUCUUCUAAGGAGGUGGAGGGGGAUGACCCCCAGCCCCGUGUGCCAGCCGGAAUAGACCAGCUGCCAUCGGAGGGGCGUCCUUUGGGACAGCUGGGGCUUCUACUCUCGCCCUGUCAGUUGUGGGACCUCAUGUGCCGAGCCACGUGGCUCCCACGAAUGUGUUCCCAUGCGAUGACCUUGGUUCCAACGAGGAUGACUCCUCGAGUGUGUGGAUGGACAUUCGCCGCCCAUAUUCCCCGUGCUCUUUGCGGUGGUAUGCUACUUUCACUCGCCUCGGACCCUCCUUCCCUUACCUUGGGGCCCCGUCUCCGGUGCCUGCGAUGCCCUGAUGACCCACAAGUAUAGGGGAUAUAUCGUAGUCCUUUCGAUAAGUAAGAGGGUCAAACCCAACGAUGAGCAGAAGGAUCUGACAAGUGGUUUUCAGCAAGGUAAUAUCUGCAGGCAAUGAAAUUAUCGGUAACAAGUGGUUGUGUGGUGAGAUGAUUCGUAUCAAGUAGCAAGUAACAAAAGUAACAACGGUGCAGCAAAGUGGCCCAAUCCCUUUUGUAGCAAGGGACAAGCCUGGACAAACUCUUAUAGGAUGAAAAAUGCUCCCGAGGACACACGGGAAUUUUUAUCAUGCUAGUUUUCAUCAUGUUCAUAUGAUUCGCGUUCGUUACUUUGAUAGUUUGAUAUGUGGGUGGAUCGGCGCUUGGGUACUGCCCUUACUUGGACAAGCAUCCCACUUAUUAUUAACCCCUCUCGCAAGCAUCCACAACUACGAAAGAAGAAUUAAGACAAAGUCUAACCAUAGCAUUAAACUAGUGGAUCCAAAUCAGCCCCUUAUGAAGCAACACAUAUACUAGGGUUUAAGCUUUUGUCACUCUAGCAACCCAACAUCUAGGUACUACUUCCCAAUGCCUUCCUCUAGGCCCAAAUAAUGGUGAAGUGUUAUGUAGUCGAUGUUCACAUAACACCACUAGAGGAAAAACAACAUACAACACAUCAAAAUAUCGAACGAAUACCAAAUUCACAUGACUACUUAUAACAUGACUUAUCCCAUGUCCUCAGGAACAUAAGUAACUACUGACAAAGCAUAAUCAUAUUCAUGACCAGAGGGGUAAUGAGUAGCAUCAAAGAUUUGAACAUAAACUCUUCCACCAAGUAAUCCAACUAGCAUCAACUACAAGGAGUAAUUAACACUACUAGCAACCUUACAAGUACCAAUCGGAGUCGCGAGACGGAGAUUGGUUACAAGUGAUGAAAUAGGGUUUGGAGAUGAGAUGGUGCUGAUGAAGAUGUUGAUGGUGAUGAGUCCUCUGUGAUGAGAGGAGCGUUGGUAAUGACGAUGGCGACGAUGUCCCCCUCCGGGAGGGAAGUUUCCCCGGCAGGAUCGUCCUGCCGGAGCUCUAGAUAGGUUCUGCUAAAGUUCCGCCUCAUGACGGCGGUGAAUCCUCCGAAAAGCAUCCUCUUGAUUUUUCCAGACCGAAACCCUUCUUGUAGCAAAAGAGGGGGGCCAGUGGGCCUGCAGGAAGCCCACAAGCCCCCUAGGCGCGACUAGGGGGGUGGUCGCGCCUAGCAGGCUUGUGGCCACCUGCUGGCGCCCCUCUUGCACUUCUUCGGCCUAGUAUUUUUUAUAAAUACCAAAAAAAAUCCAUGUUGAUUUUCACGGCUUUUGGAGUUGCGCAGAAUAGGCAUCUCAAACUUGCUCCUUUUUUAGGCCAGGAUUCUAGCUGCCGGCAUUCUCCCUCUUCAUGUAAACCUUGCAAAAUAAGAGAGAAAAGACAUAAGUAUUGUACCAUGAAGUGAAAUAACAGCCCAAAAAGUGAUAAAUAUCAACAUGAAAGCAUGAUGCAAAAUGGACGUAUCAACUCCCCCAAUCUUAGACCUUGCUUGUCCUCAAGCGAAAGCCUAGAUCAAUAAAAAUGACCACAUGUUUAGAGAUAGAGGUGUCAACAAAACAAGAUACGAACAUGCAGGCACCAUGAUCAUGAUCAGAACAGCAAUACCAACAUAUAAUCUCUCAUGCUAAAGUGACAAUUCCUUCACAAAGUAAAGUAUGGAUCAAGAACCUUACCGAGAAUUAACAACCGAUAGCCUUUAGUCAUUGAAGCAAUUGCAAUUUAUCACAACAUCAGAGAAAGUCAAAUCAGAGCUUGUAAAGCAAAUCUACAUACUCAAUAUCUUUUCGUUCUCUACAAUUGCUACAACUCACGUGGUACUCAUGAGAUCAAAGUUUCAGCUGGACACAGAGAAAGAUAGGGGCUUAUAGUUUCGCCUCCCAACUGCUUACCUCAAGGGUAAUGUCAACAAUAAUAAUUCAUGAAUACUUACCUCCAAGUUGACAUAUGAAUAUAGAUCCUUCCCAAGAAUAUGACGUUAGCCAAGAUAAAGGAGAAAUAGGGAAUUGGUGAAGAUCACCAUGACUCUUUCAAGGGAAAAAAGUAAAGGUACAAGAUAGGCCCUUCGCAGAGGAAAGCAGAGGUUGUCAUGCGCUUUUGAGGUUCGGAUGCGUGUCCUCUUAGUGCGGAGGAACGUCACUUUAUAUUGCCUCCUGUGAUAAAGAACUUUAUUAUGUAGUCUGUCACUUUUAUGUCUUCCUCAUCACAGGUUCGUACAAAGCUUAUUUUCCACACACUAAUAGAUCAUACAUAUUAGGGAGCAAUUUUUAUUGCUUGCACCGAUGACAACUUACUUGAGGGAUCUUAUUCAAUCCAUAGGUAGGUAUGGUGGACUCUCAUGGCAAAACUGAGUUGAAGGUUUAUGGAUGCACAAGUAGUAUCUCUACUUGGUGUGGGAGUUUUGGCUAAUAUGAGAUGGAAUAUAUCGUCACAUGCUAAGGGAUCUCUAAUCAUAUAACAUUGUUCGGAAGCAAGCAAGCACAAUUCAUUAUGUUGUCUUCCUUGUCCAACAUCUACUUCUAAGCAUGUAAUAGUUUAGUGAGUGUUCACAAUCAUAGAUGGUGUCAAAGAUGAUAUAUUUAUAUGUGAACCUCUCCUUCUUUAUCACUUCCUAUUAAUUGCAACAAUGACCAAGGUCUACGUUUGUCUACCCUCAACAAGUUUCAAUCAACAUUCUUUUUAUAUGUGAAGCCAUCACUUCCCAUAAGAUCAUUACAUGAUCUUUCAUGCUUUUGUUCUUUUCUCAAUCUUUUGAUCAUGGCAAGAGGCAAGGCCCUUCAACUAAGACACUCUUUAUUAUAUGGCUCACGAUCUCGAAUACAUCGGGGGUGACACAAAGCAAAACUCAAGCCUAAAACACUAAGACCUUUAUUCUACUAGAGAAAGAGAAAACUGAAAAGGAACAAACUAAAACAAAGGUAAAGGCAAAAGAUGUGAUGGUGAUACGAUACCGGGGCAACUCCCCCAAGCUUGGCACAAGCCAAGGGGAUUUCCCAUACCCAUGCUUAAUUGUCUUCCUUUGGAGAUGAUGGUGGUGGAGUUGUUGCAAUAUUUGAUUCCAAGAGGGCCAUUAAUCUUUGAUUUAUACCUCGGAGAUCUGUGAUAUGUUUCUCCAUCAAAACAACUUCACGAGUGAGAUAAUUAUUGCGAGCACGAGUUGUUUCACAAAACCUCAAGAGUUCAAUCAAGGAUGGAGACAGUAGGUGGAGGUAGGGUUGGAGGAAAUCCACUUCUUCAACUUCUUCUUUGUUGAGCACAGAUUGCACUUCGUCCCAUGCCUUUCCCUGAUCUCCAUGACCUCCAUUAUUUUCAGAUAAGCAUUUAUUUCUCCAUAGACUUGAGGGAGAUUGUUCUCCCCCACAGAUUCCUGAGACGACAUCUUGCUCUAAGUCUGCGGCAGAAAACAGGCUCGAAACGAAAACAGAGGAAAUUUGCAUGAUACGAGGGUCAGACCUUACGGGAGAAUAUAUAAUGAUUUUUUUCCGACCAUAAGGAGUACUCCGCAAGAAAAUGGAGUCCGGGAGGCACACGAGGUGGCCACAAGCCCCAGAGGCGCGGCCACGGGGUGGGCCCGCACCUUGCAGGCUUGUCGCGUCCUCGUGCGUUUUCCGAACUACUUUCAUUUUUUCUAUUCUUUCAAAUAUUCCAAAACGGAGAAAAAUUCCUACUGGAAAAGUUUUGGAGUCUGUUUUCUUACCGAAUCACAUACCUCUUCGUUUUCGGAGUCUGAAACAGGCUGAUAAAUAUCCCUUAGGUAUUCUUCCGGAGUUAUGGUAUUGAUAAUAUUGCUUUCAACAUUUUAUGGGAGUACCUGAGAUAUAAUGCUUGAUUCUCUGCCCAUUUACAACUCUCAGACAAUUACCUUCCGUGUUGUUGAUCUUGAUAGCACCGGAACGAUAUACUUCCUCAACAAUAUAGGGACCUUCCCAUUUAGAGAGAAGCUUGCCUGCAAAAAAUCUUAAACGAGAAUUAUAUAGCAAGACAUAACCACCUACAUUGAACUCACACUUUUGUAUCCUCUUAUCAUGCCACCUCUUAACCUUUUCUUUGAACAACUUGGCAUUUUCAUAUGCCUGAGCUCUCCAUUCAUCAAGCGAGCUAAUGUCAAAUAACCUCUUCUCACCAGCAAGUUUGGAAUCAAAGUUGAGCUCUUUGAUUGCCCAAUAAGCUUUAUGCUCUAGCUCAAGAGGUAAAUGACAUGCUUUGCCGUACACCAUUUUGUACGGAGACAUGCCCAUGGGAUUCUUAUAGGCAGUUCUAUAAGCCCACAGUGCAUCAUCGAGCUUCUUAGACCAGUUCUUUCUAGACCUGUUGACAGUCUUUUGCAGAAUUAGUUUAAUUUCUCUAUUGCUUAGCUCUACUUGACCACUGGACUGAGGGUGAUAGGGGGACGCAAUUCUAUGGUUGACAUCGUACUUAGCAAGCGUUUUACGGAAAGCACCAUGAUUGAAAUGUGAACCACCAGUAGUCAUUAGAUAUCUAGGGACUCCAAAUCUAGGGAAAAUAACUUCUUUAAGCAUCCUGAUAGAAGUGUUGUGAUCAGCACUACUGGUGGGGAUAGCUUCUACCCACUUAGUGACGUAAUCAACAACAACUAGGAUAUGAGUAUACCCGUUGGAUUUUGGAAACGGUCCAAUAUAAUCAAAGCCCCAGACAUCAAAUGGAUCAAUCCAAGUGAAUAGUUCAUAGGCAUUUCCUGACGUUUACCGAUAUUACCUAUUGUUUGACAUUCAAUUUCACAAGACAAGACAAACUUACGGGCAUCCUUGAAGAGAGUGGGCCAAUAGAAACCUGAUUGCAAUACCUUGUGUGCAGUUCUAUCUCCCGCAUGGUGUCCUCCGUAGGCCUCAGAGUGACACUUCUAUAGGAUCUGUCCCUGUUCAUGUUUAGGUACACAACGUCUAAUAACACCAUCUACUCCUUCCUUAUAAAGGUAAGGAUCAUCCCAGAAGUAAUGUCUCAAGUCGAAGAAGAAUUUCUUAUUUUGCUGGUAUGUGAAACUAGGUGGUAUAUAUUUGGCAACAAUAUAGUUUGCAUAAUCAGCAUACCACUGUGCGCUAUGUGAAGCAUUGAUGACAUUCAAUUGCUCAUCGGGAAAGUUAUCAUCAAUAGGUUGUGGGUCAUCAAGAACGUUCUCCAACUUAGAAAAGUUAUCUGCUACUGGGUUAUCAGCACCCUUCCUAUCGACAACAUGCAAGUCAAAUUCUUGUAGCAAGAGAACCCAUAUGAUAAUUCUAGGUUUAGCGUCUUUCUUCUCCAUGAGGUACUUAAUAGCAGCGUGAUCAGUGUGAAUAGUGACUUUGGAUUCAACUAUGUAAGACCUGAACUUUUCACAUGCAAAGACGACUGCUAAAAAUUUCUUUUCCGUAGUAGCAUAGUUUCUUUGGGCACUGUCUAGAGUUUUACUAGCAUAGUGAAUAACAUUCAACUUCUUAUCAACUCUUUUCCCUAGGACAACACCAACAUCAUAAUCACUAGCAUCACACAUGAUUGUUGGAAAACGUCGCAUGGGAAACAAAAAAAUUCCUACGCGCACGAAGACCUAUCAUGGUGAUGUCCAUCUACGAGAGGAGAUUUGGAUCUACGUACCCUUGUAGAUUGCAUAGCAGGAAGCGUUAAGAAACAUGGUUGAUGUAGUGGAACAUCUUCACGUCCCUCGAACCGCCCCAUGAACCGUCCCGCGAUCCAUCCCACGGUCCGUCCCACGAUCCGUCCCACGAACCGUCUCGCGAUCCGUUGCACGAACCGUCUUGCGAUCCAUCUCAUGAUUCGUUCCGAUCUAGUGCCGAACGGACGGCACCUCCGCGUUCAGCACACGUACAGCUCGAUGAAGAUCUCCACCUUCUUGAUCCAGCAAGAGGGGGCGGAGAGGUAGAAUAGUUCUCCGGCAGCGUGACGGCGCUCCGGUGGUGGUGACGAUCUAAUCCUGCAAGGCUCCGCCCGAGCUCCGCAGAAAUAUGAUCUAGAGGAAAAACUGCGUGGUAUAGGGUCGAGCAGCAUGUGGCAAAGUUGUGUCUCAAAAACCCUCAACACCUCUAGUACAUAUAGGAGGGAGGGAGGGGAGGAGGCAGCCUCAAACCCUCAAGGUUUGGCCAAAAUUGGAGGUGGAGGAGUCCUACUCCAAUCCUACUUGGAGUAGGAUUCCACCUUCCCACUUGGAAACUCUUUCCACCUUGUGUUUUUUCCUACUCAAACCCUAUGGGCCUUAGUGGGAACUUAUUCCAGCCCACUAGGGUCUGGUUUAUCUCUUCCCAUAGCCCAUGAGACCCCUUGGGGCGUGACACUCCUCCCGAUGGUCCCCGGCACCCCUCCCGGCACUCCCAGUACACUACCGAUGAGCCCGAAACUUUUCCGGUGACCAAAACAGGACUUCCUAUAUAUCAAUCUUUACCUUCGGACCAUUAUGGAGCUCCUCGUGACGUCGUGGAUCUCAUCUGGGACUCCGAACAACUUUCGGUUACCAACACCUAUAACUCAACUAUACUGAAACGUCACCGAACCUUAAGUGUGCAGACCCUGCGGGUUCGAGAACUAUGUAGACAUGACCCGGGACACUCCUCGGUCAAUAUCCAAUAGCAUGACCUGGAUGCCCAUAUUGGAUCCUACAUAUUCUCCCAAGAUCUUAUCGGUUGAACCUCAGUGUCAAGGAUUCAUAUAAUCCCGUAUGUCAUUCCCUUUAUCCUUCGGUAUUUUACUUGCCCAAGAUAUGCUCGUCGGUAUCCGCAUACCUAUUUCAAUCUCGUUAUCGGCAAGUCUCUUUACUCGUUCCGUAAUACAAGAUCUCGUGACUUACACUUAGUCACAUUGCUUGCAAGGCUUGUGUGUGAUGUUGUAUUAUCGAGUGGGCCCCGAGAUACCUCUCCGUCACACGGAGUGACAAAUCCCAGUCUUGAUCCAUACUAACUCAACGGGCACCUUCGGAGAUACCUGUAGAGCACCUUUAUAGUCACCCAGUUACGUUGCAACAUUUGAUGCACACAAGGUAUUCCUUCGGUGCCAGUGAGUUAUAUGAUCUCAUGGUCAUAGGAACAAAUACUUGACACGCAGAAAACAAUAGCAAUAAAACGACACGAUCAAUAUGCUACGUUCAUAGUUUGAGUCUUGUCCAUCACAUGUUUCUCCUAAUGAUGUGAUCCCGUUAUCAAGUGACAACACUUGCCUAUGGCCAGGAAACCUUGACCAUCUUUGAUCAACGAACUAGUCAACUAGAGGCUCACUAGGGACAGUGUGUUGUCUAUGUAUCCACACAUGUAUUUGAGUUUCCAAUCAAUACAAUUUUAGCAUGGAUAAUAAACGAUUAUUAUGAACAAGGAAAUAUAAUAAUAACUAAUUUAUUAUUGCCUCUAGGGCAUAUUUCAUCCUAUAAUAAAUGAUUAUUAUGAACAAGGAUAACUUUGAUCAUUUUUUAGUGAUUCAAUCCUGGAUCACUCUUUGUACCUCUUAACAGACUUGUGGCAAGGCACACAUCAGGUGCGGUACACAUCAUGGCAUACUGUAGAGUCUAUGGCUAAGGCAUAGGGACGACCUUCGUCCUUUCUCUUUCUUCUGUCCUGGUCGGGCUUUUGAGUCUUACUCAUAUUCACACCUUACAACACAGCCAAGAACUCCUUAUUUGCUGAUCUAUUUUGAACUCCUUCGAAAACUUGUCAAGGCAUGCAUUUCAUUUGAAAGUUCUGUUUAGAAUUUUUUAUCUAUCUCCAUAGAUGUUGAUGGUCAAUGUUUAAGUAGCUCUAUCCAGGUCUUGCUUUGAAAAAACCCCUUUCAAACAACCUUUAUGCAUUACAGAUAUUCUACAUUACUUUCGAUCAACAAUAUGUCAACCACAUAUACUUAUCAGAAAUUCUAUAAUGCUCCCACUCACAUCUUUGGAAAUACAAGUUUCUCAUAAACCUUGUACAAACCCAAAAGCUUUGAUCGUCUCAUUAAAGCGUAUAUUCCAACUCCGAGAUGCUUGCACCAGUCCAUAAAAGGAUCGCUGGUGCUUGCAUACUUGUUAGUAUCCUUAGGAUCGACAAAACCUUCUGAUUGUAUCGCAUACAAUCUUUUCUCAAGGAAACUAUCGAGGAAACAAUGUUUUGACUUCCUAUGUGCAAUAUUUCUCAAAUAAUGCAGCAACCACUAACAUAAUUCCAGCAGACUUUUAGCAUCGUUACGAGUGAGAAAUUCUCAUCAUAGUCAACUCUUUGAUCUCAUCGAAAACAUCUUUGCGACAAGUCGAGCUUUUCUCUAAUGGUGAAUAGUCACCAUUAUCGUUUGUUUUCUUUUAAAGAUCCAUCAUUACUUAAUAGUCUUACUACCAUCAAGUAGUUCUUCCAAAGUCUACACUUUGUUAUAUACAUGGAUCCUCUCUCGGAUUUCAUGGCCUCCAACCAUUUGUCCGAAUCCGGGCCCACCAUCACUUCUUCCUAGCUCGUAAGUUCAUUGUUGUUCAACAAUAUGACCUCCAAGACAGGGUUACCAUACCACUUUGUAGUAGUACGCGACCUUGUCGACCUACGAGGUUUGUAGUGACUUGAUCCGAAGCUCAAUGAUCACCAUCAUCAGUCUUCUACUUCAAUUGGUGUAGGCACCACAGGAACAACUUCCUGCGCCCUACUACACACUGGUUGAAGUGACGGUUCAAUAACCUUAUCAAGUUCCACCACUCUCCCACUCAAUUCUUUUGAGAGAAACCUUUCCUCGAGAAAGGAUCCGUUUCUAGAAACAAACACUUUGCUUCCGGAUCUGAGAUAGGAGAUGUAUCCAACUGUUUUGGAUAUCCUAUGAAGAUGCAUUUAUCCGCUUUGGGUUCGAGCUUAUCAGACUGAAACUUUUUCACAUAAGCAUCGCAGUCCCAAACUUUCAAGAAAUGACAACUUAGGCUUCUCCAAACCAUAGUCUAUACUGUGUCAUUUCAACGGAAAUACGCGGUGCCCUAUUUAAAGUGAAUGUGGUUGUCUCUAAUGUAUAACCCAUAAACGAUAGUGGUAAUUCGAUAAGAGAGAUCAUAGUAUGCACCAUAUCAAAUAGGGCGUGGCUAUGACGUUCAGACACAUCAUCACACUAUGGUGUUCCAGGUGGCAUGAACUGCGAAACAAUUUUCAUUUUGUCUUAACUACGUACAAAAAACUCGUAACUCAGAUAUUCAUCUCUAUGAUCAUAUCGUAGACAGUUUAUCCUCUUGUCACGACGAUCUUCACUCUGAAAUUGCUUUGAACUUUUCAAUAUUUCAGACUUGUGAUUCAUCAAGUAAAUACUCAUGUAUCUACUCAAAUCGUGAGUGAAGUAAGAACAUAACGAUAUCCACUGCGUGCCUUAGCACUCAUUGGACUGCACACAUAAAAAUUCAUUACUCCCAACAAGUUACUCUCUUGUUUCAUGUGGCAUGUUUUCCAUGUCUCAAGUGAUUCAAAAUCAAGUGAGUCCAAACGAUCCAUCUCUAUGGAGUUUCUUCAUGCAUUUUAUACCAACAUGACUCAAGUGGCAGUGCCCCAACUAAGUGGUACUAUCAUUGUUACAUUGUAUCUUUUGGCACCAAUAUUAUGAACAUGUGUAACACUACUAUCGAGAUUCAAUAAACCAUUGAGGGUAAUUAUUCAAGAAAAUAGAAUAACUAUUAUUCUCUUUAAAUGAAUAAUCAUAUUGCAAUAAACACGAUCCAAUCAUGUUCAUGCUCAACGCAAACACCAAAUAAUAAUUAUUUAGGUUUUACCACCAAUCCCGAUGAUAGAGGGAGCGUGCAAUGUUUGAUCACAUCAACCUUGGAAACACUUCCAACACGUAACGUCACCUCGCCUUUAGCUAGUCUCCGUUUAUACCGUAGCUUUCAUUUCGAGUUACUAAUCACUUAGUAACCGAACCGGUAUCCAAUACCCUCGUGCUACUAGGAGUACUAGUAAAGUACACAUCAAUAUCAUGUAUAUCAAAUAUACUUCUGUCGACUUUGCCAGCCUUCUUAUCUACCAAGUAUCUAGGGUAGCUCAGCCUCAGUGACCGUUCCCCUCAUAACAGAAGCACUUAGUCUCGGGUUUGGGUUCAAUUUUGGGUUUCUUCAUUAGAGCAGCAACUGGUUUGCCGUUUCAUGAUGUAUCCCUUCUAGCCCUUGCCCUUCUUGAAACUAGUGGUUUUACUAACCAUCAACAAUUGAUGCUCCUUCUUGAUUUCUACUUUCGCAGUGUCAAACAUUGCGAAUCACUCAAGGAUCAUGAUAUCUAUCCUUGAUUUGUUUAUAGUUCAUCACGAAGCUCUAGCAGCUUAGUAGCAGUGACUUUGGAGAACCAUCACUAUCUCAUCUGGAAGAUUAACUCCCACUUGAUUCAAGUGAUUGUUGUACUCAGACAAUCUGAGAACAUGCUCAACAAUUUGAGUUUUUCUCCUCUAAUUUUUAGACAAAGAAUCUUGUCGGAGGUCUCACACCUCUCAACAAGGGCACGAGCAUGAAAUCUCUAUUUCAUCUCCUAGAACAUCUCUUAUGUUCCCCGACAUUUCAAAACGUCUUCGGCGCCUUGCUUCUAAGCCAUUAAGUAUCACGCACUGAACUAUCACGUAGUCAUCAAAACGUGUAUGUCAGAUGUUCGCAACAUCCACAAACGACGCUCGAGGUGCAGCACACCGAGUGGUGCAUUAAGGACAUAAGCCUUCUGCGUAGCAAUGAGGACAAUCCUCAGUUUUACGGACUCAGUCCGCAAAGUUGCUACUAUCAACUUUCAACUAAAUUUUCUCUAGGAACAUAUAAAAACAGUAGAGCUAUAGCGCAAGCUACAUCGUAAUUCGCAAAGACCAUUAGACUAUGUUCAUGAUAAUUAGUUCAAUUAAUCAUAUUACUUAAGAACUCCCACUCAAAGAGUACAUCUAUCUGGUCAUUUGAGUGGUACAUGAUCCAAAUCCACUAUCUCAAGUCCGAUCAUCAUGUGAGUCAAGAAUAGUUUCAGUGGUAAGCAUCUCUAUGCAAAUCAUAUCAACUAUACGAUUCAUGCUCGACCUUUCGGUCUCAUGUGUUUUGAGGCCAUGUAUGCACAUGCUAGGCUCGUCAAGCUUAACCCGAGUGUUCCGCGUGUGCAACUAUUUUGCACCCGUUGUAUGUGAAUGUUGAGUCUAUCACACCCGAUCGUCACGUGGUGUCUCGCACGAUGAACUGUCGCAACGGUGCACAGUCGGGGAGAACACAAUUUCGUGUUGAAAUUUUAGUGAGAGAUCACCUCAUAAUGCUACCGUCGUUCUAAGCAAAAUAAGGUGCAUAAAAGGAUUAACAUCACAUGCAAUUCAUAAGUGACAUGAUAUGGCCAUCAUCAUCUGCUUCUUGAUCUCCAUCACCAAAGCACCGACACGAUCUUCUUGUCAUCGACACCACACCAUGAUCUCCAUCAUCAUGAUCUCCAUCAACGUGUCACCAUCGGGGUUGUCGUGCUACUUAUGCUAUUACUACUAAAGCUACAUCCUAGCAAUAUAGUAAACGCAUCUGCAAACACAAACGUUAGUUUAAAGACAACCCUAUGCCUCCUGCCGGUUGCCGUACCAUCGACGUGCAAGUCGAUAUUAACUAUUACAACAUGAUCAUCUCAUACAUCCAAUAUAUCACAUCACGUCAUUGGCGAUAUCAUAUCACAAGCAUACCCUGCAAAAACAAGUUAGACAUCCUCUAAUUGUUGUUGCAUGUUUUACGUGGCUGCUAUGGGUAUCUAGAAGAUUGCAUCUUACUUACAAAAAAACCACAACGGAGAUGUCCAAAUUGCUAUUUAACCUCUCCAAGGACCGCCUCGGUCAAAACCAAUUCAACUAAAGUUGAAGAAACCGACACCCGCCAGUCAUCUUUAUGCAACGAGGUUGCAUGUCAAGCGAUGAAACUAGUCUUUCGUAAGCGUACGAAUAAUGUCGGUCCGGGCCGCUUCAAUCCAACAAUACCGCCGAUUCGAGAAAAGACUAAGGAGGGAAGCAAAUUGAACAUCACUGUCCACAAAACCGUUUGUGUUCUACUCGAUAUUACAUCUAUGCAUGAACCUAGCUCAUGAUGCCACUGUUGGAAAACGUCGCAUGUGAAACAAAAAAAUUCCUACGCGCACGAAGAACUAUCAUGGUGAUGUCCAUCUAUGAGAGGAGAUUUCGAUCUAUGUACCCUUGUAGAUCGCACAGCAGGAAGCGUUAAGAAACGCGGUUCAUGUAGUGGAACAUCUUCACGUCCCUCGAACCGCCCCACGAACCGCCCCAUGAUCCGUCCCAUGGUCCGUCCCGCGAUCAGUCCCACGAACCGUCUCGCGAUCCGUUGCACGAACAGUCUUGCGAUCCAUCUCAUGAUCCGUUCCGAUCUAGUGCCGAAUGGACGGCACCUCCACGUUCAGUACACGUACAGCUCGAUGAAGAUCUCCGCCCGAGCUCCGCAGAAAUACAAUCUAGAGGAAAAAUGCGUGGUAUAGGGUCGAGGAGCAUGUGGCAAAGUUGUGUCUCAAAAACCCUCAACACCUCUAGUACAUAUAGGAGGGAGGGAGGGGAGGAGGUAGCCUAAAACCCUCAAGGUUUGGCCAAAAUUGGAGGUGGAGGAGUCCUACUCCAAUCCUACUUGGAGUAGGAUUCCACCUUCCCACUUGGAAACUCUUUCCACCUUGUGUUUUUUCCUUCUCAAACCUUAUGGGCCUUAGUGGGAACUUAUUCCAGCCCACUAGGGUCUGGUUUAUCUCUUCCCAUAGCCCAUGAGACCCCUUGGGGCGUGACACUCCUCCCGAUGGUCCCCGGCACCCCUCCCGGCACUCCCGAUACACUACCGAUGAGCCCGAAACUUUUCUCGUGACCAAAAAAGGAUUUCCUAUAUAUUAAUCUUUACCUCCGGACCAUUCCGGAGCUCCUCGUGACGUCUUGGAUCUCAUAUGGGACUCCGAACAACUUUCGGUUACCAAUACCUAUAACUCAACUAUACCGAAACGUCACCGAACCUUAAAUGUGCAGACCCUACAGGUUCGAGAACUAUGUAGACAUGACCCGAGACAAUCCUCGGUCACUAUACAAUAGCAGGACCUAGAUGCCCAUAUUGGAUCCUACAUAUUCUCCGAAGAUCUUAUCGGUUGAACCUCAGUGUCAAUGAUUCAUAUAAUCUCGUAUGUCAUUCUCUUUGUCCUUCGGUAUGUUACUUGCCCGAGAUUUGAUCGUCGGUAUCCGCAUACCUAUUUCAAUCUCGUUACCGGGAAGUCCCUUUACUCAUUAUGUAAUACAAGAUCCUGUGACUUACACUUAGUCACAUUGCUUGCAAGGCUUGUGUGUGAUGUUGUAUUACCGAGUGGGCCCCGAGAUACCUCUCCGUCACACGGAGUGACAAAUCCCAGUCUUGAUCCAUACUAACUCAACGGACACCUUCGGACAUACCUGUAGAGAACCUUUAUAGUCACCCAGUUACGCUGCGACGUUUGAUGCACACAAGGUAUUCCUCCGGUGCCAGUGAGUUAUAUGAUCUCACGGUCAUAGGAACAAAUACUUGACACGCAAAAAUUAAUAGCAAUAAAACGACAUGAUCAAUAUGGUACGUUCAUAGUUUGGGUCUUGUCCAUCACAUGAUUCUCCUAAUGAUGUGAUCCCGUUAUCAAGUGGCAACACUUGCCUAUGGCUAGGAAACCUUGACCAUCUUUGAUCAACGAACUAGUCAACUGGAGGCUCACUAGGGACAGUGUGUUGUCUAUGUAUCCACACAUGUAUUUGAGUUUCCAAUCAAUAAAAUUCUAGCAUGGAUAAUAAACGAUUAUUAUGAACAAGGAAAUAUAUUAAUAACUAAUUUAUUAUUGCCUCUAGGGCAUAUUUCCAACAAUGAUUUCAAAAGGUAAGUUCCAAUCAGGUGGUUGAGCAAUAGGUGCGGCUAUCAAAGCCUUCUUAAGUAUUUCGAAGGCUUCCUCACAGUCAUCGUAAAAAACAAAAGGAAUAUCCUUUUGUAAGAGAUUGGUAAGAGGCCUAGAAAUCUUAGAGAAGUCCUUUUGAACCUUCUAUAGAAACCAGCAUGACCAAGGAAACUUCUUAUACCUUUGGUAUGUGUGGGGUAUGUCAUUUUCUCGAUUGCAUGAACCUUAGCCUUAUCGACUUCAAUACCUCUUUCAGAAAUUUUAUGACCUAAGACGAUUCCUUCAUUAACCAUAAAGUGGCACUUCUCCCAAUUCAAGACAAGAUUGGUAUCUUUACAUCUCUGCAAGACCCGAUCAAGGUUGCUGAGGCAAUCAUCAAAAGAAGACCCGUAAACAGAGAAGUCAUCCAUGAAAACCUCGACAAUCUAUUCGCAAAAUUCAGAGUAUAUAGCCAUCAUACAUCUUUGAUAGGUGGCAGGUGCAUUACAUAAGCCAAAAGGCAUACAUCUAUAAGCAAAGGUACCGAAAGGGCAGGUGAAAGUGGUUUUCUCCUGGUCAGAUUGUGCAACUGGUAUUUGGGAGAAACCAGAAUAACCGUCUAGAAAGCAUAAGUGUGUGUGUUUAGAUAGCCUUUCUAGCAUUUGGUCGAUAAAAGGCAAAGGGUAAUGAUCUUUCCUAGUGGCUUUAUUCAAUUUCCUAAAAUCAAUCACCAUCCUAUAGCGAGUGAUAAUCCUCUCUAGGAUCAAUUCAUCCUUAUCAUUAGGGACUACGGUAAUGCCUCCCUUCUUAGGGACAUAAUGCACCGGACUCACCCAAUCACUAUGACCAAGAGGAUAUAUAAUACCUGCUUCCAGGAGCUUUAGUAUUUCUUUUCUUACUACCUCUUUAAUCUUAGGAUUUAACAUCCGUUGAUGAUCAGCAACUGGCUUGGACUCAGGAUCAGUUUUGAUCUUGUGCUGGCAUAGAGUGGUACUAAUGCCCUUAAGAUCAUCAAGAGUAUAUCCAAUAGCAGCACGGUGCUUCCUCAGAGGUUUUAAUAACUUCUUUUCUUCAUGCUCUGAGAGGCUAGCACAAAUAAUAACAGGAUAUAUCUCUUUUUCAUCAAGAUAAGCAUACUUAAGAGUAUCAGGCAACUAUUUAAGCUCGAACACAGGAUCACCCUUUGGUGGGGGUGGAUCCCCAAGCAGUUCAACAUGCAAAUUAUUCUUAAGUAUAGGAUAUUGUUCAAAGAUAACUCUACCUAUUUCAUUCCUUUCAUCCAUAUGCAUAUGAUUUUCAUGCUCAAGCAAGUAUUGCUCUAAGGGAUCAGUAGGAGGCACAACAAUAGAAGCUAGGGCGAUAGUUUCAUCCUUACUAGGCAACUCUUUUUCAUAAGGUUGUCUACCAAACUAGGAGAAAUUGAACUCAUGUGACACACCUUCAAAGCCAACAAUGACAAUUUGCUUCUCACAGUCAAUAUGAGCAUUGAUAGUAUUGAGAAAAGGUCUGCCAAAUAUGAUGGGACAAAAGCUAUCUUGAGUGGUAGAAAGAACGAGGAAAUCAGCAGGAUACUUUGUUUUACCACACAAGACUUCAACAUCCCUAACAAUUCCCAUAGGGCAGAUAGUAUCUCUAUUGGCAAGAUGAAUAGUGACAUCAAUAGGUUCUAUCUCAAUAGGUGCAAUCUCGUCUUUGAUUUCAUCAUAUAAGGAUUGAGGUAUUGCACUAACACUAGCACCCACGUCACAUAAACCAUGAUAGCAAUGAUCUCCUAUCUUAACAGAAACAAUAGGCGUGCCAACAACACGCCUAUGUUUGUCUCUAGCGUGAGGUUUAGCAAUUCCAGCAGCAUCUUCACAUAAGUGAAUAUUAUGUCCCUCAACAUCGUCAGACAGGAGAUCUUUGAUAAUAGCAAUGCUAGGUUCAACUCUAAUUUGCUCAGGGGGUGUAGGUGUUCUAAUGUAGCCUCUACGUAUCACAGUUGAAGCUUUAGAAUGAUCCUUUAUCCUAACAGGGAAAGGUGGUUUCUCAAUGUAAGCACUGGGAACAAUAGGAUCAUUAUAGGCAAUGACUUUCUCUUCCACUGGAUUGGGUUUAACUACAUUGACUUCUAAGGGAGGAUGAUAUUUAAACCACUUCUCUUUGGGGAGAUCAAUAUGAGCAGCAAAUGAUUCACACAAUGAAGCUACUAUCUUAGAGUCAAGUCCAUACUUAGCGCUAAAAUCACAAAAGGUAUUUGUUUCAACAAACGAUUUAACGCAAUCAAACUUGAAAUUCAUACCUGACUCCAUACCUUAUUCAAGCUCCCAAUCUUCAGAGUUGCGUUUAAUUCUUUCCAAUAAAUUCCAUUUGAAGUCAAUAUCUCUCUUCAUAAAAGAACCGGUACAAGAAGUGUCAGGAAUGGUGCGAUCAUCAUGAGAAAGCCGAGCAUAGAAGUUCAGAAUGAUAAUUUCUCUCGAGAGCUCAUGAUUGGUGCAUGAAUAUAACAUUGACUUAAGACUCUCCCAAGCUUGAGCGAUGCUUUCUCUAGCACGAGGCCAAAAAUUGUAAAUAUAAUUCCGAUCACGAUGUACUAGAUGCAUAGGAUAAAACUUUUGAUGAAAUUCCAAUUUCAACCGAUUGUAGUUCCAUGAUUCAGUAUCAUCACAUAGCCUAUACCAUGUCAACGCCUUAUCCCUCAAAGAUAAGGGAAAGACCUUCUUCUUGACCUCAUCCUUGGGCAAACCUGCAAGCUUAAAUAAACCACAAACUUCAUCUACAUAGAUUAGAUGCAAGUCUGGAUGUGAUGUUCCAUCUCCUGUAAAAGGAUUAGCCAGCAGUUUCUCAAGCAUACCCGAAGGAAAUUCAAAGCAAAUAUUUUCAGUAGGUGCAGCAAGUUGAGGAGCAACUCUUUGUGCUUCCAUUCGAGGUGAAGAUACCCCAAACAAGCCCCCCAAAGGAUUAGUUUCCAUAGUGACAAGCGACAAUAAAUUUGAGCACACUAUGAAUGUUUCCUUACCAAGUUCCACUUACCAAAGGCGCUUCACUCCCCGACAACAGCGCUAGAAAAGAGUCUUGAUGACCCACAAGUAUAGGGGAUCUAUCGUAGUCCUUUCAAUAAGUAAGAGUGUCGAACCCAACGAGGAGCAGAAGGAUCUGACAAGUGGUUUUCAGCAAGGUAGUAUCUGUAGGCGCUGAAAUUAUCGGUAACAAGUGGUUGUGUGGUGAGAUGAUUCGUAGAAAGUAGCAAGUAACAAAAGUAACAAUGGUGCAGCAAAGUGGCCAAAUCCCUUUUGUAGCAAGGGACAAGCCUGGAAAAACUCUUACAGGAGAAAAAAUGCUCCCGAGGACACACGAGAAUUUCUGUCAUGCUAGUUUUCAUCAUGUUCAUAUGAUUCACGUUCGUUACUUUGAUAGUUUGAUAUGUGGGUGGACCGGCGCUUGGGUACUGACCUUACUUGGAAAAUAAUCCCACUUAUGAUUAACCCCUCUCGCAAGAAUCCGCAACUACGAAAGAAGAAUUAAGACAAAGUCUAACCAUAGCAUUAAACUAGUGGAUCCAAAUCAGCCCCUUACGAAGCAAGGCAUAAACUAGGGUUUAAGCUUCUGUCACUCUAGCAACCCAUCAUCUACUUACUACUUCCCAAUGCCUUCCUCUAGGCCCAAAUAAUGGUGAAGUGUUAUGUAGUCGACGUUCACAUAACACCACUAGAGGAAAGACAACAUACAACACAUCAAAAUAUCGAACGAAUGCCAAAUUCGUAUGACUACUUAUAGCAUGACUUAUCCCAUGUCCUCAGGAACAAAAGUAACUACUCACAAAGCAUAAUCAUAUUCUUGACCAGAGAGGUAAUGAGUAGCAUCGAAGAUCCGAAAAUAAAAUCUUCCACCAAGUAAUCCAACUAGCAUCAAUUAUAAGGAGUAAUUAACACUACUAGUAACCUUACAAGUACCAAUCGGAGUCGCGAGACGGAGAUUGGUUACAAGUGUUGAACUAGGGUUUGGAGAUGAGAUGGUGCUGAUGAAAAUGUUGAUGGUGAUGAGUCGCCUCCGAUGAGAGGAGUGUUGGUGAUGACGAUGGCGACGAUUUCCCCCUCCGGGAGGGAAGUUUCCCCGACAGGAUCGUCCUGUCGGAGCUCUAGAUUGGUUCUCCUCAAGUUCCGCCUCGUGGCGGCGGCGAAUCCUCCGAAAAGCCUGCUCUUGAUUUUUUCCAAACUGAAACCCUUCUUGUAGCAAAAGAGGGCGGCCAGUGGGCCAGCAGGGAGCCCACAAGCCCCCUAGGCAUGACCAGGGGGUGGCCGUGCCUAGCAGGCUUGUGGCCACCUGCUGGCGCCCUACGGGCACUUCUUCGGCCCAGUAUUUUUUAUAAAUCCCAAAAAAAUCCACGUUGAUUUUCACGGAUUUUGGAGUUGCGCAAAAUAGGCAUCUCAAACUUGCUCCUUUUUCAGGCCAGAAUUCCAGCUGCCGGCAUUCUCCCUCUUCAUGUAAACCUUGCAAAAUAAGAGAGAAAAGCCAUAAGUAUUGUACCGUGAAGUGAAAUAACAUCCCAAAAAGCGAUAAAUAUCAACAUGAAAUCAUGAUGCAAAAUGGACGUAUCAUGCCCCCCUCCCCCACGCUUGGAGUUGGUCUCGGUGACCCCCAUCGUACCUAACUCCAUGGAGCGUGUUGGUUCCUCUUCUUCGGUCGGUGCUCAACAGAGUGCGAGGCUCGGUCAGUCUUGGACUCUUCACAACCACCAUGUUCUGAUAAUCCCAGAGAAGGCUCCCAUGCGGGCCGCUGCUCGCAAUCUCUCCCCACGUAUCCCCAACUCCCUUUGUUCCUUCCUGCUCUGGUUCAAGGUUCCUUGUUCUGGAUUCAAUCCCGUUUGCACACUUGGGCGAUGUGGAUGUCGAUAGUGAAUUUGUAUUCUGAGGCAAGAUGGGUUCCCGUCUUGAGAAGAUCUCCACUAUUUGCGCUAAGGAGAAGCUAGAUGGGGCACUUGGAGAGGCCCGAGCUCGUGCUGAGCGAGAGGUUGCGAGUUCCCCGGACCCUACUGACCUCGGACAUAGCGAGGCUUGGGUUAGCAUGGAACCUCCUCUUGAGAGUAGGGGGAGUGCAACCCUUCCUUCCCCUCCUCCGGUGAGGGUUCUGAGAGGCAGGAAUCCCACGCGUAUCCACCCCACUGAGCACCAAUUAGUUGUGCAUGGGGUUAGUGAUGGGGCUCCUCCUCAUGAGUCGUCGGUUGCCGAGGGCCCCCAUACACGGGGGAAACAUGGCCAUCCCACGAAGUCCGACACCCAUCCCGCGAUUACUGGAGGGCUAGUUUGGCCCCACCCGAGGGGCCUAGGACUUCCCCGGAUGUUCCAGUAUGAUCCUUUGUUGGAACAUUUGUGGAUUUGGCCACCUCGGACAAAGGCACUAGCUUAUUGAAUAUCUAUGGCAUGAAGAGAUUGACAUCAGUGGCUUUCAAAAAAUGAUUCGACAGGACUUCUCCAUUCCAGAGCUCCAUGGAAUAUCGAGACAUCAGUUUGCUUGGUAGUGGUUGCCCGCUUCUGGGCAGUGUGGGGGCAUUCUACUCGGGGUCCAGAAAGACUACUUCUCGGUCAAGGACAUGCAUCGAGGAGAAUUCUUCCUUAGUAUGUCCAUCACGGAUCGUCGCGUUAACCUCAACUUGGCGGGGAUCAUCGUCUAUGGCCCGAUGGACCAUGGAAGUUCUGCAGACUUUCUAGACAAGCUUAAAAGCAAAGUUGAGCAGUGUACCACCCUCGUGGUGGUUGCACGUGACUUCAAACUCAUUAGGUGGGCUUGUGACACGAGCUCACCUAAUCUUGAUCGCAUGUGCAUGCACUUAUUUAAUGACUUCAUUGCGGACCUGGUCCUGUGGGACAUAGCCAUUGUGGGGAGGUACACGUGGACGAAUAAACAAGUGGACCCUAUCCGGAGUGUGGUUGAUAGGGUCUUUAUCUCAGCUCAAUGGGAACUCAGGUUCCCAUUUGGCUUCGACCAUGCCCCUUGAUGUUCUCCUCUAGGGAUGACGCCCCCUAGACCGCGUCGUUUUAACUUUGAGGCAUUUUGGUUACUGCGAUCGGGCUUCGUGGAGUUGGUUAAGACCCGCUGGCUUGAGGUUGCAGUGUCCCCAUGCUACCUCUUGAGCUUGCGUUGCUUUUUCCCUUGAAGAGGAAAGGGUGAUGCAGCACAGUAGCAGUAAGUAUUUCCCUUAGUUUGAGAACCAAGGUAUCAAUCCAGUAGGAGAAUCAAGCCAAGUGUCCAGAGUACCUUCGCAAACACAAACGAGCUUGCACCCAAUGCUAUAAAGGGGUUGUCAAUCCCUUCAAGAUUGAUUGCAAAGUGAGAUCUGAAGGCCGAAAGUGCAACGAAGUAAAAGUGUAAGGCUGAAAAUAUGAUGUGAAGUAGACCCGGGGUUCAUCGUGUUCACUAGAGGCUUCUCUCAAAAUAGCAAAUAUUACGGUGGGUGAACAAAUUACUGUCGAGCAAUUGAUAGAACCGUGCAAAGUCAUGACGAUAUCUAAGGCAAUGAUCAUACAUAUAGGCAUCACGUCUGAGAUAAGUAGACCGAUACUUUCUGCAUCUACUACUAUAACUCCACACAUCGACCGCUAUCCAGCAUGCAUCUAGUGUAUUUAGUUCAUCUUUUUACCAAUGAUGUAAAUCCCAUCUUUUUACCCUUGAUGGCAACAACACGAUACGUGCCUCGCUACCCCUUCUGUCACUGGGUGAGGUCACCGCACGGUAUGAACCCAAAACCAAGCACUUCUCCCAUUGCAAGAAUCAUAAAUCAAGUUGGCCAAACAAAACCCAUAACUCGAAGAGAAUUACAUGGAUAUGAAAUCAUGCAUAUAAGAGAUCAGAAGAAACUCAAAUAAGAUUCAUAGAUAAUCUGAUCAUAAAUCCACAAUUCAUCGGAUCUCGACAAACACACCGCAAAAGAAGAUUACAUCGGAUAGAUCUCCAUGAAGAUCAUGGAGAACUUUGUAUUGAAGAUCCAAGAGAGAGAAGAAGCCAUCUAGCUACUAGCUAUGGACCCGAAGGUCUAUGGUGAACUACUCACGCAUCAUCGGAGAGGCAAUGGUGUUGAUGCAGAAACCCUAUGUAUUUGAAUCCCCCCUCCAGCUAGGCAUCAGAACGUGCCCCAGAUGGGAUCUUGCAAAGAGAGAAGCUUGCGGUGGAGGAAAUGUAUUUUCGUGGAUCCUUCUAUAGNNNNNNNNNNNNNNNNNNNNNNNNNNNNNNNNNNNNNNNNNNNNNNNNNNNNNNNNNNNNNNNNNNNNNNNNNNNNNNNNNNNNNNNNNNNNNNNNNNNNCCCGACACGUGUCCCAUGCUCCCCGAUUCGUCCAAGCGGUCCUCUUAUGCACAGGCUGCCCCGCUCCCCCUCUUCUCUACCCUCGCCCUGGACUGACCCUAAGAGCACCCCAGACAUGCCCUCUUCUCUCCCUCAUGCCCCUAUCCUCGACCUCGAGCUCGCCAUGCUCCUCGGCCACGAUGAGCCCGACCACCACAAUAAAAGGGGUCCUCGGGCCUCGAGCUCCUCCCCUAUCGCCUCCCCCCGAUCGUGCACCUGCUCUCCCCCCGCAAGCUCCCGAGCCUCUGUGCCCGAGAUUGAGCCGGAGCUCCGCUACCUCGGGCUACAAUCGUCCAGCCGGUACAGAGCUCCACCCCCCCCCCCGUCGUUUCCUUCUCCUAGAUCCUCUGCGACCCACGGGGCUAACCCCAUCAUAAAUUCGGCAAUUUGCAGGCAAAUCGAGCUCAUCGUCCUUGCCUCCUUCCUCCAUCGCUCGGGUUCGACAUCACCGUCGCUUCUGUCAACUCCAUCGGCCAGCAUCACUACUGAGAGACGCGCACCGACCUCACGAACCCGACGGUGCCCUCAGAAUCCCUGGCCGUGCCUCGUAUCACCGGCGGUGAGAACCCCGCCUCCCUGACCGAGGCUAGGGAUGAUAGGUGGAGCCCACGUGGCAUCCCCUCCCUCUCCCCUCUCUCGCUUCCAAGACGGCCCCGUGGGCAGGUUUAAAAAUAAACCUGUCGGGCGCACCAUUUUGCUAUGGGUCGGAUUCUCUCCUGGGCCGGCUUAGAUGCGACUGUUCUGGCCUAGUUUGCUCUAAGGUCUUUCCUUUUUUCUUUUAUCAAUGGGAUUCCAAAAAUCCCACAGGAUUUAGUAAUUGUCCAAUUACAAUUUUUUCCACCUCAAAUCUUGCAAUAAUCUGUAGUAUUUCAUAGUGCCACUUGUAAAAAUGUUGGAAAAAGUUUUGUGUACUGUUUUAUUUUAAAACCGCAUUUAGGCAUUUUUAGCAACUAUUAAAAGUAUUUGAAAAAUCAUUUUCACUACAAAACUGUGGGGGGCCCGACUUAUGUGUCGAGAUCUCCGAAUGCACGUGUACCGUGAUCCUAGAGAUCAAUGCUCACUAAACACACAUAUNNNNNNNNNNNNNNNNNNNNNNNNNNNNNNNNNNNNNNNNNNNNNNNNNNNNNNNNNNNNNNNNNNNNNNNNNNNNNNNNNNNNNNNNNNNNNNNNNNNNGCGUUGCCGUCAUCUGACUGGUAGAGAGCUCCAUCCCCCCUGUCGUUUCCUUCUCUCGGAACCUCUACGACCCAAGGGGCAGACACCAUCGUCGAUUGGGUAAUUUGCAGGCGUAUCGAGCUCGUCGUCCUCGCCUUCUUCCUCCACAACUCGGGUUCGACGUCACCGUCGCUUGUGCCAACUCCGGCGGCCAGCAUCACUACCCAGAGACGUGCAGCAACCUCACGAACCCGUGGGUGCCCUCAGAAUCCUCGGUCGUGCCUCGUAUCACUGGCGGUGAGAACCCCCGCCUCCCUAACCGAGGUUAGGGAUGAUAGGUGGAGCCCACCUAUCAUCCCCUCCCCCUCCCCUCUCUCACUGCCAAGACGGCCCCAGGGGAAGGUUUAAACAUAAACGUGUCACACACACCGUUUCGCUCUCGGACGGAUUCUCUCCUGGGCCAGCUCAACUGCGACUAUUCUCGCCCAGUUUUCUCUAAGGCCUUUUCCCUUUUUAUUUUAUCAAUGGGAUUCCAAAAAUCCCACAGGAUUUAAUAAUUGUCCUAUUCCAAUUAUUUUUCCACCACAAAUCUUGUAAUAACCUGUAGUGUUUUAUAGUGCUACUUGUGAAAAUGUUUGAAAAAGUAUUGUGUGUUGUUUUAUUUUAACACCACUUUUUAGGCAUUUUUAGCUAUUGCUAAAAGAGUUUUAAAAAUCUUUUUCACUACAAAACUUCAGGAAAAUAUUUUAGUUUUGUAUGUAGAAUUUUUAAGAGUAGAGUAACAUUUUAGAAGUGAGUUUUGUGUUCUAUUUUGUUGUGAUUCUUAUUAUUGUUGUUAUUAUCACGACAAUAGAUUAUGUUGUUGACGAGGGAGUUGGACCCGAAUACUUUAAAGACCCCGAAGACUUGGUUGAGCUAGGCAAGAAACCCUUUGGCCAUGUUUAAGAAAUUUUUAUUUGCAUGUAAUAUAACACUUUACCUUUGCAUUUAAUUCAUGUUGAAUCGGUGACCCUGAUACGUCCAUUUUGCAUCAUGCUUUUAUGUUGAUAUUUAUCGCUUUAUGGGCUGUUAUUACACUUCAUGGUACAAUACCUAUGCCUUUUCUCUCUUAUUUUGCAAGGUUUACAUGANNNNNNNNNNNNNNNNNNNNNNNNNNNNNNNNNNNNNNNNNNNNNNNNNNNNNNNNNNNNNNNNNNNNNNNNNNNNNNNNNNNNNNNNNNNNNNNNNNNNUUAUUAGUGUGUGGAAAAUAAGCUUUGUACGAACCGGUGAUGAGGAAGACAUAAAAGCGACAGACUACAUAAUAAAGUUCUUUAUCACACGAGGCAAUAUAAAGUGACGUUCCUUCACACUAAGAGGUCACACAUCCAAACCUCAAAAGCGCAUGACAACCUCUGCUUCCCUCUGUGAAGGGCCUAUCUUGUACCUUUACCUUUUGCCCUUGAAAGAGUCAUGGUGAUCUUCACCAAUUCCUUAUUUUGCCUUUUAUCUUGGCUAAUGCAUGUGCUAGGGAAAANNNNNNNNNNNNNNNNNNNNNNNNNNNNNNNNNNNNNNNNNNNNNNNNNNNNNNNNNNNNNNNNNNNNNNNNNNNNNNNNNNNNNNNNNNNNNNNNNNNNNNNNNNNNNNNNNNNNNNNNNNNNNNNNNNNNNNNNNNNNNNNNNNNNNNNNNNNNNNNGGGAAAGAUCUAUAUUCAUAUGUCAACUUGGAAGUAAGUAUUCAUGAAUUAUUAUUGUUGACUUUACCCUUGACGUAAAUAGUUGGGAGGCGAAACUAUAAGCCUCUAUCUUUCUCUGUGUCCGACUGAAACUUUGAUCUCAUGAGUAUCAUGUGAGUUGUAGCAAUUGUAGAAGACGAAAGGAUGAUUGAGUAUGUGGAUUUGCUUUACAAGCUCUUAUUUGACUCUUUCCGAUGUUAUGAUAAAUUGCAAUUGCUUCAAUGACUAAAGACUAUUGGUUCUUAAUUCUCAAUAAGGUUCUUGACCCAUACUUUACUUUGUGAAGGAAUUAUCACUCUAGCAUAAGAGAUUAUAUGACAAUAUUGUUGUUCUAAUUAUGAUCAUCAUGCCUACAUGUACAUAUCUUGUUUUGUUGACAGCUCUCUCUCUAAACAUGUGGGCAUAUUUAUUGAUCUCGGUUUUUGCUUGAGGACAAGCGAAGUCUAAGCUUGGGGGAGUAGAUACGUCCAUUUUGCANNNNNNNNNNNNNNNNNNNNNNNNNNNNNNNNNNNNNNNNNNNNNNNNNNNNNNNNNNNNNNNNNNNNNNNNNNNNNNNNNNNNNNNNNNNNNNNNNNNNNNNNNNNNNNNNNNNNNNNNNNNNNNNNNNNNNNNNNNNNNNNNNNNNNNNNNNNNNNNNNNNNNNNNNNNNNNNCAUGCUUUUAUGUUGAUUUUAUCGCUUUAUGGGCUGUUAUUACACUUCACGGUACAUUUUGUCCAUUUUGCAUCAUGCCUUUUCUCUCUUAUUUUGCAAGGUUUACAUGNNNNNNNNNNNNNNNNNNNNNNNNNNNNNNNNNNNNNNNNNNNNNNNNNNNNNNNNNNNNNNNNNNNNNNNNNNNNNNNNNNNNNNNNNNNNNNNNNNNNGCUACGUCUAUUAGUUUGGGUCUAGUCCAUCACGUGAUUCUCCUAAUGACGUGAUCCAGUUAUCAAGCAACAACACUUUGUUNNNNNNNNNNAAAUGACCCGAUCAACAUGCUACGUCUAUUAGUUUGGGUCUAGUCCAUCACAUGAUUCUCCUAAUGACGUGAUCCAGUUAUCAAGCAACAACACUUUGUUCAUAAUCAGAAGACACUGACUAUCGUCGAUCAACUGGCUAGCCAACUAGAGGCUUGCUAGGCACAGUGUUUUGUCUAUGUAUCCACACAUGUAUAUAAGUCUUCAUUCAAUACAAUUAUAGCAUGGAUAAUAAACGACUAUCUUGAUACAGGAAUUAUAAUAAUAACUAUAUUUAUUAUUGCCUCUAGGGCAUAAUUCCAACAGUAGCUAGAUGGCGUCUUCUCUCUCUUGGAUCUUCAAUACAAAGUUCUCCAUGAUCUUCAUGNNNNNNNNNNCUCUUUGGCAGUGUGUUUGUCAAGAUCCGACGAAUUGUGGAUUUGUGAUGAAAUUAUAUAUGAUAUAUAUUUGAGUCUUUGCUGAUUUCUUAUAUGCAUGAUUUGAUAUCCUAGUAAGUCUCUCCGAGUCUUGGGUUUUGUUUGGCGGACUAGAUCUAUGAUUCCUGCAAUGGGAGAAGUGCUUAGUUUUGGGUUCAUACCGUGUGGUGACCUUUCCCAGUGACAGACGGGGCAGCAAGGCACGCAUUGUGUUGUUGCCAUCAAGGGUAACAAGAUGGGCUUUUAUCAUAGAUAUGAGAUUGUCCAUCUACAUCAUGUCAUCUUGCUUAAGGCAUUACUCUGUUCUCAUGAACUUAAUACACUAGAUGCAUGCUGGAUAGCGGUCGGCGUGUGGAGUAAUAGUAGUAGAUGCAGAAAGUAUUGGUCUACUUGUUUUCGACGUGAUGCCUAUAGAUAUAAUCAUUCCUUAGAUAACGUCAUGACUUUGCGCAGUUCUAUCAAUUGCUCGACAGUAAUUCGUUCACCCACCGUCUACUUGCUUUCUUGAGAAAAGCCACUAGUGAACACUACGGCCCCUGGGUCUAUUCACACCUAUCGUUUACACUUUCACUUUUACUUUGAUUUGUUUCUUUUUGCUUUCAGUUCUCACUUGGCAAACAAUCUAUAAGGGAUUGACAACCCCUUCAUAGCGUUGGGUGCANNNNNNNNNNUGACUAUCCUUCACUGGAUCGAUACCUUGGUUCUCAAAACUGAGGGAAAUACUUAACGCCGCUGUGCUANNNNNNNNNNNNNNNNNNNNNNNNNNNNNNNNNNNNNNNNNNNNNNNNNNNNNNNNNNNNNNNNNNNNNNNNNNNNNNNNNNNNNNNNNNNNNNNNNNNNACAAACAAAACCCAAGACUCGGGGAGACUUACAAGGAUAUCAAAUCAUGCAUAUAAUAAAUCAGCAAAGACUCAAAUAUAAUUCAUAGAUAAUCUGAUCACAAAUCCACAAUUCAUCGGAUCUCGACAAACACACCACCAAACAGGAAUACAUUGGAUAGAUCUCCAUGAAGAUCAUAGUGAACUUUGUAUUGAAGAUCCAAGAGAGAGAAGAAGCCAUCUAGCUACUAACUACGGACCCGUAGGUCUGAAAUGGACUACUCACGAGUCAUUGGAGAGGCCAUGAUGUUGAUGUAGAACCCCUCCAACUCCAAAGUCCCCUCCGGCAGGGCACCGGGAAGGGUCUCCAGGUGAGAUCUCGCGGAAACGGAAGAAUGCGGCAGCGGAAAACUAUUUUCGUGGAUGCCCUGAUUUUUUCUGGAUUUUUAGGGAAUUUAUAAGCCAAAGACCUAGGGUAGGGGAGUGCCAGGGGGCCACAAGCUUGGUUGCCGCGGCCUCCUCCCCUGGCCGCGGCAACAGGGCUUGUGGGCCCCCUGUGGGCCCACUGCCUUGGCCCUCAAGCCUCCCGAUCUUCUUCCGUUCUGGAAAAAAUUAUUUCGGGGAUUUUAUUCCAUUUGGACUCCGUUCCAAAAUCAGAUCUAAAAAGAGUCAAAAACAUAGAAAAAACAAGAACUGGCACUUGGCACUGGAUUAAUAAGUUAGUCCCAAAAAAGAUAUAAAAGGUAAACAAAACAUCCAAAUUUGGCAAGAUAACAGCGCGAAACCAUCAAAAAUUAUAGAUACAUUUGAGAUGUAUCAAGCAACCCCAAGCUUAACUCCUGCUCGUCCUCGAGUAGGGAAGUGAUAAAGAAUGUUUUUUUAUGCUUUCAUGCUGCCUAACAUAGAUGUCAUUUGUAACUCCUCUUAUGUGAUGUGAAUGUUCAGAUCCAUUAGAUUCAAAACAAUAGUUUGCUAUUGACGUGGAGAUGAUAAUAAUUCAAGCAAACUAGCAAGGUAAUCAUGAACUUUCAAAAUAACAAGGCCAAGGAAAGUUAUCCCUACAAAAUCAUAUAGUCUGGCUAUGCUCCAUCAUCCUCACACAACUAAUGUAAAUCAUGCACAACCCCGGUAUUGGCCAAGUAAUUGUUUUCGCACUCUUACUUUCUCAAACCUUUUAUAACUAUCACGCAAUACAUGAGUGUGAGCCAUGGAUAUAGAACUAUAGGUGGAAUAGAGUGUGGUGGUGGUUGUGAGACAAAAAAGGAGGAGAUGGUCACAUUGACUCGGCGUAUCAAAGGGCUAUGGAGAUCCCCAUUAAUAGAUAUCAAUGUGAAUGAGUAGGGAUUGCCAUACAAGGGAUGCACUAGAGCUAUAUAUAAGUAUGUGAAAGCUCAAAAUGAGAACUAGUGGGUGUGCAUCCAACUUGCUUGCUCACGAAGACCUAGGGCAAUUUUGAGGAAGCCCAUCAUUGGAAUAUACAAGCCAAGUUAUAUAAUGAAGAUUCCCACUAGCAUAUGGUAGUGACAAAGCAAGAAGCUCUCAAUCAUGAAGAACAUGGUGCUAUUAUGAAGCACAAUUGUGGAAAAAUAUAGUAGCAUUGUCCCUUCUCUCUUUUUUAUUUUUAUUUGGGCUCUUGGGCCUCUUUUUUUCUUUUUUUAUGGGCUCAUUGGCCUAUUUUUUUAUUUUUUUCCUCACAUGGGACAAUGCUCUAAUAGUGAUGAUCAUCACACUUUUAUUUACUCACACCUCAAAGCUUAGAACGAUGAUGACUCUAUAGGAAAUGCCUCCGGCAGUGUACCGGGAUGUGCAACGAUCUAGCUUGGCAUAUGACGUUGAAACAUCUCGCUAGCUUUCUUAUGAUCAUGCAAUGGCAAUAUGAGAGUGACGACACAAGUCAUGAGACAGAACGGUGGGAGUUGCAUGGCAAUAUAUCUCAGAAUGGCUAUGAAAAUGCCAUAGUAGGUAGGUAUGGUGGCUGUUUUGAGGAAGGCAUAUGGUGGGUUUGUGCACCGGCAAGAAUUGCGCGGCACUAGAGAGGCUACCAAUGGUGGAAGGUGAAAGUGCAUCUAUACCAUGGACUCACAUUAUUCAUGAAGAACUCACAUACUUGUUGUGAAUUUUUUUAUUAGUAAUCGAAACAAAGUGCUAAACGCAUACUCCUAGGGGAAGGGUUGGUAGGUGUUAACCAUCGCGCGAUCCCGACUUCAACACAAAGGAUGACAAUCAAUAGAUCAAUUAUGCUCCGACUUCCUAACAUAGCGGUUCACCAUACGUGCAUGCUACGGGAAUCACUAACUUCAACACAAGUAUUUCUAGAUUCACAACACCCUACUAACAUAACUCAUAAUAUUACCGAAUCCACGUCUCAAAACUAAUUGAGAGGAAUCAAGACUUCUCUUUCUACUCAAUGCACAUGAAGAUGGAGGUUUUUGUAUCCUCUAUGGGUACCUAUCACCUUUGGGACUACUUUCAUAGCAUAAGCCAACUACCAAGUCACGCACCGCCGUUCUCUAGAAGAUAUAAGCAAAGCACAUAGAGCAAAAUUAUCUAGCUCAAAAGAUAUAAGUGAAGCACUAUGAGCAUUCUAGAAAAAUCACGAUGAGUGCAUGUCUAUCUCUCUCAAAAAGAUGUGCAGCAAGGAUGAUUGUGACACAACAAAAAGAAAAGACUCCUACGAUACAAGACGCUCCAAGCAAAACACAUAUCAUGUGGUGAAUAAAAAUUUAGCUCCAAGUAAUGUUACCGAUGGAUUGAAGACGAAAGAGGGGAUGCCUUCCCGGGCGUCCCCAAGCUUAGGCUUUUUGGUGUCCUUUGGCUUGGGAUGCCUUGGGCAUCCCCAAGCUUGAGCUCUUUCCACUCCUUAUCUCUUUGUCCAUGAGAACAUCACCCAAAACUUGAAAACUUCACAACACAAAACUAAAGCAGAAACUCGUGAUAACAUUAGCACAAGAAAACAAACUACCACCUCUUUUUUUUACUGUAGCAAGCUUGAAUUCUAUCUAUAUUGGUGUUGGGAUACUGUAUUCUCACUUUUCCAUGGCUAGUACCCCCCCCCCAUACUAACCAUAGUUUCAUCAAAACAAGCAACNNNNNNNNNNNNNNNNNNNNNNNNNNNNNNNNNNNNNNNNNNNNNNNNNNNNNNNNNNNNNNNNNNNNNNNNNNNNNNNNNNNNNNNNNNNNNNNNNNNNGAUGGUGCUGAUGAAGAUGUUGAUGGAGAUGAGUCCCCUCCGAUGAGAGGAGUGUUGGUGAUGACGAUGGCGACGAUUUCCCCCUCCGGGAGGGAAGUUUCCCCGGCAGGAUGGCCCUGCCGGAGCUAUAGAUUGGUUCUGCUCAAGUUCCGCCUCGUGGCGGCGCCGUUUCUUCCCGAAAGCUCUCUCUUGAUUUUUUUCUGGGAGGAAACCCUCCUUAUAGAAGAAGAUGGUAGACGGAGGGUAACAGGGGGCCCAUGAGCCACCCAGGCGCGCCUGGCAGGCUUGUGACCUCCUGGUGGCUCCCCUCCAGUAUUUCUUCCGCCUAGUAUUUUUUAUAUAUUCCAAAAUAAUUCCUCGCUAAUUUUCACGGCUUUUGGAGUUGUGCAGAAUAGGUAUCUCAAACUUGCUCCUUUUCCAGCCCAGAAUUCCAGCUGCCGGCAUUCUCCCUCUACAUGUAAACCUUAUAAAAUAAGAGAGAAACAACAUAAGUAUUGUACCAUAAUGUGUAAUAACAGCCCAUAAUGCGAUAAAUAUCAAUAUAAAAGCAUGAUGGAAAAUGGGCGUAUCAUUGAACAUUACCUGAACACGCCAAGAUGGGUGGGUGAUACUUGUGAUCUGCGUUGGGUUUUCCGUAAAGAGGAACGGGUUAUUGCAGCACAAUGUGAGUCAGUAUUUCCCUCAGUUAUGAAAACCAUGGUUUAUCGAACCAAUAGGAAUAUCAACCACAACCGUCUUCAGUGGCUACACACGAAAGAAUAAACAGCUUGCAUCCAACGCGGGCAAGACGGUUGUUAAUCCCCUUGGUCUUAUUAUUUGCAAGCGAAUAAGUUGUGUACACAACUGUAGAUAAUUGUAACAUGCAAAAUAAAAUAAAAGCAAAUAAAUGGCAGCAAGGUAUUAGAGGUUUUAGCAGUAUGUUGUGAAUAGACGCGGGGGCCAUAGUUAUCCCUAAUGGCAUCUCUCAUGAAAAUAUCACAUGGUGGGUAAACAAAUUAGUGUUGGGCAAUUGAUGGAAGAGCGGAUAGUUUUUCGAUUUUCACGACAAUGAUGAUGUAAAUAUAGGCAUCACAUCCAUAAACAAAUAGAACAGCUCCUACCUGCACCUAUUACCAUUACUUCACUUCAAGAGCGCUUCUAUGCUUGCCUCUCUACGUAUUAAGUUUAUGACAAAUGAAGUAAUGCUUGGAGUAAGAUAACAUGAUGUAGACAAAGUAAACNNNNNNNNNNNNNNNNNNNNNNNNNNNNNNNNNNNNNNNNNNNNNNNNNNNNNNNNNNNNNNNNNNNNNNNNNNNNNNNNNNNNNNNNNNNNNNNNNNNNCUACAUGUGAAGCGGAGUACAUGGCUGCCUCGGAGGCGGCUAAGGAGGGUGUCUGGAUAAAGCAAUUCAUGACGGAUCUUGGAGUGGUGCCAAGCGCACUGAAUCCAAUAACCUUGUUCUGUGAUAACAUGGGUGCCAUUGCCCUAGCAAAGGAACCAGGGUUUCACAAGAAGUCCAGACACAUCAAACGACGCUUCAACCUCAUCCGCGACUACGUCGAAGGGGAGGACGUAAAUAUAUGCAAAGUGCACACGGAUCUGAAUGUAGCAGACCCGUUGACUAAACCUCUUCCACGGGCAAAGCAUGAUCGACACCAGAACUGUAUGGGUGUUAGAUUUAUUACAAUGUAAUUCGCAUGAUGAUGUGAGGGCUAGAUUAUUGACUCUAGUGCAAGUGGGAGACUGUUGGAAUUAUGCNNNNNNNNNNNNNNNNNNNNNNNNNNNNNNNNNNNNNNNNNNNNNNNNNNNNNNNNNNNNNNNNNNNNNNNNNNNNNNNNNNNNNNNNNNNNNNNNNNNNNNNNNNNNNNNNNNNNNNNNNNNNNNNNNNNNNNNNNNNNNNNNNNNNNNNNNNNNNNNNNNNNNNNNNNNNNNNNNNNNNNNNNNNNNNNNNNNNNNNNNNNNNNNNNNNNNNNNNNNNNNNNNNNNNNNNNNNNNNNNNNNNNNNNNNNNNNNNNNNNNNNNNNNNNNNNNNNNNNNNNNNNNNNNNNNNNNNNNNNNNNNNNNNNNNNNNNNNNNNNNNNNNNNNNNNNNNNNNNNNNNNNNNNNNNNNNNNNNNNNNNNNNNNNNNNNNNNNNNNNNNNNNNNNNNNNNNNNNNNNNNNNNNNNNNNNNNNNNNAUGUUGAUCGUGUCAUAUUGCUACUGUUUUCUGCGUGUCAAGUAUUUGUUCCUAUGACCAUGAGAUCAUAUAACUCACUAACACCGGAGGAAUACUUUGUGUGUAUCAAACAUCGCAACGUAACUGGGUGACUAUAAAGAUGCUCUACAGGUAUCUCCGAAGGUGUUCGUUGAGUUAGUAUGGAUCAAGACUGGGAUUUGUCACUCCGUGUGACGGAGAGGUAUCUCGGGGUCCACUCGGUAAUACAACAUCACACACAAGCCUUGCAAGCAAUGGGACUUAGUGUAAGUUGCGGGAUCUUGUAUUACGGAACGAGUAAAGAGACUUGCCGGUAAACGAGAUUGAAAUAGGUAUGCGGAUAGUGACGAUCAAAUCUCGGGCAAGUAACAUACCGAAGGACAAAGGGAAUGACAUACGGGAUUAUAUGAGUCCUUGGCACCGAGGUUCAAACGAUAAGAUCUUCGUAGAAUAUGUAGGAUCCAAUAUGGGCAUCCAGGUCCCGCUAUUGGAUAUUGACCGAGGAGUCUCUUUGGUCAUGUCUACAUAGUUCUCGAACCCGCAGGGUCUGCACACUUAAGGUUCGACGUUGUUUUAUGCGUAUUUGAGUUAUAUUGUUGGUUACCGAAUGUUGUUCGUAGUCACGGAUGAGAUCACGGACAUCACGAGGGUUUCCGGAAUGGUCCGGAAACGAAGAUUGAUAUAUAGGAUGACCUCAUUUGAUUACUGGAAGGUUUUCGGAGUUACCGGGAAUGUACCGGGAAUGACGAAUGGGUUCCGGGUGUUCACUGGGGGAAGGGGGGCAGCCCACCCCGGGGAAGCCCAUAGGCCUUAGGGUGGUGCACCAGCCCUUGGUGGACUGGUGGGACAGCCCAAGAAGGCCCUAUACGCCAUAGAUAGAAAAUCAAAGAGAAAANNNNNNNNNNNNNNNNNNNNNNNNNNNNNNNNNNNNNNNNNNNNNNNNNNNNNNNNNNNNNNNNNNNNNNNNNNNNNNNNNNNNNNNNNNNNNNNNNNNNNNNNNNNNNNNNNNNNNNNNNNNNNNNNNNNNNNNNNNNNNNNNNNNNNNNNNNNNNNNNNNNNNNNNNNNNNNNNNNNNNNNNNNNNNNNNNNNNNNNNNNNNNAGGGGAAUCCUUCCCCCCUUGGCUCGGCCGACCCCUUGGGGGUUCUUGGACCCCAAGGCAAGGCUUCCCCCUCUCCCUCCUAUAUAUAGUGGGGUUUAAGGGCUGAUUUGGUACAACUUUUGCCACGGCAGCCUGACCACAUAUCUCCACAGUUUUACCUCUAGAUCGUGUUUCUGCGGAGCUCGGGCGGAGCCCUGCUGAGACGAGAUCAUCACCAACCUCCGGAGCACCGUCAUGCUGCCAGAGAACUCUUCUACCUCUCCGUCUCUCUUGCUGGAUCAAGAAGACCGAGAUCAUCGUCGAGCUGUACGUGUGCUGAACGCGGAGGUGCCGUCCGUUCGGCACUAGAUCGUGGGGCUGAUCGCGGGAUAGUUCGCGGGGUGGAUCGAGGGACGUGAGGACGUUCCACUACAUCAACCGCGUUCACUAACGCUUCCGCUGUAUGGUCUACAAGGGUACGUAGAUCACACAUCCCCUCUCGUAGAUGGACAUCACCAUGAUAGGUCUUCGUGCGCUUAGGAAAUUUUUUGUUUCCCAUGCGACGUUCCCCAACAGCUACUAACUACGUACCCGUAGGUCUGAAGUGAACUACUCACGAGUCAUUGGAGGGGCGAUGAUGUUGAUGUAGAAGACCUCCAACUCCAAAGUCCCCUCCGGCAGGGCACUGGGAAGGGUCUCCAGAUGAGAUCUUGCGGAAACGGAAGCUUGCGUCGGCGGAAAAGUGUUUUCGUGGAUUCCCCCAUUUUUUCUGUAUUUUAGGGAAUAUAUAGGCGAAGGUGCUAGGUCAUGGGGGCGCCAGGGAGGACACAAGCCUGGUAGCCGCCGCCCGUGGUGGCGGCUACAGGGCUUGUGGGCCCCCUGUGGCUCUGCUGCCUUGGCCCUCAAGUCCCGUGAUCUUCUUCCGUUCUGGAAAAAAAUAUUUCGGGGAUUUUAUUCCGUUUGGACUCCGUUCCAAAAUCACAUCUGAAAAGAGUCAAAAACACACAAAACAGGAACUGGCACUUGGCACUGAAUUAAUAAGUUAGUCCCAAAAAAUAUAUAAAAGGUACAUAAAACAUCCAAAGAUGACAAGAUAACAACAUGAAACCAUCAAAAAUUAUAGAUACGUUUGAGACGUAUCAGACGUCAAAACGGCAUUCUUUAACGGUAUUCUUAAGGAAGAAUUGUAUAUGAUAUAGCCAGAAGGUUUUGUCGAUCCUAAGAAUGCUCACAAGGUAUACAAGCUCUAGCGCUCUAUCUAUGGGCUGGUGCAAGCAUCUCGGAGUUGGAACAUUCGCUUUGAUGAGGUGAUCAAAGCAUUUGGUUUGUACAAACUUAUGAAGAAGCAGGUAUUUACAAGAAAGUGAGUGGGAGCUCUGUAGCGUUUCUCAUUUUAUACGUGGAUGGCAUAUUGUUGAUGGGAGAUGAUAUAGUAAUUUUGGAAAGCAUAAGGCCUACUUGAAAAAGUGUUUUUCAAUGAAGGACCUUGGAGAAGGUACUUACAUAUUAGGUAUCAAGAUCUAUAGAGAUAGAUCGAGACGGCUGAUACGUCUCAAACAUAUCUAUAAUUUUUGAUGGUUUCACGCUGUUGUCUUGUCAACUUUGGAUGUUUUGUUUACCUUUUAUAUAUUAGUUGGGACUAACUUAUUAAUCUAGUGCCAAGUGCCAGUUCGUGUUUUUCUGAAUUUUUGACUCUUUUCAGAUCUGAUUUUGGAACAGAGUCCAAAUGGAAUAAAAUCCCUGAAAUAAAUUUUUCCAGAACGGAANNNNNNNNNNNNNNNNNNNNNNNNNNNNNNNNNNNNNNNNNNNNNNNNNNNNNNNNNNNNNNNNNNNNNNNNNNNNNNNNNNNNNNNNNNNNNNNNNNNNNNNNNNNNNNNNNNNNNNNNNNNNNUUUUUCCAGAACGGAAGAAGAUCGGGAGGCUUGAGGGCCAAGGCAGUGGGCCCACAGGGGGCCCACAAGCCCUGUUGCCGCGGCCAGGGGGGAGGCUGCGGCAACCAAGCAUGUGGCCCCCCCGGCGCUCCCCUGCCCUAGGUCUUUGGCCUAUAAAUUCCCUAAAAAUCCAGAAAAAAUCAGGGCAUCCACGAAAACACUUUUCCGCCGCCGCAAGCUUUCGUUUCCGCGAGAUCUCAUCUGGAGACCCUUCCCGGUGCCCUGCCGGAGGGGACUUUGGAGUUGGAGGGCUUCUACAUCAACAUCAUCGCCUCUCCAAUGACUCGUGAGUAGUCCACUUCAGACCUACGGGUCCGUAGUUAGUAGCUAGAUGGCUUCUUCUCUCUCUUGGAUCUUCAAUACAAAGUUCACUAUGAUCUUCAUGGAGAUCUAUCCAAUGUAUUCCUGUUUGGUGGUGUGUUUGUCGAGAUCCGAUGAAUUGUGGAUUUGUGAUCAGAUUAUCUAUGAAUUAUAUUUGAGUCUUUGCUGAUUUAUUAUAUGCAUGAUUUGAUAUCCUUGUAAGUCUCCCCGAGUCUUGGGUUUUGUUUGUCCAACUAGAUCUAUGAUUCUUGCAAUGGGAGAAGUGCUUGGUUUUGGGUUCAUACCGUGUGGUGACCUUUCCCAGUGACAGAAUGGGCAGCAAGGCACACAUUGUGUUGUUGCCAUCAAGGGUAACAAGAUGGGCUUUUAUCGUAGAUAUGAGAUUGUCCAUCUACAUCAUGUCUUCUUGCUUAAGGCGUUACUCUUUUCUUCUGGACUUAAUAUACUAGAUGCAUGCUGGAUAGCGGUCAACGUGUGGAGUAAUAGUAGUAGAUGCAGAAAGUAUCGAUGUACUUGUUUUGGACGUGAUGCCUAUAGAUAUAAUCAUUGCCUUAGAUAAUGUCACGAAUUUGUGCGGUUCUAUCAAUUGCUCGACAGUAAUUCGUUGACCCACCGUCUACUUGCUAUCAUGAGAGAAGCCACUAGUGAACACUACGACCCCCGGGUCUAUUCACAACUAUUGUUUCCACUUUCACUUUUAGUUUGCUCUGUUUACUUUUUGCUUUUAGUUCUCACUUUGCAAACAAUCUAUAAGGGAUUGAAAACCCCUUCAUAGUGUUGGGUGCAAGCUCUUUGUGUUUGUGCAGGUACUUGAGUCUUGACGAGAUCUUCCAUUGGUUUGAUACCUUGGUUCUCAUAACUGAGGGAAAUACUUACCGCCGCUGUGCUACAUCACCCUUUCCUCUUCAAGGGAACACCAACGCAAGGCUCCAAGGUCGUGGGGAGAUCCUUUGCAUAUUUCGUAAGGAAGUCCCUAAAGGCGUAGCCGUAGCAGCAGCAUUCCUGGCGCCGUACCAGGGAAGGUCUGUUGUCGCAGUAGCAGAAGGAUUUCUGGCACCGUUGCUGGGGAGAUCUAGUCAAGAAUAGUCUCUCUUCAACGUGCUGAUUUCUGGCGCAAGGAGGAGAGCUCAAUUCAUCUGUCCCAGUAGGUGUCACAAACUCAUUUCUUGCAUUAACCUUUUUGCUAGUUGCCUCUCGUUUUCCUCUCCCCCACUUCACAUUUGCCGUUUUCAUUUGCCUUUCUCCUUUGCCGUUUUCAUUUGCCUUUUUGCCUUUCUCCUUUGCCGUUUCCUUUUGCCUUUUUGCCGUUUUCUUUUGCCCGCUUCACUCGCUUGCUUCCUCCUCAUUCGUGUGUGGGAUAGUCCAUCAAUGGCUAAACCCACUACUCCAACCGAUACCCCUGAGAACUAAGUUCUCAAUUUCAGGCAGAAUGAGGAAGAAAAUUUAAAGGACGCUUGGUACAGGAUUUGCAAUGCUCAAAGUAGAUCCACUCGUAAGCAAUCCACUACCGUUCUUCUUCACAGUUUUUAUAUUGGAAUCUCUCCUUGGAAUAGGUAUAUUCUUGACACCAUCGUAGGCGGAAUUUUUUUGGGGAGCCAUACUGUUGACUCCUAUGGAGCUAUCUUGAAUUUGGUAGGCUCACCCCCGCUCAUGGUUAAUGGAACUACCUUGACCUUGGAACACGUGAUGCAAAGGCUUGACGCUAUUGAAAACAAAAUUGCCACAAUUGAACUUAUUGAGGGUUUGGAUAGAAAGAUCCACGAUCAAAUUACUCAGUACAGAUCCAAAGUGGGAAUGGCCUUGAAAAAUUUAAGGAGAAGGAACCUAUAGUUAAUGAUUCCACUAGAAUUGGCAAACUAGAAGAUGUCAUAACCAACUUGGGUUCCGCUUUUGCCGUUGUGCAAAAUACUCCAAAUCUCAUUCUCAAAAAAACCGUCAAGUUUGUUUUCGUUCAUAAAGCUAGUGGUGAGUCAUCCAAUAAAGAUGAAGAUCUUAAGAUGAUAAAUGAUCACACUACUUAUGGUUUGAGCACCAAGGAUGACUAUACGUGAUUCCAUCACCUUUUGCCUAGCUAAGGGCGUUAAACAAUAGCGCUUGUUGGGAGGCAACCCAACGAAUCUAUCCUUUUUCUUUCUGUUUUGUGUUUUCCACACUUUCAUAAUUCUGUUAUGAUUGUGUUUUUUGUGUUUCCUUUUGCGUUUGUGCCAAGCAAAACAGUUAUGAUUAGUCUUGGGGAUGAUCGUUUGGUCAUGCUGGAAAAGACAGAAACUUUCUGCUCACGAAAAUAAUUUUCAUUUUUUUUUCUGUAAGAGCUUUUGAUUUGAUUCGUUUUGGUGCUGAUUGCUACGCAAAUUCUUCAGACUUUCGUAAUGUUUCAGAAUUUUUGAAGUACUAGAAGUAUAUGAAGUAUACAGAUUGCUACAGAGUGGUCUGGUGUUAACAGAUUCUGUUUUUGUUGAGUUGGUUGCUUAUUUUCAUGAAACUAUGGAUAGUAUCCGGGGGUAUUAGCCAUGGAAGAUUGAAAAUACAGUAACCCAACAUCAACAUAAGUAGAAUUUAAGUUUGCUACAGUACCUAAGUAGUGGUGGUUUGCUUUCUUAUACUAAUGUUAUCACGAGUUUCUGUUUAAGUUUUGUGUUGUGAAGUUUUCAAGUUUUGGGUGAAGUUCUUAUGGAAAAAAAGAUAAAGAGUGGCAAGAGAUCAAGCUUGGGGAUGCCCAAGGCACCCCAAGUUGAUUCAAGUAUGCCGUAAAAUCCUAAGCUUGGGGAUGCCCCGGGAAGGCAUCCCCUCUUUUGUGUUCAAUCCAUCGGUAACGUUACUUGGGGCUAUAUUUUUAUUCACCACAUGUUAUGUGUUUUGCUUGGAGCGUCUUGUAUCGAGGAGUCUUUUAUUUUUGUUGUGUCACAAUCAUCCUUGCUGCACACCUACAGAGAGAGACAUGCACUCACCGUGGUUUUGUCGAGCUUCACUUAUAUCCUUUGGUUAGACAAUUCAGCUCACAUGUGCUUCACUUAUAUCUUCUGAGCUAGUUGCUUUUGCUCUGUGUGCUUCACUUAUAUCUUUUAGAGCACGGUGGUGCGUGGCUUGGUAGUUGAUCUAUGCUUUGAUAGUAGUCUCGAAAGGGGUAGUUAUCCAAAGGGAUAUAAAAACUUCCACCUUCAUGUGCAUUGAAUAGUUAGAGAAGUUUGAUUCAUCUCAAUUUGUUUUGAGUUGUGGUUGUGGUAAUAUUGAAGUUAUAUUAGUAAGGUGUUGUGGAUCUAGAAAUACUUGCAUUGAAGUCAGUGAUUCCCGUAGCAUGCACGUAUGGUGAACCGCUAUGUGAUGAAGUCUGAGGUUGAUUAGUAUUUUGAUUGUCAUUCUUUAUGUGGCGGUCGGGAUCGCGCGAUGGUUUAUACCUACCAACCCUUCCCCUAGGAGUAUGGGUUGAAUGCUUUGUUUCGAUUACUACUAAAACUUUUGCAGCAAGUAUAAGAGUUCUUCAUGACUAAUGUUGAGUCCAUGGUUUAGAUGCACUUUCACCAUCCACCAUCACUAUCUUCUUUAGUGCCGUGCAAUUUUCGCCGGUGCACAAAACCCACCAUUAGCCUCCCUCAAAACAGCCACCAUACCUAGCUAUUAUGGCUUUUUCAAAGCUAUUCCGAGAUAUAUUGCCAUGCAACUACCACCAUGACAUGUGCCACCACUUCUACAUUGCCAUUUCAUGAUCGUAAGAUAGCUAGUAUGAUGUUUCCAUUUAUGUCUAUGCCAUGCUAGAUCAUUGUCACGGUACACUACCGAAGGCAUUCCAUAUAGAGUCAUCAUUGCUCUAAGUUUUGAGUUGUAAGUGUGAUGAUCAUCAUUGAUGGAGCAUUGUCCCAUGUGAGGAAAUAAAAGAGGCUAGCGAAGCCCAUUUACAAAAAGAGGCCAAAGAUGCCCACCAAAAUAAAAAAAUAAAAAAAGAGGCCAAAGAGCCCACACAAAAAAAUAUGAGAGAAAAAGAGAGAAGGGACAAUGCUACCACUUUUCCACCCUUGUGCAUAUUAAGCACCAUGAUCUUCAUGAUUGAGAGUCUCUCGUUUUGUCACCAUCAUAUAGAUAGUGGGAAAUUUUCAUCAUAUAACUUGGCUUGUAUAUUCCAAUGAUAGGCUUCCUCAAAUUUGCCUUAGGUCUUCAUGAGCAAGCAAGUUGGAUGCACACCCAUUAGUUUUCUUUAAGAGCUUUCACAUACUCUUAGCUCUAGUGCAUAAUUUGUAUGGCAAUCCCUAAUCAUUCACAUUGAUAUCUAUUGAUGAGCAUCUCCAUAGCUCAUUGAUAUGCCUAGUCAAUGUGACCAUCUUCUCCUUGUUUGUCUUGCAACCUCCACCACACUCCACACCACUUAUAGUGCUAAACCAUGGCUCAUGCUCAUGUAUUGCGUGAGAGUUGAAAAAGUUUGAGAAAGUAAAGGUGUGAAAACAAUUACUUGGCCAAUACCGGGGUUGUGCAUGAUUUAAAUUCAUUGUGCAAUGAUGAUAGAGCAUAGCCAGAGUAUAUGAUUUUGUAGGGAUAACUUCAUUUUGGCCUUGUUAUUUUGAAAGUUCAUGAUUACCUUGCUAGUUUGCUUGAAUUAUUAUCAUCUCCACGUCAAUAGCAAACUAUUGUUUUGAAUCUAAUGGAUCUGAACAUUCACAUCACAUAAGAGGAGUUACAAAUGACAUCUAUGUUAGGCAGCAUGAAAGCAUAAAAAAACAUUCUUUAUCACUUCCCUACUCGAGGACGAGCAGGAGUUAAGCUUGGGGUUGCUUGAUACAUCUCAAAUGUAUCUAUAAUUUUUGAUGGUUUCGCGCUGUUAUCUUGCCAAAUUUGGAUGUUUUGUUUACCUUUUAUAUCUUUUUUGGGACUAACUUAUUAAUCCAGUGCCAAGUGCCAGUUCUUGUUUUUUCUAUGUUUUUGACUCUUUUUAGAUCUGAUUUUGGAACGGAGUCCAAAUGGAAUAAAAUCCCCGAAAUAAUUUUUUCCAGAACGGAAGAAGAUCGGGAGGCUUGAGGGCCAAGGCAGUGGGCCCACAGGGGGCCCACAAGCCCUGUUGCCGCGGCCAGGGGAGGAGGCCGCGGCAACCAAGCUUGUGGCCCCCUGGCACUCCCCUACCCUAGGUCUUUGGCUUAUAAAUUCCCUAAAAAUCCAGAAAAAAUCAGGGCAUCCACGAAAAUAGUUUUCCGCUGCCGCAUUCUUCCGUUUCCGCGAGAUCUCACCUGGAGACCCUUCCCGGUGCCCUGCCGGAGGGGACUUUGGAGUUGGAGGGGUUCUACAUCAACAUCAUGGCCUCUCCAAUGACUCGUGAGUAGUCCAUUUCAGACCUACGGGUCCGUAGUUAGUAGCUAGAUGGCUUCUUCUCUCUCUUGGAUCUUCAAUACAAAGUUCUCUAUGAUCUUCAUGGAGAUCUAUCCGAUGUAAUCCUCUUUGGCGGUGUGUUUGUCGAGAUCCGAUGAAUUGUGGAUUUGUGAUUAGAUUAUCUAUGAAUUAUAUUUGAGUCUUUGCUGAUUUCUUAUAUGCAUGAUUUGAUAUCCUUUUAAGUCUCUCCGAGUCUUGGGUUUUGUUUGGCCAACUAGAUCUAUGAUUCUUGCAAUGGGAGAAGUGCUUGGUUUUGGGUUCAUACCGUGUGUUGACCUUUCCCAGUGACAGAAGGGGCAGCAAGGCACGCAUCGUGUUGUUGCCAUCAAGGGUAACAAGAUGGGCUUUUAUCAUAGAUAUGAGAUUGUCCAUCUACAUCAUGUCAUCUUGCUUUAGGCGUUACUCUGUUCUUUUGGACUUAAUACACUAGAUGCAUGCUGGAUAGCGGUCGACGUGUGGAGUAAUAGUAGUAGAUGCAGAAAGUAUCGGUCUACUUGCUUCGGACGUGAUGCCUAUAGAUAUAAUCAUUGCCUUAGAUAAUGUCACGACUUUGCGCGGUUCUAUCAAUUGCUCGACAGUAAUUCGUUCACCCACCGUCUACUUGCUUUCAUGAGAGAAGCCACUAGUAAACACUACGGCCCUCGGUUCUAUUCACAACUAUUGUUUCCACUUUCACUUUUACUUUGCUCUGUUUACUCUUUGCUUUCAGUUCUCACUUUGCAAACAAUCUAUAAGGGAUUGACAACCCCUUCAUAGCGUUGGGUGCAAGCUCUUUUUGUUUUUGCACGUACUUGAGUCUUGACGAGAUCUUCCAUUGGUUCGAUACCUUGGUUCUGAAAACUGAGGGAAAUACUUACUGCCACUGUGCUACAUCACCCUUUCCUCUUCAAGGGAACACCAACGAAAGGCUCCAAGGCCGCGGGGAGAUCCUUUGCAUAUUUGCCAAGGAAGUCCCUAAAGGCGUAGCCAUAGCAGCAGGAUUCCUGGCGCCGUACCAGGGAAGGUCUGUUGUCGCAGUAGGAACGCCUCAUUGGUCUUUCACAUAGCACAUACCUUGACAAGAUAUUGAAGAAGUUCUAUAUGGAAAAGUCCAAGAAGGGGUUCUUGCAUGUAUUGCAAGGUGUGAGAUUGAGCACAACUCAAUGUCCGACCACGACAGAAGUUAGAGAAAAGAUGAGUGUCGUCCCCUAUGCCUCAGCCAUAGGCUCUAUUAUGUAUGCCAUGCUGUGUACCACACCUGAUAUGAACCUUGCCAUAAGUUGGUAGGGAGGUUCCAAAGUGAUCCCGGAAUGGAAUACUGGACAGCGGUUAAGAAUAUCCUUAAGUACGUGAAAAGAACUAAAGAUAUGUUUCGCGUUUCUAGAGGUGCUGAAGAGCUCGUCAUAAACAGUUACAUCGAUGCUAGCUUCGACACUGGUAGGGAUGACUCCAAGUCACAAACCGGACACGUGUAUAUUUUGAAUGGUGGGCCAGUCAACUAGUGCAGUUGCUAGAAAAGCGUUGUGGAGGCAUCUACAUGUGAAGCGGAGUACAUAGGUGCUUCAGAAGCAGUGCAUGAAGGAGUGUGGAUGAAGGAGUUCAUCACUGACCUAGGAGUGAUUCCCAAUGCGCCAGGCCCGAUGACUCUCUUCUUGGACAACACUGGAGCUAUUGCCAUUGCAAAGGAUCUCAGGUUUCACCAGAAGAUCAAACACAUCAAGCGCUGUUUCAACUCCAUUCGUGGUUACAUUCAGGAUGGAGCUAUAGAUAUUUUUAAAGUACAUACGGAUCUGAAUGUCGCAGAUUCGUUGACUAAACCUCUUCCACGAGCGAAACAUGAUCAACACCAGAACUCUAUGGGUGUUCGAUUCAUCACAAUGUAACUAGAUUAUUAACUCUAGUGCAAGUGGGAGAAUGUUGGAAAUAUGCCCUAAAGGCAUAAUAAAAUGGUUAUUAUUAUAUUUCCUUCUUCAUGAUAAUUGUCUAUUGUUCAUGCUAUAAUUGUAUUAACCGGAAACCGUUAUACAUGUGUUAAUACAUAGACCACACCAUGUCCCUAGUGAGCCUCUAGUUGACUGGCUCGUUGAUCAAUAUAUGGUCAUGGUUUCCUGACCAUCGACAUUGGAUGUCAUUGAUAACGGGAUCACAUCAUUAGGAGAAUGAUGUGAUGGACAAGACCAAAUCCUAAGCAUAGCACAAGAUCAUGUAGUUCGUCUGCUAGACCUUUUCUAAUGUCAAGUAUCAUUUUCUUAGACCAUGAGAUUAUGCAACUCCCGGAUACCGUAGGAAUGCUUUGGGCGUAUCAAACAUCGAAACAUAAGUGGGUGACUAUAAAGGUGCACUACAGGUGUCUCCGAAAAUGCCUGUUGGGUUGGUAUGAAUUGAGACUGGGAUUUGUCACUCCGUAUGAUGGAGAGGUAUCUGUGGGCCCACCCGGUAAUACAUCAUCAUAAUGAGCUCAACUUGACUAAGGAGUUAGUCACGGGAUCAUGUGUUACAGAACAAGUAAAGAGACUUGCCGGUAAUGAGAUUGAACAAGGUAUAGGGAUACCGACGAUCGAAUCUCGGGCAAGUAACAUACCGAUGGACAAAGGGAAUUGUAUACUGGAUUAAUUGAAUCCCCGACAUCGUGGUUCAUUCGAUGAGAUCAUCAUGGAACAUGUGGGAGUCAAUAUGGAUAUCCAUAUCCCGCUAUUGGUUAUUGGUUGGAGAGGUUUGUCGGUCAUGGCUGCAUGGUUCCCGAACUUGUAGGGUCUACACACUUAAGGUUCGGUGACGCUAGAGUUGUAAUGGGAAUUGUAUGUGGUUACUGAAAGUUGUUCGGAGUCUCGGAUGAGAUCCCGGACGUCACGAGGAGUUCUGGAAUAGUCCGGAGGUGAAGAUUUAUAUAUGGGAAGUCCAGUUUCAGUCACCGAAAAAGUUUUGGGGUUUAUCGGUAUUGUACCGGGAGCACCGAAAGGGUUCGAGGGGUCCACCGGGAGGGGCCACCAGCCCUGGAGGACCAUGUGGGCUGAAUAUGGUUGGGAACCAGCCACCUAGUGUGCUGGUGCCCCCAAGGGCCCAAGGGGCCUAGGGUUGGGAACCCUAGGUCGUGGGGGCGCCUCCCACCAACUUGGGAGGCAAGNNNNNNNNNNNNNNNNNNNNNNNNNNNNNNNNNNNNNNNNNNNNNNNNNNNNNNNNNNNNNNNNNNNNNNNNNNNNNNNNNNNNNNNNNNNNNNNNNNNNNNNNNNNNNNNNNNNNNNNNNNNNNNNNNNNNNNNNNNNNNNNNNNNNNNNNNNNNNNNNNNNNNNNNNNNNNNNNNNNNNNNNNNNNNNNNNNNNNNNNNNNNNNNNNNNNNNNNNNNNNNNNNNNNNNNNNNNNNNNNNNNNNNNNNNNNNNNNNNNNNNNNNNNNNNNNNNNNNNNNNNNNNNNNNNNNNNNNNNNNNNNNNNNNNNNNNNNNNNUGCCGGAGAACCACGAGCUCGACCGCCACCACGCCGUCGUGCUACCGGAGCUCUCCCUCAAUUUCUCCUCCCCCCCUUGUUGGAUCAAGAAGGAGGGGAUGUCCCCGGGCUGUACGUGUGUUGAACGCGGAGGCGCCGUUCGUUCGGCGCUUGGAUCGGAUUUUCUGCGAUUUGAAUCGCUACGAGUACGACUCCAUCAACCGCGUUCUUUGCAACGCUUAGGCUUAGAGAUCUUCAAGGGUAUGAAGAUGCACUCCCUCUCUCUCGUUGCUAGCAUCUCCUAGAUUGAUCUUGGUGACACGUAGGAAUUUUUUUGAAUUAUUACUAUGUUCCCCAACACACACACAAACACACACACACACACACACAUAUAUGCACUUGAUGGAGAUAUCUAUAUAAUGUUGGAUAUCUAUAUAUUGUUGGAUAUAUAUGUAUGCACUUGAUAAAGAUAUUUAUAUAUAGUUGGAUAUCUAUAUAUUGUUGGAUAUGUAUUCAACUUGAUGGAGAUAUCUAUGCAUGCAUGUUUGAUCCGGGACACUUAACUUUACUGGGAGCGGCUCUCGGCAAGCAGGCAUUGCUAACGGCAGUCCCUGGCAACAACACUAGAAGAAUGUUGUUGACGUGUCCCUGACUUGAUCCCUUCGCGACAACAUAGCCAGAACUGCUCCCAGUUGCUCAACAAUUAGCAAUUGUCUUGCAAUGGCCCACCAGCGCGUGGGUUCGCGGCAGUUUUCGAGGGUAGAGUCUUCAACCCAAAUUUGUUGGUUCGCCAGGCAGGAAGUGAGAGGAUACUCUCGAGUAUUAGCAGCUGAAUGUGUCAGAUUCAACCACACCUGAAACAUUAGUAUCUGCAAGCAAAGUAUCAACAUCAAAGUAGUAUGAUAACAACAGUGUCAGAAACGAUCUGUUGACGGCAGACUAUUCCUAACUGUUGUAUCAAUGGCGCCAAAAGUUGCCCGUAGAAGGAAAUAGUCUUUUCCCGUCAACGUCGAGCGAACAAGUAUUGUAGCAGGUGGCAGCAGUGUAACGAGUAACAUCAGUGGCAAGGAACAUCAGUAGUGACAUCAGUAGCAAGUAGCAACAGUAGAAAGUAGCAACAGUAGCAAGUAACAGCAGUAGCAAGUAUCAAUAGAAGCAACAGUAGUAACAACAGUAGCAGCAGAGCAAGUAACAGCAGGAGUGGGACAAACUCGUAGGAAAUGGGUCGGUGAUUCCUUCGGAUGACAUUCAUCAUGCAACAGUUAUAACACAGAGAGAUAUGUGGCUAGCUCCCGUUCGUCAACGGGAUGUAGGCAUGCAUUCUGUGUGUAGUCAUACGUGCUUAGGGAAAAGAACUUGCAUGACAUCUAUUUUCCAUCACUCUCGUGGUAGCGGGGUCCAAAAGGAUACUACAGGAUAUUAAGGUUCUCCUUUUAAUAAAGAACCGGAACAACGCAUUAGCACUUGGUGAACACAUGAACUCCUCAAACUAUGGUCAUCAUCGGGAGUAGUUCCGGUUAUUGUCACUCCGGGGUUGCCGGGUCAUAACACAUAGUAGGUAACUACAACUUGCAAGAUCAGAUCUAAAACACACAUAUAUUGGUGACAACAUAAUAAUUUCAGAUAUGAAAUCAUGGCACUCGGGCCCUAGUGACAAGCAUUAAGCAUGGCAAAGUAGUAGCAACAUCAAUCUCAGAACAUAAUGGAUACUAGGGAUGAAUCCCCAUCAAAACUAACUCGAUUACAUGAUAGAUCUCAUCCUACUCAUCACCGCCCAGCAAGCCUACGGAUAGAUUCCUCACGAACGAUGAAGAGCUUCAUGGAAUUGGAGAGCAAAGAAGGUUGAUGAUGACGAUGGCGACGAUUUCCCCUCUCCGGAGCCCAAAACGGACUCCGGAUCUGUCCUUCACAUGAAGAACAGGGUGUGGCGGCGCCUCCGUAUCGCAAACGCGAUGAAAUCUUCUCUCUUGAUUUUUUUUCUGGGCAAAAGUGAAUUUAUAGAGCUGAGUUUGGGGGCGGCAGAGCCACGUGGGCCCCACAAGCUUGGGUGCCGCGGCCAGGGGGCCGCGGCAACAGGGCUUGUGGCCCGCUGGCCCAUCCCCUCUGGUGGAUCUUUGCGCAGGUAAUUUUCAUAUUUUCUAGAAAAAUUUUCCGUAAAUUUUCAGGACGUUCCGAGAACUUUCAUUUCUACACAAAAACAACACCAUGGCAAUUCUGCUGAAAACAGCGUUAGUCCGGGUUAGUUCCAUUCAAAUCAUGCAAAUUAGAGUCCAAAACAAGGGCAAAAGUGUUUGGAAAAGUAGAUACGAUGGAGACGUAUCAACUCCCCCUAAGCUUAAAACCUUGCUUGUCCUCAAGAAACUCAAGUGACAAACUGAAAGAGAAAGAUAAACUUUGACAAACUCUGUUUGAUCUUGCUGUUGCAACUAUGUCUAACUCAUAACCAGAAUUUUAGCAAGAUCACAAGUUAACCACAUAAGCAAGUGACACGAAGGUCUCACGGUAAACUAAUAUCAAUGGCAUAAUCAGCUAGUGAGCAAAUAAUAAUGAGUUUCAGAUACCAACAAUUCAAUUAAAACAAGCAUGAAGCAAUAUGAAUAGGUGGUAUCUCGCUAGCUCUUUCUGAGACCGCAAAACAUAAAUGCAGAGCACUUUCAAAGAUCAAGGGCUGGCUAAACAUUGUAAUUCAUAGCAACGAAGAUCCAGUCAUAGUCAUACUCAAUAUAAGAUCAAAAGCAAAGCAUAAAACUGACAGAGGUGCUCUCUAAUUGAUGCUUAUAUAAGAAGAGGGUGACUCAACAGGAAGAUAAAUAGACAGGCCCUUCGCAGAGGGAAGCAUUGAUUUGCAGAGGUGCCACAGCUCAAGCUUUGAAAACAAAGAUAAUAAUUUUGGGUGGCAUGCUUUCAUUGUCAACGCAAUGACCAAGAGUUCUCAAUAUAUUCCAUGCUACUGAUGCUAUAGGCGGUUCCCAAACAGAAAAGUAAAGCUUUAACUCCCCCACCACCAAUCAAUCACACUCCACGGCUAGCCGAAUCCUCGGGUACCGUCCAUACUAACAUCAAUCCGGGGGGAGUCUUGUUUUAUAGUUACGUUUUCGAUUUAAGCGUGGAACUGGGCAUUCCAAUUACCGGCCCCUUUCUCGUGAAUGACAGUGAAUAAACACAUGUCGAGGAUAACACGCCUAACAUGGAAGAUACCAAUAGCCCCCUGUCACCACAUGAGCGGUUCGGGCAUGCAAAACAGAUUAUUUCUUGAAUGUUUAGAGAAUGGCACAUGCAAAUUUACUUGGAACGGUAGGUAAAAUACCGCAAAUACGUAGGUAUGGUGGACUCUCAUGGAAUUUUUUUUGGGUUUAUGGAAGUGGAUGCACAAGCAGUAUUCCGCUUAGUACAAAUGAAGGCUAGCAAAAGACUGGGAAGCGACCAACUAGAGAGCGACGACGGUCAUCAAGAUGCAAUGAGUUUGACUAACAUGGAGUGCAAGCAUGAACAAGAUAUAAAUCACCAUGAACACGAACAUCAUAGAGGCUAUGUUGAUUUUGUUUCAACUACAUGCAUGAACAUGCGCCAAUUCAAGCCACUUGAAUCAUUCAAAGGAGAAUACCAUCCUAUCAUACUACAUCAUAGUCAUCUCAAAAUCUAUGUUGGCAUUCAAGACAAACCAUUAUAAGCUCCUAGCUAAAUAAGCAUGGCAUCAGAAACUAUGAUCUCUAAGUUGUCAUUGCAAACAUGGUUCUCUCUCAACAAAGUUGAAUCUGGGACGACAAGCUAGUCAUAUUUACAAAAACAAAAUAGAUAGAGUUCGUACCAGCUUUUCCAGUCUCAGUCACUUCAUCAUAUAUCAUCAUUAUUGCCUUUCACUUGCACGAUCGAACGAUGUGAACAAUAAUAAGAGUGCUCGUGCAUUGUACUAAGCUGAAAUCUGCAGGCAAACACAAAGGAGAAGACAAAGUAAUAUGGCUCUUUGAAAGCUAAACAGGUAUGCAUGCAAGAGCUACUAAACACUGUAACCAAUAUCUUCUACCUUGACCCAAAGAAAAAGAAAACUAUUUACACGGGAAAGCUCCCAACAAGCAAAAAGAAGAAAGGAAAAACUUUUUGGGUUUUCUCAAAAGGACACAAAACAAGAAAACAAGAAAACGAAAAUAAACUAGCAUGGAUAAUACAGUGGUAAAGUGUAGACACCGACGAACAAAGUGAAAGCAUAAGGAUGAACGUAAGGUCGAUGAGAACACAUACUCCCCCAAGCUUAGGCUUUUGGCCUAGCUUGGUCUACUCACAGGGACGGUCCUGUCGAAAUCCAAAAUCAUAAUCGGGGUUAUACGGGAGCGCUGCAGCCACUGCCUGAAUAGCUGCCUCACGAAGACGAGCAGACGUUGCUUCCCUCUCAUACUCCUCUACCUCUCCUAUGGUUAUGUAGUAUCUUCAUUUUACCUGAAAGUCAAAGAAAGCAGGAGCAAGAAGGGUAAUAUGGAAGACAAGCUGCGGGUUAAAUAUCAAUCGGUAUAGGAGGGAUUCAUCACCCCUCUCAAGAAACUGGUAGCGUGUCAAAGCGACGCGGUCAAGGAAAGCUGUAUGGAGCAGGGGAUCUCCUGCGUGGAUGGGUACUCCAAGAAAAUUUCCUAUGCGAGUGGCAUAGAUCCGCCAAAGAAAUCUCCCUCAAUAGCGUUCUUAUUCAGCCUCCUUGCUAUAAUAGCUCCCAUGUUGAAGCUUUUGUCACCCGUAACUACGCUCUUAAGGAUACUAAGGUCGGAUGCGCAUAGGUGACAAUGUUCAACCUUACCGUUAAUGCAUCUACCUAUGAAGAGGGCAAAGUAGUGCAAGGCAGGGAAAUGAAUGCUUCCUAUGGUAGCUUGCGUGAUGUCUCUAGUUUCUCCAAUCGAUAUACUAGAGAAAAAAAUCUCUAACCGAAGAUUUAGCAGGAUCUUUAAGAUUACCCCCAUCGGGUAUUUUGCAAAUCCUAUUGAAAUCCUCCAAAUCCAUGGCAUAGGAUUUAUCAUACAAAUCAAACAGUAUGGAUGAGUCACGGCCAACUGAAAAUUUAAAUCUACGCACGAAAGAGGCAGUGAGCAUAGCAUACUGUUCACAUUUAUCUGAGAGGAAUUCUUCUAAUCCGGCAUUACGGACAAGUGUAUCAAACUCAUCCUUGAAGCCUGCUUCGAUCAUGAACUCAUCGGAAGGCCAUUCACAUGGUUGUACCGGUGCGUCCCUUAGUUGAUAAGGAUCGGGCUCCUGAAUAGAAAGACGGGGACACUUCUUACUUGAGGAACCACCAUGAAACUUCCUCCUGAACAUAAUUUCUCUUUGCUGAAAUUUUGAAGUUCAAGAGAAAAGUGAAUAAAGACCAACCACACCUUGUAGCAACUACUCCUACUAGUGCCUAGAGACCGUAUCACGCGCUAAAACUACUUGGGACCAGCUAAAAUCAACAUUUCAAGCUCAAGAAUAGGGUCACCAAGGUAGCAAGAAUACGUGAAGGAUAAAGCACUAGAGCAAAAACUAAUUGGACCAAUGGAGUAGUCACUUACCAAGGAGCAAUUUCCCCAAAACGGUUCAGAGAAUGAUGCUUUGAGCAAGAAGAUAAAAAAUCACAGCCAAAUGAGCAAGAACACGGGUUUGAGAUGCGAAACAAUUUUUUCUGGAGGAAGAAGAAGAGGAUGGGAGCUGGAAUGAGUGGAGGGGGCCCCUGUGGGCCCCACAAGCUUGCUUGCCGCGGCCAGGGGGAGGCCGCGGUGAUAGGGCUUGUGGCCCACUGGGGUGGCCCCCAGGCCAGCUCUCAGUCCCAGUAUUUUUCAAAUAUUCCAGAAAAAAUCAUACUAGAUUUUCAGGACCAUCGGAGGACUUCUAUUUUCGGGGUAUUUUUCUCCGGGACGCUAAAACAGAAAACAGGAAAAAACUAAACUAAACCUAUCAUUUUUCUUCUAAGCAAAAGAAAGUGAAAGCUUAAAACAGAGGUAUGUGACUCUUUGAUUCAUCCAUUUCAUGGUCAUCGAAAGAAAUCUGUCAAUGGGGUUUAUCAAAUCCUUACGACAAAACUUUCUUGAUUCGCAAAAGAGAACGGAGAAUUUUUGAAUAGCGACUAAGUUACCUCAAUGGGGAUAUGUAUCUCCCCAACAAGCAAAUCAUACUUCAUCUUGACACGAGGAAUAGGGCAUUCAAAGCUCCCAAUAAGAAUCGAUGAAGUUUUUUCGAUAGCAUUGAUGCAAUGUACUUGAUAUCGUUUCUUCGGAAAGUGCACGGUAUGCUCAUUACCGUUGACAUGGAAAGUGACAUUUCCUUUGUUGCAAUCUAUAACAGCCCCUGCAGUGUUUAAAAAGGGUCUUCCGAGGAUGAUAGACAUGGCAUCGUCCUUGGGAAUAUCCAAGAUAACAAAGUCUGUUAAGAUAGUGGUAUUAGCAACCACAACAGGCACAUCCUCGCAAAUGCCGACAGGGAAAGCAGUUGAUUUGGAUGACAUUCAUCAUGCAACAGUUAUAACACGGAGAGAUAUGUGGCUAGCUCUCGUUCGUCAAUGUGAUGUAGGCAUGGAUUCCGUGUGUAGUCAUACAUGCUUAUGGAAAAGAACUUGCAUGCCAUCUGUUGUCCAUCCCUCCCGUGGCAGCGGGGUCCAAAAGGAUACUACAGGAUAUUAAGGUUCUCCUUUUAAUAAAGAACCGGAACAACGCAUUAACACUUGGUGAACACAUGAACUCCUCAAACUAUGGUCAUCACCGGGAGUGGUUCCGGUUAUUGUCACUUCGGGGUUGCCGGGUAAUAACACAUAGUAGGUAACUACAACUUGGAAGAUCGGAUCUAAAACACACAUAUAUUGGUGACAACAUAAUAAUUUCAGAUCUGAAAUCAUGGCACUCGGGCCCUAGUGACAAGCAUUAAGCAUGGCAAAGUAGUAGCAACAUCAAUUUCAGUACAUAGUGGAUACUAGGGAUCAAUCCCCAUCAAAACUAACUCGAUUACAUGAUAGAUCUCAUCCUACUCAUCACCGCCCAGCGAGCCUACGAAUAGAUUACUCACGAACGAUGAAGAGCUUCAUGGAAUUGGAGAGGGUUGAAGGUUGAUGAUGACAAUGGCGAUGAUUUCCCCUCCCCGGAGCCCAAAACGGACUCGAGAUCUAUCCUCGAGAUGAACAACAGGAUGUGGUGGCACCUUCGUAUAGCAAACACGAUGAAAUCUUCUCUCUUGAUUUUUUUCUGGCCGAAAGUGAAUUUAUAGAGCUGAUUUUGGGGGCGACAGAGCCACAUGGGCCCCACAAGCUUGGUUGAAUCGACCAGGGUGGCCGCGGCAAUAGGGCUUGUGGCCCACUGGCCCAUCCCCUCUGGUGUAUCUUUGCGCAGGUAUUUUUCAUAUUUUCUAGAAAAAUUCUCCGUAAAUUUUCAGGACGUUCCGAGAACUUUCAUUUCUGCACAAAAACAACACCAUGGCAAUUCUACUGAAAACAACGUUAGUCCGUGUUAGUUCCAUUCAAAUCAUGCAAAUUAGAGUCCAAAACAAGGGCAAAAGAGUUUGGAAAAGUAGAUAUGAUGGAGACGUAUCAAGCAUGAGCAGGGAUGUACUCACACAUGACUGUGGUAGUUAUGCUGAGAGUGGCUCUCGGUAAAGAACUGACAGAACCAGCAGACAUGAAGUCACUUUUGUUUGCCAAGAGGCACUGUUCGACCCACAACAGAAAUAUUACCAAGUGUCUGUAUUCUGUCGGAGAGGUAUACGCUGAAUGCGCUUCAUCGAAAAAAACUGUCGCCAAAGUCUUUGCCGAGUUUUUUCCGCACUUUGCCAAGUGUUUCCGGCAUUCGGCAUAUACAUGGAUUCCAGUAGUGUGUGGGCUCACUUGUCACCCAGCCUUCUCACGCAAGUCUUUCCCUGCACUCACUAGCUUCAUGCUACAUUUUCCUCGGUCGGGGCGCUAGCAAACAGGACCAUGAGCCGGAGCGUUACCGAGAACGGUUGUGGUCAUUAGACCUAGAGCAUAACAUAGCGGGGCGCGGGAGUGGAAGCGGUAGAAACAAGGGUAAAGUGGCAUCCUCGUGUCGAUUGUCAAGUGGAUGGAGAGCUGCCAGGAGGAGUAUGAUAGAGCCUGGCACUUCAUGCACACCUCCCAUGAGUGGACUCUUAGAUCAUCUCCAACAGCCGCGCUAUAUAAGUGUCGUGUUGAAAAAACCGAGUUUAUUGCGCGCGCAGCGGCUCCGGGCGCUCCAGCGGAGGCACAAAAAAAGGCCAUGCGGAAUAAACGGUUCUGCGCGCUCGGUGAAAUGGCAUUGCGCACCCCAUAUUUCGUGCACCAGCUACCACACACUGGACAUCGACGACUCGCGCGCGUCGUCCAUCCACCACUGGAUCCAGGCAUUGGCGUCGCCACCCGCGCCACCCCAUUUGUUGCCUAUGAGGGUGGCCCAAUUUUGUUGCCUCCUAUCAUGCCAUUCGAUGUGUCAAAACGCAUGAUGGUCUUCACAAGGAUCUAAUCGAGUAGUGGUGGGCAUGGAAUGGCCAACAAAAUGACUAUUGAUUUAUAUGUUUGAUGUUGUACGUUUGAUGUCGUAGUGUCGAACUAUUUAUUGUUGACUAUUGUGAAAAAUCAAACUACUUAUUGUUGAUUAUUUUUUAUUUCUUUGGUCUUAAAACUCAUUUUUAGUCUCGUAUGUUGUUUGUGUUGGGUGCACGCUAUGGUUUUUUGAAGCACCUGCUAGAGGGGCGCGCGCACGCAAUAUUUUAUGGCGGCCGCUGGAGCCAGCACACUCCGGUGCGCUAUAAUUUGUUAUUUCAGAGUUCCAAAAUGGUUUUAGCACGCACGGCGGUUGGGUGCCUGUUGGGGAUGCUCUUAGGAUGUGUUUGGUUCCAGUCACCAGCUGGAAUGGAACGUGUUGUUCCAUGCCUGCGUUCCUGCGUUCUUGUGUUUGGUUCAUGAAUGGAAUGGAAAGUCGUGUUUUCCUCUCGCUAGGGUUUUUUCCUCUCGGGGCGAUUUUUUGCCGCCGUUGAGACCUUCCCUUCCCUCUCCCUGGUCAACCACCGGGGAAACUCGGGCUAAUUAAAGGGUGAUCCUGGAUCACCGCCCGCCCUUGGUUGUUCCCCGCCUGGAGCGAGAAGGGGGCUAGGGUUUCUACAACACCCGAUCGGAUCUCCAUCGGGCUAGGUUUUAAGAAAUGGCAGUGAAUAGUUCAACGUCGGCAGAGGCAUCCAAUGCUGGCUCCGCUGGCGAGGUGGAGAAGAUGAUGGGAGAGCUCUGGUCCGAGAGGAGGAUCUAGAUGAUGUUGUCCAUGAUGAGAAGGAGGCCCCGCCAGAUGUGGCCAGAUGGAUCACUGUCACUCGAGUGGAUAUCUCUAAACCCUAUAGUUAAUUCUGGUUCUUAAAAAAUAUGAGAGCAUCGUGGGAUCUCGCCCAUGAGUGCAAGUUUCCUGGGAGAUUGGGAGCGGGUGCUGCAAGAAGGCCCCUCGAACUUCCGUGGAUAUGCGAUCAUCCUUGCUCCAUAUGAUGGCACCACACAACCAUCCAAGGUCCCUCUCUACACACUCGAUAUAUGGGUGCAAAUCCAUGAUGUUCCUCACAAAUACACACACCUGGUUGGACCACUGGCAAGUCGAGUUGGUGAGGUGCUUUUCAUUGAAAACCCUUCUCACGUUUUUGCAGGUAAUUUUUACCGUGUGUGGGUCAAGAUUGACGUACAGAAACCGCUCAAGAACAUUGUCAUGAUGAUCAGAGAUGGUGAGCGACAGAUUUACAGGGUGAGGUAUGAAAAACUACCUGAUUUGUGUGUGGUAUGUGGGCAUCUUGGCCAUGUAUACAAGGAACAUGGAGAUGGAGUUCACUCACCAUCGGCGUUGUUCUUUAAAGACCUUUGAGGUUCAUGGGCAAUGCGGAUAGGCAAUGGCCCCGGAGGGGGUCAUGGACUCAAAGAAGGUAGAGGGGGCACGCUGGCCGCUCGAACUCUGGAUGUGGUUAACACAUAGGUCCGGAGGAAACUACUGACCGCGAGGGCGGCUUCCACGAGGACAAUGACACACAUAUGCUGGAGUCGAAAAGGAAAAGGGGCGAUGGGAGAGAUACGAGCAUGGAGAACAUGCAUGAGCCGCUCCUUGAUACGAGCGCUAAUCAGCUUGCUAUUGUGCCACAGGGCUUAAACCCUCAAAGCCCCCUAUCAACGGGGACUUGAAGAAAGCGAGGACUACAGCUGGGAAGGAUCCCAUUGGAACUGUAAAACAAACUUUGGCGGGCCCUGUCGAUGGGCGCCACUGGGCCCAAUGAGUAUUAUCAGCUGGAACUGUCGUGGCGCGGGCAACGCAGCAACAGUUCAAGAGCUUUGCAACAUCACGAAGAACUUUGCCCCUACCUUCAUGUGUAUUGUUGAAACUCAAAUCGAUAGAGUGAGGGUAGAAAUUUAGCUGGUACUCUAGGUUUUGAUAAUGGCUUUGCUGUAAGUAGCCACGACACAAGUGGUGGACUAGGCAUUUUCUAGAACAAUCCAAUAAAGAUUAAUAUUUUAGGCUACUCGGUGUAUCAAAUCGAUUGUAUGGUACAGGAACCUAAUGUUGAUGAAUGGAGAUGGACACAAAUUUAUGGGGAGGCCCAAACCCAGAUGAGACACCAAACUUGGGAUGUUAUGAAGGGGAUAAGCUCUUUGAGUGUCACCCCGUUGCUCUAUAUAGGGGAUUUCAACAAAGUUCUAUGACCAUAUGAACAAGAAGGUAUAGAAGAAAGAAAUAACGCACAAAUACACGGGUUUCGAGAUGCAGUGGAUGUUUGCAUGAUGAUGGACAUUGGAUACCAGGGCCGAUUCUGGACAUUUGAGAAAAAAGUGACGGAGGUAGCUAUACAAGGGCCCGUCUUGAUCGGUCUCUCGCUCUGCAAACUGGUCAUCGAGGUUCCCGGAAGCACAACUUAGGCAUUUGACAACCGCGAUUUCGGAUCACAGCCCAUCAUGCUGACUCUGAGGGAAGGCGGCGUUGCUCGUACACCUUUAUCCUUCAAAUAUGAGACAAUUUGGGAAACACAUGAUAAUUGGAGAAACACACUUCUAGAAAGUUGGCGGGUGGACAAGCCAUGCAUGUUGAACGGAUGUGAGCCAAACUGGGGGUUGUUUCAUCGGACCUGGGCAACUAGAAUAGGAAUACCUUCGGGUCUGUUAGAAAAAAGAAAUUAAAACACUGAAGAACAAAUUGGAUAGACUACGGGAGGACCCAGCAAGGCUACGACCGUCCCAUGUCGAGGUGAAAAUCAAUGAGAAGCUUCUUGAGCUUUAUCACAUGGAAGAACUCAUGUGGCGUUAGAGAUCCAGACUGGAGUGGUUGUUGGUUGGCGAUCGGAAUACACGAUUUUUCAACUUGCGGUCUAGCAAAAGGCGGAAAAGGAACAUGAUUAAGGCACUUGCCAAUUCACUGGGGGUGCUAACAACGGAUGCGGGGGAGCUAAACAUUUUGGUGCAGGAUUUCUAUAAAACCCUCUACACUUUCGAGGGUGUUCAGGGAAUGGAUUAGGUCUUGCAACACGUACCGCAGAAGGACACACAAUAAAUGAAUGGAAUUCUCAUGGCGCCAUAUACAAAUGAUGCGGUAAAAAUUUCCCUCUUUCAAAUGUUUCCGACUAAGGCGCCAGGGCCUGAUGGGUGUCCGGCUCACUUCUACCAACGACAUUGGGACAUUUGUGGUGAGGAGGUAACCCGCGCGGUUUUGAGGAUUGUCAGAGGAGAGGAUGUGGCUGAUUGCAUUAAUGACAUAGUGUUGGUGCUAAUCCCCAAGGUACUGAAUCCAACACAGCUUUCAAAGUUCCGCCCUAUUAGCGUGUGCAACGUACUUUACAAAAUUGCCUCCAAGGUAGUGGCAAACAGACUUAAACUCAUCCUCCCAGAUAUCAUAUCAAAUAAGCAGUCAACAUUUGUACCUCGUAGGAUAAUCACUGACAAUGUUAUAUGUGCAUACGAGUGCUUACAUUUUAGGAAACAGAGUAAGGCUAAGUCAAAUAGCUUUUCCGCCCUAAAAUUGGACAUGAUGAAGGCAUACGACAGACUGGAAUGGCGUUACCUACGAGCUAUCAUGGAGAAAUUGGGGUUUGCCCAAUCAUGGAUUCAAAUAGUUAUGGGUAUGGUAACGUUGGUCUCUUUUUCAGUCCUUUUCAAUGGUGAGAAGCUUGAACAAUUUACACCAUCGCGAGGUAUUCGACUGGGAGAUCCUAUCUCCCAGUACCUUUUCUUGAUUGCAGCAGAGGGCCUUUCGUGCCUUUUAAGAUCUUGUUCUUAAUCGUCAAGGUUUGAAGGGGUUAAGGUGGCAUCAAUAGCUCCAUCUGUGAACCACCUCCUUUUUGCUCAUGAUAGCCUAUUGCUUUUCAAGUCAAGUGUUGAGGGGGCGGCCAAAGUAUCAAACCUGCUGAAUAUAUAUUGCAAUGCUUCCGGUCAGAGGGUAAAUAAUGAUAAGUUAUCAAUCUUCUUUAGUAAAGGAUGCCCUCAUGUGAUGAGGACAACUUAAAAAACUCGUUUCAUGUCCACAAUGAGUCCUUAAGUGACAAAUACCUUGGGAUGCCAACGGAUGUGGGGCAUUUGAAUAUGGGAACGUUCAAGUAUCUUAGAGAUAGUGUUUGGGAAAAAAUUCAGAGGAUGGAUGCAAAAAUUGCUCUAUGCGACGGUUGCUCAAUCGAUUCCAUUAUACUCUAUGUCAUCCUAUACCCCUGUGCACGAGAAAUGUUGAGGACUUCUGGUCGUGGACUUGCGAAAGGAAAGGUGUUUUAACUGUUGGAUCGACUUAUCAUAAGAUCAUGAACACUAAGUUCCAUAGGGAGAACUGGGUUGAGGAGAACGAAGGCCCCUCCAAUGCUGCAACAGAGGGCGAGGCAUGGACAUCACUGUGGAAAGUCAAAGUGCCAUCUAAACUGAAAGUAUUUUUGUGGUGAUUGGCUCAACACUGAAUCCCAUCUGUAGAUGUUCUACAUCAUCGCCACAUGGCAAACUCAUCUCGAUGUGCGCUUUAUGGGAUGCAGGACUCGUGGAGACACACACUUUUGAAUUGCACCAUGUUCUGUUCUAUUUGGUCUUUGGUUGACGAGAAUCUAGUACAACAAUUGAGUUUGAAUCAAGACUGCAAUGCCAGGAACUGGGUCUUUGCCAUACAUGACCAUCUUUCUGAGAGGGAGUUCCUAUGUCUCUUGGUCACUGUAUGGGCAAUUUGGAGGGCUAGAAGGAAGGAUAUAUAUGAAGAUAUAUUCCAUAGCCCACUCUCUACUCAUCAUUUCAUCAACUCUUACCUGGCUGAUCUAGACGCACUUGAGAACUUGGAUAUUUCGGCGCCAACAGUUCCGACACCCACUGAUAGACCAAGGGGUUGGCAGCAGCCAUCAGCAAGCUUGUCCAAGAUAAACGCUGAUGCAACAGUGAGUAGGAAUCAACACUAUGGGACCAUGGCGACAGUAUGCACAUCACCUGAAGGUUUGUUCCUUGGUGCUUCAAUAAUAGUAUUUGUAGGAACCCGUAACCCACCGACACUUGAGGCUCUGGCGAUUCGGGAGGCUCUUGCGCUUGCUGAGGACCUAAAUUUGCAAGAGAUCGAUGUUGCAUCUGAUUGCAAAAUGGUGGUGGACGAUAUCAAGCAGCAGAAUAGGGCUACGUAUGGUGCCAUCAUACACGAAAUAAAAGAGUAUAGUAGUUCUUUUAUUACUUGUAAUUUCGUACACGAAUUUAGGAGCUCGAAUCUCGAGGAUCACAAUUUACCGAAGCAUGUUUUAAGCUGGGGAAUGGCCGCCAUGUUUGGUUAGGUAACUCCGGAAUUUUUUUUCUUCGUCCUUGUAAACCUUGUGACACUUGAAUAAAAGCUUCACGAAAUUGUAAAAAAAAUGAAUGGAACAUAAUCGAGUCGUGCCCACCGAGCGAAUAUUUCGCAAAUAUCCGGAAGGGCAACGCUCUGCGCCGGCGCGCCGCCGAAUCGUUUGGCCGGCCACGCGCGGGCUGCCCGAUGUGCCAGCUGUACGCAGGCCGCGCCAUUAGAUCUCCAUGCAGCAAUUUUUUAUUGAUGCAACAAAUUUCGUUCACGAUGCAGCAAUUUCUUCAACGUUUGCAACAAAAAAAAAGCUGUGGCCAAAAAAAUAUCUCCAUGAUCGUAGCAAAAAAAUGAAGCUGAUGGUGCAUGGUAGCAAAAGUCAAACGCCGGUUGUAGCAAAUAUCUACGUGAACGUGUAUGCAACAUUUUUAGUGAACGAUUGCAGCAAAAAAUGAUGCCGGUUGUAGCAAAAAGUAACAAAGUUGUAGCAAAAGUCAAAACGCCGGUUGUAGCAAAAAACCAACGAACUCGAGUUGCAACCAAACGUAUAUGCAACUUUUUUACUGAACAAAUGUAGCAAAUAAAAUAUAAUUGUAGCAAAUAUGAACGCUGGUUACAACAAAUUUAGACCAGAAAAAAAUUUGCAUGCCAAGUCAGCUGUGUGCGCGGAUCGUGUGCGGCCGGCCGAACGGUUCGGCCGGUCCACCGGCCACAAACGUUUACCUAUUCGGAAUGCCCCGAGACCUCCAAAUGAGAGGAACCACGUAGAACUCAGGAAAGUAAACAACGCCGAGAGCAGCACUCGGCAAACCUGGAUUCACGGCAACUAACUGCCGUAGCCAUUACGGGAUGACGGCGAACCAGCACCGCACGACAAACGGGGCAAACGCCAAGAGCCACACACGGCAAAGACAAGCCACAUCGCAUGCACAUUAGGAACCGACGGCGUUGUCACUUGGUUUACCUUUACCGAGAGCAGCGACGUCGCCCUUCGUAAAAACACGUCACACAAACAUUUUUGUACCUCACAUGUGGUCCCAUUGGUGUAAUUUAUCAGUAGAAGUUUUAAAUUAUUUGCUAAAUAUUUAAAAUUAACAAUAUGACGAUGUCUUUACUGUAAGUGCAUCCAGUGCCCCUUAGUGAUUUUGGUGGUUUGAAGACUUAUAGGUUAAGUAUCUAAUGUGUUCAUGACUGUACACACGAUCUAUAAGUCAGUGAGGAGUUUGAAAUAUAUGAUGAAUAUCGACCCCUAAUAUGUAUAUCUUUGGUUGAAGAAAUUGGUCUAAAGCUGAAGAAUUGAAUCGCGAAGAAUCUGCGAUGAAAUUGAUAUUCCUCAUGAAGAUAUUGAAAUUGAGGAAUUCGGUGUGUCCUGAAGAAAAUCAUUCUGAAGACUUUUAAGCAUGAAGAUUUACUCUUUCUGUUUUGUUUUCUUCACACUUGAGUAAUAGGAACACCGUACUGUUAAGGGGGGGGGUCGAAGUUACACUUUGGAAUGAAUUUCCUCAUGAUGCUCAACCCAAGCCUAAUCCUACCAAAAGCCUCAAGUGAGGAAUACGAGUGACAUGAGGACUCUCACAGUUGAGGGUUCGAUAGCCACGCCACAUCAUUGGUCUUAUCCACACCAACAGUCAUAUUAUUUAAGGGCAUUAGUGUCAAAUCAUGUGGGGAUGCUCCCAGGCUAUAAAUAGCCGCCCCCCACAAUCAUUAGCUGGUUGGCUACUCCGUUAGAAACUGACACUUGUUAUAAGAGCUACCCAAUUCCUGAGAGUCUUCGAGAAAUUCAUCAGUGAGGAAAUACCCCAAACACCAAACCACAAACCAAGAACCAAGUGAUUGAGCAUCACUGAAGAAGUUGUUCCUGUGUGGGACUGAAGCCUUUUACCUUUGAGGGAUGUGCAUCCUCCAGACGGUUAGGCGUCAUGGUCUAGAGCAAUCCAGCAGUCAAUUGUGGAUCGCCGGGUGACCAAGUUUGUGAGGGUUUGGAAGUCUGCCCUGAAGACUUACCACGAGUGUUGGGCGAGGACUGUGUGUUCUUAGCUCAAGGAGAAUAUGGUAGGGAUUGUGUGUCCCGGGACUGAGUGUCUUUUGGUUUCAAUACCAAGCCGCUCCAAACCAGAUGUACAACUGUCACAACAGUUGGAACUGGGUCAUCAACAACUGUCUUUGCCGUGAAACAGGUUCUAAUUCCUCAACUCUUUAUAUUCCUCAGAUUAUGUGUUGCUGAAUUUCACUGUCACUGCUUGAAGAAUUUGCUGAAGACUUUCUCUGAAAUUCCUCAACCCCAAAUUCUUCACGCAAGUUAAUCCUCAUAUGUUUUCUGCGUGCCUGCGUACUAUGCAAUCUGUUUUCAUAUUCCUCAUACUGAAAAAAAUGCUGUAGUGAAACUUUGCACUCCUGAUCCUUUACUGUUUCCGCUGUAAGUUAGUCAUCAGUGAGGAAUUUCCUCAAAAGGAAUUUCCUCAAUGAUAAAAUUCUAAAAAUCUCCUAUUCACCCCACCUCUAGUCGAUAUAACGCACUUUCAAUUGGUAUCAGAGCAAGGUACUCCCUUGUUCUGUGUGAUUUUGGUUUAACUAUCUAGAGUUUUAGUUAUGUCGACUGCAGGCAUGAUUAAGGUUACUGCAGCAUGUCCUACUUUCAAAGGAAAGAACUUUCCCUUCUGGAAGACCAAGAUGCAGAUGCAUCUACAAGCUAUUGACAAUGAUCUCUGGUAUAUUGUGGAACCUGGCGUCCCCAUCAUCUGUGCUAGUGUCUCUGCUGCUGAUGUGAAGAAAUUCAAGCAACUUGAUUCUCAAGCGAAGAAUAUCAUCUGUGGCCAUCUGAGCCCAGGCCAGUUUGGAAGAGUAAGUGCUUUGGGCUCAGCAACACUUAUCUGGGAGAGACUGUGCAAAGUAAAUGAAGGAGUAUCUACCCAGCGUGAUUCUCGAGUUGAUAUUCUUCUCAAUCUCUUCGAUCGCUUCAAGAGGAUUGACAAUGAAAGCUGCCAAGAUACCUUUGAUCGCCUCACUGACAUAUCAAAUGAAAUGCAAGCACUGGGAGCUCGAGACAUUACUGAUCACGAAGUUGUGAAGAAACUGCUGAGAUCUUUGGAUUCUUCAUUUGAUACUUUAGUCCUGAUGAUUCAGGAAAGACCAGACUACAAGAUGCUUGAUCCAGCUGAUAUACUCGAAAGAGUCAAUACUCAUGAAUUCCAGCAAGAACAAAAUAAAGAUCUAUAUGGACCAAGCUAUUCCAGACCACGUGCACUGAAGGCUAGAGCAAUUUCCUCAUCUGAAGAAGAAGACUCAGAUGACAGCAUUGGUGACCCUAAAGAAUUUGGACAGGAGCUUGCAAUGCUCAUGAGGAAAUUCCAGAAGUUUACACGACGUGGCCAGUUCGGUAAAUCUUCAAGAGGAGACAUGAGGAAAUCAGAAUCUUCAUCUCAGGACUACAAGAAAAGAACCUGCCACAAGUGCAAGAAAUCAGGUCAUUACAUUGCUGACUGUCCCCGUUGGGGAAAGGAAUCAAAGAAGAAGAAAUACAAGGAUGACAGUUCUGAUGACUCGAAGAAGAACAAGAAAUCUUCAAAAUCCUCAUCUUCAAAGCCCUCAUCACACAAGAAGGCUAGUUUCAGAAAGGCUCGGGCACUUAUUGGCAAGGAAAUGGACUCCGAGGUAGAAUCAGAGGAAUGUGAUGAAGAAGAGGGUUCUGAUGAAGACUCAGAAUCCGGACAGGCUAGUCUUGCACUGGCAACCACUUUCGUCAACAAGUCAAUCUUCAAUCUUGAAGAAAAUGAUUGCACCAUCCACACUAAUGACUAUGCUGAUGACUUCGCUCCAACCUAUUGCUUCAUGGCAAAAGGUUCAAAGGUACCGAAUGAUGCUUCCUCCUCUGAUUCAAGUGACUGUGAACCUGAUGACUAUAAAAAACCCAGUUACAGUAAACUUGAUAUCAUUGCCACUAAACAACAAACUGCCCUGGAAAAACUUCAGAAACUGCUAGAUAGAAGUGAUGAUCUGUUGAAUGAUGAAAUGAAUCUUACCCAAAUCCUCACUGAAGAUGUGAAGAGUCUUCAGUCUAGAUUUGAUAAUCUUCAAGAUGGUUAUGAUACACUCCUCGCUGAUCAUGAGAAACUUUCCUAUGAAUUUCUUCAAAGGAAGCUUGAUCUAGAGAAGCUCAGGAUUUCUCAUGAUGAUCUUCGUAUGGAAAAUGAUUCAUUACUAGCUCAACAGAUCAGCGCUGCUCAAGCUGAAUUCAUUCCUCCAUGUCUUAAAUGCAUUGAACAUGAAACUCCUAAUUCUUCACCAGAAUCAUCAAAUGCUUCAAUUGCUACAAAUUCUUCAACUGCUCCUGUAGUGUCAAAUUCCUCACUUGAGGAAAACACAAAUGUCACUGAUGAAAAUGCAGGGCUGAAAGAAUUGUAUGUGACAGGCAUAUACAAAAGCCUCAAAGGACAUCAAACCCUUUGUGAUGUGCUCAAAAAGCAGAUCUUGAACAGGAACCCGAGGAAAGAAGGAAUUGCCUUUGAGAGGAAAUUGAAUGCUGAUGGAUCUUAUUCGAAACCUGAGCAGUAUCCCAAAACCUCAUGGGUUGUUGCUACUGGGCCUCCUUUUGAUCCAUCCAAACUAACUGGCUUUUCAUGUAAAUUAUCCUAUUCCUCAGAUGAGUCAUUUGACGCCAACUAUAAAUUGUUCAAAAAUCAAGCUGGUGAAGUAUUUGCUUGAUAUGUUGGAACUAACUGCAGGAAUGGCCCUCCCCUGAUGAAAAUCUGGGUUCCCAAAAGUUGUCUUGAAAAUCUUCACGCGAAUGUCCUCAUGACACCACCAAUGAAGAAUCUGAACCCCAGAUCAAAUUCCUCAGGAGGACCAAAGUCUUCAAGAGGAUCAAAAUCCUCAACUGGUCAAAACUAUGCUCGUACCCGUGCUAAUGCUUCUAACAUGCAGGGAAACUACAAGGAAUAUGAAUAUGAGAGUUACUCCUCAAAUCAUUAUGUUCAUAAAUCCUCAAACCAGUUCUCUGCAUAUUCAUAUGAGUACUUUAACCCCCCUACUACUAAGAGAAGUGCAUUAGCUUCAAUGCCUCCUUUCUCAUAUGGUGCUCGCAGGAUGAUGAAUGCUUUACCACCCCUUCAGAUGUGGGUGGUGAAGAAAUCGAACUAAUCACUUCUGCAGGUCAGGUCUCCAGAUGAAAAUCAUCAUCUGGAGAAGUUGUUGGAGACCUGAGGAAAUACUUGAUAGGACGCAAGCUAAUAUUGAUGAAAUAGAAAUAUUUCACACGUCCUUAUAAUUCUAUUAUGAUGAAAUUCCUAUCUGAUGAAAUUGAUACCAUAUUCUUCAAGUUUGAAGCAUAUGAGAUGGUAAGCUGUACUAAUUCACCUGCAGGAUGACAAACCCAAGAGUACUGAGUGGGUUCUUGAUAGUGGCUGCACACAUCACAUGACUCGUGAUAAAAGCUUGUUGAUGAAUAUGCCACUAAUUCCAUCACCUGUGAAGCAAAUCACAUAUGCUGACAAAGGUAAAAAGCAACUUAUUGGGACUUGGCAAAGUGGCUAUUUCCAAGGAUAGGCAUAUGGACAAAGUGAUUCUAGUUGAGUCCCUUGGAUUUAACCUCAUGUCAGUCUCAAUGCUUUGUGAUCUUGAUAUGAUUGUUAUCUUUGGUAGAUAUAGAUGUGUUGUGAUCAUGGAAUCUGAUAAAUCCAAAGUCUUCGAAGGUGUAAGAAGAGGGGAUUUGUACAUUGUUGAUUUCUCUACAGGUCCUCAACCAGCCACUUGCUUACUAGCAAAAACCUGAGAAGGAUGGCUGUGGCACUGAAGACUAGGUCAUGCAGGCAUGAGGAAUUUGCACACGCUCGUGAAGAAGAAGCAUGUCAUUGGCAUCGAAUCAGUCAAAUUCCUUAAGGAUCAUCUCUGCGGUGCAUGUGAAUCUGGGAAAAUGACAAGAUCCAAGCAUCCCUUGAAGACUAUCAUGACCACCACUCGUUCGUUCGAAUUGCUUCAUAUGGAUCUAUCUGGACCUACUCACUAUGCCACACUAACCAAUGCACCAUCGUUAUAUGGCUUCAUCAUAGUUGAUGAUUAUUCCAGAUAUACAUGGGUGCAUAUCAUCUUAUAUAAAACUGAAGUGCAGGAAAUCUUCAAACGAUUUUCUUCAUGGGCCUCGACGAACUUCGGCAUCAAGAUCAAACAUAUCAGGAGUGAUAAUGGAACCGAGUUCAAAAACACUGGUCUUGAUGAUUAUCUUGAUGAACUUGGUAUUACUCACGAAUUAUCUGCUCCUUAUACUCAUCAAUAGAACGGUGUCGUCGAAAGGAAGAACAUGACUCUGGUUGAGAUGGCUAGAACCAUGCUUGAAGAAUAUCAGACUCCUUGUCGCUUUUGGCCUGAAGCAAUCAACACUGCAUGCCAUAUCAUCAACGGGGUAUAUCUUCACAAAUUCCUCAAGAAAACCUCAUAUGAACUCCUCACUGAUAAGAAACCCAAUGUAAGUUAUUUCAAAGUCUUCGGUGCAAAAUGUUGGAUUAGAGAUCCUCACCAUAUCUCAAAAUUUGCACCUAAGGGACAUGAGGGUUUUAUGCUCGGUUAUGGAAAGGACUCGCACACCUACAAAGUCUUCAACAACUAUCACAACAAAGUUGUUGAGACUGUAGAUGUGCGGUUCGAUGAAACUAAUGGCUCGCAAAGAGAGCAAUUGCCUUCUGAUCCAGAUAAGUUAUCUCCUGAAGAAGCAAUCAAGCUUAAACCUACUGAAGACAUUGUUCCCACUGAGGAAAUUGAUGAAGAAACCAUCCCCAUCACUGAUGAAAAUCAAGAACGUGCUCCUGAGGAAAUUGCACCAGAACCACUUCCUCAGAUCAGACGAAAUCCUCAACCAGCUCAUCCGAGGAUUGCAAAUGAAGUAGAACUUGACAAAAUCCUCAAUGACAUCAACGCGCCAGGUCCUCUCGCUCGCUCAAAAGCUUCACAUUUAGUUAACUUUUGUGGGUAUUUCUUCUUUGUAUCUAUCACAGAACGCUCAAAAGUUGCUCAGGCUUUCCUGGAACCAGAGUGGAUCCAAGCUAUGCAAGACGAACUUCUUCAAUUCAAGCUGAAUUACGUAUGGGAGCUCGUCAAAUGACCAGAUCCUCGCAAGCACAAUAUCAUCGGAACCAAGUGGAUUUUCCGAAACAAGCAAGAUGAGGAUGGCCAAGUGGUGAGGAAUAAGGCACGACUUGUAGCCCAAGGCUACACCCAGGUUGAAGGAAUAGAUUUCGAUGAAACUUUUGCACCUGUUGCUAGACUUGAAGCUAUUCGAAUACUACUUGCUUAUGCUAAUCAUCAUAACAUCAUAUUAUAUCAAAUGGAUGUGAAAAGUGCAUUCCUCAAUGAUAAGCUUGAGGAAGAAGUAUAUGUUGCUCAGCCCCCAGGUUUUGAGGAUCCAAAGAAUCCAGACAAAGUCUUCAGACUCAAAAAGGCGCUAUAUGGCCUCAAGCAAGCCCCUCGGGCAUGGUAUGAUACAUUGAAGGAAUUCCUCAUGAAGAAAGGCUUCAAACCUGGUUCCCUCGAUCCAACUCUUUUGCAGUACGUCCUAUGAUAAUGAGCUAUUUGUGUGCUAGAUAUAUGUCGAUGACAUAAUAUUUGGUUGUACUGACAAACGAUACAGUGAUGAAUUUUCUAACAUGAUGAGUGAAGAAUAUCAGAUGUCUAUGAUGGGGGAGCUGAAAUUCUUUUUAGGUCUUCAAAUUCGUCAACAACACAAUGGAAUCUUGAUAUCAUAGGAGAAAUACCUCAAGGAUGUUCUGAGGAAAUUUGACAUGCAUGAAUGUAAAGGUCCCAAGACUCCAAUGCCUACCAACGGCCACCUCGGCACUGAUGAAAAUGGUAAAGAAUUCGAUCAACAGGUAUAUCGCUCUAUGAUUGGCUCUUUAUUGUAUCUAUGUGCAUCUAGGCCAGAUAUAAUGCUUAGUGUUUACAUGUGUGCAUGUUUUCAAGCAAAACCGAAGGAAUCACACCAUAAGGCUGUGAAGCAUAUUCUUCGAUACUUAGCUCACACACCAACACUAGGAUUAUGGUAUCCCAAGGGCUCAAAUCUUCAUCUGGUAGGGUAUUCUGAUUCUGACUAUGCUGGUGACCGUGUGGAUCGCAAGUCAACAUCUGGCACAUGCCAUUUCCUUGGAAGAUCACUAGUUUGCUGGUCCUCAAAGAAGCAGAACUACGUAUCACUCUCCACUGCCGAAGCUGAGUACAUUGCUGCUGGUUCAUGCUGUGCUCAAUUGCUGUGGAUGAAGCAAACCCUCAAGGACUAUGACAUCUACAUGAAGAAUGUGCCUCUCUACUGCGACAAUGGGAGUGCAAUCAAAAUUGCAUACAACCCAGUACAUCACUCGAAGACCAAGCACAUCCAGAUUCGUCAUCAUUUUCUUCGGGACCAUGUCCUCAAGGGCAAUAUCCUCAUCGACCAUGUGAAGACUGAUGAUCAACUGGCAGAUAUCUUCACUAAGCCCUUGGAUGAGAAAAUGUUUUGCAAGUUGCGCUGUUUGCUAAAUAUCUUAGAAUCUUCAAAUGUUUUGUAAAAACAUGCACACAUCCAACACUUAUGCAAAAUUGAUGACUUAGAUGUGCAACACAUGAUGAAUCGGUUUUCUUCAACUGAUGAAGAAUAUCACUCUGAAUGUGAAGAAAUCAACGAAGAAAUUGAUUCUGAGGGCCCUACGACAAUUAUACGCGGCGUCUGUAAUCAACAUUCUUAUAUGGUGGGUCACGCCACCACCCAACAUGAAAUUCCUCAAGUUGAUUUUCUUCAAAGUUGCAUUUCCUCAAAAUUUGAUAUUCUUCAAAACAGUGUUCUUCAAAAUCAUUUUUCUUCAAAAACACUUGAUGAUUUUCGAUUACCUAGAUAGACUGUGAUUCCAAGUCCUCAACAUCAUUCACUUAUAGCUAUUUCUUCAUGUUGAUAUUUCAUCUAAGUGAAUGUGAUCGGACCAUACUUUCCCUCUAUGCUAUUCUCAUCGAGUCUAUUCAAUUCUUCAUAUGCGUUCUGCUUGAAACAUGGUCGAAAUCCUCACUGCGUCCUUGUCAGCUGAUGCUUUGCUAACAAAAUCCUCAAAUCUUCAAAAAUAUUUUUUUUAAUGAACAGUAACUGAACCCCACUUUCCUCGUUCGGAUAACCAAGAUCUCCACGAUCUCCACCGCUUUGCCCGCAAGCUACACGUGUCCAGCGGAGACGUAGAGGCAGAGGCUAUUUGGUCCGAUUUCUUCGCGCCAACAGUAACUGUCUCGCUAUAAAUAUGUCCCCAUCCCCUCGGUAAAACACUUCUUCGCUCCAUCGCACUCCUGCUACAGCAAAAGCAACAAACCCGAGUGCCACCGCUGGAAGUCUCGUCAUCGGCGAAGAAGAGUUUCACUGCCUCGACUUUUCCAUCGCCGAAACCACGCCGGAGUCGGACCAUCCUCGUCCGCCGCCACCAUAGAUGUCCUCUGCUGCCGGGUUAGGGCACAUUAGACACGCACCGAAAGAGCUUCUCCCUGAAACUCUUCUCUUUUCUUCGUGCGCGCCAUCUAGGGUAAAUAAAAACCCUAUUUUUACAGCAAGUUUGAUCUACUAUUUUACCUCUCAGAUGUGAAAUCAGAUUUUCCUCAAGAAUCCUUAUACAUCUGAUUCCUCAAACACUGCCUAUCACCACACUAUUGAUGAACUUUACUAAGCACCUAAGAUUUUCACGAGAUUCCUCAAUUGUGCGAAUUCUCGGAUCUGUACAACUCUAGAACCCAAGAACAGUAUGCUUAGGCAAAUUCCUCAACCACUUGCCAAAUUCCUCAACUGUCAAUUUUUUUCAUUUUCUUCAAAUCUGAGAACGCAUAUGACCUCUCCAAAUUCCUUGCAACUAUACUCUGUUUGCAGGUACACACAUGUCAGCUGAUGAAUCUCUCUGUUCUCAUCAAAUUAACUCAUUUGCAGAAUUGUUGAAGAAAAUCUUCAAGUCUCAUCAGAGUCCUCAAGAGUUCAAUCUCAUCAGCAAAAUCCUCAGCUGAAGAAAAUGGAGGAUGACAGGAAGCAAAAGGGAGGCAAGAAACUUGAGCAGAAUACAGCCUUAGACAUCCCUGAGGAUAUAUAUCUGGAUUAUUGCACCCGUGAUGAAAAUGAAACUAUGGCCAAGAGAAAAAUUCGGCUUCAGAAGAUAGAACGCCGAUGGCUAAGGAGUGGAAGGAGUACAGAUUCGUCACUCCCAAAUAUGCGAAGAAAUUCGCUCUGAAGCCUCCUGGCAAAUGGGCUCCACUUGAGGAUUAUCAAGAAGCACAUCCUUCAAGCCUCAAGACGCUUGAUGAUUAUCCUAAUGAAAAGGAAAAGCACUUGGCAAAGCUCAAGAAGCACGCAGAGGCUGCUGUGAGGAAAUUCAAUGAAUCAUCUGCUGCUGCUUCAACUGCCACUACUUCCUCUGGUGCUGAGACUUCUGGCUCGGCAAUUCCUCAACAAAACUCUAUGCCAUCAAAAGCAAAGGCUUCAAAGCCUCAAGAGAAACCAGCUCUAGCAUCAGCUCCAAAACCAUCAGCGCGAAAACCCUCAGCUCCAAAAUCCUCAGCACCACCACAGGCUUCAAAACCUGAACAGAAGCUGAUAGUGAAGCCACUGCCAGCUACCUCAAGCUCCUCACUCCCAGCUCCAACCAGCUCGGAGAGAAAGUCUUCACCAACUCCUCUGAAGACUAAGGUGACUGCUGGGAGAGGAACAAGACCCAGCCCAAGCAAAAUCAUCACGGUCCCUUCUGCAUCAGAGGGUAGUGAUGAAUAUGAUGAUGAAACCUUGCAAGCAAUGAUCAGAAACAAGCACGAGAGGGUAGCUCAAGCCUCUGGCAGCUCCAUUCCUCUGGCCAUGGACCCAAAAGUCCUCCUAGACUACAUCAAUAUCUCGUAUGAGGACACCAACACUCCGCUUGAUGAUUUGAAACUUCCCCCUCGCAUCAGCCACAUGGUGGCCACAUUCAUCAACGAGGCCAAGUGGAAGGAGCAGCAAGUUAAACAGGCCAAGGUGGCUAAGCUCAAGAAGGAGAAAUUCGUCAAGGAAAAUCUCCUCAAUCUGACGCCUGAUGAUCUUGUGUCAACACAGGCAGAUUUGAACACUUUGACAGAUAAGUACUCCAAGCUUUCUGACCGUUAAAGUCUCAAAAGCAAUUUCAUCAAACUUGCUACUGAAGCUGUUAAUAACUACAACAAGAAAGCUGCCCCUCCAGUACCAACUCCUCAACCUCUGAUUGAAGAACCAGCUGAUGAAACUCCUCAAGCUGAGGAAAUCCCUUAAGAAAGCCGUGUGGAUGAAUCGGCAAUUGAGGAAAUCACCAUGAAAAAUCCAGCUGAUGAAUCUGCUAUAGCUGGUGAGACUGACCCUGCUCCAGCUGCUGCUUCAAAGCCAGCUAAUGACUCUGCUCCAGCUGUUGCUUCAAAGCCAGCUGAUGACUCUGCUCCAGCUGCUGCUUCAAAGCCACCUGAUGACUCUGCUCCAGCUGGUUCCUCAAUACCAGCUGAUGAAUCUGCCGAGAAAACACCUUCACCAAAAGAUUCAAAGGUGAAGAAGAUGACUACGUCUGCAUCAGACGUGAAGAAGACAAGGACUGCUGAAAAGGAAGCCAAGAAGAGAAAGGCUUCUUCAGCAGAAGAACACACUGAGGCCAAGCGCCUCAAAGCACUUGAAGAGAAUGCUCCAUUGGACCCUGUGCCUCUUAACAUCGCUCCAUCCUAUGAAAUGUUCACCUUUGAAGACUAGGAGAAAGGCCAAAUGAGGAGAUGAAAGGUGUUGCAUCUGAGGAAUAUACAGACGAAGAAAUUCGCAUUGACGACAGUCCUCAGCCCUCCAUUCCUCAUGAAGAAACUGCACAAGGAUCAGGUGCACCAGCUGAUGAAUCUGGCCCUGUCACCAAGCAAGCUGAGGAAGAACACAGUGAAAAUCUUCAAGCUGAUGAAAUUCAGAGCCCUCAGCAAAAUCCUCACCCUGAGGAUCAGGCUGCCCCAACUCCUCCUGAGCAAGAUCCUCAAACUAAGGCUCAGGGUGAACCCAUUCCUCCUCCGGAGCAAAACCCUCAACAGGAUGCUCCAGUUUACGACAUUCCUCAGCUUGAUGCACAACAAGCACAUGCUCCUCAGCCUGAAGCUCAAGAUGAUGGAAUUCCUCACCCUGAGGAUCAUGCUGAGGAAAAUGCACCAGAUCAAGAAAAUCCUUUCGUUGUGCUCAACCCAGAGUCUGCAAUUGUUGUAUCCCCUCAAGUCCAACAGCAAAAUCUUCAGCGAAUGCAGCGUGUGCCGUUCUCCAAGCGGCUAAAGUUUCAAAAGGAGAACUUCUUUGAAGAACGCAUGUACUUCAUUGGAGAAAAUCCCUAUGACAAACCUCAAAUCAGGCAUCUGAAGUUUUGGACGAGGACACAACUCAAUUACUAUGCCUCUGUGCUGUGUGGAAGAAACAAGAUUUUCCAGCACAGGCAUAUUCCUCAUGUUGAACUUGAAGCAAUACCAUGCCUAGCUCCAGUCCUCAACGUCCUUCAUGAAGCUGGACUUCUCCCCAUGUGCUCUGAUAUUUGUGACUGGAACAGUGAGCUUAUUCUUCCAUUUUAUGCCACUCUUCACAUAUCUGGGGAUCCAACACAUAUCAACACUUGGGUGUUUGACUGGAUGACGCAAACAACACACCACAAGGCUCCUGCUAUUGAGCUUCUGCGUGAACUGCCAGUAUCAAUUCCUUCAGAACAAGCUGUGAAGCUGUAUGAUGAACAUGAGCUGCCCAACGGGAUGAUGGGGGGUCCUCAUGAAGCCUUUGGCUAAUUAAGGGGCAACCACCGAGAAAAACCUUCCUUGUCCAUGAGCUCAAAUAUGAACCAAGGUCUGUUUAGAGAAUCCUCUGCAGCGUCCUUGCACCAAUCAAGGGACACGAUGAUGAAGAAGAUGUUGUAGGCCUCAUGAAGAAUAUCCUCUUCAACAUCAUUCAUGGUAUUCCUAUCAACAUCCAUGACUUCUUCUUGAGGACUUUGGCUGACAAUGCAAUGUGUCCUUUUGACCACAAGAUCUAUGCUCCAUGGAUCAUGAGAUUCAUCGGGAAAAGGACAUGCAUCAACUUUCACGCUGAUUGCAACAACCAUGUUGGUUACAUGCCUCCUAUCAGGGUCAACAAGAAGACUUUCGAGCCUGUUGAAGGAAAAGGCAAGUCUGUUAUUGAUGAAGGAAGUAGGCCCCUUGAUGGCCAGUUCACAGAGCCUGAGAUAUAUUCUUCAUGGGAUGAUACUGAGACUCAUGCUCCAAGUCCUAUUGCUCCUCGCGUGCUGAAUACCAGAGAGCUUCUCCUCAGUCUUCACCAGAAGGUGGAUCGGAAUCACAAGUGGAUCAAACGCCAGUUCGGCGCCAUUGUGAAAACCCUCACUGAAACACAGAAUUCUGUGAAGCUUAACCAUCACUAUCUUCAUGAGGUUUUUGAUCGCACCUGGGCUACACUUGCUCAUCUGAAGACUCCGACAGAACUUGAAAAUUUGGAGUUUGAGCGAGACUUUGACUGGUCGUGGCCACCCAAGAAUAAGUUUAGGCCAAUUCCAGUUCCAGACCUUGAAGACAGUUUGUUUUCUUCAUUCCACACUGCCGAAUCUGAUGAAGAACAACAAGACACUGCCACCGGUCCAAGGAAGAAGACUACUCCCAAGAAUCCUCACGCGUCUUCAUCAACUACCAAGGAGUGAAGUCUUCACGGGCGUUAGUCUUCAGUUUGUCCCUUUUUGUCACUUGAUGACAAAGGGGGAGAAACUUGAGAUUUAGUCUUCAAGCGGGAUAUUUUGGGGCUUCUGAACUAUAUUUAAGUUACAAACUCUUGGCUCUUCUGAAGUGUUUAUGUAAUGAGUUGUAACUUAAGCCCGAUGGUACUCUGACGCUUUUGAACGUUUUUCUUCGCAUGCUUAUUCCUCAAAUUUUUAAUGCACGCAUGCUGAAAUUCGUCAGAUACCAUUUGUCAUCAUGCAUCCUCAAUUUCUUCAUACUAUAUGUCAUAUGUAUGCAUGAUUUACAAGACUCAGGGGGAGAUCUCCAUGAUAUAAAUCAUCAAUGUGCAUGUGCGGUGAAAAGCAAAAUCCUCAAGAUAUGCACAUCUUCAGGGGGAGUCUCUCUGAAUCUUGAUUUCGAAUUCCUCAAAUGAGUAUUUACACUUCACAUUUUUAUCCCUGUUGAAUACUUAACCUAAUUGUAAUCAACCACCAAAAAGGGGGAGAUUGUAAGUGCAUGUAGUGCCCCUUAGUGAUUUUGGUGGUUUGAAGACUUAUAGGUUAAGUAUCUAAUGUGUUCAUGAGUGUACACAGGAUCUAUAAGUCACUGAGGAGUUUGAAAUAUUUGAUGAAUAUCGACCCCUAAAAUGAUGAAUAUCGACCCCUAAUAUUUCAUGAGUGUACACAGGAACACCGUACUGUUAAAGGGGGUCGAAGUUACACUUUGGAAUGAAUUUCCUCAUGAUGCUCAACCCAAGCCUAAUCAUACCAAAAACCUCAAGUGAGGAAUAUGAGUGACAUGAGGACUCUCACAGUUCAGGGUUCUGACUGUUUCGAUAGCCACGCCACAUCAUUGGUCUUAUCCACACCAACGGUCAUAUUAUUUAAGGGCAUUAGUGUCAAAUCAUGUUCGGAUGCUCCCAGGCUAUAAAUAGCCACCCCCACAACCAUUAGCUGGUUGGCUGCUCCGUUAGAAACUGACACUUGUCAUAAGAGCAACCCAAUUCCUCAGAGUCUUCGAGAGUAAUUCAUCAGUGAGGAAAUACCCCCAACACCAAACCACAAACCGAGAACCAAGUGAUUGAGCAUCACUGAAGAAGUUGUUCCUGUGUGGGACUGAAGCCUUUUACCUUUGAGGACUGUGCAUCCUCCAGACGGUUAGGCGUCAUGGUCUAGAGCAAUCCAGCAGUCAAUUGUGGAUCGCCGGGUGACCAAGUUUGUGAGGGUUUGGAAGUCUGCCCUGAAGACUUACCAAGAGUGUUGGGCGAGGACUGUGUGUUCUUAGCUCAAGGAGAAUACGGUAGGGACUAUGUGUCUCUUGGUUUCAAUACCAAGCCGCUCAAAACCAGAUGUACAACUGUCACAGCAGUUGGAACUGGUUCAUCAACAACUGUCUUCGCUGUGAAACGGGUUCUAAUUCCUCAACUCUUUAUAUUCCUCAGAUUAUGUGUUGAUGACUUUCACUGUCACUGCUUGAAGAAUUUGCUGAAGACUUUCUGUGAAAUUCCUCAACCCCAAAUUCUUCACGCAAGUUAAUCCUCAUCCAUUUUCUGCGUGCCUACGUACUGUGCAAUCUGUUUUCACAUUCCUCAUACUGAAAAACUGUUGUAGUGAAACUUUGCACUGCCGAUCCUUUACUGUUUCCGCUGUAAGUUAGUCAUUAGUGAGAAAUUUCCUCAAAAGGAAUUUCCUCAGUGAUGAAAUUCUAAAAAUCUCCUAUUCACCCCCCUCUAGGCGAUAUAACGCAGUUUCAUUUACCGAGAGCCAUUCUCAGCAAUGCUUGAUAUACGACUCUUGACUAAACCCUUCAGAAGUGACUAGUGGGACUAGGAGCGUUAGAGCCCUCGAAAAAGAGUGGCACCACUAUAGUAGUAAAGUUCUCAACUCACUCCUUUUCACAGAGCUACACUUGAAAAAUGAGUGGCACAAUAAUAGUUUCAGUUUAAACGACCCCUUUUCCUAGAGCCGCUCUCGGUAGUCUAUGUGUUUCCGAGUGUGGCUCUCGGAAAUGUGUCCCAUUGCUUCUGUUUUUAAGCUCUUUCUUGUUUGAUCCGUGCAACUGAAAACAACUAUAGUGCAAUUUACGUAUCUAUAUAUAUACAGUGUAGAAAAUUUUAUUAUAACAAAUGAAUGUGGGAGCUCCUAGCUCCCUAGUAAUUCAUCAAGUAACACAUCACACACGUAGGCGUAAUUUAAAGAAGUCCACAUAUAUAGGCGAAUGUUUCACACUAGUACACAUCACACACAAGUUCGCAAAUUCAUACAUAUGGUUAACUUAUGGAAAUUCACUACUUGCAAAACACGUGCACGUCACAUAGAAGUUCACAUGUUGAUACAACAUCUUGAGGAGGAGGAGGGGCAUGAUUUUCAUUGGGUUAAUAUUCACGAGGAGGAGGGACAUCAUUUCAACUACCUCGAGAUUGCAUAAGAACCUAUAAUAGUACAAUCACGUGAGCAUUGUUCUUGUCUAUAUAAUGAAGGCUCUACUGUAGUUUAGAGAAUGGUCUACCUGUAGUUGAUUCUCGAGCAGCUUCAACCUUUCGUUCAUGUCUACUCGUUCCUUAUUUCUGGUCUCCUGCUUAGCCAGCCUCCUUUGCUCCUCUUCAGCAACCCGUUGGUCCAUUAAAUCCUGUAAUAUGGCAUUAGGCUCAUAUAGGUUGCAACAGUGUUAUUUAAAGGCAUGGACAUAAAUGACUAGUUAUGAUGCUAACCUUGAUACGUGCUAUGUUACGUGACCCGGUGGUUGGGCGACUUCAUAUGGACGGAGUUGAGCUGGUGCUUGACGCGCGUAUCUCGUCCAGCUUGCGAUGCAAGGAGGUGGCAAUCACCCCGUUGCAAAGGAGGUGGAGGCCAUGGCCCUUCCCCUUGCCAUCAAUGAUGAGAAACUCAGGAUCAAGGGGCUUCGAUGUUGGUUCGGCGUCCUUCCUGUGCACCUCCUGGAAGACCUCCUUGAAGUUCUCAUACUUUUCCGGCGCCAACAAGCUAUAGAACUUAGUGCCAUCCUUCCCAUUAUGGACUUUUUUCCAGGCCUCCAAGAUGUGGACCAGGCGACCAAGUGUUGCCUCCUACAAAAUUAACCAUCAAGUUUAAUGAACCGAGAUGCAUCAUGCAAAAAAGUUAACAUCUUAAUCCACAUACCAUGUGUUGCUUCACAGAGGUUAGGUUGCGGCUCCCCUGGACAUUAGCCAGGCCUGGCAUUUUGGCGUGAUAGUUUCCCUUCUCCACAUGUUGCGCCUGCCAUGACGUAUCACACCACAGGUCAACCAGGGCCUCCCAACAACCGGCCUCCAUCGAGGGUGCCCUCACCUAGUCAUACAAAAUCGAAUCAUUGAGUAACAAGAGGUGGAUGAAUCAAAGUAAUAGCAAACAAUGUAGUCACUUACCACUAACAAGUAUUAUUCUUGCUCCAAGUUGGUCCGACAAGUAGUCUUCCUCAUCCUCUUAAUCCCCUUGUCGUCGAGCGAACACAACUACAUCACAGCUUUGUACCGUAGCGUGUGCUCGCUGACGGAGAGUAUCUUUUGGGUGGAUUUUACGAUCCCUUUGGUCGCCUUCUCACCCUGAUCAUACAUGCAAGCAAAUGUUUGCUAUAAGAAAGCAUAUGGCAGUUAAUUACAAGAAUUUGGAUAUGGAAAAAUGCAGUGGCGAAGAUACUUACAAAAAAACUAGUGAUGACCCGGGUGGUCACGAUGACAUCAUGCCCAUCCUUGGUUUGUUGGUAGUGCUCCCAGGUUAAACCUCGUGAUGGCGUGUGGUCAUCAUCCAGCAUGGCCAACCCGGGGAAGUACUUCCACAAGAGGGAGCCGAUGAUUUGGGUCGGCAAUUGCGCCCCCUAGGCUCUGCCGUGAUAAAUUCCCACAGACUACAUGAUGAAAAAGACAAGCAUGUGUAAGUGGAAAAUUUGUGGAAUCCAAAAUAUUUUGCAAAUCAAAUGCUUACUUUCGUUGUUUACUCACAACAUAAGCCAUGGGUACGCUAAAGAUGGUGGGAAACCGAAGUGGCACUAGAGGGCGCUGGGAACAAGGAUGGUACAAGCAUGGAACGCACAAUGUACCCAGGUUCAGGGCUCUCCGUAGAGAUAAUACUCCUAAUCCUGCCGGAGUGUAUGAUGUACGAAUGAGACUAUAAAGUGCUCCUGGGGCUGUAUUGCGGAGGAGGAAGAAGGAGCUGCCGGCUCGCGUCUGCCUCUCCUAUGUGGUGUGUCUGUGCUGAGUUGUCCGACGCUCUGUAUGGAGGGGGCCGGGGGGUUUUGUAGACGAACCCACCGACCUACAAUAUGGAUAAAAGGUACAAGAGGGGGGCCCAGUCAGCAGACUCGCCGGCUGGCCAGGGGGGCCACGGGGUCUUGUCUUGUCGUUGGAGGGGCCCGCCGGCUGUUAGGUCCUGUCUGGCUGUGGGACCCACCGGCUAGACAAAAGGUUCUCGCGUAAGGUUGAGGCCGGACACGUGUGGUACGUCCGGCGUCGUCCAGCGAGGACCAUCAUGGGCAGGCAGUACGGCCGUCUCCACUCUUCCCACGCCGAGAGCAAUAAUGGACUGGGAGUUUGAUGGGCCGACACUGUGCACGGUGAUGGAUCGGAGCCGGAGGAGGUCAGCGGCGUGGCCGCUGACGCUUGUACCUGCCGUGCACCCCGAUCCAGUACCUUUGCUGACUCGUAGCCACCUUUAACCGUAGGGUCUCGUCAUGAACUAUGGUUUGAUGUGACUUGUGCUCCCUAGCCGGCUAGCCGCUUGACUACCCGGCCUGGGCUCGGCCGCCUCGCCCCUAGCCGGCUGGCUUGGCCUAGGUGGUCAGGGGAGGUAGCCAUGCCGCCUCUAGCCGGCAGGUGCUUCUUGGCCGGCCAGAGAGUUGGUCGUCUCGCCCCCAGCCGGCAGGUACUUCCUAGCCGGCCAGGGGGGCUUGGUAUUUGCAGAAUGGUUCUUGUUGUUCCUUCUUGGUUGAAGGCAAAGGAGUAGGCUCGAUGAGCCUACCCCGGUGUUAUCCCCCCAACAGUAAGGUGGGGAGGCCCGCCGCCUGGAAGCGGGCGGCCUCGCCAGCUUAAGUUAUUUGCUGAUGAGUUCCUCCGGCAGGGGACGCUGGCUCGGGAGCCGGCUGGCUUCCAAGCGACGCCUCGACUUUGUUGUAGGUCGCGCAAAUCGCGCCACAUGCCAGGCCUGACCUGACAUGUUGAUGGUUUGUUCAGUUGACGGGACUGGGCCUGAGCCCUGGGUCCCGCCACGACAACCCCUCGGCCUCUGCACGGAGGAUCCUCUGUGGAUUUACUCCGCGACGGUUGGGUUUCGGGAGUCAUAAAAGCCUGUGCAAUAUUCAGAGAUAAUGGGACCGGUGCGCACCGGAUCCCCUCCCCACGAUCCUUCGUGGGGUUUUAAAUGAGGUGUGGGGGUACCGAGAGGCUAUUCACCCCCUUCUCACCCCACACUUGCGCUUCUUCCCUCCCUGAGCCCAAAGAGAGAGUCUCGUCCUCUACUUCGUCUUCGCUGCCGCACUGACCGUCGCCGUCCCUUCGAGCUUUCGCUGCUCGCUACCAGGUCGAGCAGCUCUUCCAAGAAGGGCCAGCACAAAGGUGCCUGGCUCAGGAGCGACAUCUGCGCCGAGCACAUCAAUGCGCUCCGCCAUCGCCGAAUGCUGCCUCCAACCUCCCUUGUGACCGUGCGGAUCCCCGGACCGAGAAUGCUCCAAAGCCGUAGGAGGGAGAGGUAGUUGUGUUCGAUGAACACUUCUACCGAGGCUUCAUGCUCCCGGGGAGCACCUUCUUCAGCAACUUGCUCACCUUCUUCGGCUUAUAGCCGCACCAUCUGGCGCCGAACGCCAUCCUUCAGCUCACCUUGUUCGUCGUCCUGUGCGAGGGGUUUCUGGGGAUCGAGCCCCGCCUCGACCUCUGGCAGAGCUUGUUCUUUUUCAAGCAACAAUCCAAGAAAAUGGACAAGGCCGAUGUGGAGAAGCUCGAUGGCCUACGUCCGAUGACCCCAUGUGGCGCGGCACUGGUGCAUCACCGGACGAAGUGUGGCUUCCCUCAGAUGUCGCUCCAAGACUCCAUCAAGCAGUGGUAGAAGGUCUUCUUCUACGUGAAGAAUGCCAGCCCCACCCGCGACGCCAUCAACAUGCUCCCCUUCGCCGUCGAGCCUUCGACAUCGAAGAACUGGCAAGCCAAGUACCCCCGGCCGGCUCCCGAGGUAGCGCAGAUUGGCGUCUACCUCGACGGCCUGAAGGCUCGCGGCCUCGUAGGCCACGACCUGCUUACCACCAUGAUGGCCCGCAGGAUCUUGCCUUUCUAGAGGCGGCCUCAUCUGAUAUGUCAGAUGAGUGGCCGGCACAAUCCUUGCCGGCUCUCCACCAAGAAUUUCCACCCUGGAGCGAUGGCGAAGAACGUGAACCAGAUCUCCUGCGCCAACAUGGAUGAAGGAGGACACUGGGAGUGGGGGCUGGUCCCUUACGAUAGUAACCAUCCUCCCCCAAUGGUGAGUGUCCUCAUGGAUCUGGUAUUUGCUUUGUGUUUUGGAACUGUUGUUUCUUCUCGUUAAGCCGGCUACCAACUGUUGUUGUAUCAGCUGUUUGGGAAGCUGCAGGAGCUCACCCCUCUGGCUCAAGACAUGGAGACAUCAGACCCCUCGGAAAUUGAAGACGAGGGGAUGAUCGAGCCGCGGGACACCGCCUCGGAGGAGGCGUUGGAGUCGGAAGGCUCCGAGCCAUCUGGUGAGCACCUGAGGCCUCCUCUUGUUGAUUGGAUGGAUGAAGACGAGAUGCCACCAUCUUCAUACGAUGCAGCCUUCGGGGAGGAUGCCGAAGAGGUGGAGGAAGUCACCAGGCCUCCCAUGACCCGAGGCCGCCGCUGAUACGUCUCCAAAGUCUCUAUAAUUUUUUAUUGUUCCAUGCUAUUAUAUUAUCAACUUGGGAUGUCUUAUAUGCAUUUCUAUGCCAUUUUAUAUCAUUUUUGGGACUAACCUAUUAACUCAGUGCCUAGUGCCAGUUUUUGUUUUUUCGUGUUUUUGACCUUUUUCAGAAAAGAAUAUUAAACGGAGUCCAAACGGAAUAAAACCUGUGGGAUGAUUUUUUGCAUAACAGAAGAUACCUAGAAGACUUGAGAACCAAGGCAGGAGGCCUCGUCGGAGGUCAAGACCCCCUAGGCGUGCCCUAGGGGGGUGCGCCUAGCAGGCUCGUCGGCCCCCCGUGGUUCCUUUGCCCUACCUCUUUUGCCUAUAAAUUCUCUAGAAUCCCGAAACCAAAGAAGAGAGCCACGAAAAUACUUUUCCGCCGCUGCAAGCUUCUGUCUCCGCAAGAUCCCAUAUGGGGACCGUUCUGGUGCCCUGCCGUAGGGGGAUUCGGACACGGAGGGCUUCUUCAUCAACGCCAUUGCCUCUCUGAUGAUGCAUGAGUAGUUCACCACAGACCUACGGGUCCAUAGCUAGUAGCUAGAUGGCUUAUUCUCUCUCUUGGAUCUUCAAUACAAAGUUCUCCAAGAUCUUCAUGGAGAUCUAUUCGAUGUAACUUUCUUUUGCGGUGUGUUUGUCAAGAUCCGAUGAAUUGUGGAUUUAUGAUCCUNNNNNNNNNNNNNNNNNNNNNNNNNNNNNNNNNNNNNNNNNNNNNNNNNNNNNNNNNNNNNNNNNNNNNNNNNNNNNNNNNNNNNNNNNNNNNNNNNNNNUAGGGUUUGGAGAUGAGAUGGUGCUGAUGAAGAUGUUGAUGGAGAUGAGUCCCCUCCGAUGAGAGGAGUGUUGGUGAUGACGAUGGCGACGAUUUGCCCCUCCGGGAGGGCAGUUUCCCCGGCAGGAUGGCCCUGCCGGAGCUCUAGAUUGGUUCUGCUCAAGUUCUGCCUCGUGGUGGCGACGUUUCUUCCCGAAAGCUCUUUCUUGAUUUUUUCUGGGAAGAAACCCUCCUUAUAGCAGAAGAUGGGAGCCGUAGGGGUAACAGGGGCCCACGAGCCACCCAGGUGCGCCCAGGGGGGUAGGGCGCGCCUGGCAGGCUUGUGAGUUCCUCGUGGCUCCCCUCCAGUAUUUCUUCCACCCAGUAUUUUUUAUAAAUAAGUCCUUGCUGAUUUUCACGGCUUUUGGAGUUGUGCAGAAUAGGUAUCUCAAACUUGCUCCUUUUCCAGCACAGAAUUCCAGCUGCCGGCAUUCUCCCUCUUCAUGUAAACCUUAUAAAGUAAGAGAGAAAAGGCAUAAGUAUUGUACCAUAAUGUGUAAUAACAGCUCAUAAUGCGAUAAAUAUCAAUAUAAAAGCAUGAUGCAAAAUGGACGUAUCAACUCCCCCAAGCUUAGACUUCGCUUGUCCUCAAGCGGAAGCCGAGAUCAAUAAAUAUGCCCACAUGUUUAGAGAUAGAGGUGUCGAUCAAAUAAAAUACGGACAUGCAAGCAUCAUGAUCAUAUUUAGAACGGCAAUAUCGUCAUAUAAUCGCUUAUGCUAAAGUGACAAUUCCGUCACAAUGUAAAAUAUGGAUCAAGAACCUUAUUCAGAAUUAACAACCAAUAGUCUUUAGUCACUAAAGCAAUUGCAAUUUAUCAUAACGUUGGAAAGAGUCAAAUAUGAGCUUGUAAAGCAAAUCCACAUACUCAAUCAUCUUUUAGUCUUCUACAAUUGCUAAAACUCACGCGGUACUCAUGAAAUCAAAGUUUCAGUUGCCACAGAGAACGAUAGGGGCUUAUAGUUUCGCCUCCCAACUAUUUACCUCAAGGGUAAUGUCAACUAUAAUAAUCAUGAUUACUUACUUCCAAGUUGAUAUAUGAAUAUACAUCGUUCCCUAGCACAUGACGCUUGCCAAGAUAAUGGCGAAAUAAGGAAUUGGUGUCGCUCACCAUGACUCUUUUAAAGAUAAAAAGUAAAGGUACAAGAUAGGCCCUUCGCCGAGGGAAGCAGAGGUUGUCAUGCGCUUUUGAGGUUUGGAUGUGUGAUCUCUUAGUGUGAAGGAACGUCACUUUAUAUUGCCUCUUGUGAUAAAGAACUUUAUUAUGCAGUGUAUCGCUUUUAUGUCUUCCUCAUCACAGGUUCGUACAAAGCUUAUUUUCCACACACUAAUAGAUCAUACAUAUUUAGGGAGAAAUUUUUUAUUGCUUGCACCAAUGACAACUUACUUGAGGGAUCUUAUUCAAUCCAUAGGUAGGUAUGGUGGACUCUCAUGGAAAAACUGGGUUGAGGGUUUAUGGAUGCACAAGUAGUAUUUCUACUUAGUGCAGAAGUUUUGCCUGAUAUGAGGUGGAAGCAAGCGUCACAUGCUAAGGGAUCACUAGUCAUAUCACAUUGUUUGGAACCAAGCAAACAUAAUUCAUUAUGUUGUCUUCCUUGUCCAACAUCUACUUCUUAGCAUGUAAUAGUUUAAUGAGUGUUCACAAUCAUAGACGGUGUCAAAGAUGAUAUAUGUAUAUGUGAACCUCUCUUUCUGUAUUACUUCCUAUUAAUUGCAACAAUGAUCAAGGUCUACGUUUUAGCCACCCACAACAAGUUUCAAUCAACAUUAUUUUUAUAUGUGAAGCCAUCACUUCCCAUAAGAUCAUUACAUGAUCUUUCAUGAUUUUGUUCUUUUAUUAUUCUUUUCUUUAGAUCAUGGCAUGAAGCAAGACCCUUAACUAAAACACUCCUUAUUAUAUAACUCACGAACUCGAUUACAUUGGGGGUAACACAAAGCAAAACUCAAGCCUAGAUCAUACUAAGAACUUUAUUCUACUAGAUAAAUAUAUUACCAAAAAGGAUCGAACUAAGAUAAAGGUAAAGGCAAAAGAUGUGAUGGUGAUAUGAUACCGGGGCAACUCCCCCAAGCUUGGCACAAGCCAAGGGGAGUGCCCAUACCCUUGUUUAAUUGUCUUCCUUCGGGGGUGAUGGUGAUGAAGCAAUCCUGUCUUUUAGUUCCAAGAGGGCCAUCAAUCUUCGAUUUAUGCUUUGGGGCUCUGUGAUUCGUUUCUCCAGCAAAAUAACUUCACGGGUGAGAUAAGUAUUGCGAACACGAGUUAUUUCACAUAACCUCAAGAGUUCGAUCAAGGAUGGAGAUAGCACGUGGAGGUAGAGUUGGAGGAAAUCCUCUUCCUCAGCUUCUUCCUUGUUGAGCACAGAUUGCCCUUCGCCCGACACCGGAUUCUCCUCCUUAGUCUUGCCCUUGGUUUCUUCCAGCAUCCCUUCCUUGGCCUCCGUGACUUCCACCCUUUUCAAAUCAACAUUUACUUGUUCAUAGACUUGAGGAAAAUCGUUCUCCUCGAAGAUUCCUGAUACGACAUCCUUGCCCUAAAUCUGUAGUAGAAACAGGCUCGAAACGAAAACACGGGAUAUUUGCGUGAUACGAGGGUCAGGCCUUUCAGGAGAUUAUAUAAUGCAUUUUUACCGACCAAAAGGAGUAUUCCACAAGAAAACGGAGUCCGGGAGACACACGAGGUGCUCACGAGCCCCCACGUGCCCAGGGGGUGGGGCGCGCCUGGCAGGCUUGGCAGCUCCUCGUGCCCUUUCCGGACUACUUUAAAUUUUUCUAUUUUUCUAAAAAUUCUAAAACGGAGGAAAAUUGCUUUUGGAAAAGCUUUAGAGUCGGUUCACUUAUCGAAUCACAUACCUCCUCGUUUUUGGAGUCGGAAACAAGCUCGUAAAUAUCCCUUAUGUACUCCUCCGGAGUUAUGGUAUUAAUAAUAUUGCUUUCAACAUUUAUGGGAGUACCUGAGAUAUAAUGCUUGAUCCUUUGCCCAUUUACAACUCUCGGAAAAUUACCUUCCGCAUUGUUGAUUUUUGUGGCACCGGAACGAUAUACUUCCUGAACAAUGUAAGGACCUUCCCAUUUAGAGAGAAGCUUGCCUGCAAAAAACCUUAAACGAGAAUUGUAUAGCAAGACAUAAUCACCUACAUUGAACUAACGUUUUUGUAUCCUUUAAUCAUGCCACCUCUUAACUUUUUCUUUAAACAACUUGGCAUUUUCAUAUGCCUGAGUUCUCCUUUCAUCAAGUGAGCUAAUAUCAAAUAACCUCUUAUCACCAGCAAGUUUGAAAUCAAAGUUGAGCUCUUUGAUUGCCCAAUAAGCCUUAUGCUCUAGCUCAAGAAGUAAAUGACAUGCUUUACCGUAAACCAUUUUAUACGGAGACAUGCCCAUGGGAUUCUUAUAAGCAGUUCUAUAAGCCCACAGUGCAUACACAAGUUUCUUAGACCAAUUCUUUCUAGACCUAUUAACGGUCUUUUGCAGAAUUAAUUUAAUUUCUCUAUUACUUAACUCUACUUGACCACUAGACUGAGGAUGAUAAGGAGAUGCAAUUCUAUGAUUGACAUCAUACUUAGCAAGCAUUUUACGGAAAGCACCAUGAAUAAAAUGUGAACCACCAUCAGUCAUUAAAUAUCUAGGGACUCCAAAUCUAGGAAAAAUAACUUCUUUAAGCAUCUUAAUAGAGGUGUUAUGAUCAACACUACUAGUUGGGAUAGCUUCUACCCACUUAGUAACGUAAUCAAUAGCAACUAGAAUAUGAGUAUAUCCGUUGGACUUUGGAAAAGGUCCCAUAUAAUCAAAACCCCAAACAUCAAAUGGUUCAAUAACAAGUGAAUAAUUCAUAGGCAUUUACUGACGUUUACUGAUAUCACCUAUUCUUUGACAUUCAUCACAAGACAAAACAAACUUAUGAGCAUCCUUGAAGAGAGUAGGCCAAUAAAAACCGGAUUGCAAUACCUUGUGUGCAGUUCUAUCUCCCGCAUGGUGCCCUCCGUAAGCCUCGGAGUGACACUUCUGUAGGAUCUGUCCCUAUUCAUGCUCAGGUACACAACGCCUAAUAACACCAUCUACUCCUUCUUUAUAAAGGUGAGGAUCAUCCCAAAAGCAAUGUCUCAAAUCAUAAAAGAACUUUUUCUUUUGUUGGUAUGUGAAACUAGGUGGUAUAUAUUUAGCAACAAUAUAAUUAGCAUAAUCAGCAUACGAAGGUGUACCACGUGAAGCAUUGAUGACAUUCAAUUGUUCAUCAGGAAAUCUAUCAUCAAUAGGUUGUGGGUCAUCAAGAACAUUCUCUAACUUAGACAAGUUAUCUGCUACGGGUUCUCUGCACCCUUCCUAUCAACAACAUGCAAAUCAAAUUCUUGUAGCAAGAGAAACCAUCUAAUAAGUCUAGGUUUAGCAUCUUUCUUUUCCAUGAGAUAUUUAAUACCAGCAUGAUCAGUGUGAAUAGUAACUUUGGAGUCAACAAUAUAAGAUCUGAACUUAUCACAUGCAAACACAACUGCUAAAAAUUCUUUUUCAGUAGUAGCAUAGUUUCUUUGGGCACUGUCUAGAGUUUUACUAGCAUAAUGAAUAACAUUUAAAUUCUUAUCAACUCUUUGUCCUAGAACAGCACCGACAACAUAAUCACUAGCAUCACACAUAAUUUGAAAAGGUAGGUUCCAAUCAGGUGGUUGAACAACAGGUGCAGUUAUCAAGGCCUUCUUAAGUAUUUCAAAUGCUUCUUCACAAUCAUCAUCAAAAACAAAUGGAAUAUCUUUUUGCAAGAGAUUGGUGAGAGGCCUAUAAAUCUUAGAGAAGUAUUUAAGGAACCUUCUAUAGAAACUAGCAUGACCAAGGAGACUUCUUAUACCUUUAAUGUUUGUAGGGCAUGGUAUUUUCUCGAUUGCAUCAACUUUAGCCUUAUCGAAUUCAAUACCUCUUUCAGAAAUUUUAUGUCCUAAGACAAUGCCUUCAUUAACCAUAAAGUGGCACUUCUCCCAAUUCAAGACAAGGUUAGUAUCUUUACAUCUCUGCAAAACUCGAUCAAGGUUGCUCAAGCAAUCAUCAAAAGAAGAUCCGUAAACGGAGAAAUCAUCCAUGAAAACCUCAACAAUCUUUUCACAAAAGUCAGAGAAUAUAACCAUCAUACAUCUUUGAAAGGUAGCAGGUGCAUUACAUAAACCAAAAGGCAUACGUCUAUAAGCAAAGGUACCGAAAGGGAAGUAAAAGUGGUUUUCUCCUCAUCAGAUUGUGCAACAGGUAUUUGGUAGAAACCAAAAUAACCAUCUAGAAAGCAAAAGUGUGUAUGUUUAGACAAUCUUUCUAGCAUUUGAUCAAUAGAAGGCAAAGGGUAAUGAUCUUUCUUAGUAGCUUUAUUUAAUUUCCUACAAUCAAUUACCAUCCUAUAGCCAGUAACAAUUCUCUGUGGGAUCAAUUCAUCUUUAUCAUUAGGGACAACGGUAAUACCUCCCUUCUUAGGGACACAAUGCACCAGACUUAACCAAUCACUAUGAGCAACAUGAUAGAUAAUACCUGCUUCGAGGAGCUUUAGUAUUUCUUUUCUUACCACCUCUUUCAUCUUAGGAUUUAAUCUUCAUUGAUGAUCGGCAACUGGUUUGGAAUCAGGAUCAAUUUUAAUUUUAUGCUGGCAUAGAGUGGGACUAAUGCCCUUAAGAUCAUCAAGAGUAUAUCCUAUAGCAGCACAGUGCUUCCUUAGAGUUUUCAAUAAUUUCUUUUCUUCAUGCUCUGAAAGGUUAGCACUAAUAACAACAAGAUAUAUCUCUUUUUCAACAAGAUAAGCAUACUUAAGAGUAUCAGGUAAUUGUUUAAGCUCAAACACAAGAUCACCCUUUGGUGGAGGUGGAUCUCCAAGUAAUUCAACAAGCAAAUUAUUCUUAAGGAUAGGAUGUUGUUCAAAGAUAACUCUAUCUAUCUCAUUCCUUUCAUCCAUAUGCAUAUCAUUUUCAUGUUCAAGCAAGUAUUGCUCUAAAGGAUCAGUAGGAGGCACAAUAAUAGAAGCAAGAGCAAUAAUUUCAUCAUUACUAGACAAUUCUUUUUCAUGCAGUUGUCUACCAAACUUUGAAAAAUUAAAUUCAUGUGACACACCUUCAAAGCCAACAGUAACACUUUGUUUCUCACAAUCAAUUUGAGCAUUAACAGUACUGAGGAAAGGUCGACCAAAUAUGAUGGGACCAAAGCUAUCUUGUGUAGUAGCAAGAACGAGAAAAUCAGCAGGAUACUUAGUUUUACCACACAAGACUUCAACAUCUCUAACAAUUCCCACAAGGCAGAUAGUAUCUCUAUUAGCAAGUUGGAUAGUAACAUCAAUAAAUUCCAUCUCGACAGGUGCAAUCUCAUCUUUAAUUUCAUUAUAUAAAGAUCGAGGUAUUGCACUAACACUAGCACCCAUGUUACAUAAACCAUGAUAACAAUGAUCUCCUAUCUUAACAGAAACAACAUGCAUGCCAACAACAAGUUUAUGUUUGUCUCUAGCAUGAGGUUUAGCAAUUCUUGCAGCAUCUUCACAGAAUUGAAUAACAUGCCAUCAACAUUAUCGGCCAAGAGAUCUUUAAUAAUAUCAAUGCUAGGUUCAACUUUAAUUUUCUCAGGGGUGUAGGUGUUCUAAUGUAGCCCUUACGUAUCACAGUUGAAGCUUUAGCAUGAUCCUUUAUUCUAACAAGGAAAGGUGGUUUCUCAAUGUAAGCACUAGGAACAAUAGAAUCAUUAUAAGCAAUAACUUUCUCUUCAACUGGAUAUGGUUUUACUACAUUCACUUCUAUGGGAGGAUGAUGUUUAAACCACUUCUCCUUAGGGAGAUUAAUAUGAGCAGCAAAUAAUUCACAAAAUGAAGCUACUAUAUAUCUCAGAGUCAAGUCCAUGUUUAGCGCUAAAAUCACGAAAAGUAUUUGUUUCAGCGAAGGAUUUAACGCAAUCGAACUUAAGAUUCAUACCUGACUCCUUACAUUCAUCAAACUCCCAAUCUUCAGAGUUGCGUUUAAUUCUUUCCAAUAAAUUCCAUUUGAAGUCAAUAUCUCUCUUCAUAAAAGAACCGGUACAAGAAGUGUGAAGCAUGGUGCGAUUAUCAUGAGAAAGCCGAGCAUAGAAGUUCUGAAUAAUAAUUUCUCUCAAGAGAUCAUAGUUGGGGCAUGAAUAUAACAUUGACUUAAGCCUCCCCCAAGCUUAAUCGAUACUUUCUCUAUCACGAGGCCAAAAAUUACAGAUAUAAUUCCGAUCACGAUGUACCAAAUGCAUAGGAUAAAACUUUUGAUGAAAUUCCAAUUUCAAUCAGUUGUAGUUCCAUGAUCCAGUAUCAUCACAUAGCCUAUACCAUGUCAAUGCUUUAUCCCUCAAAUAUAAGGGAAAAAACUUCUUCUUGACCUCAUCCUCGGGCAAAUCUGCAAGCUUAAAUAAACCACAAACUUCAUCUACAUAGAUUAGAUGCAAGUCAGGAUGUGAUGUUCCAUCUCCUAUAAAAGGAUUAGCCAACAGUUUCACUAGCAUUCCCGAAGGGAUUUCAUAAUAAAUAUUUUCAGCAGGUGCGGUAGGCUGAGGAGCAUCUCUUUGUGCUUCUGGUCGAGGUGAAGAUACCCCGAACAAGCUCCUCAAAGGAUUAGUUUCCAUAGUGACAAGUGACAAUAAAUUUCAGCAUACUAUAUAAAUGUUUCCUUACCAAAUUCCACUCACCAAAGGCGCUUCACUCCCCGGCAACGGCGCUAGAAAUGAGUAUUGAUGACCCACAAAUGUAGGGGAUCUAUCGUUGUCCUUUCGAUAAGUAAGUGUGUCGAACCAAACGAGGAGCAGAAGGAAAUGAAAAGUGGUUUUCAGCAAGGUAUUCUCUGCAUGCACUGAAAUUAUCGGUAACAGAUAGUUGUGUGAUAAGAUAAUUCGUAACGGGUAGCAAGUAACAAUAACAACAAUGGUGCAGCAAGAUGGCCCAAUCCCUUUUGUAGCAAGGGACAAGCCUGGACGAACUCAUAUAUAAGGUAAAGCGCUCACGAGGACACAUGGGAAUUUCUGUCAAGCUAGUUUUCAUCAUGUUCAUAUGAUUCGCGUUCGCUACUUUGAUAUUUUGAUAUGUGGGUGUGCUAUGGCAACAGACAACAGUGCCAGAGAUUGACACGUUGACGGAGGCUGGGCUUGCAUUGGUUUUUUCCAUUGAAGAGGAAAGGGUAAUGCAGCACAGGAGCAGUAAGUAUUUCCCUCAGUUUGAGAACCAAGGUAUCAAUCCAGUAGGAGAAUCUCGUCAAGUCCAGAGUACCUGCGCAAACACAAAAGAGCUUGCACCCAACACUUUAAAGGGGUUGUCAAUCUCUUCAAGAUUGAUUGCAAAGUGAGAUCUGAAGGCGGAAAGUGCAACGAACAAAAAGUGUAAGGCUGAAAAUAUGGUGUGGAGUAGACUAGAGGGGCCAUAGUGUUCACUAGAGGCUUGUCCCAAAAUAGCAAAUAUCACGGUGGGUGAACAAAUUACUGUCGAGCAAUUGAUAGAACCGCGCAAAGUCAUGACGAUAUCAAAGGCAAUGAUCAUACAUAUAGGCAUCACGUCCGAGACAAGUAGACCGAUACUUUCUGCAUCUACUACUAUUACUCCACACAUCGACCGCUAUCCAGCAUGCAUCUAGUGUAUUGAGUUCAUGACGAACAGAGUAACGCCUUAAGCAAGAUGACAUGAUGUAGAGGGAUAAUCUCAAACAAAUGAUGAAACCCCAUCUUUUUAACCUUGAUGGCAACAACACGAUGCGUGCCUCGCUACCCCUGCUAUCACUUGGUGAGGCCACCGCACAAUAUGAACCCAAAACCAAGCACUUCUCCCAUUGCAAGAAUCAUAGAUCUAGUUGGCCAAACAAAACCCACAAGUCGAAGAGAAUUACAAGGAUAUGAAAUCAUGCAUAAGAGAGAUCAGAAGAAACUCAAAUAAGAUUCAUAGAUAAUCUGAUCAUAAAUCCACAAUUCAUCAGAUCUCAACAAACACACCGCAAAAGAAAAUUACAUCAGACAGAUCUCCGUGAAGAUCAUGGAGAACUUUGUAUUGAAGAUCCAAGAGAGAGAAGAAGCCAUCUAGCUACUAGCUAUGGACCCGUAGGUCUAUGGUGAACUACUCACACAUCAUCAGAGAGGUCAUGGUGUUGAUGAAGAAGCCCUCCGUAUCCGAAUCCCCCUCCGGCAGGGCAGCAGAACGUACCCCAGAUGGGAUCUUGCGGAGACAGAAGCUUGCGGCAGCGGAAAAGUACUUUCGAUGAUCUCCUGAGUUUUUCUAGGAUUUUAGGGAAUAUAUAGGUGCAAAACCUAGGGUAGAGAAGGCUCAGGGAGCCCACAAGCCAGGGAGGCGCCCCCCCGGCCACGCCAUGAGGGCUUGUGGGGUCCCUGCAGCCCCCCUGCCGUGAUUCUCCGGCUUCCCGAUCUUUUUCUGUUUCGGAAAAAAUCUUUUUGGCAGUUUCAUUCCGUUUGGACUCCGUUCAAAAUCCUCCUCUGAAAGGGGUCAAAAACAUGGAAAAAGCAGGAACUGGCACUUGGCACUGAGUCAAUAAGUUAGUCCCAAAAAAUAUAUAAAAGGCAUACAAAACAUCCAAAGUUUGACAAGAUAAUAGCAUGAAACCAUCAAAAAUUAUAGAUACGUUGGAGACGUAUCAAGCAUCCCCAAGCUUAACUCCUGCUCGUCCUCGAGUAGGGAAGUGAUAAAGACUGAAUUUUUGAUGUGGAAUGCUACCUAGCGUAGUUGUCCUUUGCAACUUCUUUCACGUGACAUGAAUGUUCAGAUCCGUAAGAUUCAAAACAAUAGUUUUCUAUUGACAUGAAAACAAUAAUACUUCAAGCAAACUAGCAAGGUAAUCAUGAACUUUCAAAAUAACAAGGCCAAGGAAAGUUAUCCCUACAAAAUCAUAUAGUCUGGCUAUGCUCCAUCAUCCUCACACAACUAAUGUAAAUCAUGCACAACCCCGGUAUUGGCCAAGUAAUUGUUUUCGCACUCUUACUUUCUCAAACCUUUUAUAACUAUCACGCAAUACAUGAGUGUGAGCCAUGGAUAUAGAACUAUAGGUGGAAUAGAGUGUGGUGGUGGUUGUGAGACAAAAAAGGAGGAGAUGGUCACAUUGACUCGGCGUAUCAAAGGGCUAUGGAGAUCCCCAUUAAUAGAUAUCAAUGUGAAUGAGUAGGGAUUGCCAUACAAGGGAUGCACUAGAGCUAUAUAUAAGUAUGUGAAAGCUCAAAAUGAGAACUAGUGGGUGUGCAUCCAACUUGCUUGCUCACGAAGACCUAGGGCAAUUUUGAGGAAGCCCAUCAUUGGAAUAUACAAGCCAAGUUAUAUAAUGAAGAUUCCCACUAGCAUAUGGUAGUGACAAAGCAAGAAGCUCUCAAUCAUGAAGAACAUGGUGCUAUUAUGAAGCACAAUUGUGGAAAAAUAUAGUAGCAUUGUCCCUUCUCUCUUUUUUAUUUUUAUUUGGGCUCUUGGGCCUCUUUUUUUCUUUUUUUAUGGGCUCAUUGGCCUAUUUUUUUAUUUUUUUCCUCACAUGGGACAAUGCUCUAAUAGUGAUGAUCAUCACACUUUUAUUUACUCACACCUCAAAGCUUAGAACGAUGAUGACUCUAUAGGAAAUGCCUCCGGCAGUGUACCGGGAUGUGCAACGAUCUAGCUUGGCAUAUGACGUUGAAACAUCUCGCUAGCUUUCUUAUGAUCAUGCAAUGGCAAUAUGAGAGUGACGACACAAGUCAUGAGACAGAACGGUGGGAGUUGCAUGGCAAUAUAUCUCAGAAUGGCUAUGAAAAUGCCAUAGUAGGUAGGUAUGGUGGCUGUUUUGAGGAAGGCAUAUGGUGGGUUUGUGCACCGGCAAGAAUUGCGCGGCACUAGAGAGGCUACCAAUGGUGGAAGGUGAAAGUGCAUCUAUACCAUGGACUCACAUUAUUCAUGAAGAACUCACAUACUUGUUGUGAAUUUUUUUAUUAGUAAUCGAAACAAAGUGCUAAACGCAUACUCCUAGGGGAAGGGUUGGUAGGUGUUAACCAUCGCGCGAUCCCGACUUCAACACAAAGGAUGACAAUCAAUAGAUCAAUUAUGCUCCGACUUCCUAACAUAGCGGUUCACCAUACGUGCAUGCUACGGGAAUCACUAACUUCAACACAAGUAUUUCUAGAUUCACAACACCCUACUAACAUAACUCAUAAUAUUACCGAAUCCACGUCUCAAAACUAAUUGAGAGGAAUCAAGACUUCUCUUUCUACUCAAUGCACAUGAAGAUGGAGGUUUUUGUAUCCUCUAUGGGUACCUAUCACCUUUGGGACUACUUUCAUAGCAUAAGCCAACUACCAAGUCACGCACCGCCGUUCUCUAGAAGAUAUAAGCAAAGCACAUAGAGCAAAAUUAUCUAGCUCAAAAGAUAUAAGUGAAGCACUAUGAGCAUUCUAGAAAAAUCACGAUGAGUGCAUGUCUAUCUCUCUCAAAAAGAUGUGCAGCAAGGAUGAUUGUGACACAACAAAAAGAAAAGACUCCUACGAUACAAGACGCUCCAAGCAAAACACAUAUCAUGUGGUGAAUAAAAAUUUAGCUCCAAGUAAUGUUACCGAUGGAUUGAAGACGAAAGAGGGGAUGCCUUCCCGGGCGUCCCCAAGCUUAGGCUUUUUGGUGUCCUUUGGCUUGGGAUGCCUUGGGCAUCCCCAAGCUUGAGCUCUUUCCACUCCUUAUCUCUUUGUCCAUGAGAACAUCACCCAAAACUUGAAAACUUCACAACACAAAACUAAAGCAGAAACUCGUGAUAACAUUAGNNNNNNNNNNNNNNNNNNNNNNNNNNNNNNNNNNNNNNNNNNNNNNNNNNNNNNNNNNNNNNNNNNNNNNNNNNNNNNNNNNNNNNNNNNNNNNNNNNNNNNNNNNNNNNNNNNNNNNNNCUCGUGAUAACAUUAGCACAAGAAAACAAACUACCACCUCUUUUUUUUACUGUAGCAAGCUUGAAUUCUAUCUAUAUUGGUGUUGGGAUACUGUAUUCUCACUUUUCCAUGGCUAGUACCCCCCCCCCCAUANNNNNNNNNNNNNNNNNNNNNNNNNNNNCAACUCAACAAAAACACAAUAUGUCAAAAAUAGACCAGUCUGUAGAAAUCUGUAUACUUAGUAUACUUCUGGUACCUCUGAAAUUCUGAAAACUUACGACUACCUGGGAAAAAGGCAUAUAAACCAGCAGCAAAAAGAAUCAACUCAAAAGAUCUUUCUGAAUAAAAAUAAAAAAUUAUCUCGUGGGCGAAAAGUUUCUGUCUUUUCCAGCACGAUCAAACAACCAUUACCAAGACUAGUCAUAAAGGUUUUGCCUGGCUCAAACACAAAAAGAAACACAGAAAACACAAUAACAACAGAAUUAUGAUGGUGUGGACGCAACAAAACAGAAAGAAAAAAGAUAAAUUCAUUGGGUUGCCUCCCAACAAGCGCUAUUGUUUAACGCCCUUAGCUAGGCUUAAAAACGAGAGAAUCACGUAUCGUCGUCUUUGGUGCUCAAACCAUAAGUAGCCCUCAUCAUGGAUUCAAUCUUAUUUUAUUUCUGGGAAAGUGUUCCAUGCCCUUCUUUAAAGGAAAUUGGAAUCUAAUAUUCCCUUCCUUCAUAUCGAUGAUAGCACCGAUAGUCCUUAGGAAAGGUCUACCAAGAAUAAUAGGGCAUGUAGAAUUGCAAUCAAUGUCAAGCACAAUGAAAUCCACGGGUACAUAGUUCCUAUUGCAAUAAUAAGAACAUCAUUGAUCCUUCCCAUGGGUUUCUUGACAGUAGAAUCCGCAAGAUGAAAAUUAAGAGAACACUCUUCAAUCUCAUUAAAACCCAGAACAUCACAUAAAGACUUUGGAAUCGCGGAAACACUAGCACCCAAAUCACACAAAGCAUUGCAUUCAUAGUUUUUGAUUUUGAUUUUGAUGGUAGGUUCCCACUCAUCAUGAAGCUUUCUAGGGAUAGAGACUUCCAAUUCAAGUUUCUCUUCAAGAGAUUUUAUCAUAGCUUCGACGAUAUGAUCGGUAAAGGCCUUGUUUUGGCUAUAAGCGUGUGGAGAGUUUAACAUGGAUUGCAUCAAGGAAAUGCAUUCAAUCAAGGAGCAACUAUCAUAUUUGAAUUCCUUGAAAUCCAUGGUAGUAACUUCAUUACUACUCAAAGCUUUAAUAUCUUUUACUCCACAUUCAAUGCUUUUAGCAUCAAGAUAGAUGGACUCUCAAUCAUUGGGGCGCUUUUCAACCAAAGUGGAUUCAUAUCCAGCCCCAUAAUCACUGGGUUUGACACAAGAAAACAAAGAUUCAAUGGAAGUCACACAAAGCACUUUAAGAUCAUCGUGAUUCUUAUCACGAGAACACGCCUGUUUAAUCCAUUCAUGUCUAGCACGAAUUUGGGCGGUUCUUUCUUUGCUCUCAAUCAUGGAAACACACAUAGCUUUCAAAGUUUCAUCCAUAUUGAUCUUGGGAGGAGCACAUCUAACUUUCAAAGCAUCAAUAUCACUAGACAUUCUAUCAACGCUCUUAGCCAAAUUGUCAAUUUUUAGUAGUUUUUCCUCUAUGGACGCAUUGAAAAUCUUUUGUGAGUUGAUAAACUCUUUGAUAUUACUCUCUAGAUCAGAGGGUAAUCUAUUGUAAUUUCCAUGAGUAUUGUUGUAGGAGUUGCCAAAGUUAUUAGAGGAGUUACUAGGAAAAGGCCUAGGAACAUAGUUUCCUCUAAAAGCAUUGUUGUUGCCAAAAUUAUUCCUACCAACAAAAUUAACGUCGAAGUUAGCGUUGCUACUCUCAAUCAAAGAAGACAAGGGCAUAUCAUUAGGAUCUAAAGGAGCACUUCUACUAGCAACCAAAUUCAUUAAAUCAUCCAUCUUAGCACUCAACGAGUUAAUUUCUUCUAUAGCAUGUACCUUCUUACUAGUAGGUGACCUUUCUGUGUGCCACUGAGAGUAGUUCGUCAUGAUAUUGUCUAGGAGUUUUGUGGCUUAUCCUAACAUGAUUUCCAUGAACGUUCCACCUGAGGAGGAGUCAAGAUAUUUCUAGAAGCGAAAUUCAAGCCAGCGUAGAAGAUUUGUAUAAUCAUCCAAAGACUCAAGCCAUGAGCGGGACAAUUUCUAAUCAUCAAUUUCAUUCUCUCCCAAGAUUCAUGAUCAAGUUGCUUGAAAUUCAUGAUAUCAUUACGGAGAGAGAUAAUCUUAGCCGGCGGAAAAAUACUUGGAUAUAUAGGCAUCUUUGCACCUAUCCCAAGAAUCGAUACUAUUUUUGGGCAAAGACGAAAACCAAGUUUUUGCGCGAUCUCGCAACGAGAAAGGAAAAAGCUUCAAUUUAAUCACAUCAUUAUCCACAUCUUUCUUCUUUUGCAUAUCACAAAGCUCAAUGAAGGUAUUAAGAUGGGAUGCGACAUCUUCACUAGGAAGGCCGGAGAAUUGCUCUUUCAUAACAAGAUUCAGCAAAGCGGCAUUGAUUUCGUAUGACUCCGCACUAGUGGGGGAGCAAUCAGAGUACUAAUAAAAUCAUUAUUGUUAGUAUUCGAGAAGUCACAGAGUUUGGUGUUUUCAUUCAUGGUGACUCCAGCAAGCAAGCAAGCACACAAGCGAACAAAGAGCAAGCAAGAAAAAGGGCGAACGAAAAAGGCAAAUUGUGAAGUGGGGGAGAGGAAAACGAGAGGCAACUAGCAAACAAAGUAAAUGCAAGAGAUACUUGGAUGAUUUCUUGACUUGAUCUUCCCCGGCAACGGCACCAGAAAUUCUUCUGCUACGGCAACAGACAACAGUGCCAGAGAUUGACACGUCGACGGAGGCUGGGCUUGCGUUGGUUUUUCCCUUGAAGAGGAAAGGGUGAUGCAGCACAGGAGCAGUAAGGAUUUCCUUUAGUUUGAGAACCAAGGUAUCAAUCCAGUAGGAGAAUCUCGUCAUGUCUAGAGUACCGGCGCAAACACAAAAGAGCUUGCACCCAACGCUUUAAAGGGGUUGUCAAUCCCUUCAAGAUUGAUUGCAAAGUGAGAUCUGAAGGCGGAAAGUGCAACGAAGAAAAAGAGUAAGGCUGAAAAUAUGGUGUGGAGUAGACCCGGGGGCCAUAGUGUUCACUAGAGGCUUCUCUCAAAAUAGCAAAUAUCACAGUGGGUGAACAAAUUACUAUCGAGCAAUUGAUAGAACCGCGCAAAGUCAUGACGAUAUCUAAGGCAAUGAUCAUACAUAUAGGCAUCACGUCCGAGACAAGUAGACCGAUGCUUUCUGCAUCUACUACUAUUACUCCACAUAUCGAUCGCUAUCCAGCAUGCAUCUAGUGUAUUGAGUUCAUGACGAACAGAGUAACGCCUUAAGCAAAAUGACAUGAUGUAGAGGGAUAAUCUCAAACCAAUGAUGAAAUCCCCAACUUUUCACCCUUGAUGGCAACAACACAAUGCGUGCCUCGCUACCCCUUCUGUCACUGGGUGAGGUCACCGCAGGGUAUGAACCCAAAACCAAGCACUUCUCCCAUUGCAAGAAUCAUAGAUCUAAUUGGCCAAACAAAACCCACAAGUCGAAGGGAAUUACAAGGAUAUGAAAUCAUGCAUAAGAGAGAUCAGAAGAAACUCAAAUAAGAUUCAUAGAUAAUCUGAUCAUAAAUCCACGAUUCAUCGGAUCUCGACAAACACACUACAAAAGAAGAUUACAUCGGAUAGAUCUCCAUGAAGAUAAUGGAGAACUUUGUAUUGAAGAUCCAAGAGAGAUAAGAAGCCAUCUAGCUACUAGCUAUGGACCCGUAGGUCUAUGGUGAACUACUCACGCAUCAUCGGAGAGGUCAUGGUGUUGAUGAAGAAGCCCUCUGUAUCCUAAUCCCCCUCCGGCAGGGCACCAGAACGUGCCCUAGAUGGGAUCUUGCAGAGAUAGAAGCUUGCGGCGGCAGAAAAGUACUUUCGAUGAUCUCCUGAUUUUUUCUGGCAUUUUAGGGAAUAUAUAGGCGCAAAACCUAGGGCAGAGGAGGCUCAGGGAGCCCACAAGCCAGGGAGGCACGGGCCCCCCUGGCCGCACCAUGAGGGCUUGUGGGGUCCCUGCAGGCCCUAUGCCCUGAUUCUCCGGCUUCCCGAUCUUUUUCUGUUUCGGAAAAAAUCUUUUUGGCUCUUUCAUUCCAUUUGGAAUGCAUUCAAAAUCCUCCUCUGAAAGGGGUAAAAAACAUGGAAAAACAGGAACUGGCACUUGGCACUGAGUUAAUAAGUUAGUCCCAAAAAAUAUAUAAAAGGCAUACAAAACAUCCAAAGUUUGACGAGAUAAUAGCAUGAAACCAUCAAAAAUUAUAGAUACGUUGGAGACGUAUCAGGGUGGACCGGUGCUUGGGUGCUGUCCUUACUUGGACAAACAUCCCACUUUUGAUUACCCCUCCCGCAAGCAUCCGCAACUACGAAAGAAGAAUUAAAACAAAUUCUAACCAUAGCAUUAAACUAGUGGAUCCAAAUCAGCCCCUUACGAAGCAACGCAUAAACUAGGGUUUAAGCUUCUAUCACUCUAGCAACCCAUCAUCUACAUAUUACUUCCCAAUGCCUUCCUCUAGGCCCAAAUAAUGGUGAAGUGUUAUGUAGUCCACGUUCAAGUAACACCACUAGAGGAAAGACAACAUACAACGCAUCAAAAUAUCGAACAAAUACCAAAUUCACAUGACUACAUACAGCAAGACUUGUCUCAUAUCGUGAGGAACAAACGUAACUACUCACAAAGCAUAAUUAUGUUCAUGAUCGGAGAGGUAUUGAAUAGCAUUAAGGAUCUGAACAUAUGAUCUUCCACCGAGUAAACAACUAGCAUCAACUACAAGGAGUUAUUAACACUACUAGCAACCUUACAAGUACCAAUCGGAGUCGCGAGACAGAGAUUGGGUACUAGAGGUGAAGUAGGGUUUGGAGAUGANUUUCCCUCAGUUAUGAAAACCAUGGUUUAUCGAACCAAUAGGAAUAUCAACCACAACCGUCUUCAGUGGCUACACACGAAAGAAUAAACAGCUUGCAUCCAACGCGGGCAAGACGGUUGUUAAUCCCCUUGGUCUUAUUAUUUGCAAGCGAAUAAGUUGUGUACACAACUNNNNNNNNNNNNNNNNNNNNNNNNNNNNNNNNNNNNNNNNNNNNNNNNNNNNNNNNNNNNNNNNNNNNNNNNNNNNNNNNNNNNNNNNNNNNNNNNNNNNNNNNNNNNNNNNNNNNNNNNNNNNNNNNNNNNNNNNNNNNNNNNNNNNNNNNNNNNNNNNNNNNNNNNNNNNNNNNNNNNNNNNNNNNNNNNNNNNNNNNNNNNNNNNNNNNNNNNNNNNNNNNNNNNNNNNNNNNNNNNNNNNNNNNNNNNNNNNNNNNNNNNNNNNNNNNNNNNNNNNNNNNNNNNNNNNNNNNNNNNNNNNNNNNNNNNNNNNNGGAUAGUUUUUCGAUUUUCACGACAAUGAUGAUGUAAAUAUAGGCAUCACAUCCAUAAACAAAUAGAACAGCUCCUACCUGCACCUAUUACCAUUACUUCACUUCAAGAGCGCUUCUAUGCUUGCCUCUCUACGUAUUAAGUUUAUGACAAAUGAAGUAAUGCUUGGAGUAAGAUAACAUGAUGUAGACAAAGUAAANNNNNNNNNNNNNNNNNNNNNNNNNNNNNNNNNNNNNNNNNNNNNNNNNNNNNNNNNNNNNNNNNNNNNNNNNNNNNNNNNNNNNNNNNNNNNNNNNNNNNNNNNNNNNNNNNNNNNNNNNNNNNNNNNNNNNNNNNNNNNNNNNNNUCAACCAAUAUGAAUAAACCCCAUCGUUUUACCCUUAGUAGCAGCAGAAACACAAAGAUGCAACUUGUCCCCUUCUGUCACUGGGAUAUAGAAACUCUCCUAGUUGAACCUACUACAACACACCUUUCUCACCGAAGAAAUAUCAAUCUAGUUGGCCAAACUAUUUCAAUAGAUCAGAGAGAAUUACGAAGCUAUCAUAAACAUGCACAUAAGAAUCAUAUUAUAUAUCAGAGGAGUCUAAAAUAUUUAUCAUGAAUAAUCUAAACAUAAACCCACAAUUCAUCGGAUGAACAUAGAUCUCAACAAACGCACCGUAUGAAAGAGUUACAUCAUAUGGAUCAAAGCGAAGAUGCGAUGAUCAUUGUACUGAAUAUCAAAGAGAGAGAGAGAGAUUGUCAUCUAGGUAUUGGCUAUGGACCCAUAGUUCUGUGGUGAACUACUCACACAUCAUCAUGAUGGCAGCAAGGUUGAUGAAGAAGCCCUCCCUGAUCAAUCCCCCUUCGACAGAAUGUCGGAACAAAGCUCUAGAUGGCCUCCCAUCGGAACAGAGACUUGUGACAGCAUAAAAAGUGUUUUGGGACCUCCCUAGAUGUUUUUAGGGUAGAUGGGAAUUUAUAGGCUAGAGAACGGAGUCGGGAGAGCCACGAGGGGGCCACAAGCCAUCAGGGUGUGCCCCAGGCCGCAUCCUGCUGGCUUGUGAGGCCCUCGUCCACCCUCGUGCCUCCUUAUGAUGCUCCAUGCUCUUGUUUUGGUCCAGAAAAAAAUCACAAAUUUUUUUAGGUCAAUUGGACUUCGUUUGGUACUGAAAACCUGAAAAGUGGAAAAACACUCACAAAACAACAACUGGCACUAGGCACCGGGUCAAUAUGCUAGUUCUCAAAAAUAAUAUAAAUUGGUGGAUAAGUACAUAAAAAGUGUUCUACGAUAACAUAAUAGCAUGGAACAAUUAAACAUUAUAGAUACGUUGGAGACAUAUCAAGGACCCCUAAGCUUAAUUCCUCCUCGUCCACCAGUAGGUAAAUGAUAAAAAUAGAAUUUUUGAUGUGACAUGCGAUCCAUAAUUUAAUCUUAUGCAUGUAUGCUCACUCGGAAACUAUGAAUUAAUAAACAUUAACAAAUCAAUAUUAAUAAGUAUAAGUAGCAAAAGAACUAAUUUUCCAAAGUGUACCAUCCUUAAAGAUUGCUUCACCCAUUUCAUCUUUAUUAUAUUAGCAAGGCAUGCCCCCAUCUUCACCAGAGAACUACAAAUGUCAAGCACCACGAUGCCCAAUUUGGAAAAUUGGAUCACACCUUUUCAAUAUGCAUCAACUUUUCAUUCUUCACGCAGUACAUGAGCGUGAACCAUUGGACAUAUCAUAAAGGUUUCAAAGGGGUUGAAAAGUGGAGAAGAUAGUCCCGUAUCAACUACGCGUACCAACGAGCUAUGGAGACGCCCAUCAAUAGAUAUUGACAAAAGGAGUAGGGAUGGCCAUGCAAAUGAUGCGCUAGAGAUAUAAGUGUAUGAAAGCUUCACUGAAACUAGGCGGGGGUGUGCAUCCAACUUUCUUGCUCAUGAAGACCUCGGGUAUUUGAGGAAGUCCAUCAUUGGAAUAUAUAAGCCAAGUUUAUAAAGUUUUUGAUUCUCACUAGCAUAUGAAUGAUAUAACAUGAGACUCUCUAUAUGAUGAACAUGGUGCCACUUUGAGGCAAAGUCCCUUAUCUCUUUUUCUCUGAUUCAUUUUAUUAUAUGGUGGGCUCAUUUGGCCUCCCCCAUAUUUAUUUCCUCACUAGGAAUGCUCUAAUAAUGAUGAUCAUCACACUUCUAUUUACUUACAACUCAUGGAUAACUCGAUAUGAUAAACUAUGAAGCAACAUGACUCAAAUAUGAAUGUCUUUAGCAGUGUACCAGGAUGUGCAAUGAUCUAGCAUGACAUGUAUUCAAUAUAUGAUAAUUGGUGGCUUUGACACAAAUGCUAUUAUGAAUGGUGGCUUUAUCACAAAUACUAUGUUAGCUGUGUAUAAUCAUCAAAGCAAUAUGAUGAUGAACGAACUAGUCAUGUGAAGUGAUGAUGGAAUUUGCAAGACAAUAUAUCUCAGAAUGUCUAUGGAAAUGCCAUAAUAGGUAGGUAUGGUGGGUGUUUUGAGGAGGAUAUAAUAAGGCUUAUUUGCAAUGGAGUGUAUCAUGUCACGGGGUUUGGAUACACCCGCGAAAGUUGCACCAAUCCUCGAGGUGAGAAUGGGCUAUGCACGAUACUGGAGAGCCUAGCAAAUAUGAGGAGGUGAGAUUGCGUAUGUCCAUGGUGUCACAUUUGUCAUAAAGCUCACAUACUUAUUGCAAAGUUUUAUUAGUCUUAUCACAAAUCGAAGUACUACUCGCAUGCCCCGAGGGAGAGGGUUGGUAGGAAUUAACCAUCAUGUGAUUCUGGCUCGAAACAACACUAGGUUUUCUACGAGGAAUAGAAAUGCUCGCAUCAUCACCAUGCCCUUUUAAUUUUUCGGAUGUUCAACAAGCUUUGACAUCUCUUAAUAUCGACACCUCUCUGAAUUAAUGAUUAUUCAUUCACACCCUUUCAUAUCACCGCAUCAAUAUCAUUAACCACAAUUUCUCAUAUGUGCUACAUGAUGGUUUUAAUUAUCACACAUUGAACACUCAUUAUUUUUGAUCUAGUCUUAUGACUCAUGCAAAUUACCGUCACUAUUUAUUAACUCUGAAACAAAUAUAAGUGAGGAACGAGUGAAUAUUAUUUCUAUAAAAUUUACACGCCACCGUGCUCAAAAAGAUAUAAGUGAAGUACUAGAGCAACUGCUAAGCCCCAAAGAUAUAAGUGAAGCACAUAGAGUAUUCUAACAAAUUAUGAUGAUGGUGUCUUGAUAUGUUCAUUUUGCAUCAUAUUUUGUUACUUUUAUUUAUAGUGUUUUUAUGCAUAUUUCCAGUUGAUGGAGUAAUUCUAAUUCCUUUCCUCCCAUAAUAUGCAAGGUUUACAUCAAGUGGGAGAAUACCGGCAGAUGGAAUUCUAGACCUGAAAAAGCUACGUCAAAGAUACCUAUUCUCCACAUCUCCAAUUUGGCUCACAAUUUAAGGAGAUUUAUUUUAUAAAAAAUAAAAAAUACUAGAGCGAAAAAGUAUCGGAGGGGCCCCACAAGGCGGCCACUAGACAUGAGGGUGCGCGAGGUACCCCUUGCGUGACCUGAUGUCUAGUGGGCCACCUCGCCCACCCGUGGCACUCAUCUUCUCGUAUAAAUUCUCCUUCGCCCUAAAAAAAUUAAGGAGAGGACUUUCAGGAUGAAGUGCAACCAUCUCGAGGUGGGACCUGGACAGGAGCACUUUUGCCCUCUGGCGGAGCGAUUUCGUCGGAGGAACUUCCCUCCUGGAGGGGGAAAUCGAGGCCAUCGUCAUCACCAACAACCCUCUCAUCUUCGGGAGGGCAAUCUCCAUCAACAUAUUCACGAACACCAUCUCCUAUAAGAACCCUAAUUCAUCUCUUGUACUCAAUCUUGUACCGGAACCUAUGAUUGGUACCAGGGGUGUGUCUAGUAGUGUUAAUUAGAUCUUGUAGUGGUGGAAGAUUGAUAACCCACAAGUAUAGGGGAUCACAACAGUUUUUGAGGAUAGAGUAUUCAACCCAAAUUUGUUGAUUCGACACAAGGGGAAGUCAAAGAAUAUUAUCAAGUAUUAGCAGUUGAGUUGUCAAUUCAACCACACCUGAAAUAUUUAGUAUCUGCAGCAAAGUAUCAGUAACAAGGUAGUGUGAUAGCAACAGUAGCAACAGUAACCAACAAUAGUGACAGAGUAACAGUAACAACAGCUACAACAAUAGUGACAGAGUAACGUAGCAAGGAGUGACAGCAGUAGAAGCAAAGUAAUAGUAGCAGCAGUGACAGCAGUAGCGGCAAAGUAACGUAGCAAGGACCAGUAGGAAAAACUCGUAGGCAUUGGAUCGGUGAUGGCUGAUUAUGCCAGAUGAUAUUCAUCAUGCAACUGUUAUAGCACGGAGAGAUAAGUAACUAGCUCCAGUUCGUCAAUGUAAUGUAGGCAUGUAUUCUGUAUGUAGUCAUACGUGCUUAGGGAAAAGAAUUUGCAUGCCAUCUAUUGUCCAUCCCUCCCGUGGCAGCGGGGUCCUAAUGGAAACUACGAGAUAUUAAGGUUCUCCUUUUAAUAGAGAACCGGACCAAUGCAUUAACACUUAGUGAAUACAUGAACUCCUCAUACUAAGAUCAUCUCCGGGAGUGGUUCCGGCUAUUGUCACUCCGGGGUUGCCGGGUCAAAACACAUAGUAGGUGACUACAACUUGCAAGAUAGGAUCAAGAACACGUAUAUAUUGAUGGCAACAUAAUAGGUUCAUAUCUGAAAUCAUGGCACUCGGGCCCUAGUGACAAGCAUUAAGCAUGGGAAAGUAGUAGCAACAUCAAUCUCAGAACAUAGUGGAUACUAGGGAUCAAUCCCCGUCAAAACUAACUCGAUUACAUGAUAGAUCUCAUCCAACCCAUCACCGUCCGGCAAGCCUACGAUCAGAUUACUCACGAACGGUGAAGAGCAUCAUGGAAUUGGCGAUGAAGGAAGGUUGGUGAUGACGAUGGCGACGAUAUCCCCUCUUCGGAGCCCAGAGGAGACUCCAGAUCUGCCCUCUAGAGGAAGAACAGGUGGUGGCGGCGCCUCCGUAUCGUAAAAUGGGAUGAACUCUUCUUCUUGAUUUUUUUCAGGACAAAGGGGACUAAAUAGAGAUGGAAUUGGAGGCGGUGGAGCUCUGUGGGCCCCACAAGCCUGCCAGGUGCGGCCAGGGGGGCCGCGCCUGGUGGGCUUGUGGGCUCCACGCUCCACUUCUCCGGUUGAUUCUUCAGCCAGUAUUUUUUAUAUAUUCCACAAAAAAUACUCGUAAAUGUCCAGGUCAUUCUGAGAACUUUCAUUUCUGCACAAAAACAACACCAUGGCAAUUCUGCUGAAAACAACGUUAGCCCGGGUUAGUUCCAUUCAAAUCAUGCAAAUUAGAGUCCAAAACAAGGGCAAAAGAGUUUGGAAAAGUAGAUACGACGGAGACGUAUCAACUCCCCCAAGCUUAAAGGCUUGCUUGUCCUCAAGCAAUUCAGUUGACAAAUUGAAAGAGACAAAAUAAAAACUUUUACGAACUCUGUUUGAUCUUGUUGUUGCAAUUAUGUCUAACUCAUAUUCAGAUUUUCAGCAAGAUCAUAAGCUAACCACAUAAGCAAUGACAUCUAGGUCUCAUGGUAAACUCAUAUUAAUGGCAUAAUCAACUAGCAAGCAAUAAUAAUAAGUUUCAAACGUCAACACUUCAAUCAAAACAAUCAUGAAGUAGUGUGAACAUAUGGUAUCUCGCUAGCUCUUUCUGAGACCGCAAAACAUAAAUGCAAAGCACCUUCAAAGACCAAGGGCUGACUGAACAUUGUAAUUCAUGGCAAAGAAGAUCCAGUCACAGUCAUACUCAAUAAAAAUUAAAAUCAAAGCAUAGAAAUGACAGAGGUGCUCUCUAAUUGGUGCUUUUAUAAGAAGAGGAUGACUCAACAGAAACAUAAAUAGACAGGCCUUCGCAGAGGGAAGCAUUGAUUUGUAGAGGUGUCAGAGCUCAAGCUUUGAAGACAGAGAUAAAUAAUUUUGGGUGGCAUGAUUUCAUUGUAAAUGCAAUGACCAAGAGUUUUCACCAUCUUCCAUGCUACACAUACUAUAGGCGGUUCCCAAACAGAAAAGUAAAGUUUUGACUCCCCCACCACUGAUCAAUCACACUCCACGACUAGCCGAAUACUCGGGUGCCGUCCAUACCAACACCAAUCCAGGGGGAGUUUUAUUUGCAAUUAUCUUUUUGAUUUGAGCAUGGAACUGGGCAUUCCAUUUACUGGCCCCUUUCUCAUGAAUGAUAGUGAAUAAACACAUAUCGAGGAUAACACGCCUAGCAUGGAAGAUACUGAUCGCCCCUUGUCACCGCAUGAGUGGUUCGGGCAUGCAAAACAGAUUAUUUCUUGAAGGUUUUAGAGAGUGGCACAUGCAAAUUUACUUGGAACGGCAGGUAGAUACCGCAUAUAGGCAGGUAUGGUGGACUCAUAUGGAACAACUUUGGGUUUAUGGAAGUGGAUGCACAAGCAGUAUUCCUGCUUAGUACAAGUGAAGGCUAGCAAAAGACUGGGAAGCGACCAACUAGAGAGCAUUGAUAUUAACCAACAUUGAGUGCAAGCAUGAGUAGGACAUAACUCACCAUAAACAUGAAUAUCAUAGAGGCUAUGUUGAUUUUUUUCAACUACAUGUGUGAACAUGUGCCAAGUCAAGCCACUUGAAUCAUUCAAAGGAGGAUACCAUCCUAUCAUACUACAUCAUAAUCAUCUCAAAAUUCAUGUUGGCAUCCAAGGCAAACCAUUAUAAGCUCCUAGCUAAUUAAGCAUGGCAUCAGAAACUAUGAUCUCUAAGUUGUCAUUGCAAACAUGUCUCUCGCACAACAAAGCUGAAUCAGGAACGAUGAGCUAGUCAUAUUUACAAAAACAAAAUAGAUCGAUUUCAUACUAGCUUUUCCAGGCUCAGUCACUUCAUCAUAUAUCGUCAUUAUUGCCUUUCACUUGCACGACCAAAUGAUGUGAACAAUAAUAAGAGUGCUCGUGCAUUGGACUAAGCUGGAAUGUACAAGCAAACAGAAAGGAGAAGACAAAGUAAUAUGGCUCUUUGACAGGUAAACAUAUAUGCAUGCGAGAGCUACUAAACAUUGUAACCAUGAUCUUCUACCUUGACCCAAAGAAAAAGAAAACUAUUUACACCGGAGAUCUCCCAACAAGCAAAAGAAGAACGGAAAUCUUUUUGGGUUUUCUCAAACUAGACAAACAGACGAGAAGAAAGCGAGAAAAAGAAAUAAACUAGCAUGGAUGAUACAGUGGCAAAGUGUGAACACCGACUAUCUAAGUGAAAGUGUGAACAUGAAUAUAAAGUCGGUGAGAAACACGUACUCCCCCAAGCUUUGGCUGUUGCCCUAAGUUGGUCUGCUCCCAAUGAGGGAAAUAACCGUCUCCGGGGUACUCCGGAGUGUACUGAGGGUGCCACUGCUGGGUGAGCUCCCCUGGCUCCCACUAAUAAACUGGCAUCUGGUACUCGACUAGUAUCUCGGGCACGGGCGCCUAUGGUUGGGCUAUGCCCCAAUAUGCAUAGAUGUCCGAGGGCAUAAUAAUGUACCUACCUAGAUGAAGAUUGAACAAAGAAGGAGCAGGCAAAGUAAUAAUCUCACGAGUACCUUGACUAAAUACCAGGUUAUAAAUCAUCCUCUUGUUUAUAUCUUUAUCAAGAAAGUCAUGGCGAACCACGCUAUCAUAAUCUAGAUAUCUCCCAGGAAGAAGAAUCUCUUCUUCCUCGUGUAGUCUAAUGGGUAUCUCAAAAUGUCUAGCAAGAAGGGUAGCACAGAUACCUCCAUAAACAACGCCUUUAGAACGGUUCGUGUUCAACCAUUGAGCUACUAUAGCGCCCAAGCUAUAAGUUUUGUCAUUAUAAAGGGCUUUGCGCAAGACCGCAAGAUCUGGGGAGCUAAGGGCCCCAGCUUUCCCACGGCCAAUCAAACAUUUUCCCACGAAUAAUGAGAAGUACCGAAGCACGGGAAAAUGUAUGCUAGCAGCUCUAGCGCAAGACACUCCUCUCUCCUCUCCUACAACAAUAGUAUCUAUGAAAGCCUCCAAGUCCCGUGGACGAGGUUCAUGAAUAUCCCCAACAUAAGGUAAUUUGCAAACAUUGCAAAAAUCCUGAAGUGACAUGUGUUGGGGGAUAUCAUAUAACUUGAACUCAACCAUUGGAGGAUUCUUCCUUGGAUAGAAGUUAAAGCUUUGCACGAAAAUAUUAGUGAGGAGGAGGUAUUGCGGACACUUAUCUUCAACGAAGGCGGUAAGGCAUGCGUUCUCCACCAAGUAGUAAAAGUCCUCAUAAAGUCCGACGGCCCGUAGGAACACAUCGCUUGGCCACUCGCACGCUCGAACUUCUGCAACUCGGGGGACCGGAUACUUGGGUUUCUUCUUCUCAUUUUCCUCAUCCUUGGGGUCACGGCUUGAAGAGCCUCUUAAGAACCUCCUCAUCUUUUCCUUUUUCUAUCUCUGAAAAUUUCUGAAAAUUUUUAGUGACUCUAAGGAAAAGUGCACAAGGGUCAAUGAAACUCAUAGCAACUACUCCGACAAGUGCCUAGAGGCAAUAUCACACAUCAAAACUACUUGGGACCAGCUAAAAUUAGCAUGCAAAGAUCAAGAACAGGGUCACCAAGGCAGCAAAAAUACGCGACGUAUAAGGCACUAGAGCAGAAACUAAUUGGACCAAUGGAGGAGUCACAUACUAAGGAGCAAUUUCCCCAAAACAGUUUGGUAAAUGGGGCUUUGCACAAGGAGAUAGAAAAUCGCAGCAAGAAGAGCAAGAACACGGGUUUGAGUUGCGAAACGAUUUUUUCUGGAGGUAGGAGAAGGAGAUGGGAGCUAGAAUGAGUGGAGGGGGGUACACGUGGGCCCCACAAGACUGGUAGGCGCGGCCAGGGGGUGCUCGCGCCUCCAUUGCUUGUGGCCCACUGGUGCAGCCCCGUCACUAGCUCUCUGUCUCAGAAUUUUUCAAAAAUUCUAGAAAAAAUCAUACUUGAUUUUCAAGGCAAUCGGAGAACUUUUAUUUUUGGGACACUUUUCUACGGGACGCAAAAAGUAGAAAACAGGGAAAACUAAAGCUAAAUCUAUCAUUUUUCUUCUAAGCAACCGAAGGUGAAAGCUUGGAACACAGGUUUGUGACUCCUCGAUUCAUCCGUCUCAUGGUCAUCGAAAGAAAUCCAUCAAUGAGGUUGAUCAAGUUUCCUUGACAAACUUUUUCGAAUCGCGUAAAAAAGAAGAGAGAAUUUUCGAAUAGUCACUAGGUUACCUCAAUGGGGAUGUGCAUAUCCCUAACAAGCAAAUCAUCCUUCAUCUUAACAGUAGGUAUAGGGCAUUCAAAGCUCCCUAUAAGAAUCGAUGAAGUUUUUUUGAUAGCAUUGAUGCAAUGUACUCGAUAUUGUUUCUUCGGGAAGUGCACCGUAUGCUCAUUACAGUCGACAUGGAAAGUGACAUUGCCUUUGUUGUAAUCAAUAACAACCCCUGCAGUGUUUAAAAAGGGUCUUCCGAGGAUGACCGCCAUGGCAUCGUCCACGGGAAUAUCCAAGAUAACAAAGUCCGUUAAGAUAGUAAUGUUAGCAACCACAACAGGAACAUCCUCGCAAAUGCCAAUAGUGAAAGCAGUUGAUUUGUCAUCCAUUUGUAGAGAGAUUUUAGUGGGUGUCAACUUAUCCAAUUCAAGUCUACGAUAAAGAGAGAGAGGCAUAACACUAACACCGACUCCAAGGUCUCAUAAUGCAGUUCUAACGUAGUUUCCUUUAAUGGAGCAAGGUAUAGUGGGCACUCCGGGAUAACCUAGUUUCUUAGGAGUUCCACCCUGGAAGGUAUAAUUAGCGAGCAUGGUGGAAAUCUCAACCUCAGGUAUCCUCCUCUUAUUAGUCACAAUAUCUUUCAUGUACUUGGCAUAGGGAGACAUUUUGAGCAUAUCUGUCAAACGCAUUUGCAGAAAGACAGGUCUAAUCAUGUCAACAAAUCGCUCAAAAUCCUCAUCAUCCUUUCUCUUGAUGGUUUGGGAGGAAAGGGCAUGGGUUUCUGAACCCAUGGUUCCCUUUCUUUACCAAGAUUCCUAGCAACGAAGUCAUUCUUAUCGUAUCUCUUAUUCUUAGGAUGUGGGUUAUCAAGACCAACAGGUUCAAUCUCCACAUCCUUAUCAUUGCUAGGUUGAGAAUCUUCAUGAGCAUUACUAUCGAUAUUAUCAUUAGGCUCAUGUUCAUCACAAGAUUGCAUUUCCGCAUCAGAAACAGAGACAUCGUUUGGACUCUCAGGUGUAACAGCAACAUGGUUGCUAGCAUGCAAAUUCCUAUCAUCUUUCUUUUUCUUUCUAGGAUGACUAGGUGCAUCAGUGUUAACUCCUUGAGAAUCUUGUUCAAUUCUCUUAGGAUGACCCUCGGGAUACAAAGGUUCCUGGGUUAUUCUACCGCAUCUAGUGACGACUGUGACAGAAUUGUCAUUCAACUCAUUGAGCAAGUCAUUUUGAGCCUUAAGUACUUGUUCUACCUGAGUAGUAACCAUAGAGGCAUGUUUACUCAGGAGCUUAAGAUCAUUAACGUUUCUGUCCACACAAGCACUUAAAUGACUAAGCAUACGAGCAUUCUGUUCCAAUUAUCUGCUAACAUAAUCAUUAAAACUUUGUUGUUUGGCAACAAAGUUAUCAACUUCAUCCAGGCAUAAACUAGCAUGUUUAUCAAAAGGAAUAUCACUCUCAUUGAAUCCACGGAGAGAAUUUACCUCUACUACAUAUAUCGGGUUAUCAAGACCAUCGAUCUCUUCGAUAGGUUGUAGAUUUUUGAUAUCUUCAGAUUUAAUGCCUUUCUCUCUCAUAGAUUUCUUAGCUUCUUGCAUAUCUUCAGGACUGAGGAAUAGAAUACCUCUUUUCUUAGGAGUUGGUUUUGGAGGUGGUUCGGGAAUAGUCCAAGCAUUCUCAUUGCACAAGAUAUUACUCAAUAGGAUCUCAGCUUGUUCUAUAGUUCGUUCCCUAAAAACACAACCGACACAACUAUCUAGGUGGUCCUUAGAAGCAUCAGUUAUUCCAUUAUAGAAGAUAUCAAGUAUUUCAUUCUUCCUAAGAGGGUGAUCAGGCAAAGCAUUCAGUAGCUGGACGAGCCUCCCCCAAGCUUGUGGGAGACUCUCUUCUUGAACUUGCGCAAAGUUGUAUAUUUCCUGCAAGGCAGCUUGCUUCUUAUGGGUAGGUAAAUGUUUCUCAGAGAGGUAGUAGAUCAUAUCCUGGGGGCUACGCACGCAACUAGGAGCAAGAGAAGUGAACCAAGUCUUAGCUUUAUCCUUUAGCGAGAAAGGAAACAACUUAAGGAUAUAGUAGUGGCGGAUCUUUUCCUCACUCGUGAAUAGGGUGGCUAUAUCGUGCAGUUUGGUAAGAUGGGAUACAACCAUUUCAUACUCAUAGCGUGAAAAGGAUCAGAUACGACCAGAGUGAUUAACUCAGGGUCGACAGAGAAUUCAUAAUCCUUAUCGGUCACAAAGAUAGGUGAAGUAGCAAACUUCGGGUCGUAUUUCAUCCUAGUGUUCAAAGAUUUUUCUUUCCACUUGUGCGGUAAGUUCUCAAGAUCAUAGCUAUCCUUACAAGCAAGAAAUUUCUCAUCUAUCUCUCCCUCCAUAACAUAACCCUCAGGCAUACCAAGCAAUUCAUAUCUAGGGGAGCUUGUUCUCACAGGCGAAAUAGCAGGUUCUACUUCAAUAAUCUCAGCAGUUUCAGAAGUAUCAUCACAUCUAGCAGUAACUCUAGCAAUUUGUGCAUCAAGGAAUGCACCUAGUGGCAAAGCAGUAUCAAGCAUAGCAUCAUCACAAGCAUCAUGGAUAGCAAAAGUAGCAUCAUCAAGCACAGGCGAGACAUCAAAAUUUCUAGGAGGAGGUGGUGUCGCAAACUUACUCAUAACUGAAGGUGAAUCAAGUGCACAGCUAGAUGGCAGUUCCUUACCUGUCCUCGUAGUUGAGGGCAUGACUUUAAUUUUUGGAUCUCUCAAAUUUCUCAUAGUGAUCAGCAGACGUAAAUCCCAAGUGACUCAGAGACUAGAGCUAUGCCUCCCCGGCAACGGCGCCAGAAAAUGGUCUUGAUAACCCACAAGUAUAGGGGAUCACAAUAGUUUUUGAGGGUAGAGUAUUCAACCCAAAUUUGUUGAUUAGACACAAGGGGAAGCCAAAGAAUAUUCUCAAGUAUUAACAGUUGAGUUGUCAAUUCAACCACACCAGAAAAAUUUAGUAUCUGCAUCAAAGUAUUAGUAGCAAGGUAGUGUGAUAGAAACAGUAGCAACAGUAACCAGCAAUAGUGACAGAGUAACAGUAACAACAGCGACAACAAUAGUGAUAGAGUAAUGUAGCAAGGAGUGACAGCAGUAGCAGCAAAGUGACAGUAGCAGCAGUGACAGCAGUAGCGGCAAAGUAACGUAGCAAGGACCAGUACGAAAAACUCGUAGGCAUUGGAUCGGUGAUGGAUGAUUAUGCCGGAUGAUAUUCAUCAUGCAACAGUUAUAACACGGAGAGAUAAGUAACUAGCUCCAGUUCGUCAAUGUAAUGUAGGCAUAUAUUCCGUAUGUAGUCAUACGUGCUUAGGGAAAAGAACUUGCAUGACAUCUAUUGUCCAUCCCUCCUGUGGCAGCGGUGUCCUAAUGGAAAUUACGGGAUAUUAAGGUUCUCCUUUUAAUAGAGAACCGGACCAACGCAUUAACAGUUAGUGAAUACAUGAACUCUUCAUACUAUGGUCAUCUCCGGGAGUGGUUCCGGCUAUUGUCACUCCGGGGUUGCCGGUCAUAACAUAUAGUAGGUAACUACAACUUACAAGAUAGGAUCAAGAACACACAUAUAUUGAUGACAACAUAAUAGGUUCAAAUCUGAAAUCAUGGCACUCGGGCCCCUGUGACAAGCAUUAAGCAUGGCAAAGUAGUAGCAACAUCAAUCUCAGAACAUAGUGGAUACUAGGGAUCAAUCCCCGUCAAAACUAAUUCGAUUACAUGAUAGAUCUCAUCCAACCCAUCACCGUCCAGCAAGCCUACGAUUAGAUUACUCACGGACGGUGAAGAGCAUCAUGGAAUUGGCGAUGAAGGAAGGUUGGUGAUGACGAUGGCGACGAUCUCCCCUCUUCGGAGCCCAGAACGGACUCCAGAUCUGCCCUCUAGAGGAAGAAUAGGUGGUGGCGGCGCCUCCGUAUCGUAAAACGCGAUGAAAUCUUCUUCUUGAUUUUUUUCCGGACGAAAGGGACUAAAUAGAGCUGGAAUUGGAGGCGGUGGAGCUCCGUGGGCCCCACAAGCCUUCCAGGCGCGACCAAGGGGGGCGCCUGGUGGGCUUGUGGGCUCCACGCUCCACUUCUCUGGUUGAUUCUUGCGCUAGUAUUUUUUAUAUAUUCCACAAAAAAUACUCGUAAAUUUCCAGGUCAUUCCGAGAACUUUCAUUUGUGCGCAAAAACAACACCCUGGCAAUUCUGCUGGAAACAGCGUUAGUCCGGGUUAGUUCCAUUCAAAUCAUGCAAAUUAGAGUCCAAAACAAGGGCAACAGAGUUUGGAAAAGUAGAUACGAGGGAGACGUAUCAAAGAUCAUAUGUUCAGAUUCAUUAUGCUAUAUAAUACCUCUCUGAUAAUGAACAUGUUUAUCACUUGUGGGUAGUUACGUUUGUUCUUGAGUCCAUGGGAGAAGUCAUGUUGCAAGUAGUCAUGUGAAGUUGAUAUUCGUUCGAUAUUUUGAUGAUAUGAAUGUUGUGGUUCCCUUAGUGGUGUUAUGUGAACAUCGACUACAUAACACUUCACCAUAUUUUGGGCCAAAAUGGAAUGCAUUGUGGAGUAGUAAUUAGAGGGUGGGUUGUGAGAGUGAUAAAAACUUAAAACCCCAGUCUAUGCAAUACUUCGUAAGGGGCUGAUUUAAAUCCAUAUGUUUACUGCUAUGGUUAGAAUUUAUUCUUAAUACUUUUCUCAUAGUUGUGGAUGCUUGAGGGAGGGUUAAUCAUAAGUGGGAGGCUUGUUCAAGUAAGAAAAGCACCCAAGCACCAGUCCACCCACAUAUAAAAUUAUUAAAGUACUUAAUGCGAAUUAACCCAACAUGACGAAAGUGACUAGAUGAAAUCCCCGUGUGCCCUCAAGAACGCUUUGCAUAUAAUAAUAAUUUGUUUUGGCCUAUCCUUUGCCACAAAAGAAUUGUGAUACCUUGCAUCACCUAUUGUUACUAUUGCUACUUAUCACUUGUUACAAUUACCUUGCUAUCAAACAACUUGUUACCACUAUUUCAAUGCUUGGAGAAAUUACCUUGCUGAAAACCGCUUGUCAUUUCCUUCCGCUCCUCGUUGGGUUCGACACUCUUACUUAUCAAUAGGACUACGAUUGACCCCCUAUACUUGUGGGNNNNNNNNNNNNNNNNNNNNNNNNNNNNNNNNNNNNNNNNNNNNNNNNNNNNNNNNNNNNNNNNNNNNNNNNNNNNNNNNNNNNNNNNNNNNNNNNNNNNNNNNNNNNNNNNNNNNNNNNNNNNNNNNNNNNNNNNNNNNNNNNNNNNNNNNNNNNNNNNNNNNNNNNNNNNNNNNNNNNNNNNNNNNNNNCCUACUGAAAAUGUUUAUUAUGAAAUUCCUUUGGGUAUGAUGGAGAAACUGCUAGCUAAUCCUUAUGUAGGAGAUGGAACAAAACAUCCUGAUAUUUACAUAAUCUAUGUGGAUGAAGUUUCUGGAUUAUUUAAGCUUGCAGNNNNNNNNNNNNNNNNNNNNNNNNNNNNNNNNNNNNNNNNNNNNNNNNNNNNNNNNNNNNNNNNNNNNNNNNNNNNNNNNNNNNNNNNNNNNNNNNNNNNNNNNNNNNNNNNNNNNNNNNNNNNNNNNUUAUUUAAGCUUGCAGGUUUAUCCCGAGAUGAAGUCAAGAAGAAGGUUUUACCUUUAUAUUUUGGGGGAAAAGCGUUGACAUGGUAUAGGCUAUGUGAUGAUACAAGAUCUUGGAACUAGAAUUGAUUGCAAUUGGAUUUUCACCAAAAAAAAUAUCAUAUGCAUCUUGUUCAUCGUGAUCGGCAUUUUAUCUCUAAUUUUUGGCCUCGUGAAGGAUAAGUAUCGAUCUAGCUUGGGGGAGGAUGAAGUCAAUGUUAUAUUCAUGCCCCAAUCAUGAGCUCUCGAGAGAAAUUAUUGUUCAGAAUUUUUAUACUCGGUUUCUCAUAAUGAUCAAACCAUGCUCGAUACUUCUUGCUCUAGUUAUUUUAUGAAGAAGACUAUUGAAUUCAGGUGGGAUAUUUUAGAAAGAAUUAAACGCAACUCUGAAUAUUGGGAGCUCGAUGAAGGUAAAGAGUCAGGUAUGAAAUCUAAGUUUGAUUGUGUUAAAUCUUUUAUGAAUACCGAUGCUUUCAAAGAUUUUAGCACUAAGUAUGGACUUGACUCUUAGAUAGUAGCCUCAUUCUGUGAAACCUUUGCUGCUCAUGUGAUCUCCCUAAAGAGAAAUGGUUUAAUUAUCAUCCACCCAUUACACAAAAAAUUGAAGAACCAAUUAAAGUUGAAGUUGAAACUAUUAUUCAUAAUGUUGACCCAGUUGUGACUACUGCUUAUAUUGAGAAACCACCUUUCCAUGUUAGGAUAAAGGAAUAUGCUAAAGCUUCAUGUGUAAUUAACAAAAAUUAUGUUAGAAUAACCAAACCCUCUGAGCAAAUCAAGUUAGAACCUAGUACUGCUAUCUUUAAGGAUAUCUUGGUAGACAAUAUUGAUGGGCAUGUUAUUUAUUUCUACAAUGAAGCCGCUAGAAUUGCCAAACCUGAUACUAAAGAUAAGAAUAGACCUGUUGUUCGCAUGCCUGCAUUUCAGUCAAAAUAGGAGAUUAUUGCUAUCAUGGUUUAUGUGAUAUGGGUUCUAGUGUUAGUGCUAUCCCUUUUACCUUAUAUCAAUAAAUUAUGCAUGAGAUAGCACCCGCUGAGAUAGAAGACAUAGAUGUUACUAUUAAACUUGCUAAUAGAGACACCAUCACACCACUUGGGAUUGUUAGAGAUGUUGAAGUAUUGUGUGAAAAAGUAAAAUACCCUACUGAUUUGCUAUUACUUGGCUCACCACAAGAUUAUUUUUGUCUCGUAAUAUUUAGUAGACUCUUCUUGAACACUGUCAAUGCUCUAAUAGACUGCAAAAAGGAAACCACGAGUGUUAAUUUUGGUGGUAUGUCUCAUGAUUUUCAUUUAUUCAAGUUUAGUAAGCAACCCCAUGACAAAGAAUUUCCUAGUAAAGAUGAAGUAAUUGGCCUUGCUUCUAUUGACAUUCCUCCUAUAGACCCAUUAGAACAAUAUUUGCUAGACCAUGAAAAUGAUAAGCUUUGGAAGAAGAUCGGAGGGCACACCAGGUGCCCCCAAGCCAACACGGCGUGCCCAGGGGGUGGCGACACCCUUAUGGGUUGGGGCCACAUCCCAUCUCCUCCUUCCCUAUCUCUGCUCCUAUAAAUACACUUAUGUGGGAAAACACUAGAGAGCCAGCCAAAAUACUUUUUUGUCACCGCAGUUUGUGUUCUGAAGUGAUCCCAUCUGGAGCCUUGUUCCGGUGCCCUGCCAGAGGGGGAUCAAUCAGGGAGGGCAUCUGCAUCAACCUUGCAGCUCCCAUGUUUAUGUGUGAGUAGUUUACCACAGACCUACCGGUCUGUAGUUAGUACCUAGAUGGUUAUCUCUCUCUAUGUUCUUCAUUGCCAAGAUCACCGCUAUUCCCAUGGUGAUCUAUCUUAUGUAAUCACUUUUGUGCGUUGUGUUUCUUGGGAUCCUAUGAAUUGUGGGGUUAUGUUCAUAUUAUUCAUGAAAAAUAUUUGAGUUGUCCCUGAGUUCUUAUAUGCAUGAUUAUGAUAGCUUUGUAUUUCUCUAUGAUCCAUCGGUUUGGUUUGGCAAACUAGAUUGAUUUAUCUUCAGUGGGAGUGGUGCGUUGUAAUGGGUUAAAUCUUGCGGUGCUCAAUCUGAGUGGCAGAAAGGGAUAUGCCACGUAUUUGUAUUGAUGUCAUUAAGGAUUAAAUGAUGGGGUUUAUUCAUAUUGGUUGAAUUUACUUUGUCUACAUUGUGUCAUCUUUCCUAAGGUGUUGCUCUGUUUUACAUAAUACUCUAGUGCCAUGCUGGAUAGCGGCCGAUGAGUGGAGUAAUAGUAGUAGAUGCAGGGAGGAGUCGGUCUAAUUGCUUACGGUCGUGAUGCCUAUAUGUAAUGAUCAUUGCCAUUAAUAAAUAUUCCAUAACUAUGCGUUUUUCUAUCAAUUACCCAAUAGUAAUUUUUUACCCACCGUAUGCUAUCUUCGAGAGAGAUGCCACUAUGGAAAACUAUGCCUCCCGGGUCUUCACAACUCAAAUUCUAAAAACAAUAAAAAUAUUUCUGCCAUUAUAUAAUUUCUUUUUAUUUUGCAUUUAUAUUUAUCUAUCUUUCACUAGUUAUCGUUUGCAAGUAACAAAUUCAAGGAAAUUGGCAUCCCUCUUGCCCCAUUGGGUGCAAGUGCAUGCUCGUUUGUGUGCAUGCGUUGAAGAAGGGCGUUUGCAUGGUACUCCUACUAUUUCGAUAACCUUGGUUAUCAGUGAGAAAAAUACUUAUCUCUACUGUACUUCAUCUCCCCUCGUCUUUGUGGAAAAUUCCACAGUAGUUUACAAGUAGAAGGGGGCUUAGGAGACGGUGUCGUGGGAUAGGGACCCCACCGUCGCCGCCAUAAACCAAGCUUUUCUUGGUGGUGGCCUUCGGCGAUGAUGAUUGGAGGAGACGUAGGGUGGGGUCCGGUGGCUGCAUUGCUCGGAGAGCCGCUCGUGCCACCUAGGUUAGGCCACACGGAGGCCGAUCAAGAGAUUUCUCUAAAAAGUUUUCUUGUCAUAAAAGGUUUGAAUGUUACGUAGAGGUAAUAUAAUAAGUACACUUAACCAUGUAUCCUGACCGUCGAGCUUGAUAUGUAAGACACAUCAAAGGAGGAGCCUUGUGGGGAGUGGGAUGGGCAAGACAUGAUCGAGACAACUUUAUAGAUUAUUGUGUGCAAGACAUACAUGGUUGUGUGGAACCUUUGUAUAAAUAUCUCAGUAGUUAUUGUCCGAAACAAAAGAGAAGGAGAGUAUUAAUUUAGGCAUUUUGGUCACAUAAGUUAUUGAAGGUAUUUCGUGAGAUCACGAUAAUGAUGAUCGACAAAAGAAAGCUAAAGCAUAGAAAAGGAAUCAUAUCCUUGAUCCUUCUGAAUCUGUACCAAAUAUGGAGCGAGUGCAGUAGCUGUAUGUUCAAGGGAGCAACGCUAGCCAGACCAAUAUUGCAAUAGCCAUCAAAACAAUUUUGAGCUUUGGCGACAAGCAGGAGCCAAUUCUAUUGAGCACCCAUUUGAACAACCACCGUGAGUAGUCAGACUAUGAUCACCCCCACCCACACCUUUAGUGGGAGAAACUUUUCUGCUCUUCUUUGUAUCUCCUUAAUCAUUUGAUCACCAACCCAUCGAUCUUUGUAUUACCAUUUUCUCCCUGCUAUCAAUAUAUGCAAGCCAGCGUUCAGCUGGAUCUGUAAAGAAAAUCUACAAAUAUUGUUAUUGUCCCUUGAAACAAAUAUACCAAAGUGGCAAAAGAGUUAAGGAUUGCAGCUAAAAUACUAAAGCUCCUAAAAGUAAAUAACAUAUGAAAGUAAAUGAUUUAUGGUCUAAAAUUCAGAGGUUAGGCAUAGGGAAACUUCAGAUUAUGGUGUACAUCAAGUGUGUUAGUGCGACGGUAAUAUCAGUUACCUCGUAUUGUGAAUAUAGUGCAUAGAUUGUUUUUUCUAUAGGAAGUUCACCCUUCAAUAGUCAACCUCCUCCAUGCCGGAAUUUUUCUCCCCUACCGUCCUACAUCGACGCCAUCAUAGAAUGAUCGUUUCCAAAAAUAAGGUCAUCAGACCCGAUCAACACAUAAGUGUCAUAGAUCAAUGUUAUCGUCAUAUUUUCCCCUUCAGUUAGAUACCAAUACGUGUUAGGAGGUAACUGAUGCGCAAAACAAUAUAUGUUACCUAUGUAGAUCCUCAGAUCAUGUUGUGAUGUCCCUUGAAAUGGAUAACACACAUUAUGUUUACCACACACAACCAACUUACUAAUCAAUCAUAUAACUAUUACGACGAACAAUGGCAUAUAUAAGAGGCACAAAUGAAUCUCAUUAAUUCCUUACAUCUUUGACACGUGUGAGGUAUUCCUCAAGAAUGAGAGAGAAAUAACCAAAUAACUCAGAGAUCAAAGAAAGGAGCUCAAUAAUUUGACAAAGAUCCGCAAUAAGCCGAAUGAUUAAAAAGUCUUGAUCUUGAGAUGACUAGUAGAGUUACAACUUAUAAUCUCAAAACUUAUACUAAUUCUCGAUACGUUGACAUUUCCCAUGAAUGACAGGGGUUUGAAGCGGAAGAGACGAAGUAAGUCUUCAGGAUUCUUUCUGCUCCGGAUGUCUCUCCUCUCUCUCUCUCUCUCUCUCUCCGCUGAUGCUAGUGACAAUGAGUCCUUUCUGUAUUAGUUUGCGUCCCAUUCAUGAAAGUGGAUUGUAUAGAGAAGGGGCAUACGAUGUCGUGUGGUAUGAACACGGGUACAAGCGGGUGCGCUCGUACCAUGUACACGUGUUUUGGUCUCGUGCGUGUGAUGAGUAAUCUCCCAAAAGGAAUAUUGCUCUAGUUGACUUCAUUUGUCGAGAUCUUCGGUAUUCCUUCCAAAUAUAUAUACUUCUGCAUAUCACUAGGAAAAAUUAAGUUUUCUUGUUUCUUGAAGUCUUAGCGUUAGAAAAAUACGAGAAUUAACAAAAACCAUUUGAAAACUCCAUGAAAGCUUGUAAUGUUAGUUAAGAGAAUACUUGCAUUUGAAUAAACCCUUGUAGAUAUCUAGGUGCAAAGCAAGUUAAAAGAUAUUGUCUCAUGAGAAUGAAUUUUGAAUUUUGGAUCUUAUUUAAAACAUAAACAUAACCGAGGGGUUUUGGGUAGAAUAAAACAUAGUACACAAGUUUCUCUUAAACAACCACCAACACAACUUAAUCAUGCCUCUCAAGUAUGUCAUUUAAUCAUUGUCCAUCAGAACUUCUAUAUUUGGUGAUGGGAUUAUAACAAACAAAUAAUACAUGCAAAUGGGGUCUCAUUAUGGUUUAAGUUGAAUACUAUGGACCAAAGAUUUUAUUUUUCGGGCCCAACGAUUUGUAUUAGUAUUACCACAUACGCACACCCUCAAGAGAAAUCCUAAUAAUAUUUGAUGCAGCGUUGCCACUUAAAAUGGUGACAAAGUCACAGUAACUCGCAACAAGCAACUUAUAGUUAUGGGACAGGGAACAUGCAUAAAUCUAUGUACCAUGUAUUGCAAAGAAUGUUUAUGGGGUAAUCUCGAUCACCUCAAAUUUCCGUUGUUAUAGAAAUAUCUAUCACUAGGUACUAUCAAGACAAUCAAAAUUAGUCCUAAUUAUCUUAAAUUCUAGUUCUCUACAAAUUCCAAGCCCCCAAGUUUCUUUGAAAACUUAUUCUUUCUCUCAAAAAAAUUUGAAAUCAAAACAAUGCUUAACAUCACAGUUUCACUAUCAGGACUUAGUAUGGGAACUGGAAAUAAAUAACUUGGGAAAUGAAGCUUAAGUGAACUAGCCAAAUGAAGUAUUGAGUUAAUUAAGCAUGCGAGAAACAUAAGUAUGCAUAUAUUAUUCCUUCUGUCACUGGUUUCCUCUUUUCUCAAGUCAUGUCUCCACUUGUUCUUCCCAUUUCCAAACCAUGAAUGAUGGACAAAUUUGUUGGCUCAUAUAAAGAAAUACCACCAAAGAGAAUUGCAAGAAAUAGAACCAAAAGUUUUCUCUAACUUAUAUUAUGCAAAAUUGAAAGUAAACAUGAGAACAUAAAAGCAAAUAAAUAAAAAUAAAAUAAUCGAAAUAUGCAUGCAAAGAUAACAAGGGAUAUUAGCUUCCCCAAGUAUCCGUCUCUUGCCUAUUCGGGCCUAGUCCUCGUCUCCUCCCUUGCCGAUAUGUGGGUUAUGGGGCCACUAAUAUCUAGGUAGUGUUGAGAAACAUAGUAGAAAAAACAUCUGCACCUAAAAAGCAUCAUGCUCGAUGUCAUGCCCUCAUGAAAACAAUGCGGAAACAAAUGGAACUGGGUGCUACCAAAUUUCUUUUCAUAUUUUUUGCAGAAGAGGAAAUGAGUACAAAAAUUCCAGAAGUGAAUACAAAAACAAAUACUACCAAAAAGAGACAGAAAGCGAAUACAUAACAUACACGGAUACAAAAGUGGGUGUUAACCGACCUUAAUAAACCUUUUAAAAAUACACAUAAAAACAUUUUUUAAUAAAUUUCUAACAUCGCUACAAAAUAAUAUGAUAUGUUAUCAACACAGCGUACUACUACUGUAGUACUAGACAAUUGCAUACAAGGUUUUUGAGUACAUAUGUGGUGGUAAAAUUUAGGCCUUAAAUGAUGUAUUCUGCUCAUUGUGUCAUUGUGUGUUGUUUGGCGGUUGAGCUACAAAUCAGCCAUAAGAUUAUAGUAAACACAGAAAUUCCAUAUUCACGAAAACAGAAAGUUCUAUUUCCACGUUUGUUCCAUCGAAAAACACCAUUCCGUUUUUAUUUCUGUUUUCACAAAAAGAAAUUCAUUUCCAUUUUCGUUUUCAUAUUUCCUCUCCAUUUCCAUUUUUUUCCUUGGGAAAAGUGAAAUGUUACAACUCCAUUUUCAUAUCUAACUCAGCGCAUCGUGAUUACUGAUACGUCUCCAACGUAUCUAUAAUUUUUGAUGGUUUCAUGCUAUUAUCUUGUCAAACUUUGGAUGUUUUGCAUGCCACUUAUUUAUUUUCUGGGACUAACUUAUUAACUCACUCCCAAGUGUCAGUUCCUGUUUUGUCCAUGUUUUUGACCCCUUUCAGAGGAGAUUUUGAAACGGAGUCCAAACGGAAAAAAAUACUCGAAAAUAUUUUUUCUAGAACGGAAGAAGAUCGAAGGACUUGGGGGCCAAGCCACAAGACCACCAGGGGCUCCAGGCUUGUGGGCCCCCUGGAGGUCCCCUGACCUAGAUCUUGCUCCUAUAAAUUCCCAAAUAUUCCCAAAAAAAUCAGGGGAGCAUCGUAAUCACUUUUCCGCCACCGCAAGCUUCUGUCUCCGCAAGAUCCCAUCUGGGGCACAUCCUCGUGCCCUGCCGGAGGGGGAUUCGGACAUGGAAGGCUUCUCCAUCAACACCAUGACCUCUCCGAUGAUUCAUGGGUAGUUCCCCAUAGACCUACAGGUCCAUAACUAGUAACUAGAUGGCUUCUUCUCUCUCUUGGAUCUUCAAUACAAAGUUCUCCAUGAUCUUCAUGGAGAUCUAUCCGAUGUAAUCUUCUUUUGCGGUGUGUUUGUCGAGAUCCGAUGAAUUGUGGAUUUAUGAUCAUAUUAUCUAUGAAUCUUAUUUGAGUUUCUUCUGAUCUCUCUUAUGCAUGAUUUCAUAUCCUUGUAAUUCUCUUCGAGUUGUGGGUUUUGUUUGGCCAACUAGAUCUAUGAUUCUUGCAAUGGGAGAAGUGCUUGGUUUUGGGUUCAUACUGUGCGGUGACCUCACCCAGUGACAGAAGGGGUAGCGAGGCACGUAUCGUGUUGUUGCCAUCAAGGGUAAAAGGAUGGGGUUUUCAUCAUUGGUUUGAGAUUAUCCCUCUACAUCAUGUCAUCUUGCUUAAAGCGUUACUUUGUUCGUCAUGAACUCAAUACACUAGAUGCAUGCUGGAUAUCAGUCGAUGUGUGGAGUAAUAGUAGUAGAUGUAGAAAGUAUCGGUCUACUUGUCUCGGACGUGAUGCCUAUAUGCUAGGUCAUUGCCUUAGAUAUCGUCCUGACUCUGCGUGGUUCUAUCAAUUGCUCGACAGUAAUUUGUUCACUCACUGUAUUACUUGCUAUUUUGAGAGAAACUUCUAGUGAACACUAUGGCCCCGAGGGUCUACUCCACACCAUAUUUUCAGCCUUACACUUUUUACUUCGUUGCACUUUCCGCCUUCAGAUCUCACUGUGCAAACAAUCUUGAAGGGAUUGACAACCCCUUUGAAGCAUUGGGUGCAAGCUUGUUUGUGUUUGCGUAGGUACUCUGGACUUGACGAGACCCUCCUUCUCGAUCGAUACCUUGGUUCUCAAACUGAGGGAAAUACUUACUGCUCCUAUGUUGCAUCACCCUUUCCUUUUGAAGGGAAAACCAACGCAAGCCCAAUCUCUGUCAACGUGUCAAUUUCUGGCGCUGCUGUUUGAGAAGUAGCAAUUACCUUAAACUUGUGAACUUGUAGGUUCGAUACGACAUCGACAUGAAUGAAACCCCUUUGUUCAAUGAUCGCUAGAAGAACCAUGUACGUUCAUAUCAAGCCCUAUGUAUACACGAAUGUGUCACACCCUGUGUUUGUACCACAUUGCCACAUUAUGUUUUAGCAAAAAUUUGGAACCAAUUAAUUUUUUUGAGUGAUUGUGAUGGUAGUUUUGAUUGCAACAUGCUUGUGUGAUUGAUUGUGUUCUAAGACACCAAAGUUAUUAUUCUCUCCAAACUUUCCCCUCCUUAAUCCAAACCCUUGCCCAAUGAUCAUGCCAUGUGUAUAGGACAAGAAACUACUUUUAUAAAAUUGUUAUCUCCACAAAAAGGCAUUUAUUUAUUUUAAAGUUUCAAACCCCGUGAAUUGACAUUUGCACUACAAGUCCUUAAUUUAGGAGGGAUGUUUUACCAUAAAUAUUUUAUUUUGAUUAUAUUAUCAAAAUGACUUCCCAGAACCACAAAAUAAUUAUUUUAAAUCUAUUUUCCUAUUUUAUUUAAACAUCUUUUUCUGAUGCCAGAAAUGGUAUUUCAUAUGUAAUUUUUUUUGUUGCUUUGAAAAUAUUUGAGAAAAAUCAGGGAAACUCAGUGGAAAUAUAUUUUCCAUACAUAUGAGUUUCAACACAUGGUCAUGUUCAAAAUAUUGGACAAAACCCCUCAAAACCGCUUCUGUCCAUUUCAAGCUUUUGAAAUAUUUCCGACGGAAAUAUUCUCAAUAAAUUCCAGGAAAAUUCUACAACGUCACCCAUGGUAUAUGCAGUGAGCCUACAAAAUUUCAUAUCAAUCCAAGUUGAUUUGGUUCACCUAAGAACGCCAAAAUCCUCUGUGUCCAGACCCAAACUUGAGCAACGUUAAAUUGCCAAGUUUAUCCAAAUGAUCUCAAAUUUUGCACAAGUGAUCUAUGCCCCAAAUAAGGAUGCUACACCAAGUUGUGCAUUUGUGGGACUUGAUUUGGUCACCAAAGUCAUUAGGAAUCUGAUUCUGUCAACGCUUGGGUAAUUUCAUGUUUACAUUGCCAACUUUGCUCAAAUGCGUUGAAACUUGGUGAACACUCUUGGUUUCGACGACAAUGGAAUCUUGUUAAAUUUCACGGCAAUUUGGUAAAGGUACCUUGCCCAAGCAAUCCUCAAACACGUUCUGGUUGUUUGGUAAAGUUGCUACUUUCACAACCUUUACUCAUAUCCUUCACUUCAUUUUUCUACAACUUGUCCUGGUGAUGCUCUCCACCCCAAUAACUUUCCCACGAUCAUAGCUCAAUUAUUUGUGGGGUAAAACGCCCAAAUCCCCUCCUGGACAGCAAGAUCUCAUCUCUCUCUACACUCCUCUUUCUCUCUCCGUCGAAUCUCUAGAGCAUCCAAAGCCUUUGCCCACAUGUUUAAUUGCCCCUUGACCCCCUCGACCCGGUUUCCAUGCAAAAGUCGUCGUUGGCGUGCCUGGCAUGCAAUUUGGGUGCUCUGGAGCAUGCUACAGUGCCCAACUACAUUGUAACCGCCCUCUGCUCGACGCUGCUGACCGCCUCAAGCCUCUACCUCGAGCCAGUCGAGGCGCGUGGGCAUGUGCGUCCUUCUCCCUUGUCGGCCCCCUCCUCUCUGCCUCUCCAACGGCCUUCNNNNNNNNNNNNNNNNNNNNNNNNNNNNNNNNNNNNNNNNNNNNNNNNNNNNNNNNNNNNNNNNNNNNNNNNNNNNNNNNNNNNNNNNNNNNNNNNNNNNNNNNNNNNNNNNNNNNNNNNNNNNNUCCAACGGCCUUCCCCGACACGUGUCCCAUGCUCCCCGAUUCGUCCAAGCGGUCCUCUUAUGCACAGGCUGCCCCGCUCCCCCUCUUCUCUACCCUCGCCCUGGACUGACCCUAAGAGCACCCCAGACAUGCCCUCUUCUCUCCCUCNUCCCCCCCCGUCGUUUCCUUCUCCUAGAUCCUCUGCGACCCACGGGGCUAACCCCAUCAUAAAUUCGGCAAUUUGCAGGCAAAUCGAGCUCAUCGUCCUUGCCUCCUUCCUCCAUCGCUCGGGUUCGACAUCACCGUCGCUUCUGUCAACUCCAUCGGCCAGCAUCACUACUGAGAGACGCGCACCGACCUCACGAACCCGACGGUGCCCUCAGAAUCCCUGGCCGUGCCUCGUAUCACCGGCGGNNNNNNNNNNNNNNNNNNNNNNNNNNNNNNNNNNNNNNNNNNNNNNNNNNNNNNNNNNNNNNNNNNNNNNNNNNNNNNNNNNNNNNNNNNNNNNNNNNNNNNNNNNNNNNNNNNNNNNNNNNNNNNNNNNNNNNNNNNNNNNNNNNNNNNNNNNNNNNNNNNNNNNNNNNNNNNNNNNNNNNNNNNNNNNNNNNNNNNNNNNNNNNNNNNNNNNNNNNNNNNNNNNNNNNNNNNNNNNNNNNNNNNNNNNNNNNNNNNNNNNNNNNNNNNNNNNNNNNNNNNNNNNNNNNNNNNNNNNNNNNNNNNNNNNNNNNNNNNNNNNNNNNNNNNNNNNNNNNNNNNNNNNNNNNNNNNNNNNNNNNNNNNNNNNNNNAAUCCCACAGGAUUUAGUAAUUGUCCAAUUACAAUUUUUUCCACCUCAAAUCUUGCAAUAAUCUGUAGUAUUUCAUAGUGCCACUUGUAAAAAUGUUGGAAAAAGUUUUGUGUACUGUUUUAUUUUAAAACCGCAUUUAGGCAUUUUUAGCNNNNNNNNNNNNNNNNNNNNNNNNNNNNNNNNNNNNNNNNNNNNNNNNNNNNNNNNNNNNNNNNNNNNNNNNNNNNNNNNNNNNNNNNNNNNNNNNNNNNNNNNNNNNNNNNNNNNNNNNNNNNNNNNNNNNNNNNNNNNNNNNNNNNNNNNNNNNNNNNNNNNNNNNNNNNNNNNNNNNNNNNNNNNNNNNNNNNNNNNNNNNNNNNNNNNNNNNNNNNNNNNNNNNNNNNNNNNNNNNNNNNNNNNNNNNNNNNNNNNNNNNNNNNNNNNNNNNNACUGAAUAACAAGAGUCUUACUUCCGAAAUUAACGUCUGAUACAAUAAAGGAUCAUCAUGGUCAAGUCUUACAUAGAUAGGGCCUAGAAGGCCAAUCACACCAUCACAACUACUAGCGGAAUACCGGGUAGUAAACGGGAACCCAUGCCAUCAGCCUUAACCAACAUGCAUUCUGACUCGGAAGUGUCCUAGUUUGCGUGUCCGCCUCCAACGAUGAAUUCUUCUGCAUACUCUAGUUCCUCCAUGUCUGGUCAAUAAAAUAACUAGUGGCAAGCGAAUGAGUACUUUUGAACGUACUCGCAAAUAGCCCAUGAUAUGAAUAAUGCAGUUGGUACGAUAAUAAAGUAAUAUGCAGCAUUUGCGGAAAGCAAGGUUUAAUUGAAACAUGUGCAUGGUCAAUUACUUCUUUGGAUAUGCAUCAUAAGCUAGAUGGUAAUCAUGAUUACGGGACACAGAUAUCAUCACUACAAGAAAUCCGUUGAUCCAUGACGGAUUUGCGCUAGCGUUUUGAAAAACUGUCAUGGAAACCGUCAUGAAUGAGCAAGACCCAUAUGGGCCUCAAAAUUGUAGCCCUUUAUGACAAAUAUUGAAGGCCGUCACAGAAAUCGUCNNNNNNNNNNNNNNNNNNNNNNNNNNNNNNNNNNNNNNNNNNNNNNNNNNNNNNNNNNNNNNNNNNNNNNNNNNNNNNNNNNNNNNNNNNNNNNNNNNNNNNNNNNNNNNNNNNNNNNNNNNNNNNNNNGUCACAGAAAUCGUCACCGAUCAACCAGGUGAGCUUGGUCGGGCUUGUACCUUUUCUUGUUCAUACAUCAUUUGGACCGUCAUGGAUAACUUGUGCUGAUGUGUUGUGCAUGCCUUUUAUUUGGUCCACAUGUCAUACUGUUCCAAUCAAAUCUCUCUAUAUAUAUAUAUAAAACUGAGACUGAAAUUGAGAGAGGGUGCAUGAGAAGGAAAGUUUUAAUUUGCGAGCGCGGGGACUCGAAAUUUUCGGGCCAAUCCAUUUAUGUAGGAUCCACACUAGCCUAACCCUAGUUACCUUCUCCCAUCUCCCUCCCGUACCAACAAUCAGCCGCCGCCACUCCACCUAUCCUCCUCAUGCUGCUCCAUGUUGGCGCCGGCACCGAACCACCCNNNNNNNNNNNNNNNNNNNNNNNNNNNNNNNNNNNNNNNNNNNNNNNNNNNNNNNNNNNNNNNNNNNNNNNNNNNNNNNNNNNNNNNNNNNNNNNNNNNNNNNNNNNNNNNNNNNNNNNNNNNNNNNNNNNNNNNNNNNNNNNNNNNNNNNNNNNNAUCUCCCCAUCUCUCCCGCGACGGCACCGAACCACCCACCGCUGGAUCUCCCCAUCUCUCCCGCGCCCCAUCAAGUCCAUGCUAUGCCCCUCUCCACUCAGAUCGACCAUCAAGCUACGGCGACCCAGUCCUACCCCUAAGCUGAGGCGUCAGUGGUAGCGACGGCACGGACUGUUAGAUUUGGCAGUCCCAGAGGUCGCUGGCGGUGGGAACGGAUCCAUCUCUAUCCGGCGGCGUGCCAAGGUGAGGUACAGGAGGUGACGACACUGCCACAGAUCCAUCUCCACCCCGUCAAGGUGAGGUACAUGGGCGACCCUAAUGGCUGGGUCCAAGUACGUAUUUAUUUGCAUUAGGCCUAUAAUUUAGCUGCAGAAAAAAACGUCAUUGGGUCUGGCCCAUCACCCAAGUAGUAGCAGUUCCAUAAUCCAAGAAGUAUUGUAGAUGGAAAGUCUGAUACAUCGUCGUAACCCAUGCAUUGACUCGUGGGAUCGAGGAAUACACGCAUGCAUCGCAUCAGGCAUGCUGCGGGUGCCACCUUUUCUUCUCUAGCUCAGAUCGUGCCAGAUGAACCAGGAAGGAGGAGUUCCAGAUCUCAACUUCUCAAGUGGUGCGCGCCGUAGAUCUGCGGCGGUUGCUCUGUAUUUUUGUGCUGAUGCUUCGUGUCCUUUAUAUAGAGGCGAGUAUUGUCAGUCGGUCGACAUUUUCCAUUGUUUGUACAAUUAAUCGUUUUGAUUCCGCCUUUUAAUAUUGAUGUUCAUGUGGUGCUAUAGAUCUCAAGCAAUAACGAGGUUUGGAUGCUGCUCAUAGUGGUGAGUUUAUAGAUGAACUCAGCAAUGAUAGCACAAUUGGGUAACAAAUUAUUAAUUUAAUCAUCCCUACAACUUCGCGGGAGUAACUUUUCACUAUCUCGGCACUAUAUAAUUUGAUUUUUAAAGAUACAAAGGUAAGUUUAGAAGAUAUGACAAAAUAUUUCCACAUCACUCGUAUUGAUUUUCUCAUCUAUCUAAAUCCUCAUAUACUGAUGUUUGCUGUAACAGUCUUACAAUAGUCAUUGGAAGGACUCAAAAUGUGAAUGCAACUAUGUAUUUUGGAUGCAAAUUAUUUUUGGACCAUUUUUGGAGUCUUCUGUCCCUUUUGACACCUGAAAUAAUAUACUCCUACACGUGUAAUUCAAGCAUUAAACAUGACUUUGCAUCACACACAGUGUGUACUUUCUUCAUAGCCUAAUAUUCUGAUAUAUCUGUCAAGGGCCUCUAAGUUUUAGUUUCGCCCUGGGCCCCCAAAUCUUAGGACCGGCCCUGCGUGGUGCACGUGUACUCAAGGCAAUGUUGAAGGUAAUAUUUCACCGAAGGUAAUAUUGUGAUGCAGUACAGCUAGUCAGAUAUAGUAAAUUCAGAGAUUGCUUUUAAAACAUCAGAUUUAAAAGCUAAAGUAGAGGAGAAAUAACUAUGUCAGCUAGUGUAGACAAUUUCAUAUUCUUAGACCAAGUUAGCUAUAACUGUGAAAACAUUCUAUAGAGUAAACCAUUGGAAAUUUGUACUCAAAAUUUAGCUAAGUAAAAUCAAUCUUCAGAAAAUAUUAGAGGGUAUGGACAUUAGCGAGUGUAUUCGUAUUUGUGCUUUUGCUAAUAGUUUUCUGGGAAGAAAAUGAUAAUAAUCUGGACACCACCAACCAUUACACUUAAGGGAUACAUUUUCCAUUUCCCAUUGACCCAUCUACAUAAGCCAUUCAUCUAGAGAAUAUUUUUGUGUAUAAUUAUUCAUCUAUGGAAGCAAUGUAAUUAUUUUGAAAAUCCAUUGUAAAUUAUGCUCUAGAUGUAUGGCGUGUUUUAGUUUUUACUCAUAAUUUGUCCCGACAUCUAAAAUAGGUUGAUAGACAUUCUUUUAUUUUUACUGAUAUGUAUUGUUGUUAUACAAACAGGGAAGUUAAAUUUUUCGUUGAAAGCAAGGUAUUACUAUGACCAUGAAGUACACCCAUUUUUGUUGGAUGGCUGUUUGAAUGUUGGGCAAAUUUUGCUCGUUCAUGUACGUGUGCUAUGUACAAGGGGGCUAGGCUUUGUAAUAUAUUUCCUUGUAGGUAAGAAGAUUUUUUUAGCAUUAUGUUGAUUGAUUUUCUAAUAGCAUAGUUAUAUUCGAGAACUUAUUGUAUGUCUGUACAACACACGUGAUAAUGGGAAGUGUCUUCUUUUUUGCGAAGAGAUGGCAAGUUUCCUUCCAUGUGUUUUGUUUUGCACUUCUCAAUCAUAGGCUUCGUUUGAUAAACUUUGUUUGAUCACAUCCAUUCUUUUUAGCUCUUUUAUUGUUACAUCUAUGCCAUUUGUUUUGUAUCGUUUUAUAAUUAUAUAAUAGAUUUUCAUGUUUACAUUUGUUGCAGUUCCCUUGUUUCUACUAUCUAUUCAUACCUACAAAUAUCAAAUUGUUUUGUAAAUAUGCUAGGUAUGAUUGUGUACUCGGCUACUUGGUGCUGCCAUCACAAUUUGGAUGACGUGAUAGUUUCCAUCAAGGUUUCCAUCACAAUUUGGAUGACGUGAUAGUUUCCCUCAAGGUUUCCAUCACAAUUUGGAUGACGUGAUAGUUUCCAUCAAGGUUUCCAUCGGGAGGGCCGACGACAAGAACUUCAAUAGUUUAAGUGUUUUGUUUGUUCGAACUGGAUUGCACUGUUUUCUAAAUUGUUGAGUGAUAUAUUUUUAUCAAUCUAGGUUGUAAAAUAUCAUUUCAUGGAUGAUUUUGUGAACUACUAUGUUGUAGAUACUUGCGGAUGACUACAUAUUGAUUCAUACGUGUACACAUGACACUUUGUAAAUACCUUUCCUUUGUCUAAAUUGUCACUACAAUUUGAGUAAUGCAUUAUGCUUAAAAAUGUACUUGGUGAAAAUUGGGUUGAAUGAAAUAGGCUAAUGGGCUGAAUUAAAUUUAAAAGUUUUGGAAAUCCAUGACGAUUUCUGUGACGAAAAUAGUGUCCAUGUAGGCUGCCACGUCAUUCAAGUUGGUCAAUUGAAAAUCCAACGCGGCGUUGGUCCAUGACGGUCUAUUCCGUCACCAUGGUUUGGGCCUUGGGCGGGCCUGCGGCACAUCCAUGACGGACAAGAACCGUCGUGGAUGGCAUGAUGUCAAAUUAUGACGCGAUAUACAUGACGGAUUCUCAUUCCGUCAUGAUUGCGCACCCAUGACAGUUUUGGGAUAACCCAUGACGGAUUAGAACCGUCAUGUAUUAACAGAUUUCUUGUAGUGUAUCAUAUCCACGGAGGGCUGAACACGACAGGUUCACCCUAUAAGCCAAGUCUCCAGACUUGUCAUAUCAUCUUACUCAGAUAUCACCUUAAUACACACACACUUGGUGUAUGCGGAAACAACUGGAUGUAGUUUAAGCAGGAUUACCCAACUGUCCUUGACCGUGGACACGACUAUUCGAAUAGUUUUACACUCUGCAGAGGUUGUACGCUGUACCCACAAGAUCCGGGGAACUUUUGUGUCAUCCACGACUCGUGGUAUAUAACAUACCCGAGGUAAGUACCCGAUCAUUGCCUUUCUAUAACAACACUAGACAAAGAGUCCACUCGAUUGGUACCCAGCCCACAUGUUCCUUAUCAACUCAACCCCAGCAAUAGUAUUGUUUCUUUGUGGUGCUUCAUAUUAUUUUCUUACUCACAAGUUUGCACAAAAGAGUGGUAUUGAGCCCACAACUUUGGGUAGUCUAGUGAUGUCACAAACCCUGGGUGCAGUAUUAAAAUCUAAGAUCAGAUGUAAUGGAGUUGGGAUUAAUAUCAACGUGGUAGACUUCCUAGCAGAUCUUAUCACCCUCAAGUCGCAAGGCUUAGAUGUGAUCCUUGGCAUGGAUUGGUUGACCAAGCACCAAGGCUUGUUGGACUGUUCCAAGAGGGCUAUCACCAUGACAAAUAGUCAGGGAGUUAAAGUUAAGUAUGUUUCCGACUCCGCCUCCGCUCAAGCCCCUAAGGUAAAUUUCCUUUUGGGAAUUGAGUUGGACCAAGUACUAGUGGUAUGUGAGUACCCGGAUGUCUUUCCUGACGAACUGCCCGGGAUGCCUCCUGACCGAGACAUCGAGUUCAUUAUUGAGCUAAUGCCCGGAGCAAGACACAUCUAUAAGAAGCCCGAUAUAAUGGGGUCUGAAGAAUUGGUUGAGUUGAAGAGACAACUGGUUGAGCAGCUCAGGAAAGGAUUUAUCCGCCCUAGUGCCUCUCCUUGGGGAUCGCCUGUUCUAUUUGUGUCCAAGAGGGACGGAACUAUCAGACUCUAUAUUGAUUACCAUUCUCUCAUUGAAGUCGCGAUAAAUAACAAGUAUCCACUCCCCAAGAUUGAAGACAUGUUUGAUCAGUUGAAUGGUGCCAAAGUACUCUCCACAAUAGACCUCAGGUCUGGGUACUACCAAUUGGAGAUCAGACCCAAAGAGAUUCCCAAGACGACAUUCGUAACCCGAUAUGGCCUAUACGAGUGCACAGUCAUGUCAUUUGGGUUCACCAAUGCCCUAGCUUACUUCAUAUACCUCAUGGACAAAGUCUUCAUGGAGUAAUUGGACAAGUUUGUUGUUGUCUUCAUCGACGACAUACUCGUCUUCUCCAAGUCUGAGGAAGAACAUGAGAAGCACUUGAGGAUGGUCCUGGACAAGCUUCAAGAGCACCAACUUUAUGCCAAAUUCAGCAAGUGUGAAUUCUGGCUACAUAAAGUUGGAUUCUUGGGUCAUGUGAUGGCAGCAGAAGGAUUGUCGGUUGAUCCUACCAAGAUUGAAGGUGUGAUGAAGUGGCAAUCUCUCACCAAUGUGAAGGAAGUCAGAAGCUUCCUUCGACUCGCGAGAUAUAACCGCAAGUUCGUCGAAGGGUUCUCAAGCAUCACCCAACCAAUGAUGCAGUUCUUGAAGAAGGACUAGAAGUUCAAAUGGAUGUCGAAGUGUGAAGAGUGCUUCGAGGAGCUUAAGAAGAGAUUGACAAUGACCCCAAUUUUUGCCACCCUUGAUAUUCAAAAAGAAGUUGUGAUAUAUUGUGACGCAUCAAGGACCGGGCUUGGUGGUGCCCUGAUGCAAGAAGACAAAGUCGUAGCCUAUCCAUCCACACAGCUACGCCCUCACAAAGAAAACUACACCGCUCAUGAUCUGGAGCUCGCAGCAGUAGUUCACGCCUUGAAGACAUGGUCACAUUACCUUCUCAGUAAAUGAUGUGAGAUAUACAUAGACCACAACAUCUCAAGUAUAUUUUCACUCGAAGGGAAUUGAACAUGAGGCAACGAAGAUGGUUGGAGUUGACCAAAGAUUACAACCUCAGUGUCCAAUACCACCCCUAAAAGCCAAUGUGGUAGCUCAUGCCUUGAGCAGAAAGGCUUGUUCCUUGAAUGCUCUGUUCAAGGAAAGGUUACCCACCUUGUAUGAAGAGCUUGAAAGCUUCGAAUUGGAGCUAGCCGCACUAGGAUUUCUGGCCAACUUCGAAGCGAAGCCUACAUUGAUGGACGACAUCAAGGAAGCUCAGAAGGGACACGAGAGCAUUGAAGACAUCAAGAGGAAGAUCAAGGAAGGCAAAGCCCCAGGAUUCUCACUGGACAAGCAAGGAGUUGUAUGGUUUGGGAAUCACAUUUGCUUACCCAACAAGGCUGAUCUCAAGAACCUGAUCUUGCAAGAAGCACAUGACACUCCGUAUUCCAUCCAUCCUGGAGGAACCAAGAUGUACCAGGACCUCAAGGCAAGGUUUGGUGGCAUGGCAUGAAGAGGGAAAUAGCUUCAUAUGUCACUAAGUGUGGCAUAUGCUAGCAGGUCAAGGCUGAGCACCAACGACUCGCUUCGCUGCUUCAACCUCUCAAAGUGCCAGAAUGGAAGUGGGACAAGGUCGGGAUGUACUUCAUUACUGGUCUGCCCAGAUCAAGCAAAGGACAUGAUUCCAUCAGGGUCAUUGUCGAUCACGCGACCAAGGCGGCCCACUUCUUUCCUGUCAAAACCACAUAUGAUGGGCACAAGCUAGCCAGUCUCUACAUCGAGCGUAUCGUGAGGCUCCAUGCAGUACCUAAGGAAAUCGUGCCAUAUCGGGGUACGCAGUUUACCUCGAGAUUUUGGAAGCAGUUCCAAGAAGCCAUGGGGACCAAGCUCUCUUUUAGUACUGCCUUUCACCCUCAGACAGGUGGACAGACGGAACGAGUAAAUCAGAUACUCGAGGACAUGCUCCAAGCUUGUGUUUUGGCAUAUGGAGCCAAGUGGGAGGACUGCCUGCCUUUUUUUGAGUUUUCAUACAACAAGAGCUAUCAGUCCAGCCUUCACAUGGCACCAUUUGAGGUGUUGUGUGGACACAAGUGCCGCACUCCCCUCAAUUGGUCAGAAACUGGAGAAGGCCUAGUCUUUGUUUCAGACAUUCUUCGCGAAGCUGAAGAGCAAGUUCAACUAGUCAAAUAAUGUCUGGAGACUGCCAAUUCAAGGCAGAAGAGUUAAACUAACACCCUCCGUCGAGAAGGGAAUUUCUGUUUUGGAGACCGCGUCUACCUACGGGUUGCCCCUCAAAAGGGGAACAAGCGUUUUCACGUCAAGGGAAAUCUUGCGGCAAGGCAUAUCGGCCCCUUCAAAAUCACCGUGAGAUGAGGAGAAGUUGCCUACCAAGUGGAGCUACAUUCCGAGCUCUCGGAUGUUCACAACGUUUUCCACAUGUCGCAACUCCGAAAGUGCAUCCAAGUUCCCGACCGUCCGGACCUCUACAAGGACAUCGAUCAUCAAUCCAUCAACCUGCAGUCAGACCUCACCUAUCAUGAGAGAUAGAUUCGCUUCCUGGAUGAAGACGAGCGUUGCACCCGAAGCCACAUCAUCAAGUACGUCAGGGUCCAGUGGAGCAACCACACCGAAGCGGAAGCAACAUGGGAGCGCGAAUACUACCUUAGAUCCGAGUUCCCUUUUCUUUCUAGCGCUUAGCCUAGGAAUCUCGGGGAUGAGAUUCUUAUAAGGGGGUAGGUCCAUAAAACCGUGUGUUUGUACCACUUUGCCACAUUAUGUUUUUGCAAAAUCUUGGAACCAAUUAAAACUUUUUGAGUGAUUGUGAUGGUUGUUUUGAUUGCAACAUGCUUGUGUGAUUGAUUGUGUUCUAAGACACCAAAGUUAUUCUUCUCUCCAAAAUUUCAUCUACUUAAUCCAAACCCUUGCCCAAUGACCAUGCCAUGUGUAUCAGCCCAGAAACUACUUUUACUACAACAAAUGUGAUAAUCUCUGGCGCAUAUUCUGUGACGAUUUGGUGAAAACACGUUAGGGAAUCAUCUUAAUUUCACAAAUUGUGACGUUUUUUCAUUGAAUCGUCACGGAAUGAGCAUCACAAAUUAUCACUUUUGUUGUAAAAUGUUAUAUCAACAAAAAACAUUGAUUUAUUUUAAAGUUUCAAAACCCCUAAAUUGGGAUUUGCACUACAAGUCCUUAAUUUAGGAGGGAUGUUUUACCCCAAGAUUUUAUUUUGAUUCGAUUAUCAAAACGACUUCCCAAAACCACAAAAUAUUUAUUUUAAAAUUUAUUUUCCUAUUUUAUUUAAACACCCUUUUGUGUGGCGAGAAAUGGUAUUUCAUAGGGGAAAAUUAUUUUCUUGCUUUGAAAAUAUUUGAGAAAACUUAGGGAAACUCAGCCGACAUAUAUAUUCCAUACAUAUGAGUUUCAACACAUUUCAUGUUCAAAAUAUUGGAAAAACCCUCAAAACCCUUUCUGCCUAUUUCAAGCUAAAUUCUAGGAAAAUUCUAGCAAGUCACACAUGGUAUAUGUGGUCACCCUGCAAAAUGCCAUCACAAUCCAAGUUGAUUUGGUUCACCUAAGAACCCCAAAACCCUCCGUGUCCAGACCCAAACUUGAGAAACUUUACAUUGCCAAGUUUAUCCAAAUGAUCUCAAAUUUUGUAGAGGUGAUCUAUACCCCCAAAUAAGGAUGCUACACCAAGUUGUGCAGUUGUGGGACUUGAUUUGGUCACCAAAGUCAUCAGGAAUCUGACUGUGUCAAUUCUUGGGUAAUUUCAUGUUUACAUUGCCAACUUUGUGCAAAUGAGACGAAACUUGGUGAAAACUCUUGAUUUCUACCACAAUGCAAUUUGCUUAACUUUAACAACAGUUGUGUAAAGGUAACUUGCCCAAGAAAUCAUAAAACACCUUCUGGUAGUUUGGUAAAGUUGGUCCUUCCACCACCUUUACUCGUCUCCUUCACUUCAUUUUUCCACCACAACUUCUCCUAGUGAUGCUCUCCGCCCCAGUAACUUUCCCACGGCCAUAGCUCAAUUAUUGGUGGGGUAAAACCCCCAAAUCCCCUCCUGGACAACAAUAUCUCAUCUCUCUCUCCACUCCUCUCUCUCUCUCUGUCGAAUCUCCAACGCAUCCAAAGCCUUUGCCCGCAUGUUUAAUUCCCCCUUGACCACCUGGACAAGCUUGGUCACGCAAAAGUCGUAGUUGGCAUGGCUUGCAUGCAAUUCGUGUGCUCUAGAGUGUGCUAUAGUGCCCAGCCACACUGUAGCCACCCUCUGCCUACGUUGCUGACCACCUCGAGCCUCUCCCUCGCCCAGUCGAGGCGCAUGGGCACCCGUGCCCUUUUCCCCUAUUGCCCCCCUCCUCUCCCUCUCUCCAACGGCCUUCCCCAGAGCUUGUCCGACACCGCCCUAUUCGGCAAACCGUGGUCCUCAUGCGUGCAGGUGACCUUGCUCCCCUCUUCUCUCCCCUCUCCCUGGACUGACCUGAGGAGCACCCCAGACUCACCCUCUUCUCUCCCUCGUGCCCUUAUCCUCGCCCUCGAGCUUGCCAUGCUCCUUGCCACGGUGAGCCCGUCCACCACUAUUAAAAGGGGUCCCCGGGCGUUCCUCCCCUAUCGAGUCCCCCCAAUCGAGCACCCGCUCUCCCCCCUCGCAAGCUCCCGAGCCUCUGUGCCCAAGAUUGAGCCGGAGCUCCACCGCCUCNNNNNNNNNNNNNNNNNNNNNNNNNNNNNNNNNNNNNNNNNNNNNNNNNNNNNNNNNNNNNNNNNNNNNNNNNNNNNNNNNNNNNNNNNNNNNNNNNNNNNNNNNNNNNNNNNGGAGCUCCACCGCCUCGCGUUGCCGUCAUCUGACUGGUAGAGAGCUCCAUCCCCCCUGUCGUUUCCUUCUCUCGGAACCUCUACGACCCAAGGGGCAGACACCAUCGUCGAUUGGGUAAUUUGCAGGCGUAUCGAGCUCGUCGUCCUCGCCUUCUUCCUCCACAACUCGGGUUCGACGUCACCGUCGCUUGUGCCAACUCCGGCGGCCAGCAUCACUACNNNNNNNNNNNNNNNNNNNNNNNNNNNNNNNNNNNNNNNNNNNNNNNNNNNNNNNNNNNNNNNNNNNNNNNNNNNNNNNNNNNNNNNNNNNNNNNNNNNNNNNNNNNNNNNNNNNNNNCUUAGGGAUGAUAGGUGGAGCCCACCUAUCAUCCCCUCCCCCUCCCCUCUCUCACUGCCAAGACGGCCCCAGGGGAAGGUUUAAACAUAAACGUGUCACACACACCGUUUCGCUCUCGGACGGAUUCUCUCCUGGGNNNNNNNNNNNNNNNNNNNNNNNNNNNNNNNNNNNNNNNNNNNNNNNNNNNNNNNNNNNNNNNNNNNNNNNNNNNNNNNNNNNAAUCCCACAGGAUUUAAUAAUUGUCCUAUUCCAAUUAUUUUUCCACCACAAAUCUUGUAAUAACCUGUAGUGUUUUAUAGUGCUACUUGUGAAAAUGUUUGAAAAAGUAUUGUGUGUUGUUUUAUUUUAACACCACUUUUUAGGCAUUUUUAGCNNNNNNNNNNNNNNNNNNNNNNNNNNNNNNNNNNNNNNNNNNNNNNNNNNNNNNNNNNNNNNNNNNNNNNNNNNNNNNNNNNNNNNNNNNNNNNNNNNNNNNNNNNNNNNNNNNNNNNNNNNNNNNNNNNNNNNNNNNNNNNNNNNNNNNNNNNNNNNNNNNNNNNNNUUUUCACUACAAAACUUCAGGAAAAUAUUUUAGUUUUGUAUGUAGAAUUUUUAAGAGUAGAGUAACAUUUUAGAAGUGAGUUUUGUGUUCUAUUUUGUUGUGAUUCUUAUUAUUGUUGUUAUUAUCACGACAAUAGAUUAUGUUGUUGACGAGGGAGUUGGACCCGAAUACUUUAAAGACCCCGAAGACUUGGUUGAGCUAGGCAAGAAACCCUUUGGCCAUGUUUAAGAAAUUUUUAUUUGCAUGUAAUAUAACACUUUACCUUUGCAUUUAAUUCAUGUUGAAUCGGUGACCCUGAUACGUCCAUUUUGNNNNNNNNNNNNNNNNNNNNNNNNNNNNNNNNNNNNNNNNNNNNNNNNNNNNNNNNNNNNNNNNNNNNNNNNNNNNNNNNNNNNNNNNNNNNNNNNNNNNNNNNNNNNNNNNNNNNNNNNNNNNNNNNNNNNNNNNNNNNNNNNNNNNNNNNNNNNNNNNNNNNNNNNNNNNNNNNNNNNNNNNNNNNNNNNNNNNNNNNNNNNNNNNNNNNNNNNNNNNNNNNNNNNNNNNNNNNNNNAGAGGGAGAAUGCCGGCAGCUGGAAUUCUAGCCUGAAAAAGGAGCAAGUUUGAGAUACCUAUUCUGCGCAACUCCAAAAGCCGUGAAAAUCAACGAGGAAUUAUUUUCGAAUUUAUAAAAAAUACUGGGUGGGAGAAGUACCAGAGGGGAGCCACCAGGAGGCCACAAGCCUACUAGGCGCGGCCUACCCCCUGGCCGCACCUAGGGGGCUUGUGGGCUCCCUGUUGGCCCUCUGGCUCCCCUCCAUUUCUAUAAGGAGGGUUUCGUUCCAGAAAUAAUCAGGAGGAGGCUUUUAGGAGGAAUCGCCGCAGCCAUGAGGCGGAACUUGAGCAGAACCAAUCUAGAGCUCUGACAGGGUCGUCCUGCACGGGAAACUUCCCUCCCGGUGGGGGAAAUCUUCGCCAUCGUCAUCACCAAAACUCCUCUGAUCGAAGGGGACCCAUCACCAUCAACAUCUUCAUGAGCACCAUCUCAUCUCCAAACCCUAGUGCAUCUCUUGUAACAAAUCUCCGUCUCCCGACUCUGAUUAGUACUUGUAAGGUUGCUAGUAGUGUUAAUUACUAUUUGUAGUUGAUCCUAGUUGGAUUACUCGGUGGAAGAUUAUAUGUUCAGAUCCUUGAUGCUAUUCAAUACCUCUCUGGUCAUGAAUAUUAUUAUGCUUUGUGAGUAGUCACUUUUGUUCUUGAGGACAUGGGAUAAGUCAUGCUAUAAGUAGUCAUGUGAAUUUGGUAUUCGUUCGAUAUUUUGAUGCGUUGUAUGUUGUUUUUCCUCUAGUGGUGUUAUGUGAACGUCGACUACAUAACACUUCACCAUUAUUUAGGCCUAGAGGAAGGCAUUGGGAAGUAAUAAGUAGAUGAUGGGUUGCUAGAGUGACAGAAGCUUAAACCCUAGUUUAUGCGUUGCUUCGUAAGGGGCUGAUUUGGAUCCACUAGUUUAAUGCUAUGGUUAGACUUUGUCUUAAUUCUUCUUUCGUAGUUGCAGAUGCUUGCGAGAGGGGUUAAUCAUAAGUGGGAUGUUUGUCCAAGUAAGGGUAGCACCCAAGCACCGGUCCACCCACAUAUCAAACUAUCAAAGUAGUGAACGCGAAUCUUAUGAACAUGAUGAAAACUAGCUUGACAGAAAUUGCGGUGUGUCCUCGGGAGCGCUUUACCUCCUAUAAGAGUUUGUCCAGGCUUGUCCCUUACUACAAAAGGGAUUGGGCCAUUUUGCUGCACCUUCUUUACUAUUGUUACUUGCUACUUGCUACGAAUCAUCUUUUCACACAACUAUCUGUUACUGAUAAUUUCUGUGCUUGCACAGAAUACCUUGCUGAAAACCACUUGUCAGAUCCUUCUGCUCCUCGUUGGGUUCGACACUCUUACUUAUUGAAAGGACUACGAUAGAUACCCUACACUUUUGGGUCAUAAAGACUCUUUUCUGGCGCCGUUGCCGGGGAGUGAAGCGCCUUUGGUAAGUGGAAUUUGGUAAGGAAACAUUUAUAUAGUGUGCUGAAAUUUAUUGUCACUUGUUAGUAUGGAAACUAAUCCUUUGAGGAGCUUGUUCGGGGUAUCUUCACCUAGAAGGAAGCACAAGGAGUUGUUCCUAAACCUGUUGCACCUACUGAAAAUAUUUGCUAUGAAUUUCCUUCGGGUAUGCUUGAGAAACUGUUGGCUAAUCCUUUUACAGGAGAUGGAACAUCACAUCCCGACUUGCAUGUAAUCUAUGUAGAUGAAGUUUGUGGUUUAUUUAAGCUUGCAGGUUUGCCCGAGGAUGAGGUCAAGAAGAAGGUCCUUCCCUUAUCUUUGAGGGAUAAAGCAUUGACAUGGUAUAGGCUGUGUGAUGAUACUGUAUCAUGGAACUACAACCGAUUGAAAUUGGAAUUUCAUCAAAGGUUUUAUCCUAUGCAUUUGGUACAUCGUGAUCAAAAUUAUAUUUAUAAUUUUUGGCCUCGUGACAAAGAAAGUAUCGCUCAAGCUUGGGGGAGGCUCAAAUCAAUGUUAUAUUCAUGCCCCAACCAUGAGCUCUCGAGAGAAAUUAUCAUUCAGAACUUCUAUGCUCGGCUUUCUCAUGAUAAUCGCACCAUGCUUGACACUUCUUGUACCGGUUCUUUUACGAAGAGAGAUAUUGACUUCAAGCGGAAUUUAUUGGAAAUAAUUAAACGCAACUCUGAAGAUUGGGAGUUUGAUGAAGGUAAGGAGCCAGGUAUGAAUCUUAAGUUCGAUUGCGUUAAAUCCUUUGUUGAAACAAAUACUUUUUUUAUUAUUUUAGUGCUAAAUAUGGAAGUCAUUGUGUGAAUCAUUUGCUGCUCAUAUUGAUCUCCCUAAAGAGAAGUGGUCUAAAUAUCACCCUCCCUUAGAAGUCAAUGUAGUUAAACCCAAUCUAGUUGAAGAGAAAGUCAUUGCUUAUAAUGAUCCUAUUGUUCCCAGUGCUUACAUUGAGAAACCACCUUUCCCUGUUAGGAUAAAGGAUCAUUCUAAAGCUUCAACUGUGAUACGUAGAGGCUAUAUUAGAACCCCUAAACCCCCUGAGAAAAUUUGAGUUGAACCUAGCAUUGCUAUUAACAAAGGUCUCAUGUCCGACAAUGUUGAUGGCCAUGAUAUUCACUUCUGUGAAGAUGCUGCUAGAAUUCCUAAACCACAUGUUAGAGACAAACAUAGGCCUGUUGUUGGCACGCCUGUUGUUUCUGUUAAGAUAGGAGAUCAUUGUUAUCAUAGUUUAUGUGACGUGGGUGCUAGUGUUAGUGUAAUACCUCAAUCUUUAUAUGAUGAAAUUAAAUACGAGAUUGCACCUGUUGAGAUUGAACCUAUUGAUGUCACUAUUCAGCUUGCCUAUAGAGAUACUAUCUGCCCUUUGGGAAUUGUUAGAGAUGUUGAAGUCUUGUGUGGUAAAACGAAGUAUCCUGCUGAUUUUCUCGUUCUUGAUACCACACAAGAUAGCUUUUGUCCCAUCAUAUUUGGCACACCUUUCCUCAAUACUGUCAAUGCUCAUAUUGACUAUGAGAAGUAAACUGUCACUGUUGGCUUUGAAGGUGUGUCACAUGAGUUCAAUUUCUCCAAGUUUGGUAGACAACCUCAUGAAAAAGAGUUGCUUGUAAGGAUGAAAUUAUUUCCCUAGCUUCUAUUGAUGUGCCUCCUACUGAUCCUUUAAAGCAAUACUUGCUUGAGCAUGAAAAUGAUAUGCAUAUGGAUGAAAGGAAUGAGAUAGACAGAGUUAUCUUUGAACAACAUCCUAUCCUUAAGAAUAAUUUGCAUGUUGAACUGCUUGGAGAUCCACCCCACCAAAGGGUGAUCCUGUGUUUGAACUUAAGCAGUUACCUGAUACUCUUAAGUAUGCUUAUCUCGAUGAAACAGAGAUAUAUCCUGUUAUAAUUAGUGCUAGCCUCUCAAAGCAUAAAGAAAAGAAGUUAUUAAAAACUCUGAGGAAGCACCGUGCUGCUAUUGGAUAUACUCUUGAUGAUCUUAAGGGUAUUAGUCCCACUCUAUGCCAGCACAAAAUUAAAACCGAUCCUGAUUCUAAACCAGUUGCCGAUCAUCAACGAAGAUUAAAUCCUAAGAUGAAAGAGGUAGUAAGAAAAGAAAUACUAAAGCUCCUGGAAGCGGGUAUUAUCUAUCAUGUUGUUCAUAGUGAUUGGGUGAGUCUGGUGCAUUGCGUCCCUAAGAUGGGAGGUAUUACCGUUGUCCCUAAUGAUAAAGAUGAAUUGAUCCCACAGAGGAUUAUUACUGGCUAUAAGAUGGUGAUUGAUUUUAGGAAAUUGAAUAAGGCCACUAGGAAAGAUCAUUACCCUUUUCCUUUUAUUGACCAAAUGCUAGAAAGAUUGUCUAAAGACACACACUUCUGCUCUCUAGAUGGUUAUUCUGCUUUCUCCCAAAUACGUGUUGCACAAUUUGAUCAGGAGAAAACCACUUUCACCUGCCCUUUCGGUACCUUUGCUUACAGACGUAUGCCUUUUGGCUUAUGUAAUGCACCUACUACCUUUCAAAGAUGUAUGAUGGCUAUAUUCUCUGACUUUUGUGAAAAGAUUGUUGAGGUUUUCAUGGAUGACUUCUCCUUUUACGGGUCUUCUUUUGAUGAUUGCCUCAACAACCUUGAUCGAGUCUUGCAGAGAUGUAAAGAUACCAACCUUGUCUUGAAUUGGGAGAAGUACCACUUUAUGGUUAAUGAAGGCAUCGUCUUAGGACAUAAAAUUUCUGAAAGAGGUAUUGAAGUCGAUAAGGCUAAGGUUGAUGCGAUCGAGAAAAUGCGAUGCCCUACAGAUAUUAAAGGUAUAAGAAGUUUCCUUGGUCAUGCUGGUUUCUAUAGAAGGUUCAUUAAGGACUUUUCUAAGAUUUCUAGGCCUCUUACCAAUCUCUUGCAAAAGGAUAUUCCUUUUGUUUUUUACGAUGAUUGUGAGGAAGCCUUCGAAAUACUUAAAAAGGCCUUGAUAACUGCGCCUAUUGUUCAACCACCUGAUUGGGACUUACCUUUUGAAAUCAUGUGUGAUGCUAGUGAUUAUGCUGUGGGUGUUGUCCUAGGGCAAAGAGUUGAUAAGAAGUUGAAUGUUAUUCAUUAUGCUAGUAAAACUCCAGAUGGUGCCCAAAGAAAUUAUGCUACUACUGAAAAGUAUUUUUUAGCAUUCGUGUUUGCAUGUGAAAAGUUCAGAUCUUACAUAGUUGAUUCCAAAGUCACUAUUCACACUUAUCACGCUGCUAUUAAGUAUCUCAUGGAAAAUAAAGAUGCUAAACCUAGACUUAUCAGAUGGGUUCUCUUGCUACAAGAAUUUUAUUUGCAUGUUGUCGGUAGGAAGGGUGCUGAGAUCCCCGUUGCAGAUAACUUGUCUAGGUUGGAGAAUGUUCUUGAUGACCCACAACCUAUUGAUGAUAGCUUUCCUGUUGAGCAAUUGAAUGUCAUCAAUACUUCACGUAGUACACCGUGGUAUGCUGAUUAUGCAAAUUAUAUCGUUGCCAAAUAUAUACCACCUAGUUUCACAUACCAGCAAAAGAAGUAAUUCUUCUUUGAUUUGAGACAUUACUUUUGGGAUGAUCCUCACCUUUAUAAGGAAGGAGUAGAUGGUGUUAUUAGACGUUGUGUACCUGAACAUGAACUGGGAUAGAUCCUACAGAAGUGUCACUCCAAGGCUUACGGAGGACACCAUGCGGGAGAUAGAACUGCACACAAGGUAUUGCAAUCAGGUUUCUAUUGGCCCACUCUCUUUAAGGAUGCACGUAAGUUUGUCCUAUCUUGUGACGAAUGUCAAAGAAUAGGUAAUAUCAGUAAACGUCAGGAAAUGCCUAUGAAUUAUUCACUUGUCAUUGAACCAUUUGAUGUUUGGGGCUUUGAUUAUAUGGGACCUUUUCCAAAAUCCAACGGGUAUACUCAUAUCCUAGUUGCUGUUGAUUAGGUUACUAAGUGGGUAGAAGCUAUCCCAACUAGUAGUGCUGAUCACAACACCUCUAUCAUGAUGCUUAAAGAAGUUAUUUUCCCUAGAUUUGGAGUCCCUGGAUAUCUAAUGACUGAUGGUGGUUCAUGUUUUAUUCAUGGUGCUUUCCGUAAAACGCUUGCUAAGUAUGAUGUCAACCAUAGAGUUGCAUCUCCCUAUCACCCUCAGUCCAGUGGUCAAGUAGAGCUAAGUAAUAGAGAGAUUAAACUAAUUCUGCAAAAGAUUGUUAAUAGGUCUAGAAAGAAUUGGUCUAAGAAGCUCGAUGAUGCACUGUGGGCUUAUAAACUGCUUACAAGAAUCCCAUGGGCAUGUCUCCGUACAAAAUGGUUUACGGUAAAGCAUGUCAUUUACCUCUUGAUCUAGAGCAUAAGGCUUAUUGGGCAAUCAAAGAGCUCAACUUUGAUUUCAAACUUGCUGGUGAGAAGAGGUUAUUUGAUAUUAGCUCGCUUGAUGAAUGGAGAGCUUAGGCAUAUGAAAAUGCCAAGUUGUUUAUAGAAAAGGUUAAGAGGUGGCAUGAUAAAAGGAUACAAAAACGUGAGUACAAUGUAGGUGAUUAUGUCUUGCUAUAUAAUUCUCGUUUAAGAUUUUUUGCAGGCAAGCUUCUCUCUAAAAGGGAAGGUCCUUACAUUGUUGAGGAAGUAUAUCGUUCCGGUGCCAUCAAGAUCAACAACACGGAAGGUAAUUUUCCGAGAGUGGUAAAUGGGCAAAGGAUCAAGCAUUAUAUCUGAGGUACUCCCAUAAAUGUUGAAAGCAAUAUUAUCAAUACCAUAACUCCGGAGUACAUCAGGGAUAUUUAUGAGCAUGUUUCAGACUCUUAAAACGAAGACGUAUGUGAUUCAGUAAGUAAACCGACUCCAAAACUUUUCCAGUAGGAAUUUUUCUCCGUUUUGGAAUUUUUAGAAAAAUAGAAAAAAUUAAAGUAGUCCGGAAAGUGCACGAGGAGGCGACAAGCCUGCCAAGCGCGGGCCACCCCCCUGGCCGCGCCUGGGGGGCUUGUGACCACCUCGUGUGCCUCCCGGACUCCGUUUUCUUGCGGAGUACUCCUUGUGGUCGGAAAAAAUCAUCAUAUAUUCCCCCGAAAGGUCUGACCCUUGUAUCACACAAAUUUCCUCUGUUUUUGUUUUGAGCUGUUGUGUAGACAGAUCUAGAUCCCUCUGGCGUCCCCAAAAGCUCUGAAGGACAAGUUCUUCGAGAAGGUAAUCAAUCCCUACCUCGUGGGAGUGCUGCAACACCCUCAAUCUAUCGAGAUGCGUGAGGGGGUGCUGCACAUCCGUGAUGUCGAGGGGCCCAAGAAGACCGAAGCGUGGAGGCGAGGCUCGAAGCAAUGGAGCAGCAAGUCUUCAUGUGCCAAGGGAUGGUGGAAACCGGCCUCAAGGCCAAACACAUGAUGAUCACGGAGUUCACCAACAAGCACAAGAUCGAUGCCAAUGACAUCGGGAAGCACCUCUCAAGGCUCUAUGAAAGAAUUGAUCACCUCCAAGCCCAGAUCUAUGACCUGCAGAACCAAAACUGUGAGUAUGAGUAUAGAUUAAAAUCAAUAUGGUUGGCUGCAGAUUUGAGGAUUCCGGAGACUCGAUCAUCUUUCCAUGAUGGAUCACCUAUGCCUUGGAAGACGGAGGAUCAAAUCCAGGUUGCAACAACUCCACCAUCAUCGCCUCCAAAGGAAGACAACUAAGCACAGGUAUGGGCAAUCCCCUUGGCUUGUGCCAAGCUUGGGGGAGUUGCCCCGGUAUCGUAUCACCAUCAUAUCUUUUGCCUUUACCUUUUCUUAGUUCAAUCCUUUUUGGUCUUAUCUUCCUCUAGUAGAAUAAAGUUCUUAGUGAUCUAGGCUUGAGUUUGGCUUUGUGUCACCCCCGAUGUAUUCGAGUUCGUGAGUCAUAUAAUAAAGAACGUUUUAGUUAAGGGCCUUGCUUCAUGCCAUGAUCUAAAGAAAAGAAUGAUAAAAGAACAAAAGCAUGAAAGAUCAUGUAAUGAUCUUAUGGGAAGUGAUGGCUCCACAUAUAAAAAGAAUGUUGAUUGAAACUUGUUGUGGGUGGACAAACGUAGACCUUGGUCAUUGCUGCAAUUAAUAAGAAGUAAUAAAGAAAGAGAGGUUCACAUAUAAAUGUAUCAUCUUGGACACCGUCUAUGAUUGUGAACACUUACUAAACUAUUACAUGCUUAGAAGUAGAUGUUGGACAAGGAAGACAACAUAAUGAAUUAUGUUUGCUUGGUUCAGAGCAAUGUUAUAUGACUAGAGAUCCCUUAGCAUGUGACACUUGCUUCCACCUCAUAUCAGCCAAAACUUCCGCACUAAGUAGAGAUACUACUUGUGCAUCCAUAAACCUUCAACCCAGUUUUGCCAUGAGAGUCCACCAUACCUACCUAUGGAUUGAAUAAGAUCCCUCAAGUAAGUUGUCAUCGGUGCAAGCAAUAAAAAUUGCUCCCUAAAUAUGUAUGAUNGUAAAUAGUUGGGAGGCGAAACUAUAAGCCUCUAUCUUUCUCUGUGUCCGACUGAAACUUUGAUCUCAUGAGUAUCAUGUGAGUUGUAGCAAUUGUAGAAGACGAAAGGAUGAUUGAGUAUGUGGAUUUGCUUUACAAGCUCUUAUUUGACUCUUUCCGAUGUUAUGAUAAAUUGCAAUUGCUUCAAUGACUAAAGACUAUUGGUUCUUAAUUCUCAAUAAGGUUCUUGACCCAUACUUUACUUUGUGAAGGAAUUAUCACUCUAGCAUAAGAGAUUAUAUGACAAUAUUGUUGUUCUAAUUAUGAUCAUCAUGCCUACAUGUACAUAUCUUGUUUUGUUGACAGCUCUCUCUCUAAACAUGUGGGCAUAUUUAUUGAUCUCGGUUUUUGCUUGAGGACAAGCGAAGUCUAAGCUUGGGGGAGUAGAUACGUCCAUUUUGCAUCAUGCUUUUAUGUUGAUNNNNNNNNNNNNNNNNNNNNNNNNNNNNNNNNNNNNNNNNNNNNNNNNNNNNNNNNNNNNNNNNNNNNNNNNNNNNNNNNNNNNNNNNNNNNNNNNNNNNNNNNNNNNNNNNNNNNNNNNNNNNNNNNNNNNNNNNNNNNNNNNNNNNNNNNNNNNNNNNNNNNNNNNNNNNNNNNNNNNNNNNNNNNNNNNNNNNNNNNNNNNNNNNNNNNNNNNNNNNNNNNNNNNNNNNNNNNNAAGAGGGAGAAUGCCGACAGCUGGAAUUCUGGCUUGAAAAAGGAGCAAGUUUGAGAUACCUAUUCUGUGCAACUCCAAAAGCCGUGAAAAUCAACGAGGGAUUAUUUUGGAAUUUAUAAAAAAAUACUCGGCGGAAGAAGUACCAGAGGGGAGCCACCAGGAGGCCACAAGCCUGCUAGGCGCGACCUACCCCCCUGGCCGCGCCUAGGGGGCUUGUGGGAUCCCUAUUGGCCCUCUGGCUCCCCUCUUUUGCUAUAAGGAGGGUUUCGUUCCAGAAAAAUCAGGAGGAGGCUUUCGGGAGGAAUCGCCGCUGCCACGAGGCGGAACUUGAGCAGAACCAAUCUAGAGCUCCGGCAGGGUCGUCCUGCCGGGGAAACUUCCCUCCCGGUGGGGGAAAUCAUCGCCAGCGUCAUCACCAACACUCCUCUCAUCGGAGGGGACUCAUCACCAUCAACAUCUUCAUCAUCACCAUCUCAUCUCCAAACCCUAGUCCAUCUCUUGUAACCAAUCUCCGUCUCGCGACUCCGAUUGGUACUUGUAAGGUUGCUAGUAGUGUUAAUUACUCUUUGUAGUUGAUGCUAGUUGGAUUACUUGGUGGAAGAUUGUAUGUUCAGAUCCUUGACGCUAUUCAAUACAUCUCUGGUCAUGAAUAUUAUUAUGCUUUGUGAGUAGUCACUUUUGUUCGUGAGGACAUGAGAUAAGUCAUGCUAUAAGUAGUCAUGUGAAUUUGGUAUUCGUUCGAUAUUUUGAUGCGUUGUAUGUUGUUUUUCCUCUAGUGGUGUUAUGUGAGCGUCGACUACAUGACACUUCACUAUUAUUUGGGCCUAGAGGAAGGCAUUGGGAAGUAAUAAGUAGAUGAUGGGUUGCUAGAGUGACAGAAGCUUAAACCCUAGUUUAUGCGCUGUUUCGUAAGGGGCUGAUUUGGUUCCACUAGUUUAAUGCUAUGGUUAGACUUUGUCUUAAUUCUUCUUUCAUAGUUGUGGAUGCUUGCGAGAGGGGUUAAUCAUAAGUGGGAUGUUUGUCCAAGUAAGGGAAGCACCCAAGCACCGGUCCACCCACAUAUCAAACUAUCAAAGUAGCGAACACGAAUCAUAUGAACAUGAUGAAAACUAGCUUGACAGAAAUUCCCGUGCGUCCUCGGGAGCCCUUUACCUCCUAUAAGAGUUUUUCCAGGCUUGUCCCUUGCUACAAAAGGGAUUCGGCCAUUUUGCUGCACUUUCGUUACUAUUAUUACUUGCUACUUGCUAUGAAUCAUCUUAUCACACAAGUAUCUGUUACCAAUAAUUUCAGUGCUUGCAGAGAAUACCUUGCUGAAAACCACUUGUCAGAUCCUUCUGCUCCUCGUUGGGUUCGACACUCUUACUUAUCGAAAGGACUACGAUAGAUCCCCUACACUUGUGGGUCAUCAGACCCCAGUGAUGGGUUGUCUCCGAGGAAUACCUCGUUGAAACUUGCAAUUGGUCAUGACCCUAUCACCUAUGAGGCUUGUGCGGGUGGGGAGUAGUUUGGUUACUAGUAGUUGCUACACAAAUUGGGAUGGGACUAUGCAUGGUGACGAUGAAAGAAAGUGAUUCCAAGGAUUUUCGAAAACCCCGUCGGGUGCCACGAAUGCCCGAGGGUGGUGACGUUAAGAUGGGUGAACACUUGGGAAAAAAGUGGUGUGCCGAGAAAGGCUUUGUGUGUGGGGUUUCGAAAACAGGAGAGAUUUAAGAUUUGCUGACCAUACCAAUCUUACCUGUGCAACCACAAUACCCCUUAUGGGAUGGGGCUUUGUUGAUUACCUUGGUCGAUGCUUGCAGAGAGCCCGCAUUACUAGUGGCGGGAGUGGCGUGCUCACUCUCGAGAUGGGUCAUGCCUGGUAGGGUGACCAUGAGCUGUUUUCACAGGCAUUGGGCACACCAUUGGUCCCUGCAUGGAUGAUACGAUCUAGAGCGAGGGUCGUAUGAUGUACAUCAUUUGGGAUGUGUACCAAUCGAGUGGACUCUUCGUUUAGUGUCGGCAAGGGAAAGGCAUUGUUUGGGUGCUUUCUUCGGGUAUGUAAUAUACCACGAGCCGUGGAUGACAUGGAAGUUUCACGAGUCUUGUGGGUACAACGUGCAACCUUUGCAGAGUGUAAAACUAUUCGAAUAGUCGUGUCCACGAUCAAGGAUAGUUGGGUAAUCGUGCUUAAACUACGUCGAGAUGUUUCCGCAUAACCAUGACUUGUUCAUAUGGAUAUCUAUGGCAAGUUUAUGCAUUCUUUUACAAGAUUGAUCAUGUCAUUUGCACUCAAAUUAGCUUUCCGCAAAAAUUACCUACUUAGUGCUAUAUCAUGCAUUAUUAUUGCCUCGUCCCACAUCAUGGGUUGAUUGCAAGUUUACUCAAAGUACUCAUUGGCUUGCCACUGGUUAUUUAAUUGGCCACGCAUAGAAGAGAAGAAAUAUGGAAAAGAGUUUGUAGGAGACGAACACGCAAACAAGAAUGCUUCCGAGGCAUAAUGCCUGUAAUUUUAAGGCAGAUGGCUCGGGUUCACGCUUUCGAUCAAGAUUUCCAGUGCUAGUUAUGUUUGGUGUGUCAACCUUCGAGGCCCUAUCUAUGUAAGAAUUGACCUUAAUGGUCUGUGUUUGUAUGAGACGGUAUGUAUGUAUGUAAGACUCUUGUUAUUCAGUUUCUGUGUGUUCAAUGAGCAUUGAUCUCUGGUAUGAGUGUACAUGUGCAUUCGGUGAUCACGACGUAUAAGUCAGGAUCCCCAUAGGAUGUCAUUCGAGUAAUCCUUUCAUUAUCAUGUGUUAUCCAAAUAUUUAGAUUAGAUUAAGUUAAAAAUUAAGUUUUUAUGUUAAUAUUUGGGAUUAUGUAUAAAGGGCUUCCCCCACUUUGUAAUAUUUGAUAAAACAAUGGAUAUUCCAAGAGACAUGGGAAAAGAAGAAAUUUUGAGGGAUAUAAUCCACGACGACGGUAGUAAUGUCGAACUUUUGCUCAGCGACAUCGGUGACUACCGAAUCCCGGAGGAACGACAUUAUCAUGAUGGNNNNNNNNNNNNNNNNNNNNNNNNNNNNNNNNNNNNNNNNNNNNNNNNNNNNNNNNNNNNNNNNNNNNNNNNNNNNNNNNNNNNNNNNNNNNNNNNNNNNNNNNNNNNNNNNNNNNNNNNNNNNNNNNNNNNNNNNNNNNNNNNNNNNNNNNNNNNNNNNNNNNNNNNNNNNNNNNNNNNNNNNNNNNNNNNNNNNNNNNNNNNNNNNNNNNNNNNNNNNAUGAUGGCUUCGGUGACUACUGAAUCCCGGAGGAAGGAGACCAUGAUGACAGCUCCAGUGACCGAACGGAGGAGGGAGCUAUUGAAAAGUCAGGUUCGAGCCAAACUUCGGUAACGAGACGAGGCCCGACGAGAAGGUUGGGCAAGGAUCAAAAGUUCACAGUCACAGAACUGUCGAACGAUGGACAACCGAUUGAACCCAAGUGGACCAGGGACGCAUUUUCUGCUCACUGCGGAGCUAUUGUCAGGGACAACACCCCAAUCAGCAUCAAGCAAUGGAAUAAGCCUAAGGGCGACAACGUCCCUGAAGGUGAUUAUGUCACCCUAGGCUGAAAGAUGAUCUUUGGACCGUGUUGAAGAAAAAUUUCACCCUACCACCAGAGGAGGAUCCGAAUAAGCCAGUUAUAGAGCCUCUGGUCAAGGCGUGUGCUCUUAAGAAGAUGGUAGAACUAUUCAGGAGGUGGAAGAAAGAGUUGAAAUCAAAGUAUGUCGACCAAGGGAAGAAUCUAGAAUUCGUCGGCCGAUUUGAGAAGAUUAGAGAUCACUGGCCCGCAUUUGUGGCCUACAAGUCAUCGGCCAAGAGUAAGGAAAUGUCAGGGAGAAACAAGAACGAUGCUGCAAAGAAGCAGUAUCACCAUCACACGGGGUCAGGUGGCUACCUCAAAGGCCGUCCAUUGUGGGACAAAGCUGAGAAUGACCUGAUUGCUAAAGGGGUCCAACCACAGACAUUGAACUAGCCCGACCGUUCAACGAAUUGGUUGUUUGGAGUUGGGGGAACUUUGGACCCUAAAACAGGGGAGUGUUGUUGGACGGACGAGCAACUUGCAACACCCAUCAACAAGCUUCAGCAGUGUAUCACCGCAGCGCAGGAAGGGGUGUUCUUUCCCGAAAGAGAGAAGGAAGACCUAACUGAGGCCCUAGGGAAUGUUGAGCACCCUGGACGAACACGAGGCACACCAGGCUCCGUUCCAUGGAAGGUCGGCUUUCCUGACGCAUCCGGUUACAGAAGCCGAGCGAGAAAGAGGAAAGUGGAGCUGAGCGACAUGCAAAAGAUCAAUGCAAGACUACAAAUUCUAGAGGAACUUCACUUUCAAGGCUGCUAUCGGCGUUGUUGCACCUCCUCAUGGUCACCCUACCUGGCAUGACCCAUCUCAGCGAAGAAGCAGCGUGGCUUCCACGGAGCUCGUUCGGCCUGACAUCACGGCUCCUAGCUACCCCGUGGAUACUAUCAUGGAGUCUCAACCUUGCGAGAUUUUGACAAAAUGCCGGAACCUCACUUUCAAGGCUGCUAUCGGCGUUGUUGCACCUCCUCAAUCCAACGGAAAUUUUCACUGCCAUCCGAUUCCACAUGGUUAUGCUGUUGUGAUGGUGGAUGAAGUAAAGAAGGAUUUUGAGCAGCUCGAGCUUGACCACCCUACAGGUGAAGAUGAGAAUAAGCUGGUUCAUGCUUUGAGGAGUACAUGUCUAUGGCCGAAGGAGUACAUCAAUCUUCCAAACUAGAUGCCGCCUCCUCAUCCUCCGGUGAGUGAUCAGGGCACUCCUCAUCCUCCUCCGGUGACUGACCAGGGCACUCCUCAUCCUCCUCCGGCGAAUGAUCAGGUCACCCCGGCUCCUCAGACGCGUGAGGCCACUCCGCCUUCUUCUUUGGCUCCUCCUCUGCCGCGUGAGGGCACUUCGCCUCCUUCUUCGUCUCCUUCUCCGGCGCGUCGGAGCAGUCCGCCUCCUUCUUCGGCUCCUCCUCCGGUGCGUCAGAGCACUCCGCCUCCUUCUUCGGCUCCUCCUCCAGCGCGUCGGAGAAGUCCUCCUCCUUCGGCUCCUCCUUCGACGCGUCGGAGCACUCCGCCUCCUUCUUCGGCUCCUCCUCGAGCGGAUCGGAGCACUCCGCCUCCUUCUUCGGCUCCUCCUCCAGCACGUCGGAGCAGUCCUCCUCCAUCGGCUCCUCCUCAGGCACGCCAGAGCAGUCCGCCUCCUCCGCAACAGCGAAAGACGGACGUCCUCGCCGAUCCGCCGAAAAUUACACAAGUAAGAAAGACGUCGCCUCCUCCUCCUUCUCUCAAGCGGAAGACAAACUCCUCCACCGCUCUGGCGGCUAGCAGUGAUGCAAUCUUAGAAAAAUGAAGAAGUGGGAAAACAAUUCCCCAGCUCGGCCAACAGAAGAAGCAAUCGUGCCCCCCGCUCAAGGUGUCUAGCGAUAUCGUCGUCGCUAAUGAUUCGGGGUUGCUGCCUGGUAAAAAUCCUGGUGAUUAUGUGAACGAUUCAGUAAUUUUUGAGAUGGCUGAGGUAACAAAUGAAGAAACAUAUAAAUACGUGCUCGGGAAGCCUCUUGUCAAACCUGGUCAUCCUCCUCUAACACCGAGUAUGCACGAAUUGCAUGAGUGGUACAUGAACAUCUUCAGGGAGAAAACGUCUGUGUAUAUGAGAGUGAAACAAGAUCACGAAUUCAUUGGAUCUACAGUGCUGCUUGUUGAAUUUGAGGAAUGAUUUCAGUUAUACAAUGACCUGGCCCUCGACAAACAACUCCUGACUUCCUACUAUUUGUAAGUAUUACUUCUAUAGUUAAGUCUCUAGCUCAGCUCGUUCAUUGCAUGUAUCUAUAAUUAUCCUCACUAUAUAUAUUAUGCACAUUGAAGAUCGUUGAAUUAAAAAAAAGCAGGAAUCUUCGAUGUUGGGUUCAUUAUCCGAGAAUCGGUAAAUGUAUUGUCGGUACGAAAUGAAACCAUAGAGAUCGAGGUUAAGUUUCUAAAUUUGUUGCUUGUAUAUCAAAACAAAAGGGAAAUACUCUUUCCUUACAACUUCAAGUGAGUGUUGUUGUCUUCUCUGUAUACUCGGUUUCGCUUACACGAGGUUAAUUAGUAAAUGGAAUUGAUGAGUUAUAUAUGCGUGCGCAGUUACCACUUUAUUAUGCUAUCCAUUAAGCUUGACGCAGCAAAAGUAGUUGUCUUAGACUCGAGACGUAAAAAUCCCGAGGAUUAUGAGGACAUGACUGCAGUGCUCAAGAAGUAAGUUCACUCGAUACCGGGACCAUACCGGCAUGAAACUUUUGUUAAUUUCCUGAUAUCAAGUAAUCAUUUUCUUUGCCUGGCGGGAUUUGGAAGAAGUUCACGAAAAAGGUUCGCGGUAUACCCAUAGAGUUGCAAUUUACGCACCCCCGAGUAACUAGUACUAGCUAGUUCCGCGCAUCUCUAAUUGAUUCAAAUUUUCAUCAAUAUAUCAUUACCACGCUUUCUUAUAAGUUUUAUUGAACUCUAUAUAUUCUCGUAAAGUGCUAGUACUAGGUAGUUGGGACUGAAAAAUGUGCAUACUACGUAUGCGAGUUCAUUCGCCUCUCGACCUUUCUGCGGGGCAUCUCUAACGAACAAUUUGAAGUACGUAAAUAAUAUUCACAAUUUUAUUUUAUAUAUUACCAUCAAUUGUGUUGAGUUUUAUUCAUAUAUAUGCAAGUAUUAACCCCCUUCUUUAAAUUAGAUCUGGAAGAAGCGGGAUGAACCCCUAUCAGAUGAUGGCAUACGAGAAAUUAAAGAGGAAUUGGCGGGAUUCUUUCUUGACCACGUCAUACCUAGUGACGGAGAAUACCAUGUGAGCUAGUUGUGAUUGGAUCUUAGGUAGAUGAUGUUAGGAAUUUUAAGAGAUGUUAUAUUGUAAAAGAUGUGAAGUAUUGUAAAUGGUUUGCUUCAUUUUCUUAUUAGCUAGCGUCAUGUUCUCUCUAUAUGUAUAGUAGCUAGCGUCGACCAAGCACGGCGAAAGAGAGGACACUUAUGUCUAUUAGGCAGCUAACACAAUAUGAAACCACUAAAUUAACCCUCCAACCNACUAAAGGUUUUGGGCUUUAGUCCCGACCAUUUCGUCCUGGUUCAAGAACCGGGGCCAAUGAGCCUCUGGAACCGGGACAAAUGGGCCAUUUUCUACUAAUGCACCUAGGGGUUAAUGGUGGACAUCCAGGUUAGUAUGGACAACCCGGCCCGCAAGGUGGCUCACCUCGAGGUUUCCUAGGGUCAGGAUUUAACAAACUAGGGGGAUCUUGGUCAGAUUACCAACACCAAGGGAAUAAUAGUAGUAGGCAGCAUUCUCAUAAAGGAAAUCAACAAAAUAACAAUCAAUUUGGGUUCUGGAGCAACCCUAAACAGCUGAAUAAUGGUCAGUACCACACUUUUAGCACCAAUGGCUCCAAACUAGAUAGGAAGCGUAAGCAGGCAUCCGUCAGCAUAAUUAAGCCGGCAGUCCCCAAACAUCUCAACAGGUCCGAGCAACCAAUUGUUUGGUGCCGUCAGGAUCACCCGCCCCGGGUUGAUAACCCGGGAGAUCUAGCUUCGGUGGUAGCACCUCGGGUUGGUGGAUACACCCUCACAAAAGUCCUCAUGGAUGGAGGAAGCAACAUCAACAUUUUAUAUUAUGACACUUUCUAGAGGAUGAACCUGCGGGCCAACAGUUUGCAAACUUCGUGCACAGUUUUUCAUGGAAAUGUUCCUGGGAAGUCAGCAUACCCGGUUGGGCGGAUCAAGCUUAAUAUUUCUUUUGAGCAUGAACAUAAUUCUAGAUGUGAACCCCUAAUGUUUGAGGUGGUGAAAAUAAAGAGUCCUUAUCACACUCUCUUUGGAAGGCCCGCUUAUGCUCGGUUUAUGGCCCAUCCUUGUUAUAUCUACCUUAAGCUCAAGAUGCCGGGUCCCAAAGGCACCAUAACAGUAGGAGGCAGCAGAAAUAUAGCUCAAGAAUGUGAAGGAGACGCGGCUUAUGUUGAGUUAGCCUAUGCUACUGAAAAGAUGAAAUCCUUCAUAGACAACUCUGGUAAAGCCUCUCUCAAGUAAGCCGCGAGUUUGAGUAAUCCAACCCGGCCAAUUUCUUUUGGCCCUAUCACACUAGGAGCUACCGGCUCUUUAUCUUUGGUACUGAUCCCCAAAUCCUGUAUAAACUUCUAUAAUAUUUGAAUCUAAUAAUGCUCAUUCUUAGCCAAGAAUUGAGCAUGAGUUGUUACCAUCCAGUAUGUUAGGUGGGGGAUACAAAGUUCAAAUAAAUUAUCAUGGUCAAUAGAAUUAAGCCGGAUUAUCUGGGGGCUACCUGCCCCCGGGUUGUUUAGCAAUAAUGGCACUGUCUUCUGCAACCCUAUGCGAGGCCUUUCUAUUUUGAUCAUAUGUCACUUGGGGGCUUCUAACUCAAAGAGUUCAGCUUCUUACCCAAUUUAUCGGCAAAGACGCCACAAAAUGAUUAAACCAGCUUCUUUGUUUUGGCGACUGCGAAGAAGGUGACUCUAUGUACUCUUGACUGACCAAUCCAUUGUGGACCCUGAAUCAGCAAGGUUAAAACAUGGGUAUGUCAUGUGAGAUCCAACAUAUUGAAAGCUAGGAUAAAUCAUGGGUUAUUAUACCCGCUUCAUUGAAGCAAGGCUAGGCCUCAAAAGUCAGUAUUUUUAACCGCGUCUCAGUGAGUCGGCAUGCGAAUCAUGACUAAUACUCUACGUGAUCUAUUAUUUUUUAGAAAUCUUUCAGUAGGGAGUAGUGUCUAAUUUUUUCAUAAAAACACGAUUAUGACAUGUUGCAACCAGUUUUAUUUUUAAAGCAAAUUUUAUUUUCUCUUACGAUAAUGACGUAAGAAGAUGGAGCUGUGUUACCAGAUCAUGGACAAUCGGGUCAUAAAAGAUAUGGCUAUAAAGAUUCUGAUUAUUAACUAAGAUAAACAUGCUUGACGACGUGAUCAGAGGCAUCUCAGAGUUGUUGCUACCCUAUUACAGACUCACGUCAAGAGUCAUCAAAACUCAAAGAUGUUUUGAUACAAAAAUGCGAGAGUUUAAUUUUUUUCUGCUAGGCAAGUCAUUUAUGACGUGCCAUCAGUUUUCGCCAUCGGCCGAUCCAGCACCCGAUUCUUCCGACUCAUCUCAUCAUCAAUAUGCUCCUGGCCUUGCUGAUCCACCGAAUUGAUCUCAAAGAUUCAAAAUUUGGAGCGGUCCCAAUUGAAGUAGAAGCUCCGGUGUGAGAAGCAGUGUUUUUCUUAUAAUGAGGGGGGACAAGCUCUGAGGGCUUGUCUUUAGGCACUAAAACACGCUCAUUAUCAGCAGUAUAUGCCAGGUAAUAAUGAGAUGUGUCAACCUGUUCUCCCGGAAUGGUCGCCACAGGCCGGGUCUCCUUCAUGACACGAGCGAAGUCUUGUCGGGAGAAUUUCGAGCCAUCCAACAUUUAUUCUGGAAACCCGUCUUUUAAAGCCGCCAAAUCCAAUUCUGGUAAAUAUACUUUGGCGUGUGCGAGGGCAAGGUUUGCCCCGCCACGAGUUGCUAAUUUUCGGGUUUUAGAAACCCACUACAGCACAACGGAGAGGUUUUUCAGCAUAUCGUUGAUGGUCCUGGAGGAUUCUUAGGAUUUUUCGCCGCCGUGAUAGAGUACACAGACCCAGUAUACAAUUUUCCACAUAGGAAAAAAAGGUUUUCUACUUCGUCAAUGGCGGUUGUACCAGGGAUUGAUCUAUUCAGCCUGCAGACAAUAAUAGAUAUGAAACAUUUGUGAGUCAUCCAUUUGAGUAUCAGAAAUAAAAACAGAGAUAAAAGUUGCAAAAAUUUACCAAAGAUGGUGGUUAGCACGUCAUUGAUUUUCUCUAGUAAGGUGGAAUAAUUUUCUUUAAGAGGGCCAAGUUUCCCUUCGGCUUUUUAAGCACGGGCUAAGAGAGCAUUUUUCUCUUUUCCAAGUCCUUGUGGACUUGAUCAAUACGAUCCUGCAUUUGCUGAAUGGAGCUUUGGAAAAGAGCCACAUAGAUUCAGCCUCAGCCUGAAGCCUUAUUGUGUCUUGAGAAGCAUUUGCAGAUCCAGAACGAUGGAUUCGGCAUUUCCUACAAGAUUCUCGUAAGUAUACAACGUUUUAUCAACAAUUGGACGUAUAACAUGCCUUAAGAAUAACUCGUACACGAGAGCGGCGACAAGCCGAAGGCAAGACAAAGAUAAACAACGAGGAAGUAUAGACAAGUCCCAAGAAGAUUGCAAACAAUAUACUUGGCCCUUGGGGGCUCAUGUGCAUCAGUUCUUUAAAACAUGUAUAAAAGACCCGAAUCAUCCUAGGGAGAAAAGUUGGCCCUUGGGGGCUACAGGUCGAAUUGAAUGUCUUUAUUUAAAGACCCGACUCAACUCAGGGAGAUGAGCCGGCCCUUAGGGGCUACAGGUCAAAUCCAAUGUCUAUAUUUAAGGACCGACUAGUGUUAAGGAAAUGAGCCGGCCCUUGGGGGCUACAGGUAAUAUAUAGGAAAAAGAGACAGAAUGAUUCUGAAAUAAGACUGUUACCUUGUAUCUCUCCUUCAAAGCACGAAUCAUAUGAGCUUCAGUAUCCCGGUUCUCAGUAAGCCAGGUCAAGUAUUGUUGAAGGACCUCUCCAACACCCUUUGAGGAUAUAUUUGGGAGCACUAGCUUAUCUUUCCCUUUGUCAAGGUUCAUCAUCUCUUCUUUAGCCACAAUUUUGGCAAGAGCAGUGGAAGUAGUAGGCACUUGAAAUUGUUCUUUGAAAAAAACAACCUCUGGAAUAUUUUGACCAACCGGCGGAAGGGGGACUUUAGUAUGAGUCGCCAGGCAGGGGUCUUGAGUCGGGCUCGUCAUCUUGGCAGGGGAAGUAUUAGUUUUGAUGAUUCGUCUAUCAAAACCGGCUCAUCCGGAAGGGGUGUCUCAACAACAGUCACUAGAUCAAUUGUGGCAUCCGAGAUAUGUGCUUCAGGAAUCUCAACUUUGACAGGUGCCUUUUCCAUUUGAGGGUCCAAGAUAUUUUCCUUCUUAGCACAAGAACAUGACCCUGCUAGACGGCUGGAUAAAGUAGCUUUUUCCCUGCACAUAUCAGAAGCCAAGUAAAUAUACUAAGAGAGUGAAAUAAGCAAUGAAGUUAUGUUUAAAGAAACUUACCCAUGAUUGAUGUUAAAAGUGGGAGUGGAGCUGCUCAUGAGGCGCCCGAAGAUGCAGAAAACUCCUAAAAUUUAAAGGGGUUCAAGUUUCGAAGAUUAUAUUGAACCAAGAUCAACCUCAGUAAGCAGCCACCAAACUUAUUACCUUAACACGAUGUUUGUGAGCCGGUGGUGCAUGAGGCAAGCGUGGAUCUAGCUCGCCCGCAUCGCUCCGAGUCUUGCAUUUGGAUUGACCAACUUGUUGUGUUUUCUUCAAGAGAAAAUUGGUAGCUAGAUAAGCUUGAUUUGACAUUUUUACCUUUCGAACAGCUUGUUUGGCCCUUCGUGCAACAAACUUUUCUGAAGAGACGAAAGGGAUGGCAAUUACCUCAACAUUGCUGACUUUGUGUGCUUCAGACUCGUCCUGAGAAGGAGGCUUAUCAGCAAGUUUAGUAAAUAAGUGACCAAGUGAAUCAAGUUCUACCUCCGAUGAUUCCUUUGAAGAUGAACUAGGAGUCGGGUCAUCUUGAGCCAGACCAUUCCCUUGAGGGAACAUGGGCUUGAGGUGUAACAUUCCAAAAGCUAGUACCCUCCUGUAGAUUAAAGAAGUAUGGCAAAACGACGGGUCAAAGGUAAGUCUAGCAGAGAAACAAAGUGUAUAUAUAAAAGAAAAGAUCAAUACCUCAGGAGGAGGAUUCAACAAAUAAAAUGAGUUCAAGUCGGAGGUACUGCACCGUUCCUUCGAAUCAGAAAAGAACUUCUUUGUCUCUUUGACAAGAACAUCAUUGGUUAUAUUGUCAAAGGAAAAGCAUUCGGCGUCGGAUGGUGAGCCUGAGUAAUCACACAUUAGGCCGGGUCUCACACUAACAGGUUGAAUACACCAUUAAAGCCAGGAGCAGAUCAAAUCGAUCCCAGUCGUGCCAUGAGCGAUUAAGACCCGUAGCUUCGUGCAUAUGGGAGCAAUUUCAUCUCUCUCUUUUCCCGUUGGCCAGCCAAGUAGCUCCACGUUUUUAUUAACCUGCUAUAGACUAUAACCCGACAAGGGAUCUUCAUUUGCAGGGGCAGUAUUCUUACAAUUAAACCAAGUUUUGUACCACCCUUCUGGGAUGACUCGCUAGUUUUCACUCGGGAAAUAGGUUGUUCCUCCUUUUAUGAAAAGAAAUUCUGCCAAGUUCACAAGAUGGACCAUUUUUUUACCUCGGUCUGGCGGUUGGCAUUGAAGAAUUCCCUAAAUAUGGUUGUUGUUGGCUCAAUUUGAAGAUAGACUUCUCAUAAAACCUAAAACUGGCAUAUGUAUUGGGGCCUUAGGUUGGAACAAUGCAAAAGAUACCUAAAGAAUUUUGAGCCGGGAGGGCGGAAACCCCUUUGCAAAUGAUAAGUAAAGAUGUUGACUUCCCCCACCUAAGGCUGAGGAUAAGUCUCUUCUUUGGGAGCUCGCCAACUUAUCUCUUUUUUGGGUGGCAGAAGUCCUUGACUUACCAGAUUAUUCUAAGGUAAGCGUGGAUUCCUGAGAUCUGGCCCAGUUACAAGCCUUGGAGUUUUUGGGGGCCAUCUGUUACUCAUGAUAGAUAAAAAAGAAAAUUAGCAGAAGUAGGAAGAAGAUAUUGAGAAGCUUAUUGGUUGCUAAAGUCACCAAAAUUAUCAUCAAGGACAUCUUAAGCCGGCCAAUGUUGCAACUAGGUUUUAAACCGGUAAGACAAAGAGGGGAAUUGAGAGGGAAAGAUCCAUGAAAGACUUGGCAGAAAACUUCAUCAUAAACAAGUUAUAAACAAGUGCUCUCAUCAUGACACAUCCAAAUACGAACAUAAAAUAAGAAAAAUAUAUGUUCUAAAAGUGGCGGAGAGGCCAACGUGAGUAUUUUGGAACAAAGCUGCUCUAAAAGGGUUUUUGUCCAAGUUUGCGUACUAUGCAAGUCAGGAUAAGGCCGCAGCAGCAACAUAGUUGUGUCAGGUUAUGGAUCUAAGAAGCAUUUCUUCUAUGAUGACCCGAAGAACAUGAAAUGAACCCAUCGGGAAAUCUACAAACCCUCCACAAGGAAUAUACGUACCAGAUGUUACCGGAAGAGAAGAUUGGCGGCUUCGGCAAGUUCGACAAGGAAGAAAAGGUUUGUGGAUCGGUGAGCCCCUCGAAGAGUUUUCUUCACCGCAAUUAAGAUCUGACUAACGUGGUAAUGGAGGAAGACGUGAGGAAGAAGAAGCUGGAAGACGGGGGGUUGCCUUCCCAUUUAUAAGGAAAAGGAGGACCGAAACAGAACGAUCGCAAGAAAUGAGCGGCUAAGUUCGCGCCUAGAUUUUUGCGCCACACCAGAAUCAGUGUUUUUUUUCAAAAGAUUCGACAUGAUGACCUAAGACGACAGGAGAUGGCUUGAUGACGUCAUGUCAAUAAAUACUAAAAGGAUGUUAAGUCUCAAAGAAGAGACAAUGACCCGGCAUUGGUUGUCGGUUCAUUUGCUUGUCAAAAAUAGCUUCACAUGAACAAAGCUCAAGUCAACCUGGGUCCUAAUGUCGGGGAUAUAAACCCAUGAUUUAACCCGCCAUAUGGGGCCGGAUCAAGCCACAAGGACAACAUGAGAAGGUAAGCCGGAGGACGUAGUCGACAAACCACCAAGCGGACCAUCGCGAGGAGACGGCGACUCAAAGACAUACAAGGAAAGAGACGCCCGAAGUAUUCCUGAUUUGGGAAGAGAGAUAAGCUAGACUUGUAAUAGGUCACGGGUAUUAUUCGACCCGGACUCUGUUGUAAACUUGGGGCCUCUACAUAUAUAUAAAGGAGAGCCCUCAAGUUAGAAAGAUGAAGUAAGAAAUCCUUGAGAGCUAGGUUAGCAAUUCUGCACCCUUGUAAUCGAGAUUCCCAUCAAUACAAUCACAAAGCAUGACAUAGGCUUUUACCUCCAUCGAAGGGGCCAAACCUGGUAAAUCCGUCUCUUGUUUCCCAAUCAACCCCCUGGAGUCGCUACACCGCAACAAUGGCCUCACCACUAAGUCUGUUCACGAGGACAUCUGCCGUGACAAAAGCACGACAAUAUGCGUUUUGCUGAUGUGUCACACUAGUGAAUGAUGAAAGAGAGUAUGGUUGUAUCGUAGCUAAGAUAAAACAUUUGUACGUUACCGUAGGUAAAAAUGGUUAAUAGCCCAAUCACAUCUAUGCAUGAGCACCAAAUCAUUAAAUUUAGAGACAACUUUUAAGAAACAAUGCAUUGGGCUAGUCAUCUCUUAAGUUAUUAAUGCUCCCAUGAUAAUGUGCUAAGAAACUAUGCAUUGGCACAUGCCUAAUGGGAAUAUCAUAGCUACUCCCUCCGUCACAGUUUAGAAGGCACGGUUAAAUUUGCGUUUAUUUCCAUAAUAGACAAGGUUUAGGGCGCAUUGCAUUUACUCCUAGGAGCUAAUUAGUACUCCGUUGUACUACUUCUAUAUGCAUGCGUAGUGUGAAUGCUAUUUUCAGGCCAUCUCAUAGCCAAUCAAUUACCACCUAGGUUCCAGAGAAUUUCCAAGCACACCUUCUAAACGGUGACGGAGGGAGUAGUAGUAUCAUGCAUGCCAACUAGCAAUUUAUAUGAGGUGGCACAGAAUUAAAUGAAGAAAGAGAUGGUUGAAUAUCAUAUCAUGGGCCCUGCUUGGAUACUCUAACUCAGUCAGAGGUUAGAGUUAGAUUCUAACCCUAGACUAACCCUGAACUACCUCUAACCAAAAAGAUGUUUGGAUGGCAGGGUUACAUUGCCAACAAAUGCACCUUUUCCAAUCAUUUGGCUCCUUUAACCAUGAUUUGGUGUGGUAGAGUAAGAGAGAAAAGUAACUUUUUUUGGGCCCCACCUAACUCUAACCCAAAUAAGCACCUCUACAUCGGGUUUGUUUUUUGGGUGGGUUAGAUGCAUCUAACCAAAACUAACCCUCCUGUUUAGAUGAUUUGGGUUAGUUGAGUCCAAACUAACCCAAACUAACUCUAAUCCAUGGAUCCAAAGAGGGCCAUGAUACCGUAUCAUAAUAAAUGCUAUACUACUGUAUGUGUCAUGCAUGGCAAUAAAUUAAAUGAUCUACUAUACUAAUAAAUGAAGAAAAGGAUGGUUGACUAAUAUGCAUUAGGAAGAAAGUAUCAUACACUAGUAUUAUAUGCAUGAUACUAACUUAUGAUACUAUUCAUUAGAACCGAUAAAAGGAAUCGAAGGGAGUAACAUAACAUAGUUCAAGUUAUAUUUGCUUAUGUGGCAUGUAGUUAAUAAAGAGAGAGGUAUUUAGAGUAACAUAAUAUGUUAGUGUAACAUGACGCUAUCAAUAAAAAAUUAGUUUACAAGCUAAUAAGUGAAGACAUUUAUAACACUACAACAAUGUUACUUUACACUAUAAAAAUAGUAACAUAAAUUAGUGUUAUAUGCAUUCUCCAUUAUGACUAGCCUAAUCAACGCUGACACGUACACACUUGCAUGCAUGGGACAAUGAUAUGUGGUCUCUCUAGUGUGUACUAAUACACAGUAGCCGCCCGGCCCUGUCACAUCUAGAGAACUAUCCAACGCACCCUUUUCCUGUCCUUAGCAUGCAUGCAUGAGAUUCUUGCUGUGUCCACUGACGCGGUGAUUUUAUUAAGAAGCUUUCUGAAAUCUGCUUAGAUGUGAAAUCUGCUUAGAUGAUAUGUUGAGACAGAUGUUACAUAGGAAAACACUUUAGAUCAGAAGACUGAUUUGUUUAAUCCAUCAGAAUGGUUGCGAGCCCUUGAUUCAAUCGCCAUCCAACACCUGAGACGUUUCUUCCAUUCGCAAAUCCAGCCCACAGCUGCGUCACAUCUUUAUUUUGAAACCAAUUGAUCCCCAAAUCAAUCGAGGCGGAGGUCUCGCGCAUGGCUCCUUCCGGCCCCGUACAACGCGCUGCUCUUCAUCCUCCGUGACUGCAUGUGCACAGGCGGCAUCCAAUGUUACCACCCCUACCGCCUUCUGCUUCACCGCGACUCCAUGACCUGUAUCCUCGAGUCCAACAACUAAACCAACGGCUAAAAGAAAUCCUAAUCUGCAGGCGUUGUGCAGCAGAUCACAUUUGUGUCUGCCCAUCUCGGCAGCCACGAGCCGACGACUCAUUUCUUCAUCUCGACAACAAACACACACAACUCCAUCAGACAUGGCUGACAAGUCAUUACAUCCACAACUUUUAUCGAGGUUUUGAUUUCUUUGCCCUCCAGAAGUACUAACUACUUCUGAAAGUUAGUAAUAGAUCCCAAAUUAGGUUAGAUGAAAUUUGAUAGCUACGACAAGCAUGAUAUUUUUGCAUUUACAAUUUUUGGUGCUUCUAAUCUCUCUCAGUUACGUUGUGAUGGGAAAAAUUGUUCUUCCAGAGCAUCGUGCUUCCAAGAUCCUAGGUGCUUCAUAUGUACAUGCUUCUGCUUCUUCAUGGCUUCGUAUGUAUAUAUAAAUCGACUUCAAUUUUUCUAGGUGUAAAUAUUAUGUCUUCAUAGCAUCCAUGCUUCUUAGAUUUUUCUUCCAUUCUUUUCUAUGUACAUAUGUAACUACAACCAUGCUUCAUUAUUUAGUAUAUAUUUUUUUCCAUUGUGUGGAGAAUUAUUAUUUUUUAAACAAGUAUACUUCGUAUACUUUUCAUUUAUAUCGCAGGGGAUCCAUGUCAUCACAGUAAGUUCUGUUCUAGCAAUGGCCCCUUCAGGUUGUGCAAUUAGUCUUUUUAUUCUACUAGUAACACAUGCAUAUUCAACUGUUGAUGCCACAAUAUGGUGUGCUUGUAUAUUCAACUUUAAUUACAUAUCUCUCCCUGGGUGCUCUCUCCAUCGUCACUUAUAAUCUAUGCUUUUAUGCUUAACAAAGUUAGGAUGACUUGGUUAACAUGCCAUUUGUCAGUGGAUGUAAUUAUAUGCUUCCAUUCUACUUUCUUAUUGCUUCAAAACUGUUAUUAUACUAAUAUACUUCCGUUGUUGCAGAAGCAAAAUCUGUGGUCAUUGGAAACAAAAGCACGUGGUGAGCUUGACCCGUUUUCCUCUCCAUGACGCCGAAACAAAGAAUCGAGUGCUUGUGAACCAUUGUUUUAUGUAAAGCAUGUAAGAAAACGUACCACUUAGUAGACGGAAGCAAUGGCAUAGGAUAUAGAAAGCACAAACUUCUGAGCAUAUGAAGCAGUAUCAUAGGAUAUAGAAAGCANNNNNNNNNNNNNNNNNNNNNNNNNNNNNNNNNNNNNNNNNNNNNNNNNNNNNNNNNNNNNNNNNNNNNNNNNNNNNNNNNNNNNNNNNNNNNNNNNNNNNNNNNNNNNNNNNNNNNNNNNNNNNNNNNNNUAGGAUAUAGAAAGCAUAUGAAACAGUGUAAUAUUUUGUGACAUAAAGGACGCAAAUGUAUUGGUGCUCGAAGAAAAGUUAUAUGAAUGGAUGGAACACAUAAAUUUCUAUGACUUGAAUAAAUCAAAUAUGUAUGCUGUCCGAGACAUGGUAUAUGAAGAUAUGAAGCAUCAUAAUUCUGCCCGAGUAGUAGCAUUAGAAAGAGNNNNNNNNNNNNNNNNNNNNNNNNNNNNNNNNNNNNNNNNNNNNNNNNNNNNNNNNNNNNNNNNNNNNNNNNNNNNNNNNNNNNNNNNNNNNNNNNNNNNNNNNNNNNNNNNNNNNNNNNNNNNNNNNNNNNNNNNNNNNNNNNNNNNCAGUAACAAACUUCUCUAGGAUCAAAACACAUUUCACUUCUAAUGGAAGAAAAUUCAAAAAUUGAGCAAAAUACUUUUACUGUGAUGUGAAUAAAAUAAAGUGAUGUUGAGGUAAAUUUAGUCUUGAAGAAAAUUAGUAUAGUUAGAACUGUAAGUUUCCGCCGAUGGAAGCAGAUAUUAUCACGCACAUUGGGAUAUAUUACAUGGAGACAAAAUUUCAUUCGCGCUAGAAGGAAAAUCUAAUCGUAUUAAAAGAAAAAAAUUAAUUGAAUAUAUUUUCCUCAAAAUAAGAGAAAUGCGAGUGGGGUAUAAUUUGAUGUUCACGUGAUUUUGGGAUGCAAUCAAUUAUGGGAAGAAAUUCAAAUCCGGCGAGGUUAUGUGGAAGCUAGCAACCAGGAAGGCACACGUUCUUCUUGUUAUAUAAAACAGUUAAUCACACGUAUUAACUAGCGCCCGUCAUAUUUGUAGUAGUUGGUGAAUCACACACGUUAAAUUAAACCAAUCCAACGGCUCACUGCUUGUCUGAUACAAAGCAUAGUGUUUUCCAUGUUACAUAUGUCGAGGGAGAAUAUGUUGAAUGGUCCAUCUUUUUCCCGGGAAGAAGAGAAAAAUGGAGAGUAGUGUAGUUAAAGAAAAGUGAAUGUCGGAUCAGAAAACACGGAACCACAGGAGCAUGCAUGUUGAUGCAUGGUCCCUUUUGGGCCAAUCCUUUUCUCCAGGGCCGAUAGAAGGACGACAAUUUUGCUUGAUAGUUGCUGCAUGGAUGAGGACGAUCAGUUUGCAGUUGUUCUUAGAACGAAAGGUUAAAGGUGGGAAAAAGUAUGGGCGAAGUUCAUAAAAGGGAAAUUGUUUAUGGUACCACACUCACUUGAAAAAAAUACAAAGAGAUAUAUUUUAUGCUCCCUUCGUCCGAAAAUAAGUAUCACUGUUUUAGUAUUAAAUAUAUAUUAACUUAAUAUUAAAUUUACAACAUUUAUUUUGGGACUAAGGGAGUAUAUGUUAGUGGACAUGCGUUCCAUGAGGAUGACAAAGUAACAUGAUUUCACCGAACAAUGUUCAGUGACUAUGAUUUACUCGUGUCUAGAUUCACAUGCAAUGUUUGCCACAUGCCAUGGUGAGUUAACAAAGCGACAUAAAUAACUCAGUUUACGACAAGGAUAAUCAACGUUUCAUGAGGCUAGGGGCGGACGAAGCCCUAGCCGCCGUCCCAUCUACUUUCCCUCUGCGAAGAAGAUGACAAAGAAGAUGUAUGCUCGAGUGAUGGCCUUUCUUAGGCGAUGCUUAAUGGCGACGUUGGUCAUCCGGCUCCACGAUCUUCAACAGCGACCCGACCUGGCUAGGUAACCGGAGAAUAGAAAGUUGGUGAAUGGUCCUGGACGAUGGCGAGGUUAGACAUUGGUUUCAUACCUAUCAUGCAACGACAGUGGUGAUAAUUUUUUAGUUUUUCUUAUGGUGUCCUCAAGUUUGGUUUGGGGCGGCAAGGCGGCGGUGUUGUCCCAAUGUAGAAAUAUUGUUCUCUGGGCUCUUUCUCCAUUCUCUGGUUGUGCUUAUUGUCAGCAAAGGACGUGUGGAGUUGUGUCUCCGGUGGGUCUUUCGAAAUCCGCCCCGUUCUGAUUUUUGGUGGAUUCUUCUAUAUUCAGGUAACUUUUGUUGUCUUCAUAUAUCAAAGCCACUGGCAUCUUCUGGUCUGCAUAUUCGUUACUUCUAUAAAUCAAGUGUUUCAAAGAGUUUUCUCCACCGUAGCGGAGGCCAGGUAGCAUCGAGCUAUGCUCAUGACGUGCCACCAGUGAAUGUAGGAGGAAGAAAACUUGGACACCCUCAAAGAUUUGAAUGUAAUGUUGUUUCGGGUAUAUGUGUCUAUAAGAACCUGUAAUGCUUAAUACUUCCUCUGUAAACUAAUAUAAGAGUGAUUAGAUCACUACUUUAGUUAUCUAAAUGCUUUUAUAUUAAUUUAGGGAGUGAGUACAUGGGUUAGGGAUUUUUGCAAAAAAAGAAAAAAGAAAAAAAUUAGGCAAAAAGAAACUAGCAAGCUACUAGGCUUGAUAGAUGGCAGAGAGAGAAAGAGAAGAAAAAAAAGUGGUCAACUGCCCCACCACAGCUGUGAGGCCUAUGAGCAUGCACCGGUGAAGAUUGCCUUAUCGUGAUCCAUGAGCCGUGCAUGACCUACACCUUUAUUUCCCGGGCGGGGGGGACUUGAGCUACCACUGCACAGCUAGCAAAGUCCCGCGCAACUGUGUGCAUGCAGCCAGCGGCAAAGGUAGGGGAUCAGAUGGACGAGAGGAAGGCUCCCGGGUCAGGCAGGGCACUCUCCCACAAUGCGCACCUACCUGAGAGCGACCGCCCGGCCUCUUCCCUCCCGCCCCCUGCUCCUCCUCUCUCCCUCUCCUUAUACCUCCGCCUCUCCCUCUCCUCGCUGCCACCAUCGUGUCUCCAUCCUUGUCCAGCCGUUUGUUUCCCGUAUAUCCUGGCGGCAUCUUACUGCCGACUGCCGAUCGGCCAUGGCGAAGCAGUCAUGCUUCCACAAGAAGAGGAUGAGGAGAGGGCUCUGGUCCCCUGAGGAGGACGAGAAGCUCAUGAACCACAUUGCCAUGUAUGGCCACGGCUGCUGGAGCUCCGUUCCGAAGCUUGCAGGUAUGAGAUGACCGACCGUUUGCUUAUAUGAGCGUGUGCAGCUGUGCUGCAUUGCGCGCAAGAAUUAGCAGUUUCGGAAAUGAAGAACAAUUAAUUGCGUCGAGUAUCUUAAUUGGUAGCAACUUGUUGAAUUAAUUAGGACUUGAGAGGUGCGGCAAGAGCUGCAGGCUGAGGUGGAUAAACUACCUGAGGCCAGACCUCAAGCGGGGCACGUUCUCGCAGGAGGAGGAGGACCUCAUCAUACGCCUCCAUUCCAUGCUAGGAAACAAGUACGUCACCUGGCCUGUCUUCCAACAAUCCAUCGAAUUACAAAUGACAUCGAACUGCAUUUCUAUUUCAGGUGGUCACAGAUUGCGGCCCAGCUGCCCGGCCGGACGGACAACGAAGUCAAGAACUUCUGGAAUUCGUACAUCAAGAAGAAGCUGAGGGAGCGCGGCAUCGACCCCGCCACCCACAAGCCACUGGCCGAGGCCACCACGUCGCCCACCGCGUGCCGGGCGGUCUUCGGCGAUGCCGAGGUCGUCCCAACGGCGACCGCGCUGGCCCAGGAUCAGGUGGAGAAAAUGCUGGAUAGCCUGAAGAUGCCGAUGGACUGGCCCGUCGGCAGUGUCGCCGGCAACGGGGUGCCCGAAUCCUACCAGGUACCGAGCCUUCAGGAAGGCUGCGCCUUCCACAUGGGCGCGCACUGCGGCGCCUUCCCGUCCGCGUCGAGCUCCAGCACGUUGACCACAACCGACGUUGGCGCCACCACCCUGCCAUGGCUGGAGCUCGGGCCGACCGACACCAUCUCCGGCCACGUCGACCAAUACGCCGGCGCUCUAGGCGAGCUCAGGUGGUCUGACUACUUCGACGGCGCCCUACAGGGGCAGUGCGUCUACGACGGCGGCAUGGUCGACGACGACGCGGUGCAGUUCGACGACAUCCAUGGGUUAAGCAACUGGUGCUAAUAGUACGUCAUAUAAAUCAACUAAUCCAAUCAAAGAGCCAGCGAAGUGAAAGCUACAACACUACUUCAUCACUGCAUGAAAGAUUAUAAGUUGAUAUGUACAGGCAAGACAAGGAUCGAUGGAUGGAUACUGGCUUAGCCUGAGGCUGAGAACCAAGAUACUUCUAUACUUUUACAUUUUACUACACAUUGCAGUACUAGCUGCUGCCGCUGCUACUAGUGAAUAGUCAUAUAUACUUGUUCGUGUUGAGCAUAAUUCAUCGUGUGGUGAUGAUAUCAAAAGUGUUUCGCCACACAUGUAAGGGACAGGAAAUGGUGUUGUACAUAGGACAACAGAGAUGCCAUAUAUACGGUUAAAUAAUAAUGAAGAGUGGAUAAAUAAUACUCCUACUCCGACUAAUCGGACUGAUACAGUAUUGCCUCGGAGGCUCGGAAUAUGCCUGGCUUUAUUUUGGGUCCCUUAUUAUUCUCUUUAAAAACAAGGAGGGUCCUCACCACGUCGUUUCUUGGUUUGUCCAUUACUUCAAGGUCUGGUCCCUUUGUUGAAACAGUGGUAUGGACGACUGUUUUAUCUAGUUCUCCAUUUCUCCUACUCGCUUCGUUCGGAAAUACUUGUCUUAAAAAUAAAUAUAAUUAGACUUAUUUUAGUUAUAAAUACAUCUAUUUUAUAUAUUUUUAGGACAAGUAUUUCCGGACGGAGGGAGUAUUUGUUACGCGUGACUGUAAUUAGUCAAAGAAACCCUCAAAGUAACUAGCCGCAAAUCCUAUUUGACAGCGUUAACGCAAACACCCGUCUGACCAUGUUUGUUGCUAACGGGCGCGCGUAGGGAUGGCAAUGGAUACCCAUUACCUACGUACCCUGCGGGUAAAAACCCUAUUAGGGUAAGGGUAUGGAACAAAAAUUUACCCAUGGGUAUAUAAAUAGAAAAAUCUGACACCCAUGGGGUAGAGCGGGUAUGGGUAUGGGAUCAUAUAACACAUACCCAUAUACUCGUGUACCCAUAUAAAAUCUAUGCAAACUCAAAAUUAUCUCUACAAUCUACACAAUGUCAAUAAUUUAUGAAUUGAAAGUGUAUGCCUAUGUGUUGUUGUUUAUGACUAUAUGAUGUUAUUUUAAAAGUAUGUGUUGUAGUUAUAAUCUAUCUUUGUAAACUAUAUCAUACAAUGCAGUUUAUAACUAUAAGUUUUUUAAGCUGAUGUUUUACAAAUAUGGGUAAUUUUACCCGCGGGUAUCCGUCUACCCUGUCGGGUAACGGUAUGGGGGAAACUCGUACCCGUUGACGGGUAUGGGUAAGGGUGAUGGGUAAUAUCAGACGGGGAGGGUAAGGGUAUGAGGAGGCUUCACCCGUACCCAUACCCUGCGGGUGCCAUCCCUAGGCGCGCGAGCCAUCAACUUAUCCCGCUUGCAGAAGAUCCAGCCGGUUUGUUGUCAAGCUUCUGGUCGCCUUUUACUUCUUCUUCUCGUUUUUUUUAAUUCGUGAAUAUUUUAAUAUCCAUGAAUUUUUUUCUCAAUUUCUUUUUCAAAUUGGGGAACAUUUUCCAAAUUUGUGAACUUUUUUUAAGUACAUGGACUUUUUCCAACACGUGAUAUUUUUCAAAUUCAUCAAAAAAGAAAAAUUCGUCAAAAAUAAAUACAGGAUCAUUUUUCGAAAUUCAUGAAUAAUUCAGGAACUUAAUAAAAAUUCAAGAUUCUUUUUGAAAAAUAAUGUUUUUCCAAAUUUAUGACUUAAAAAUGAAUAUUUUUAAAAAGUCAUGAGUUUUUUUAGUUCAUGAAGUAUUUUCAAAUUGAGAACAUUUUUUGAUUUCACCUUUUUCAGAUUUUAGAAAACCAUGUUUUUGCUAAUAAUCCAAUUUUUUCGUCAACUAGGAAAGCAACAACAACAACUAGUGUACGAGCGUGACUUUUCUUAAAAAGCAUGCGUGAGUGUGGGAGCGACCCUUGCGAUGCAUUGUGAGCGAGCGGGCUAAUUUUAGGUCGCGGCCCACUACGCCGGCAUGCGAGCGGCGGUGCGCUAACAUGGGUUGAGCCGCUAAAAAGAGGUCUCAACUAAUAGGGGAACCCCUAGGACGGCAUGCUGACUGCCAUUACUCGAAUUUUCCUAUACGUCGGCUAUCACCCCCUUCAUUGAGCGCUAACUCACGGGCACUCGGUAAAGUAAGAAACGCCGGGAACCCUCGACAGCAGGUGCAUCCCGACAAACACAGGUUGUUGCCGAAAGUACGCUUGAGCAAAACGACAAACUUUCGCCACGUGGCACAUCCGGCGACGGGUAACGUGAUGGUCACGGUUUAGCUUCUUUAUCGAGAGGGCCACUUGGAAAAAAAUUGACAUAGAUUUUGUCAUACCUUAUCUAUCGACAAACAUAAAUACAUGCUUAAAUUGUCCGAUAAUACAAUUACACUAAGCUUCGGUGUUCGAUAUUAAGAAUAUGAUCCAACCGUACCUUUACCGAGCAUGGCCCUCGGAGACGUAACAGUUGCCGAGUGUAGCUCUCGGUAGAGAUAAGGCUCACAUUACUUUAGUCCAACCUAGACAAGCAAGAUGACAUGUUUGACAUGUUUAAAUAGUGGGACAGUCCACAUGUAGUAAGCUUCUCUAUUCAUUAGACUCCUGUUAAGAAGAUGGAUUGUGACUUUGAAUCUUCACUUGUUUCGGACACAGAAGAUUCAAAAUAAUAGGCCAUCUUCCUAAUGAUGCAUGCUGGCGCUUUUUAUUUUUAUUAAUUCAACAAUUAUUAUUUUGAUUCAUUUAUUGUACUUGGAUAGAGAAUGCGGCCUGUUUGUGAGGGAGAGAGAACGUGAGUGGUUUGUGAGGGAAGUGCGGGUCUUGUUGCUCCGUUGGUCUCGCAACUUCUGGUACUCUCAAAGAAGGCUAUCGCAUGACACAUAACAGACCCCCCACCCCCCGCGCGCAUUUUUCGGAAUCGGAUGCAAUAUUGGAGACACUGAUUGCUUUGCUAGGGUUUCAGCGUCGCAAAUUGCAGAUCUGCAAGAUGGGGCAUGAAAUCAUGCCGGGAAGCAACAUGGCAAAUCCUUUCUGAUGUCCUUGUGACAUGUGUAGGCCAUAUGCAGAUGAGGGGGGCAUGCCCUGCCAGUGGGUGGCAAAAGUACCUCGAUGGCAUGCCUCAUGCAACCGUUCAAAUCCUAAAAAAAUCAUACAUUCCAUAUUUUCUUGAGAACUGGCAUGGUGGCAUCACAAGGCCCCUAUAGGGUGUUGUAAAAGUUUGGGCGUUUUUAGAAUAAGUCUCCCCUGAGACCGCUUGUAAUAAACCGCACCAUCUCCGCGCUAGUCUUUCCAUGUCGAGAGGGAAAGUUACCAGUUUGUGAGGAAAGUAAGGGUCAUGUUGUUCCGUUGGCGUUGAAACUUCUCGUGCUCUCAAAGGAGGCCAUCGCAUGACAAGUGUCAUGGACCAGCAUUUUUCGGAACCGCAUGCAAUAUUUGAGACAUUUACUGCUAUGUUAGGGUUUCAGCGUCCGAAAUUGCAAAUCUGCAAGACAUCGCAUGAAAUCAUGCCUAGAAGCGGUGUCGCAAAUCCUUUGUGAUGUCCUUGUGACAUGUGUAGGCCUUGUGCAGAUGAGGGAGGGGCAUGCCCUGCCACCGGGUGGCGAAAGUACCUCGAUGGCAUGCCUGAUGCAACCGUUCAAAUCCUUAGAAAAUCAUACAAUGCCUCGCAUCACACAACCCCUGUAGUGUGUGGUAAAAGUUUGGGUGCGUUUCGAAUAAGUCUCCCCUAAGGUCGCUUGUAAACCGCACCAUCUUCGAGCUAGUUUCUGCAUAUCGGGAGAGAACAUGACCAGUUUGUGAGGGAAGUGUGAGUCAUGUUGCUCCAUUGGCGUCGAAACUUCUCGUGCUCUCAAAGGAGGCCAUCGCAUGACACGCGUCAGGCUCCCACAUUAUUCGGAACCGCAUGCAAUAUUUGAGACAUUUAUUCCUCUGCUAGAGUUUUAACGUUGGAAAUUGCGGAUCUACAAGGAGGCGCAUGAAAUCAUGACCGAAAGCGGCGUGGAAAAUCCUUUGGCAUGUCCUUGUGAUAUGGGUGGAGGGUGUCAUGAACUUUUUCAAAGAGUAGCUCUCGGUAUGUGAGGCCUUUUCCGAGCAUCCCUCUGGGUAAAAGGUAAACCCUAGAUCUAGUGUUUGACCUUUACCGAGAGCUACCCUCGACAUGAGGUCAACCCAAGAUCUUGGGUUUGACCUUUACCGAGCGGCACCCUCGUCAAAUGGUGAACCUAGAUCUAGGGUUUGACAUUUACUGAGAGCGGCACCGACUGGAUCUCGGGAAAGGUCUACAUGACACUUAAGUUUCUUCCCCGUCGGGCUUUUCUCAUUUUUCUCUCCAUCCUCUACCGUCCAACCUCCCUGUCACCGAGCCCCCACCCUCGCUCUGGUGCCCCUCCCUGCCGGCGUACCCUCCCCGUCGGUGCUCUCCCCUAUCCUGCUGACACCCUCCUCCAUGGAUCAAUGUUAUAUGUUUGUUAUAUGGAUGAAUGUUAUAUAUUUGUUAUAUGGAUGAAUGAUGUAUGGAUGUAUGCUUGGACGAAUGAUUUAUGUUUGCUUGGAUGAAUGAUAUAUGUUUUCUUGGACGAAUGAUAUAUGGAUGUAUGUUAGCUAGAUGGGUGAUAAAGAUGGAUGCUAUAUGGGUGCUAUGGAUGAAUGUAUUAUUUUUUGUAGUUGAUUUUGGUAAUAUAGGAGGAGCAAAGGAAGAGUGAUCAUCAUCAAUAGUCAAUAAAAUUUAUUCUUGUAAGAAGGAAAUCUAAUUUUGUCGAUUGCAGUUGAUUUGGGCGAGUUCGUCUUGUGCUAUACAUUUGUCAUGCACGAUGGACUUGCCCAACUUGACCAUCACCAAAAGUCGAAAUACCCGUGACAGAGCGUCCACCAUAUAUACAACCCCCAGAGAGUGUGUCCACCAUAUAUACUUGAGAGAGUGUCGAUGAGAGUUGUUCUUGGACGAAGAAAAUUGACUUUUGCCGAUGGCGGUCAAUCUACACAAGUUUGUCGUGUGAUAUACACUUGACACACACGAUGGACUUGCCCAUCUUGACCAUCACCGAAAGUCGAAAUACUAUGACGCCGUGUCCACCGAAAAUCGACUUUUGCUUACAAGUAAUCUUUGAUGCUUGAUUCCUAUGUUAUUUUUGAUUGUGCGAUGGAAGGUGUUAACACCGGCAGUCGAUUUCGCGGCUAUGAAUCAUUAAUGCUUACGCUGGCUACGUUUUGCUUGUGCUCUACUAAACUUUUGUUGCUUCUCAUGUUUUGCUUGUUCAAAUCAUAUUCUUCUAUUGGAAGAUGAGGUGGUAAGGUGUGUGUAGAGGGAGUUCUCCUGGAGCGUACUAUUCGUGGAAGGAAUGUCGUGGACAGGUGAAUGGUUACAACAAUACCUCCUAUAAAGGGUUUAAUUCCAACUAGGGAGCAGACAGAGUAUCAUUACUCCUAGUUCCUACUCAGAGUGAGGUGUCCUAAAAUGUACAAUUCGUUUGAGUAUCAUUGCUCCCAACUCCAGCGCAGAGCGAAGCGUGAUGAUGGAGUAGGCAAGGGUGUAUGUCAGACCUGGUUUGGUAUCAUGAAGAACCUGAAAAACUUCAUCCAGUUCGUCGUUAUUUUGGUGUUGAUGAUAUCUUGUGCACAGUUAGUAUACAUUGGGGAAAAUGAUACUUUUUUCUAUAGUUGUCUCACUUUGUUAUUCUUUUUCUAUAACUGAUAAAAUACCUUCCGUGAUUAUUUUAUAGAUGCUUUAACAAAAUGUGAACGAUGAAGCUCAUGGAUGCGAACUUGAUGGACUUACAUGCUAUGUUUACACUGGUGGAGCCAUGGAGCUUAUAUUACCUAUUGCAUUUGUGAACUUGCCUUUGGCACCGAUUUUGUGCACAGUUAGUAUACAUUGGGGCAAACGUUACUUUUUCUAUUGUUGUCUCACUUUGUUAUUCUUUUUCUAUAACUGAUAAAANAGAGAGAGAGAGAGACUCUAUUAGGCACCCAGGGUGAAGAAUAACUUAUUACCCACCCUAGCUAUUUCAGCGAGCCACAUUUAUUCUCACAUGCAGAACGUAACUUUUUAGCAUGCAUGAUGUAAAAUUACCUUACUUCUAAUAUAAAAUUACUGAAAUAACUUUUAGUGUUAUAUUAUCGUACCAUAUUUUUCCACACAUGUAGAAUGUAACUUUACAUCAUGCAUGUUGUAAAAUUACCUCACAUCUUCCCAUACGGUGAAAGUGAAACUUCCUUUCUUAAGAGUGUAAUAUUACCUCAAGUCUAAUUUUUUUCUUACGUUUUCACGUCAUGGUUGUAGAAUUGGACAGGGGUGAGGAAUAAGAAUUCCUCAGCCAUGGUGACGAAUAGCGCGACCCUAUAUAUAUAUAUAUAAUUGUAUUAUUGUUCAUACUAUAACUGUUAUUAUUAUAUUUCCUUGUUCAUGAUAAUUGUCUAUUGUUCAUACUAUAAUUGUAUUAACCGAAAACCGUAAUACAUCGGUGAAUACAUAGACCACACCAUGUCCCUAGUGAGCCUCUAGUUGACUAGAUCGUUGAUCAAUAGAUGGUCAUGGUAUCCUGACCAUGGACAUUGGAUGUCGUUGAUAAUGGGAUCACAUCAUUGUGUGAUGGACAAGACCCAGUCCUAAGCAUAGCACAAGAUAGUGUAGUUCGUCUGCUAGAGCUUUUAUAAUGUCAAGUAUCAUUUCCUUAGACCAUGAGAUUGUGCAACUCCUGGAUACCGUAGGAAUGCUUUGGGUAUAUCAAACGUUGCAACGUAACUGAGUGACUAUAAAGGUGCACUACAGGUAUCUGUGAAAGUGUCUGUUGGGUUGGCACGAAUCGAGACUAAGAUUUGUCACUUCGUAUGACGGAGAGGUAUCUCUGGGCCCACUCGGUAAUACAUCAUCAUAAUGAGCUUAAUGUGACUAAGGAGUUAGUCACAAGAUCAUGUGUUAUGGAACGAGUAAAGAGACUUGCCGGUAACGAGAUUAAACAAGGUAUAGGGAUACCGACGAUCGAAUCUCGGGCAAGUAACAUACUGAUGGACAAAGGGAGUUGUAUACGGGAUUAAUUGAAUCCCCAACAUCGUGGUUCAUCCGAUGAUAUCAUCGUGGAACAUGUGGGAGCCAAUAUGGGUAUCCAGAUCCCGCUAUUAGUUAUUGGAUAGAGAGGUGUCUCGGUCAUGUGUGCAUGGUUCCCGAACCCGUAGGGUCUACACACUUAAAGUUAGGUGACGCUAGAGUUGUAAUGGGAAUUGUAUGUGGUUACCAAAAGUUGUUCAGAGUCCCAGAUGGGAUCCCGGAUGCAACGAGGAGUUUCGGAAUAGUCCGGAGAUGAAGAUUUAUAUAUGGGAAGUCCAGUUUCAGUCACCGAAAGUUUUUUGGGGUUUAUCGGUAUUGUACCGGGACCACCGAAAGGGUUCCGGGGGUCCACCGGGAGGGGCCACCUUCCCCGGAGGACCGCAUGGGAGGAAUAUGGGUGGGAACCAGCCCCCUAGUGGGAUGGUGCGCCCCCCAAGGGCCCAAGGGGCCUAGGGUUGGGAACCCUAGGUCGUGGGGGCGCCUCCCACCAACUUGGGAGGCAAGGCUCCCCCCUGGCCACUGCCGCCCCCUCUACAUGCAUCUAGGGGGCCGACCCCCUCUCCUCUUCAACCUAUAAAUAGAUGGGGGUGAGAGGGCAGCGGCACCCCUAAUCCCCUUGCCCCUGGCGCAACCCUCCCCCUCCUACACCUCCUCCUCCGUAGUGCUUAGCGAAGCUCUGCCGGAGAACCACGAGCUCCACCACCACCACGCCAUCAUGCUAUCGGAUCUCUCCCUCGACUUCUCCUCCCCCUUGCUGGAUCAAGAAGGAGGAGACGUCCCCGAGAUGUACGUGUGUUGAACGCGUUAGCACCGUUCGUUCGGCGCUUGGAUCGGAGCUUCUGUGAUUUGAAUCGCUGCGAGUACGACUCCAUCAACCGCGUUCUUUGCAACGCUUCGGCUUAGCGAUCUUCAAGGGUAUGAAGACGCACUCCCUCUCUCUCGUUGCUAGCAUCUCCUAGAUUGAUCUUGGUGACAUGUAGGAAUUUUUUUGAAUUAUUACUACGUUCCCCAGCAGUGGCAUCAAGAGUCAGGUUUAUGCGUAGAUUAUAUGCACGGGUAGAACACAAGUAGUUGUGGGCGAUGAUUUGGUCAAUUUGCUUGCCGUUACUAGUCUUAUCUUGAUUUGGCGGCAUUGUGGGAUGCAGCGGCCCUGGCCGACUUUACACGUACGCUUAGGUGAGACUAGUUCCACCGCCUGACAUGCACUUGUUGAAUAAGGUGGCUAGCGUGUGUUUGUCUCUCCCACUUUAGUCGGAUCGGAUUCGAUGAAGAGGGUCCUUAUGAAGGGUAAAUAUAAAUUGUCAUAUCAUCGUUGUGGCUUUUACGUAGGUGAGAAAUGUUCUUGCUAGAAACCCAUAGCAGCCACGUAAAACUUGCAACAACAAUUAGAGGACAUCUAACUUGUUUUGUAGGGUAUGCUAUGUGAUGUGAUAUGGCCAAAAGGAUGUGAUGAAAUAUAUGUGAUGUAUGAGAUUUAUCAUGUUCUUGUAAUAGGAAUCACGACUUGCAUGUCGAUGAGUAUGACAACCGGUAAGAUCCAUAGGAGUUGUCUUAAUUUAUUGUAUCACCUGCGUGUCAAUCAAAAACGCCAUAUAAUUACUUUACUUUAUUGCUAAAUGUUAGCCAUAGUAGUAGAAGUAAUAGUUGGCGAGGCAACUUCAUGAAGACAUGAUGAUGGAGAUCAUGAUGAUGGAGAUAAUGCUGUUGUGCCGGUGAUGAUGGUGAUCAUGCUCGCUCCGAAGAUGGAGAUAAAAGGCACAAGAUGAUAUCGGGCAUAUCAUGUCACUAUGAUUUGCAUGUGAUGUUUAUCAUGUUUUUACAUAUUAUUUGCUUAUAACGACGGUAGCAUAAAUGAGAUGACCCCUCACUAAAAUUUCAAGAAAUGUGUUCCCCCUAAGUGUGCACCGUUGUGAAGGAUCGUUGUUUCGAAGCACCACAUGAUGAUCGAGUGUGAUAGAUUCUAACGUGCGCAUACAACGGGUGUAAGCCAAAUUUACACACAUGAAACACUUAGGUUGACUUGACGAGCCUAGCAUGUACAGACAUGGCCUCAGAACACAAGUGACCAAAAGAUCAAACAUGAGUCGUAUAUUAGAUGCAAUCAACAUGGAGAUGUUCACCAUUGAUGACUAGUCCGUCUCACGUGAUGAUCGGACACGUCCAAGUCGAUAUGGAUCAUGUAUUACUUAGAUGACUAGAGGAAUGCCUAUCUGAGUGGGAGUUCAUUAAAUAAUUUGAUUAAAUGAACUUAAUUAUCAUGAACUUAGUCUAAAAUUGUAUCUAUAAUCUAUCUUGUAGAUCCAAUGUCCCACGCUAAUGUUGCCCUCAACUUUAACGCGUUCCUAGAGAAAACCAAGCUCAAAGACGAUGGAAGAAACUAUACGGACCGGGUCCGUAACUUGAGGCUCAUCCUCAUAGCUUCCAAGAAAACAUAUGUACUUGAUGCACCGCUAGGUGACGCAGCCAUUUUCCCAGCAACUCAAGAUGUUAUGAACGCCUGGUAGUCGCGUAGUGAUGAUUACACCUUUGUUCAGUGUGGCAUGCUUUACAACUUAGAACCAGGGCUCCAAAAGCGUUUUGAGGAACACAGAGCAUAUGAGAUGGUCCAAGAGUUGAGAAUGGUUUUCCAAGCUCAGUCUCCAACAAGUUCUUAAGUUGUAAGAUGGAGGAAAAUAGUUCUGUCAGCGAGCACAUACUCAAAAUGUCUGGGUUGCACAACCACUUGUCUCAGUUGGGAGUUAAUCUUCCGGAUGACUUGGCUAUUGACAGAUUCCUCCAGUCGCUUCCACCAAGCUACAAGAGCUUUGUGAUGAACUUCAAUAUGCAAGGGAUGGAGAAGUCCAUUCCUGAGUUAUAUUCAAUGCUGAAAUCAGCGGAGGUGGAGAUCAAUAAGGAACAUCAAGUGUUGAUGAUGAAUAAGACCACCAGUUUCAAGAGAGGCGAGGGUAAGAAGAACUUCAAGAAGGACGGUAAAGCAGUUGUCGUGCCCGGUAAAUCAGUUGCUGAUAAGAAUCCCAAGAAUGGACCCAAGCCUAAGACUGAGUGCUAUUAUUGCAAGGGAACAUGUCACUGGGAGCGGAAUUACCCAAGUACUUAGCGGAUAAGAAGGCCGGUAACGUCAACAUUUUUUUGAUGUGUACCUUACCAGUGCUUGUAGUAGCUCCUGGGUAUUUGAUACCGGUGCGGUUGCUCACAUUUGUAACUCAAAAUAGGACCAGCGAAAUAAGCGGAGACUAGCGAAGGAUGAGGUGAUGAUGCGCGUAGAGAAUGGUUCCAAGGUCGAUGUGAUCGCCGUCUGCACGCUACCUCUACAUCUACCUUCAGGAUUAGUUCUAAACCUCAAUAAUUGUUAUUUAGUACCAGCUUUGAGCAUGAAUAUUGUAUCUGGAUCUCGUUUGGUGCGAGAUAGCUACUCAUUUAAAUCCGAGAAUAAUGGUUGUUCUAUUUAUAUGAGAUAUGCUUUAUGGUCAUGCCUCGUUGGUCAAUGGAUUAUUUUAUUGAAUCUCGAACGUGAUGUUGCACAUAUUCUUACUGUGAGUACCAAACGAUGUAAGAUUGAUAAUGAUAGUCCCACAUACUUGUGGCACUUCUGCCUUGGUCAUAUCGGUGUCAAACGCAUGAAGAAACUCCAUGCAUAUGGACUUUUGGGGUCUCUUGAUUAUGAUUCAUUUGACACGUGCGAACCAUGCCUCAUGGGAAAUAUGACUAAGACUCUGUUCUCCAGCACAAUGGAGCGAGCAACCACUUGUUGGAAAUAAUACAUACCGAUGUAUGCGGUCCAAUGAGCGUUGAGGCUUGCGGUGGCUAUCGUUAUGUUCUCACCCUCACUAAUGACUUAAGCAGAUAUGGGUAUGUCUACUUAAUGAAACACAAGUAUGAGACCUUUGAAAAGUUCAAGGAAUUUCAAAGUGAGGUAGAGAAUCAACGUGACAGGAAAAUAAAGUUCUUAUGAUCUAAUCGUGGAGGAGAAUAUUUGAGUCACGAGUUUGGCACGCACUUAAGGAAAUGUAUAAUUGUUUCACAACUCAUGCCGCCUGGCACACCUCAGCAUAAUGGUGUGUCCGAACAUCGUAAUCACACUCUAUUGGAUAUGGUGCGAUCUAUGAUGUCUCUUACGGAUUUACCACUAUCAUUUUAGAGACUGCCGCAUUCACUUUAAAUAGGGCACCAUCUAAAUCCGUUGAGAUGACACCGUAUGAAUUGUGGUUUGAGAAGAAACCUAAGUUGUCGUUUCUGAAAGUUUGGGGAUGCGAUGCUUAUGUCAAGAAACUUCAACCUGAAAAGCUCGAACCCAAAUCGGAAAAGUGUGUCUUGAUAGGAUACCCUAAGGAAACUAUUGGGUAUACCUUCUAUCUCAGAUCCGAAGGCAAGAUCUUUGUUGCCAAGAAUGGAUCCUUUCUAGAGAAAUAGUUUCUCUCGAAAGAAGUAAGUGGGAGGAAAGUAGAAAUUGAUGAGGUAACUGUACCCCCUCUCGAACUAGAGAGUAGCGCAGCGCAGGAAAAUGUUUCUGUGGUGCCUGCACCGACUAGAGAGGAAGUUAAUGCUGAUGAUCAUGAAACUUUGGAUCAAGUUGCUACUGAACUUCGUAGGUCCACGAGGACAUGUUUCGCACCAGAGUGGUAAGGCAACCCUGUACUAGAAAUCAUGUUGUUGGACAACGGUGAACUUUUAAACUAUGAAGAAGCCAUGGCGGUCCCGGAUUCCAACAAAUGGCUUGAAGCCAUGAACUCCGAGAUAGGGUCCACGUAUGAGGACAAAGUAUGGACUUCAAUGGACUUUCCCGAUAAUCGACAAGCCAUAGAAAAUAAAUGGAUCUUUAAGAAGAACACUGACGCGGAUGGUAAUGUGACCAUCUAUAAGCCUCGGCUUGUCGCUAAUGGUUAUCGACAAGUUCAAGGAGUUGACUACGAUGAGGCUUUCUCACCCGUAGCGAUGUUGAAGUCCGUACGAAUCAUGUUAGCAGUUGCCGCAUUUUAUGAUUAUGAGAUCUGGAAAAUGGACGUUGCUACUGCAACAAAAGACUUUCCAACGGCACCAGAAACAAGCGUGCUGACGGGAGACUAUUGUUGUCUUGAUACUCCUCAGCAACGGCACCAGGGAUCUUUCUGCUACGGCUACACCUUUAGGGACUUCCUUGGAAAAUAUGCAAAGGAUUCCCCCGUGGCCUUGGAGCCUUGCGUUGGUUUUCCCUUCAAAAGGAAAGGGUGAUGCANNNNNNNNNNNNNNNNNNNNNNNNNNNNNNNNNNNNNNNNNNNNNNNNNNNNNNNNNNNNNNNNNNNNNNNNNNNNNNNNNNNNNNNNNNNNNNNNNNNNUCAUCUCCAAACCCUAGUUCAUCUCUUGUACCCAUUCUCCGUCUCGCGACUCUGAUUGGUACUUGUAAGGUUGCUAGUAGUGUUAAUUACUCCUUGUAGUUGAUGCUAGUUGGUUUACUCGGUGGAAGAUCAUAUGUUCAGAUCCUUAAUGCUAUUCAAUACCUCUCUGAUCAUGAACAUAAUUAUGCUUUGUGAGUAGUUAUGUUUGUUCCUGAGGACAUGGGAUAAGUCUUGCUAUAAGUAGUCAUGUGAAUUUGGUAUUCGUUCGAUAUUUUGAUGUGUUGUAUGUUGUCUUUCCUCUAGUGGUGUUAUGUGAAUGUCGACUACGUAACACUUCACCAUUAUUUGGGCCUAGAGGAAGGCAUUGGGAAGUAAUAAGUAGAUGAUGGGUUGCUAGGGUGACAGAAGCUUAAACCCUAGUUUAUGCGUUGCUUCGUAAGGGCUGAUUUGGAUCCACUAGUUUAAUGUUAUGGUUAGACUUUGUCUUAAUUCUUAUUUCGUUGUUGCGGAUGCUUGCGGGAGGGGUUAAUAAUAAGUGGGAUGCUUUUCCAAGUAAGGACAGCACCCAAGCAACGGUUCACCCACAUAUCAAAAUAUCAAAGUAGCGAACGCGAAUCAUAUGAACAUGAUGAAAACUAGCUUGACAGAAAUUUUUCAUGUGUCCUCGGGAGCGCUUUACCUUAUAUAAGAGGUCGUCCAGGCUUGUCCCUUACUACAAAAGGGAUUGUGCCAUCUUGCUGCACCAUUGAUACUAUUGUUACUUGCUACCCGUUAUGAAUUAUCUUAUCACACAACUAUCUGUUACCGAUAAUUUCAGUGCCUGCAGAGAAUACCUUGCUGAAAACCACUUGUCAUUUCCUUCUGCUCCUCGUUGGGUUCGACACUCUUACUUAUUGAAAGGACUACGAUAGAUCCCCUACACUUGUGGGCCAUCAUUCCCCAUCCGGCAGCAGCGCUCGCCGCACCCAUGCGCCUCCUCUUACGGUCUGGCAUGCCCCACCCAUGUUGUGGCUACCCCUCACCACCCCCUUCUUAAGUGGUGAUCUUCGGAGGCUAUUGGUGCUUCCCGACAUUGGCUCUUGCAUCGUGUUGGCCGAGACUUCGUUGUGUGUGGGCUCAACACCUCCAUCCACCUCCCUGCAAUGGUGAUUCCCACUCGACGGCCAUGGGCAUGCGCCCUCUCCUGCGUACAGUGUCGGAUGUCGUCCUUCGGCUCGUCAGUGCCUUGGUCAUCCGCACCCACCCUGCUAAUGCCCUUGGUGGCCGUCCACCGUGACGCGUCUUUGAUUCCGGUGCACCUCGGGAGUUGUGCGCCCCUUUCUAACUCCUUCGGCUUGCCGACAUCUUUGUUGUUCCGGUCCUGAUGAUCCAGAUCUGCGCUACCCUACGGAUCAUGUUCACUCGGGCCUUCGAUCAUCGUCGCAUUCCUCGCGGCCCCUCGUUCUACCCAGCCGGCCACCUUCAUGCCCCGUAUGUCCGUUCGCCACACUCUUGCUCGUGCGUCCGGCGUAGCCUGGUGCCUCUUUGGUGGAGGCCCGGACUCCCUUUUCGUGGUCAUGGUUUCAGCCUAUUAUCGACUUCCUCUACUCCAAUUCGUGCUCCGUUCGCUUGGGGUUGCACCCAAUCUGGCCAGGGCGACAUUUCUGUAUCAUAUGCUGACAGCACUGACAUCCGCGGUUGUCGUGCUCUUCUUGGAGGCGUUGUCAUGGCCGUUCUCUGUGCCCCUCUUUGAUCAACAAGGGGAACCCUAGGUCCGAUUAUUUGGAUCGACGGUGACGUUGUCUCGGCGUCGCUCUCCUUCGUGAAGGCGAUGUCUUAUUUGUUUGUGGUGUCCAUUGUUUGGGAUUUGGAGUUGUUGGUCGUCUUAUGUUUAUCUAGGCUACUUUUCAUGAUGGUGAGUCUAAAUAUGUAUUUUCUCUUUUUCGGGCUGAGUAUUCCAUGUCUCUCUUCCAAGCACCAUCUUCAUGCAUGUUGUGUCUGUGUCACGUAUUGUUUUUCUUAUACUCACACUAACUUCUUUCAUCAAUAGAAUAAUAGAUUUACAUAUUUGAGACCAAAAAAAACUUUUAUCCGAGCACACCGAACUCUCAUAGACACGACUCUGAACUGGUGAACCCUGUCGGUCACAAUCGUUGAAUAUUUUGAUAAUUUGGCUGAAUUAUUUACUCCAACUUCUUUCAAUAGAAUAGUACACAAACUCUACGUGUUCGAGAAAGAAAAUCUCUAUCCGAGCACUUCAAACUUUCGUAGAUGUGACUCUGAACUGGUGAGCCCUGUCGGUCACAAUNNNNNNNNNNNNNNNNNNNNNNNNNNNNNNNNNNNNNNNNNNNNNNNNNNNNNNNNNNNNNNNNNNNNNNNNNNNNNNNNNNNNNNNNNNNNNNNNNNNNNNNNNNNNNNNNNNNNNNNNNNNNNNNNNNNNNNNNNNNNNNNNNNNNNNNNNNNNNNNNNNNNNNNNNNNNNNNNNNNNNNNNNNNNNNNNNNNNNNNNNNNNNNNNNNNNNNNNNNNNNNNNNNNNNNNNNNNNNNNNNNNNNNNNNNNNNNNNNNCCCCUUCUCGGGCGAGCAGCCGCCGCUUUCCUUUCCCCUCCACGAACACUCGGCGUUGACAAAUCUCAUUCAGACUCUCUAGGGCGCUGCCACCUCCACCAAGCUUGUCUCUCUCGUCGCUAGUCAUGCCGACGGUCAAGAUCGUCGAAUUCGACAGCGUCGCCCCGCCGCCGGAGGACUUGUUACUCAGGCUGUCCGCGUUGGAAGCACCGUGGGUCGUACUCCCGGUCAUCCAGCGCGUGUUCCUCUUCGACGACGCCGGGAGCCAGCACCCGCCCUUCGCAUCUCUCGUCGGCUCCCUCCGCGCGUCACUGGCGGCCACGCUCGCGCGGCUUCCCUCGCUCGCCGGAAGGAUCGUCUUCCUGCCGUCUACCGGCGACGCCGCAAUCGAAUGCUCCGCCUCCGAGGGAAGCGGCGUGCGGUUCAUCGUCGCGGAGAGCGACGAGGCGGACGCUGGGCGGCUCGGCGGGGACGCGGACCACGACGUGGACGCGUUCAAGGCGUUCGUACCGAAGCUCAAGGUCGACGUGCUCCCUGCGGAGGUGCUGGCUGUGCAGGUCACACGGUUGAAGGGUGGGGUGGCGGUCGGCGUGGCGAUGCACCACGCAGUGGUCGACGGCCGGUCGGUAUGGAGGUUCUUCCAGGCGUGGGCGGCGGCCUGCCGCGGGGACGACGCUCCCGCAGAGGCGGUUGUGGCCGGCCUGACGUUCGACCGCGCGGUGAUCGCGCUCCCCGGCGGCGAGGAGCUCACGAGGAGCACGCUGCGUAAGUACGCGCCCAAUCUGCCGCUGGUAUGUUCCUCCCCCUUUACUUCCCUUCUCAGUCCGUUCGUCUCGGCCGCCGGCGAGCAAGCGCGCGUGGUCAAACUAAGCAGGCGGCCUCCGCUCUACAGCCUCCGUUUGCUUCGAAAAAAACAAACUAGGCAGGCGGAUCUCCCUAAGAGCAUAUACAGUAC